UUUCUCUUUCGGCCAUGGUGACACCAAGGCUUCACCAGAGUGCGUAUGCAGUCUGAGCUCAAACCGCUCAGACCAAAACCCAGGCCUCGCUGCUAUAUGGCAUGGAUGCAGUUAAGUAGAAGAUAUUUUGGGAUGUUGUUUUAGUUUCCUGUGGCUUAGUAUAAGAUGUAUUAGCUCAAAGAUGGUCGUUUCAUUCUACCACCAAGCCAUAUGCAUCUAUGCAUAAUCUAUUGAUUUAGGCUCGAUUUGGUUAUAGUUUUUGUUUUUUUGUCUUCCAAAUCAGUAAAUAGUAGGGGUAUUUUUGUCCUAUGUAGUGAUUCUUUUUGUUUGAUUGAUUAUAUUUGGAUCCUUCAAAAAUAUAUGGUCAGAGCCAUCUCCAUCUUUUCACUUCUUGUGCUGCAGAAUGGGAUUGGCUUAGAUCGUUAGUCUAAUGUUAACCCCCUUCAAAUCUAAUUAUUCAUACCCAAUUUUGACACGAAAGAGCCAUUGUCAUGAAAGGGGGACCAGGGACCUCAGCACCCUUGGUCCAUCAUUUUGGUACGAUGCCAACUCUACCACAUAACCACCAUUUAGAUAUCUAUCCUUUUAUUUUUGGCAUGUGAACUUAUAGUGGGUGGCUGACCUUGAAUCCAAUAGUUAUCAUGAUAUAUAUGGCUGAAAUUAAAUCCAAUAGAAUCCAAUAUGUUUUCUUAUAUCUCAAGUUUCAAUCAAAAAAAUAUUUAUGAUUUGUUUUUAUUAAUUUGUGUCUUGUUUUCAAUUUAAUUAAUGAAAAUUUAUUUGAUCAAAAAGUUCAUUACAAACCAAUUUUAAAAAUCUAAUCCUUUAUUAUAUUUUGAUAUCGUUUUGAUAAAAAUGUCUUUAUUAUUAUUAUUAUUAUUAUUUUUUUAUAAAAAUAAAUUUUUUUAUAAAUAUAUUGUAAAUAUUUAAAAUAAUUAAAAAUAUUUAGAUCAAAAAUCGAUUAUUUUUCAAACAAAAAUAUGAAAGUUAUAAAUUUUGUAAAUAUGGGGAAUAUUUAAUCCUUUUAAUCGAUUAUUUCAUUAAUGAAGUGGGUAUAAUGGUGAACGCAGACUUGGUUUUGCUAGGGCAUGCAGAGGUUUUGCAAGAGAGAGAGAUCAUUUCUCGACUCUGAGAAAUCAAUCUCCUUUUGGCCCGGUGGCGGACUCCAAGUAAAGCCUUGAAGGAGCCUUGCUAACAUCCCUGCACACCCACGCCUUCCAGUACUGAAGGAAAUGAAGCGAAGGUUUGGCUCGUUCAACUCUACUGCUUGAACUGUACUAGCAUUCAGAUGCCGCUCUGGAUUGAAAUUUAGCGGUUCUUCCCAGAUUCUAGGGUUCCGGCCCAGCCCCAGACGGCUCAGAAGGACAUGACUGCCUUUGGGGAUAGAGUACCCAGCAACACUAGUCGGAUUCCUGAACUCGUCUAUCCUUUCCAACCACUCCAUCAAUUUCUUCACUGCUUUGCUCAAAAUCCCUGGUUGCUUGAUCAUUGCCUACUCAAUUGCAUUUGAUGGACUAUCGACGCCUGCAAGCAUCAACUCCUGCAAAUUAUGGAAGGAUCAUAAUCUGAUGAUUGAUCAAGUUAUUUGCUGGCUAGGAAAUCAUCAUCAUGCAAUGUAGAUCAAAAGGUAAGCACAACACUACUACAAAAAUAAUUUAUGGUGUCAUUUUUUAAAUAAUGACACCAUAGGGUUUAUAAUUAAUAAAGGUGAUACAUCAUAUGAAAAUUCUUCAAUUAAGGUAGUUAGAUUAUGUUAGUUUUAUAUUUAUAGUGUCAUUUUUUGGGAAGUAACAUCAUAUAAAAUAAAUUUUUUUUUAAGUAUUAUAACUUAAUGAGCCCACUUUUAUAAUUAAUAAUGAGGGAUAAUGUAUAAAAAGCCCAUUGUUUCCACAUGCCACCCAUAAUCCAAAAAAUCUCAGUAUACAAAUCUUAUAUAUAAAACCAUAAUCUUCUUCUACCUUUUCUUUUACUUAUAGUCAACACACUUAUAACCGACAUUUUCCACUUUGUGGACUCCCAAGUUAUCCAAAUUCUCUUAGAUCUAUCAUAUUUUUUUCUUUUAUUAAUAUCAUUAUAUUGAUUGUUUCAGCAUCUUUGUAUUAUGGUUUUUGUGAACUGUGUUUUUUUGAGUUGUAGGGAAGAAAAACUUAGGUUUAAACUUCUAGCAUAGACGAAGAAACUUGUAGAUUAAUUGAUUUUUUAAUAUGAACCAAACACAUGACCAACUUUUGUUGUGUGUAUUUAUGUGAGAAUGAUAGGUACAAAAUUUUGUUGAGAUAUACUGUCCCAUAAUCUUCAUCCCUUCCCUAAAAUGAGAGAGGGGAAAAAAAAAGGGAUGAUUUUUUUUGUGUAUCUAAGUGGGAACGAGAGAUAUAGAAUUUCGUUGUGAUGUAGUGCUGCCACAUGAUCUUUAUCCUCCAUUAAACCUAACAUAUUAAAUCCACUAACUCUCUCCCCAAAAACGAGUAAAAAAAAAAAAGGAAAAAAGUAUGAGUUAAAAAACAAAAACGGAAAAUAUGAUUUUUUUUUAAUGUGUUUCUAAGGAGAAUGAGAGAUACAUAUUUUUGUUAAGUGCAUUGCCACGUGUUCUUCAUCCUCUCCAUUAAGCCUAAUAUAUUAAACCUAAUAGCUCUCUCUUUUAAGCUUUCCAAUGAAGUGCCUACAGUAUCCAACUCAAAAUAAGACAACUUAUGCCCCAUUAGCCAACAACCCAUAUUUUGUGUACAUCUUGAUGAGAUUAUUUUGUGAGAAAAUGUCAUGAAACAAUCCCAAUUUGAUAAUCUAGGCAUGUAUUUGAGUUAAAAAUAAAUUUCUAUUCUAUAGAUCAAAGAAUAAAAUCAUGUUUGAAAAUUAUUUUUAAAAACUUAUUUAGAGCAAAAAUAGUUUUCUAACAUAAAAAUAAUUUUUUAACUGAGAAAAUAUAUUUGAAAUUAUUUGAUAGAAAAUUGGGCAUGUAUUUGACUUAAAAACAAAUUUCUAUUCUAUAGCUCAAAUAAUAAAAUCAUGUUUGAAAAUUAUUCUUAAAAACUUAUUUAGAGCAAAAAUGGUUUUCUAACAUUAAAAUAAUUUUUUAAUUUAGAAAAUAUAUUUGGAAACAUUUGAUAGAAAACUGGGCAUGUACUUGACUUAAAAAUAAAUUAUUAUUCUAUAGAUCAAAGGAUAAAAUCAUGUUUGAAAAAUAUUCUUAAAAACUUAUUUAGAGUAAAAACAGUUUUCUAACAUAAAAAUAAAUUUUUAACUUAGAAAAUAUAUUUGAAAACAUUUGAUAGAAAACUUUUUUUUUUUUAAUGUCAAUAAGUUGUCUUUUUCUUAAUUUAAUUGUAAUCAAUUUGCUUAUACGCAUUUAAAAGUAUAUAUUAUCAUAUUUAGUAAUAUUUUGAUUGUUAGGCAAAUUAUCAUUUUUGAGAGGAAUUUUUGUAGCUCUCAUAAUUAUAAUUGUAUUUUAAUAACCAUUUCCAAUAAAAAAAAAAGAAAAAAAAAGUUAGACAAUUAUCAAAAUCUGAUUUUUAGGAUUUUAAAAAAAUCUACAAGCCAAAACUAUCUAUAAUUUUGAUCAUGUGAGAACACUUCUUUUUUAAUACUUUGAGUUAUUUUGUUUUUUUUCUUAGUAUCUGAAAGUAUAAAAGAAUUUCUCUCAUUAUAUUAUAUAUAUGUGCAUGUGUGUUCUCAUGGUUGUUUAUGUCAUGUCUUAUUAAAGAAUAAAGUGAAAUUUCCUUUGAGUGGAAGGUUUUAGUCCACGCUAGUACACGGUAUGAAUAGUUUGGGUGGGUUGUAUCUAUGGUAAAAAAUAAUAAAAGACACCUUUUGCAAGUCUCCAAGUUGGUUGAGAUACAUGGCAUCAUGUUGACUAAACCUUGACUUUUGCAAGUCUCCUAGUUUCCAACUUUUUUUUCUUCUUUUUUUUAAUAUUAAGGUGUGGGGCCAUGAACUCCUUUCUUUCCUUUUUAAAUAACAAAAAGGAAGAUAAUUUUAUUGUGAGAAGGCUAUUGCUAUCAAUUGUGUUCACGUCGAGAAUUUUUUAAUUUAUGGAGGCCAUAUAUAUAUAUUUAUGUCUAAUUUAGGAGGGUAAUUUGGGUUUGUUUAAUCUAUUCCAUUUAAUCAUACUAUACAAUCAUUUUUUUAUUUGGAUUAUUUUUGUAUUAAAUUUCUUCAACCCAAAUUUUGUUGAAAAGUUACAAUGUAUUAUUAAAAAUAUAACUUGAUAGUUGAUUAUGGAUAUGUGUCAUUUUUAGUAAAAAAAAAAAAUCUAUAACAUUUUAUAUUGAUAAUAUAUUAUUCUUGUAACAGGUUCGAAUAGUAAGCAAGUCAUUAUCAAAGAAGUUAUUGAAAGUGUAAGUGUACGUUUAUUUAUUGCAUGCUCUUAUAUUGUAUCAAUUGUAAGGAAGAUAAAAUUACCUUGUAAAGGUAAUUAAAUCUUUCUAUAUUUUAAAAACUUUUUUCCUAUAUACUAUGCUUUUGAAGCUUGUUUAAUUAAACAUAUUAGUUAUUUGACAAACUUUUCACAAAUGUUUUGUAUACUUAUGUGUUCUAUUUUGUUCCAUAGUUUUAUUGCAUAAUACUAAUGUAUAUUUUUUCACAAACUUUUUACAACUAUUUUGUGUACUAAUGCAUAUUAAGUUUUGUUCUUGCCUAUAUAAGCUACAUUUAGUUAUUUAAAUAUAUCCAAUAUUAUGUUGAAGAAAGAUGUACUUACUUAACUUUUUUUAUUCUUAAUAUUAGCAAGUUUUUCAGUUCUCUUGUCUCGAGAUUGGAUGUCAAAAGAUAGAAGGUCAGUUGAGUAUGAUGAAAGAGUUGAAAACUUUAUCAAUUUUGCAUUAGCACAUUCAAUCAACCAUUCCCCUAUAAAAUGCCCAUGCUUACGUUGUGCAAAUCUUUUAUGUCAAACUCUUCAAGUCAUUAGAGAGCAUUUGUUCUUUAAUGGAAUAGAUUUCAGUUAUCGAGUAUGGUAUAGGCAUGGAGAAAAUGGACCCAGUGGAGGAUUUUCAAAUGUCUCACAACAACAUUAUGACAAAUGCAAGUAUAAUGAUGUUGUUGACACAAUAAUGCUGCACUAGUUAAUUGUAUGAAUGAUCCCUAAGUGUUUGGAAGGUUACUUGAAGACGCAGAAAAACCUUUAUAUCUUGGAUGCAUGAAAUACACAAAAUUGUCAGCAUUGGUAAAACUUUACGACUUAAAAGCACGUUAUGGUUGGUCUGACAAAGGAUUCUCAAAAUUGCUUCAGUUGCUUGAAGAUAUGUUGCCAUUGAAUAAUGAGAUGUCAUUGCCCAUGUAUGAAGCUAAAAAGACUUUCAGUGCACUUGGUAUGGAAUAUCAAAAAAUUCAUGCAUGUUUUAAUGACUGUAUUUGGUAUAGAAACCAGUAUAAGGAUGCUAUUGCAUGCCUAACUUGUGGAAAGUCAAAGUGGAAGAUAAACAAUGAGGGGAAAAAGAUUAAGAAGGGGCUUCCUUCAAAGGUUUGGUGGUAUUUCCCACCAAUCCCUAGAUUCAAAAGGACGUUCCAAUCCUCAAAAACCGCUAAACAUCUUAUGUGGCAUGCCAAGGAUAAAGAAUAUGACGAUAAACUAUGCCACCCAUCAGACUCCUCAGCGUGGAAACUAGUUGACCAUAUGUGGCUUGAUUUUGCUUCUGAACCGAGAACCUUAGACUAGCACUCUCAAAAGAUGGUACAAAUCUUCAUAAGUCUAUAAGCAAUAGACAUAGUUGUUGGCCUGUUAUACUGAUCAUAUACAACCUUCCUCCUUGGUUGUGCAUGAAAAAGAAGUUUAUGAUGCUAUCAUUAUUGAUCUUAGGACCACGACAACCUGGUGAAAAUAUAGAUGUUUUCUUGAGUCCAUUGGUAGAUGACCUUAAAACUUUGUGGGAAAAAAAAGUUGAGACUUAUGAUGCACACUUACUUGAGGUUUUUACUGUAAAGGUCAUCAUUUUAUGGACAAUCAAUUAUUUCCCUACAUAUGGAAACUUGGCCAAUUGCACCGUGAAAGGAUAUUAUGCAUGUCCAAUAUGUGGAGAAGGAAUAUAUUCCCAAAGAUUAAAGUAUGGUAGGAAGAACUUGUAUAUGGGUCAUCGACGAUUUCUUCCACGUAACCAUCCCUAUUGGAGACAAAAGAAGGCAUUCAAUGGUGAACAAGAUUUUAGAAUUCCUCCUAAAAUUUUGAGUGGAGAAGAAAUACUUGAAAAAGUUGAUAUCAUUCCUAUUUCUUGGGGAAAAAGGAAGAUAAAAUCUCUUGAACUGAUGUGAACACAAAUUGUUGGAAAAAAAAGUCCAUAUUUUUUGAGUUAGAAUAUUGGAAAUAUCUUCAUAUCCUUCACAACUUGGAUGUUAUGCACAUCGAAAAGAAUGUAUGUGAGAGUAUUAUUGGUACUUUGUUUAACAUCCUAGGAAAAAAAAAGAUGGACUUAAUGCUCAACUUGACCUAGUUGAAAUGGGUUUAAGGUCUGAACUUUUCCCAAGAGUUGACUUGAAGCGGACCUAUCUCCCCCCUGCAUGUUAUUCACUAUCCAAACAUAUAUGACAAAAAAUUAGUUUGUCAAACAUUGUCUAAUUUGAAGGUCCUUGAGGGGUAUUGCUCAAAUUUUAGAAAUCUUGUUUCCUUAGAGGAAUUGAAGUUAUUUGGUUUAAGAUCCCAUGACUACCAUGCACUUAUGCAACAACUAUUGCUAGUGGCAUUACGUUUUGUUUUGCUAAAGCAUGUGAGAUAUACUAUAUCAAGAUUGUGUAUCUUCUUCAAUCAAUUAUGCACAAAAAUGGUUGAUGUGCCAAAAUUGGAUGAAGUACACAAUGAGUUAGUGGUCACGCUGUGCUUACUUGAAAAGUAUUUUUCACCUUCAUUUUUUGAUAUUAUGCUUCAUCUAGCAGUGCAUUUGAUAAGGGAGGUGUGACUAUGUGGUUCAGUUUACUUUAUGUGGAUCUACCCAUUUGGGAUAUGAAAGUUCUUAAAGAAUUGUUCGCAAUCAUAAUUGGCCUGAAGGAUGCAUUACUAAGUGCUAUUUAGCAGAAAAAGCUAUCGAAUUUUGUAUUGAAUAUUUAUUAAGGACUCAUGCAAUUGGAAUUCCAAAAGUAACAAUUAUGACAACAAAUUUGGUAGACCUAUAAUUGGUGGUCGUUCUACCAUCAUUGAUCAUAAAUCAUGGUUACAAGCAUAUCAUUAUCUAUUAGAGAAUACAACUAUCGUCCAACCAUACACUGAGUAAGAAAAACAUACCUUUAUCUUUUUAUAAUUUCAUAACAUAAUGAUGAAAUCCUAAGUUUGCAUUCCUUGUCUUUAACGUCAUAGGGAACACAUGAAUUAGUUGAGGUCUCAAUACCCUCGACAAUCUAAUAGACAAAUUUGGUUGCAAGAAGAACAUAUGAGUUGUUUUACAUAUUGGCUUAAAGAAAAGGUAAUCUCUUAGUUUUUAGAAAAUUUUUCAAUAUGUUGAAAACAUCACAAGUUUCCAAUAUGUUUUGAUUAUACAUAGGUUGAAGAGGCUAUCCAUAAUGGGCAAGAUAUUCCCGACACACUUAGGUGGUUAGCACAUGGCCCUACUCUCCAGGUAGUCAAAUAUCCUGGAUAUAUCGUUAAUGAGUGUCAUUACCAUAUUAAGAAACGCGAUAUGACAUGCAUAACCCAAAAUAGUGGUGUUAGCAUUUUAGCAAGGACUAUGCAAAUUGCCAGUUCUAAGGAUAAGAACCUAGUUUGUGGUGAACUUUGCUUUUAUGGGGUCAUUAAUGAGAUAUGGAAUCUUGAUUACAACAUGUUCACAAUUCUAAUUUUCAAGUGUGAUUAGGUUGACAACAAGAAUGGUAUAAAAGUUGAUAAACUCAGGUUCACAUUAGUUGACUUCUCCAAAAUAGGUCACAAAUUGGAUCCAUUUAUUUUAGCAUCACAAGCCAAGCAAAUCUUCUAUGUUGAAGAUCAACUUGAUCCUAAAUGGUCAAUAGUUCUCUCAAUUCCUCUAAAAGAUUUCAAGAACAUAGAAGGACUAGAUGACUUCACCGAUAAUUGCAUGGAACAUCACCCCUUUAUAAGUUCAAUGCCAGAAUUUGAAUCAUUUGAUGCUAUGGAUGAAUCAUAGGCAAUACACAUGAGAGAAAACUGUGAGGGCAUAUGGAUUGAAAAUAAUUAGAUAACAUAUUGUACCCUUGAAUGAGAUAUAAUAAGGCAUUUCACUUAUUAGUUUUCAUGAGUUGCACAUUAACUUAGCUUCUAUAUAUUGCUCAUGAUAUAUCUAUAUAUUUUAAUCAUCCUAAAUUUCUUUCAUGCAUCAUAAACAUAUGUUAUUCAAAGGUACCACUUCAAUCUUCAUUCAACUAUCGUUUUGUUGUCCAUAGAACUAGAUUUAUAUUAUUUUUUAUUAUCAUGUUUUGAUUUUAUGCUCACAUAACUUGAAAUUCUCAUUCCUAAAUUUCUUUUUCAUUAAAACUAUAAAUCAUAAUUGAAACUAUGCACUAAUUUAUUUUAUUAUUAUCCUCACAAAUAAAUUCUUCAUUAUUGAUAAGAAAUCAAAAAACAAGACAAAUUUUGAAAGAAAAUUUCAAAAAAUAUAUUUGUGAAUGACCAAUUUAAUUAUAGAAAAUAUAUGCAAGGCUAUACUAAUCUUGCUUUUGAGUCAUUUUAUAGGUUUGUUGGUGAAGUACUAGUUUGCACAUUUACUUGAUAUCUUCCGCACAAAUAUGGAUCUAGAAGAAGGGGAAAUGCUAAAAAUAAAGCAUAAAGGUAGUGCAUUGAAACCAAAGAUUGCAAAAAAUCGAAGUAAAGGGAUAAAGCUCAAGAUUGAAUACAAUAGCCUUAGUAGUCACAUUGAGGAAAAUUCAGUUGAACUAAGUAGUUAUCUUAGUACAAUAACUAGAACCCAUGUGCCAAUAAUUAUUGAGAGUUGGGGGAAAGUGCCUAAAGAGACUAAGGAGAAGUUGUGGGAUUUGAUCACGGUAAGCCUAUCUAUAACUUUAAUAUAUAAUUAUUGUAUACAUUCAUUAACAUGAGCUAACAUGGGUUGCUAUUUUGUAGACAAGCUUUAAUGUGAAUAAAAAAUCCAAGAGGAAUUGUUUCAUACUAAUGGGCAUCAGGUUUCGAACCUUUAAGUACAAGUUGACAAAGAAAUAUAUAUUGUCUUUCAAGAAUGACUAAAAAAGCUGAAAAAGUCACCUCCUAUUUACCCAUUCAUACAAGAGGAUCAUUGAAGACAGUUUGUUAAAGAUAGACUUUUAGAACAUUUUAAUGUUAAGCAUUAUUUUUAUUACAUCUUCAAUUUUCACAUUUACGUAGUUUCAUUAUGUACUAAUUUUGUGUCUAUAUUUUGUAGGAAUAUCGCAAAGUUCAGAAAUCAAGAAGAGAUAAACACAUUUACAAUCAUUAUCUUGGAAGAAAAUGAUAUGCACGUUUUGAGCAUGAUAUAGUAAGUUAUCAAUAUCCAUAAAAAAAAAAAUGGAGUAUAUAUUUUGUUUAUAGGAAAAUGAUUCUAGUUUUUAAAUAUCAUUUAUUAACUUGAUCAUAUUGAACUAAUGAGUUUUAUUGUUAAAAAUUUUAUAGCUACAAGCAGAAGGGGCUAUUGGUAGGGUUGAUAGAAGUGUUUAUGAAAGAAAACACGUGAGAAGAAAGGAAAGUUUAAUAAGAUUACAAAGCCAAUGAUUAACUAAGUUAGCAUAUUUAUGCCUUUUAGAGCCUAUAGUGUUAGUAUGUCUAUGUGAUUAGGGUUUGUGAUGAUAUCGUUAGGUGUUAAUAGGGAAGAGGCUUAAUGCUAUCAUUUUUAUGAGUAGUCAUGUUAUAUUAGUGCAAAUAUAGUAGCCUAAUUUGAAAAUUAAUUUUGAAACAAUAUACAUUAAUUUAUCUAUUAUCAUUUUUAUUAAAACAAUUCAUUUUAUAGCUACCUUGAAUUGGUUGUCUUUGAUUGAUAUGUUAAUCAUCUUCAUCAAAUUAUUACUAAUAUAUGUUUUGUUAUAGGAUGAAUUACUAGAAAAGGCAAGGAGACUGGACUACCUCCACCUGGUCCAAACGACAUAUUAUGUCAGGCAUUGGGUAAGCUUGAUCAUCUAGGACGUGUGGUAGGUCAAGACCGCUUGGUUAGGCCGAACUCAUACUUUCGUCAACCAUUUGAUGACAUGAAAAAAAAAAUCAAAGAAGAAAUAUGGGAAGUGGUGUGAAAGGGGAUGCAAGAUGCUGUAACAAGACAAACUAUGUCUCCUCCCACACCCCAUUCUGAUAUAGGUAGUAAUAACAUGAGACAACAACUUGUUUUACAACUAGUUGUAGCAAAAAAAACCAAUGUUUAAAAUGAUGGAAGAGCCCCAACCACCAGAACCACCACUGAAACGUAAGGUAUACAUUUAUUUACUAAUAAUACAAGAUUAAUAUAAGUGAUAUAUAGCCUAUGUAAAUGAUAUUAUUUGUUGUAUUAAAGGUGAUUAAAUAUAAAUUAGCAGUGGAAUGAAAAUGAAAUGUUGUUGCAACCGGUACAUUAAUAGAAGAAAAUUGAUCAAAUGGGUUGGUCAUAAUAAAUGUUGCACACAAGCUAGAUGCUAGACUCCCAUUUCCAAAUCCAUAUGAGAUUAUCAAUGUUGGGGAUGCUAUUGACUUUAAGCUUGACUGGCCAACAAACCUUGUCAUACUUGAAACUAAACAUCCUCGGGUAUGUCAUUUUAUACUUGUAGUAAAUUUGAUUGUAACUUGGUAUUUUAUUGUUUGGGAGUAUAUAUUACUAACAUUCCUUCAUUUUUCAUAGGUGUUGGAUAAAGGAAAGAAGUAGAUAGUGAAUGCACCAAUUAUUCGAAAAUCUAAGCCUCAAAAUUAUUCGGUCAUUAAAAAUUUUUAGAAAUUUAUGGGUGGUUGUCUUAGUAAUGAGAAGACAUACCCAAUACAGCUCCCCAUUUCACUAUUUGGUGUCGAAUUCCAAACAUAUAUAUCUAGAGAGGAUUGUGAAUACAUUAUUUCAUCUUUAGAGGUGUCAUCAAAAUGCAUCUCCUUCCAUUUAUGGUGUGCACCUUUUAUUUUCAUUUGUUUUUAUUUUUUUAAUAUGAGUUGCCCAUGUUGAACAAGAUUGGAUAGGACUAAUGAUAAUUUUCUUUUGGUGUUUUGAUAAUAUAAUAGGUACAUGCAUGAUCAACUACAUAUUGCCAAAAAGGAAUCACAAUUUAUAUUUGUUAAUCCUUUUACAAUAUCAUGAGCACGCUUUAGUAAUCCUCAAACAGAGAAAAGAACACAAUUGUUGUCAAAACACUUAAUAGAGUGCCAAGAUGUCGGAUAUGUUUUCAUGCCCUACAACCCCGAGUAACUGACGAAUAUUAUGCUUUAAUUUGAGGUUUUAUGAUUGAUUUAUAUUUCUAAUUAGAUGCUACUUUUGUUUUUAAUGUUUUAGCUUUCAUUGGGUCUUGGUAGUGAUUGAGCCAAGGAAAACGAUAGUCCACUAUCUUGACCCUGUGCAUCACAAACCAUUUGAGGACUUAAAGGAUAUCGUAAACAUGUAAGUUCUUCCUAUUAUUUUUCAUAGUAUUAUUUAAAAAAAAAAUUACAUUCACCUCAAACACAUUUUUUAUUGUUAUUUCUAUAUAUUAAAACAUAUAACAUUUACCUAUUUUAAAAUUGUACCCAUUGAACUUAUUUACAUAGGGCUCUUUAAAUAUUUGCAAAGAAAACAUCUAAAAGAGAGCCAUCUUGGAAACUAGUGCAAGUGACAUCCAAAAUUUUUCUUUACACAUUUAGCUUAUGCAUUUGCACCAUUUAUAUGUAUGAGUACUAAUGUUAUUUAUAACUGAUCACUUAGUGUCCAAGACAAGAAGGAGGGUUCGAAUGUGGCUACUUUGUUAUGAAAUUCAUUAAAGAGAUAAUUUUUUAUCCUACAAUGAUUGCUUCAAAGGUAUUACUUAUUUAAUGAAUUGUACAUAUUUUUAGGCUUCCAAAUGUUAUGCAUUUUAAUGUUAUUUUGUUAUUUGAUUUCAGUUUGGUGAUAAAAAAAACAUAUUCUCAAGUAGAAUUCAAUGAAAUUAGAGGGGAAUUGACUACUUUUGUGCUACAACUAAUCAUGAAUCAUGUUGAUGCAUCAUGAUCACCAUGCAUGGUGAGUCCCUUAGCUACUACAUGAAUUUUUCCAUAGAUAUUGUAUAGUAUUGCUUUUCUUUGAACAAUGUUUUUAUUUGAAAAAAGAAAAAAAAAGUUCUUAGAUUUGUUCAUUUAUGAUAACAUCGAUCCAUAUUUAUUUUCUUCAAUGAAAUCUAUAAAACUCAUUAAACUAUGAAAUGCAGGUAUACACUCUUAGGAGGGUGGAAUAGAGAAUAAAAAGAACAAAGAAGGCAACCAGAUUUUGGGUUUUUAAAUGCAGCUCGUAUGUCAUACGUCGUAGGACAUAAACGUUACUUUAAUUGGUAGUGAGAAUUUUAGAUUUUUAGAUGCUACUUUUAUGUCAUUUUAUAGUUAGUCGGUUUUAUGCUUAUGAAAUGAAGGUAUACAUGAAUCUUGGGAUGCUUAACAUUUCUAAAUCAUGUUUUGGUAUGUAUUCACUUUUCUUUUUCAGUUUUGGUGGGUUUGAUAUGUUUGAUGUACUAUCUUUUUGUGAACAUUUGAUAUACAAAUAUUAUUAGAUGAUCAAUGUAUUACGAGUUAUUCCAUAAACAUUACCGAAAAAUGAGUUAAAUGUAAUAUGAUUGUUAUAUUUAUGGACAAAAUAUACACAAGUUAAUCCUAUUUGUUAAUUCAUAAGCAUUACAAAAAUCUACAACUAAAAGAAAUCAUAUCUUCCAUGAUAAUUUACAAUGAUGUGACACCAUAACUCAAAGGUGAUGCAUUUAAUGUGACAUCAUAACUCAAAGAUCACGCAUAUAAUGCGACAUCCUAUCAUCACUAGAAAUAUAUGAUGUCACUUCCGAAUGCGUCACCAUUUAUCUACUUUGGUGUCACUUACAAAUACGUCACCAAUUGGUACCCUCUAUGGUGUCAGUAGAGAAGGUGACACUAUGUUGUAGUGACACCCUAUGUUUAUGGUGACUCGCUAUAAAUGUCACCAUAUAUCUUUUUUCUUGUAGUGCAAAUUACUUAUCUUACUAUGCAUUGGGCUUUGAUAUUAGCCAGAGAUAGUAGUGGCUCCUAAUUUUUAUCCUUAACUGAAAUGAAAACGCCAAGCAGGUCCCCACCCUCUUUUUCACCAUUCUUCCACUAUUCUACUAUUUGGUCCAUGAUUGGAUCAUGGUACUUGUUAAUGGUGUUCAUAGCCUCCCUUAUAGUCUUUUCAUGGCCAUCUAAAUUCAGCACUCUCUGCCAUGGGAAGUAAUCAGAUAAAGAGAAUACAUAUAGAUGAGCAAGUAUAGUAAAGAAGGAUUCAACAUGUUGCUCCACUUCAACUCCAAGGCCUCCAUCUUUCUUUCGUUGGCCAAAGUAUCUUGUGUUGAGGAUCAUCUUUCGGAUGACAUUCCCGUUGUAUUGACGGACUUUAUUUCUGUCACACCCCAAAUACUAGGCAACCCAGAACUUGACUCGUGGCCCCAGGUCAAAGGUUUGACCCUAAGAGUUACUCUUAUCCAUGUUGGCAAUCAAUCAAAACACCCUGGAUUUUUUUUCUUUUCAAUAAAGAGUUUAAUCCUAAAUAAAUUUAUUAAGCUAAGAUUUACUAUAACAUAUCAUUUUAUUUUUCCAAAACUAACCAUCACAUUAUCUCCUGUUCACAAGUAUUAAAAAAAAUAAAAUUCCACCAAUCGUCUUCCUACCCAAAAGCUAAAAUAUUUACAAUAAUCUCUAAGUCAAAAAGAAUAUUUCCAAAAAUGUUUUCCAAACUAAUAAAAUAUAAUUUAACUUAAAAAAUUCCAUAUAACUCAAAUUAGUAGAUGUCAAAAAGGUAAUUAAAAAAAAAACAACAACCAUUAUUAUGGUUUUUUUGCUUUUUAGAACACUUCAUGAUCUUCUUAUGGUCCCUUAGAAACUAUAUCUGCAUCUAAAAAUUUUAGAAAAUAAAGGGAUGCACAUUUCCACGUUACUCUUUAGACCUAAAUAGGUUAGAAAUUCUAGGUCAAUAAAACACAACCAUAUGCCAAAAUAUAAUAUUACAUUUACAUUAUACACACUAAAAGAAACUUCAACCAUACAAAUUUAAAUCAAUCAAAAUUAUCAUUUUCCUUAUUUAAUCAUAUGUUUAGCAUAUCAAUAAUUUUAAAUUACAAAAUAAAUAAGUCACUUUAGUCUUGAAUAAUAUAUUCAAACAUACACUUGAUAAAUAAUACAAAUCAUUUUUCCAAAUGCAACCAUGAUACAAAUGCUUACACACAAUCACGCAAUGCAAUAUCGUUCUCGGGCUUUCACCGAAGGAUAUGCAUUUAUACCCAAAUACACUCCCCAUUCGGAGUCUUCCUGGGGUAAAAUUUUGAGUCUUUCACCUUAAGGAUCUCACUCCCUUCUUAACUCACCAUCUCUAGGGUCAUUCAAUUUCUUAUUUUUCUUUUCUUUUCAUUUUUGGUGUCUUUUCAUUCUCAUUUCCGUUUCACACAACCAUUUCUUUAAUUUUUCUUUUUCUUCACACAAUCAGGAUGCAUAUGAAAUGCAACUGAAUCAUAUUUUAACAUCCAUAAUUUUCCAAGACAUAAUUUUAUUUACUCCCAUUAUGUUUCAUAAUUUCCAAUAAUCCACACAACGAUUUUUCUUCACUUUAAUCGUCACAAACAUAAAAGAAAAUUCACAAUUAAUUUGUAUAGCAUCAAAACAUAGUUUUAAACAUUGACCACAUAAAUUCUAUUUAUUCCUGACAUGCUUAAUAAUUUCCAAAUCCAAUAUAACCAUUUUUUUUUCAAUUAAAUAAUCACACAUAUCCAAGAAAAUUCUCGCUAAUACAAAUAUCAAUGAAAAUGUAAUUUAUGUCAUAAUUUAUUUGUCUCCAAUAAUUUCAAAAAUUUUGACACCCAUAUGACAAAUUUCUACAAUUAAGCCACCCCAACAUUUGGGAAAAAUUUUCCAAUAAUUCAAAUAUCAACAAAAACCCAAUUUAUAUCAUCAUUUUAUUUAUUUUUAAAAGCAUUAAUAAUUUUAAUAAUCAAUACAACACUUUUCCACAAUUAAGCCACCACAACAUUCUAGGAAAAUUUUCCAAUAAUUCAAAUAUUAACAAAACAUAAUUAUACCUUAAAUUUUCUUAUCUCCAACAACAUCAAUAAUUCUUAGUACUCAAUACAACUAUUUUUAUUUUUUCAUAUUUAAUCUUCUCAAACAUUACCAAAAUUCCAAGAAAAAUCUAUAAAUCACGAAAUAAAAUUAUUCACAAUAAUAAUCACACUUCAAAUACUAAAAAUAACAUCUAUUAUAUUUCAACAACACAAUAUAUAAAUUUUUUUCAAAGAAAAUAUUAAAUCAAAGUUUUAGGGUUAAAUCACCCUACCUUAAAUUUGAAAAAUUUAACCAUUAAAACUAAAACAGGACACCGUAGGAGUGUUCCUCACAUUGAAUAGAAUAUCUGUAGACCCUCAAUUUUGUCCCUUUAGCACAUGUCUUUAAGUUCGUUUUCAGUGUUCCACAGUAGUUCCUUGGUGGCCCAUUGCUACUCAUACUACUUACCCUUUUUUGAGUCACCUCGGAGACUUUGGUUGAGGGAUUAUCUUACCCCUUAUUGUGACCCUUGGCAGCCCUAACUUAGACUUAGGCUUUUCUUGCUUUUUUUUUUUCGGGAUAGCUUUUAGAUACACUUGACCCAUUAGGCACCACCCUAGGCCCACUUAGAUUCACCUAGGCUCAUUCAGGCACAUCUAGGCCCAUUUAGGUUCACUAGAUCCACUUAGGUAUCUUAGCCCUCCCAUGUCAUCGUUGCGGUAAUUCCUACAUGACUUACAUAAUUUGCAUUUUUUUAACACUUGUAUGUACUUGAUUUCCUAUUCAUUUAUUUAUCUACUUAUUUUAUUAACAUUUAGUUAGUUAUUUGUUUUAUUUAUUUAUUUUAUAGAAUAUUGCAUGAGAUUGAUGUCAUUAAUUGCGUAAACUGAUGUAUUAAUUUGUCUGUGUGUAGCUAUGAUAGAUAUAUUGUUUUUGAUUGCAUAUAUUUUUUUAUUAGUUUUAAUUCUCAAUUUCAUGACCUCUACUGCUUUUAAUUCUUAUUUUAUUUUGGCAUGAGAUUUGAAUGCACACAUUGGAGAAGAUCUUUGACGUACACGGCUGCGUAUAGAAAGUGGGCACAUCACGGCUGAGGCACAUCCAGGAGUAUAUGGAAAGAAGAUUAAAGAGAAUCUAAUUACUUACCAAAUGAGAGAGGGGCUGCAUCCUUGGAAAAUCUCCAAGUAAGCUGCACAUAUGUAGACUUCCCAUAUCCACGCGUAUAACAAAAAAAGGAAGUAAAAUAUUCUACAAGAGUGGGCUGCCAUAUAAAAAAAAGUGGGGAGAAAAAAAGGAUAGGAGGAUUUCGGAAGGAAGGAGGAAGAAGGAGUGACCGGGCAAAAGAGGAUUUUUAUCUGGGGAAUUGUCUUUAGAGGUGAGAGGAAAGCCGGAAGCCCAGCGAUUGCAGGCAAGGCUGCCCAAAAUUUAAAAUCCAUUGGGUUUGGAGGAGAGGCACAGAGGAGAGGGGACUUUCAGCACGCAUUGAGAACGGAGUGGAAUCAGAAAAGAGAAGCAAUCUUUGCUUCUUCAGAAAAGUUCUAAGGUAAGUCUACUGAUAUUUUGUUUUGGUUCGUACUCCCAAUUUAUGUUCCUCAUUCUUUUUUUGUGACCUGAGACGCUAUUUGCUGGUUGGGUUGGAGAUGACAUAAAUUCCAUGUGAAUCUUGCUGAUUUCUCAUAUAUUGUUACAGAUAUUGUUUCAUUCUUUACUAUUUAUUUAUUUAUUUAUUUUUAUCAUUUGAACUCAAUGAGACUCUGUUUUAUGGUGUACUAUUUCAAGAUUUUGGUUGCCCAGAUUCUCUUUACUCCUCCCACCAACCUAAUCUCGUGGAUCGAAAUAUGAAACACGACUUUCUCUAGAUCAUUCUGUUUUCAUCCUUUAUGCUCUCUUUUCUUGGUUGCCUUCUUUUGUUCUUGUGUGUAUUUUCAAGGGAGACGUGCAUCACCAAUUAAUUACGUUAGAGAGGAGCUUUCGAAUACUGCUGAAAUUUGAGACUUAGAACCCAAAUUCGGAAGCAACAAGUUGGAUUGAUGACUCUAAUGAGAAUUUUGUUUCAUGGGAAAAAUGACUUGAUAGUGAUUGAAUAUGGAUUGAUAGGGAAUGGAUACUUCAACACGUUCUACGGUGGAUUACAAGUUUGGUUCCCCUUUAGGGAAUGCAUGUCCAAGACAGGGGAGAGCAAAAUUUUGUGUUUAUGACAUCCCAGGAGCAGUCGGGAUGGCUAAGACCUUGUUGAUGGAUCUCAGUUGCUGUUCUAAAUAAUCCGAAUUCAAGCCUGUGGAAUUUAAGCAGUGUUAUUGAGAGUUUGAGACUAUGGAACAACUACAGCUGAUCCAGCUUAUUUUGCAUCAUUUUGCUCUAACGUCAACUUGAAUCCAAGGCUUCCUCCACCUCUUAUUUAACGGGAGAAUCAAUGCCUGUUCCCUAUCCACUGACAAAGAGGAGUCUGACGACGAUAGGCCAUCCCGAAAAAUCUCAGAUGAUUGACCAGAAAGCAGCAGUGCAGUUAUGCCCAGACAGAGGACAGUUUCUUCAGCAGAUCGUCAUAAAAGUUUAGUUGAUCUGAUACAAAAGGACUUCCCCCGCACCUCAUCACUUGCAUAUAAUCAGUUUCCUUCCUCAAGCUAUGCAGCAAUGGAGGAACUAUUUAAUCGCAUUACCUCUACCUAAAGAUCCCUCAAGGAAUGAGCCAUCCUUAUAAUGACAUGGAAAAGCUUCCCCAUGCACUCCCCAAGUUCUCUUCAGUUAAGGUACAAUCUAUGAUGCAGUCUCCUAGGUUCACCCCUCCUUUGUAUGCAACAGCAGCAACGUAUAUUGCUUCAAGAAGUCCAUUUUAUCCUAAUUUGCAGUCAGUGAUGGAUCCUCAUUCGCAACUGUUAAUCUAAUAUCAGAGGGGAAGCCUAUUAUCCUUAGUCAUGCAGGAAUUGAAGAUUGCAUUGGCCUUCCCCCAAAGCUGCAAUUCCCCCUUUUAUCACAGAACUUGAAUUUGGAUGGAAUUCCAAAAUUUGACUUUUUCUCUGUUUAUGCCUUUUAAAGGUCAUUCAGCACAUUGUUAUAUUUAAGCCCCUUUGAGUUGGAAGAUUUUGUGGAAGCAUUAAGAUGCAAUUUUUUUCUAACCCUUUGUUUGAUUAUGUCCAUAUUUCUUUAUUACAAACUUUGAGAAAGCAUUUGGAAUUUCUAUCAGAUGAAGGUUCCUAAUCUGAUUUUAAUUGUUCAAGGUGUCUUAAUUGAGGUUUGUUGGAUUCAGUUCGUGGUUAGUUUUCAUGGCUGAUUCCCUACUGAUUCAUGGUUCAGGUUCGAAACCUGGUUUUGAUUUUAGUUGAUUGAAGCUAUUUGACAAUAACCACUGCAAACGACCUGUGGCCGUAAAGUUUGAGAUAUUUCGAUGUCUGUGUGAUGAUGUGAUUGCAGUGGAAGCGCUAAGAUCAGAGCUCAAUAGAAGAUCAUUGGCAGCUGAGCCUGAUAAGGAAUUCAAUCAGAAUGUUUACAUUGAGAUUUGCAAGAAAAGGAAGGCCUGAUGUUAAAACGGAAUGGAUAUCGGAAGACCUGUCACUAAGACAUUUGGCUUUAUCAUUUGUUGGUGAAUCUAUCAUAUAUCCAGAAAUAAACUUACUCAUAGAUGAACUAUGUUAUAAGGCAGACUCGUACCCUUUCUAUGACAAGUGCACAAUUUCCUAAGAAGAUUAGAGAACUACAAUCUGUUACUCAGUCUUACGUCAGUAUAGAUGCUACAACAAAGGACAAAGCUGCCGCCUUGGCUGCUGCUCGCGGUCUUGGACGCAAUGCAAAGAUUGAGUCUGUAAGGCUGCCAAUGUUGACAGUUCUUAAGCUUCAUAGUUGUGAGGGCAUAACUUCAGCUUCCAUGGCUGCAAUAUCGCAUGGUUAUAUGUUGAAGGUAACAACAAGUAGCGUUGAGAUUGGAUCAGGGGAAACUGCAUGGGAGGCGGAUGUUUCUGUCAGCUGUUGCACAGAAAUUGAUAAGACAACUGAAAAUUCAGUGGCGCCUGGGAUCCAUAAAUGUCGAAACUAUCCUAUCCAACCAAACCAAGUAUUCUGAUCUUCUAGCACGCUCCUGCCAUGAAGCUCACUGUCAAGACCUUGAAGGGAAGCACAGCAACAGCGAAAGCAACAUCUUCUACAACCGAGAAUACACAUGGUUUCAUGGCUCCUCCCAAGCCUCACAAAAUUCUAAUGGUGGCUAAGAAGCCCAACAGUGCUCUUUCUAUUGCCUCGGCUCUCUCUAGUGGUCAUAUGUCUACUAGGUGUAGUAGUACAGAAGUCCAUGAAUUUAAUGGAACCUUUCGUGGAUCUAAUGCACAAUAUAAGGUAACAACAGACAAGAAAGCUCCAAAGUUGUUGAAUUAAACAAAGAGCAGUCCAUGUUUAUCAGACUUUGAUGGUCAGAAUUGCUCCUCUGCUUCAAACUGCAUAAUCAUAGAAAACUCAGAUAUAGGCUCGGGGAGUUGUGGACCUGCAAUUGAAAAGAGUACAGGGGACCUAGUUAUGGGAAGAAAAUAUUCAUGUACAUCUAUGACAAUGUCUCUCAGAGAUACAGAUAUGUCUUCACACAAUGUCAAUCGUAUAGAGUCCAGCAUUUAUCUAAAUCCUGAUGUUGUAUAUGAAACUAGUGAGGAUUAUGCAGCUAUGCAGCCCAAUAUCAGUGUAGAUGGCUCCCUUCUUUUCGAUUUUUCAAGUCAAUAUGUGCCUGACUGUUUUGAUCUUCAAUUUAUGCCGAGCAGUGAAGAAAUACUGACCAACAUGAAGGAUGAAAAUGAGAAGCUUUCGAACAGAGAAUACAUGCUUAAGCAGUAAGAUGAAUUUAUCUCAAGAUGCAAUAACAAUGAUGCUGUCAAGGCAAUGGAAAUUCAUCGAAAAACAGAGAAUGCCUCAGUUUUCGAGUCUGAGAAGCUUGGUGUUGCUAUUUCUUGGGAGACAUUUCAGUGAUAAAGUAGAGCAUGCACCGAUUAAGAAAAGGAGCUUUAUAUUUCAGUCUUCAUUACCACCCCCAUGAACUCCUUCUCCUCCCUAUGAGGAUUCAGAACAGCUUGUAGAUAGUCAACAUUCUUCCGAGACGACAAAUGAAGAGAUUGGCGAUGGUAAAGACUUCUCUGGUAUUGAGAUGUUCGCAGCAGCUGCUUGCAAUAACAGCAUAGGUGAUGAUGUGACGGAAUCAACUACAGAGGAUGGUCCAGUUAUGACAUAUAAAGGAAACAACUCAUCUAUUUCUGCAAUGCCUAUAAAAGAAACUAUGCUGUUGUCUGUGUUGCUAUUACGGUUGAUAACCAGGAUGGUACUAAAGGGGAUAUUUGUAUUGAUAAAAGCAAAACUGCUGGUCUGAUUAAUAAUGAGGAGAAACAAGAAACAGAAACCAAACCAGAAGUUGAUCCUAAAGCCACGAGGAAUGAGCCUAUUACAAAGAUAGUUGCUGAUGGAGUACAAUCUGUGUAUAAUGGGAAAGAAGCUAUUGGCAAUGAAGAUCAGGUAGUGGAAAAUGGUGUUGAAUCUACCAUAAGGAAUCCAACACUUGAGUCGGAAUAGUCAGAAAACAAUCUUACACAUGUUAAUGCGCAGGGCGCUGAAUCGGGAAAUGUGGUCUCCUUUAUCAGUUCCUCUGCUUCCAUAAUCAGGAAAAAUAGUACUAAAAAUUCAGAAAAGAACCCUCCAUUUGAAGGACAUGCAAGGCCGAAGUGUUGAAUUAAUUCUAUGGAGAAAUUUCUAUAAUGCGGAAGGACAAAGGCUGCAAAAUAUGUGGGUAUUUCCUGUUCUGGUUGUGAAAUCUGCUAGAAUCAAUGCUUUCAAUGGGAAAGCAGUGGGGACUAUUUCUACCAGCUAGCUAUUCGAAGAUCCAAAAUAUGUUAGGCUUCUUGCAGCUCUCACUCUUGGUCACCUCCCUCAAUAUGAAGGAUUCGCUAGAGCUAGUGGUUUUGUAUCAGCAUGUCGUGCACUGAUAAGCCUGCUUGAAGACCAACCAACAAAAGAAACGAAAUCCAUUACCUAUCAGAAAGACCUGUCUCAAAUCCGUCCAACAGAAGCUGAAUCGGUUGAAACUCGAAUCAUCAUACUUUUCUCCUCUGUUGUGGCUCUCAAGAGGUCUUUAUUUGACACUGGAAGCAAUCCCACUUCUGAAUUUGUAGUUAAGCCCUUUGCUGAGAGAGAAGUGAUUUCUUUUUGUUUGAUUGCACACCUUGAAAGUCAGUGUUUCAGCUGGAGCUAUUAACUCCUGAGCUGCCGAGUGUGAAGGAUGAAACCCACAGAUUUACAAAAAAACUGGGGGCACUUAUUUAACAGCUUGUGAGAGGAGUAAGCGAUCAUAAGAAUCUGAACUCCUCUUGGAGAUGUUUCUCAGGACCAGAAGCUACCCCACUUCCAGCUAUAUUUAUUGGUGAAAAUCUUGAGUCACCCAAUUGCCUACGGAUAGGCAUCCUUGCUUACAGGUAAUCCUGAACAUGGUGUGCAGCUGAAUUAAUAAUCCGUCAUCUGACAAGUCUUGGAGAUGUUCCCUGCUGCUGUUGUGUUCAGAAAGGUCAGAGUGCACAAAGAAGCUUGCUGAAAGUAUCUCAAACAUGCUACAACAAAACAAUCUGUAUACGAAUUUUGAUCAGCCUCGAAAAAUGCCAGAAGAGGGCAGAAUGCGUUUUUGGGAUUCAAUGCCAGUGUCACAGCCUCAAUCACACCUCCAGACUCCACCCACAUAAUUGCCACCUUGCCACAUAUCAUACUCCUAAUGUUUUUUUUCCUUUAUUUUGUGAUUAUAUACAUCUUAAAUAUGAAUUUCAAAAUAUUUUUCCAUCAAAAUAACUUUGGUUUUCUUCAAAAUUCCUUAGGAGCUUCUAGAUAUAAAAUCCAAAUUUUAACAUGCUAUUUGUUGCCACUUUCCUUCGGGCAUGCACUAUCUUCUUUGAUUUUUAACUAUUUUCGUGAUUUCCUUGAUUUUCAACAAAGCAUGAAUAAACUUCAUGAUUCCAAAUAAUGGAAUUCGUAGAAUCAAUUCAUGCAAAAUUAAUUAGGGCUUUGGUGGGGGCCCGACAUUCAUGAUAUUCACUUCAAUAUUGUUUGCUUGAUAUCUGAUUGAUUUUUUUUUAUUCUUCUCGAUGAAAUACUUGAAUUCGCUUUAUAUUUAUUGUUGAGAUAUCCUUGUUUCCCAUAGACGUGUGGAUGCUCGCUAAUCAGGUACGCUCUUACCACCCUACAACUCUAAAAUUCUAUGAAUGUGUACGUUAUCAUGAGCCAUGACUAUGUUUGACGCCAUAAUUGAUUGCCUUGAUGCUUGUUUGAUCAUCUUUGAUAAAAUACAUAUUAUGUGUCAUAUUUUCAAGCUAACCUCUCAUGUUUUAUGAUAGCGCUUGAGAAGCCGUUCAGGUACGCACUUCGACUCUCUCUUAUGGUUGGUUUUCCUGUUAGGCAUGCAAUAUUCAAAAUCACCUAGCCUAUUUAGAUACCUAUAACGUACCGAUUAAUUGCCACACUUCCCUUAACUUAGUCAGUAGAGACCUUUAUAGGGCUUAGAGGGGUGCUACCUUUUAAAGGUACCUUCCCAAUAGGUAACCUGAUCCCCGGACCUAGACUCGGGUUUCUCAAAGACAUGCUUUUUCCAAAACUAUGGAGUCACUUUUUAGGGUUUUUCUUUCUUGUUUUAUUUUCCCUUUAAAAUAAAAAUAAAAUAGGUGGCGACUCCAACUUUUUUAAAAUUAAUUUUUCACAAAUAAAAAAGCGAGUCUCGUCGAUUGAGUGGGGACGCACGUGAAAAAUGCGGGUCCACAAUAUCCUUCCAAAAUUUCAUGCGAAAUGGACUUCAUUUGGUAGGUCCACCAGCAUCCUAAAGCUGGCGACCCAUUUUUCCCACUCUUUGCCGACGACUCCCCUACAUCUCUCACUCGAUUUCCUUUCUUCAUUUUCUUUUCUUCUUCUUCUUUUAAACUCUCACGCCAAUUUCACUAUAUAUAUAUAUAUAUAUAUAUAUAUAUAUAUAUAUAUAUAUAUAUAUAUAUAUAUAUAUAUAUAUGUAUAUGUAUUAUUAAAACAAAUCCUAAAAUACCACGCACAUCCAUUUCUUAAUAAAUUAAAACCAUUAUUCUUAAAUUCACCUUCCGUAAUUAUGAAUUAUACCAAACUUAUGAUUUUCCAUUUCACGAAAAAUACCACCGUAUUCGUAAUUUAAUUUACUACAAGUCUACUCUUCAAAAAGUAUAAUUUGAUUAUAAUUACAUGAAACAUUGUUUUUUUUUACUUUAAAAUUCAUUUAAAACAUGAUAUAAUUAACUAUUAACAAAAUUCAAUUCCAUAAAAUAUUAAAAACAUAAAAUAAUUUUUUGGCAAUCAAGAAGUUGAAAUUUGUAAUAAUAACCCUUAACCCGUUAAUUUUACCUAUAUUUAUUUACCAAAAAAAUUUAAAUAAUAUUCUAAAAUUUAAUUCCAUAAAUUAAUUAGUCAUUCAAUUAAUAAAAAUCAAAUUCUCUACCCUUUGGUAUAACUUUUAUUUAAUUUACUUCAUUUUUCAAAUUAUUCAAUCGCAUCAAAAUUUCAAAAGUUAAAUUCACUAAAUUCACAUUUAAUUAAUUUAUCCUUUUGUAUUUUUUUUUUCUAAAUUCGCAUAUCAUAAUUUAAUCUUAAUUUAAUUUUGAUUCAAUUUUGUUUGAUGUUUUCUAAUUUUAUGAGGUUUAAUUUCAAUUAUAAAAAUUAAAUUCAAUUUCUUUUUAAUUAUCCAUUAUCACAAUUUGAUAUAAUAUAAUUUUUUAUCAAGUUUUUCUUACUAUGAUUUUUCUUAUAAUUAUCCAAUAAUAAUUAAAUUAAUUCUCGUAACAUAUUUAAUAUUCAAAUUUUAAAAACUUAAUCUCAAUUAUUUGAUGGUUAAUUUUUUUCUCAAAAUCUAAAUUUAAUUUAUGAAAUUCUCACUCCUUACAUCUGACGUGGCAAAAUUUUCAAACUAUUGACUUUUGACCAACUUUUCCUAAAUUUAUCCUAAUUAAAUACUAACACAUGGAUUUUCACCACUCUUUUUGACCUUUUGACCCACAAAUUUAUGAAAGACUUUAUGCUUGGAGAAUCUACAAAAACCUGGGUAUUACAAUUUCUCAAGUUGAUAAGUGUCGUGGUUAUGAAGCCACCACUUGAAUACUCAGUCGCCAUUGUAAUGGGCCUGGAUGCAAAUAGUACAUCAUGUUUCUUCAAAAGUUCUCUGCUAAUCUCUGGGAAAGUUGCAGGGACGAGAUGAAAUAUUUCCCAAUUGAAUACAUGCAAUUUCAGUGUUCAUUUCUUUCAUAAAGCCAAUGUAUCCACCAGAAAGUUGUCUUGUUGUUGAGUAAAUGAGGUAGAUAUUGCACUAGUGGCCAUGGAGCUAAUCCUGGAGGAAGUUGUAUCGGCUUGCAUUUGGUACUUGUUUUGGAUUUUAAUUUAGUGAAGAUAGGAAAGAUUGAUGUGAUGAAAAGCAGCAAGAGGAAGUUGAGAUGAGACAACACAUCAUCUGUGGUAGUAGAAGAAAACAAGGUUGAGUUACUACUACUACUCUCUGCAACAAAACCAUUUACACGUCUUUCAUAGCAAAACCAUGUUUGUCCUAUCUUGGGUCUGGAUGCACAUUUUUAAUAUUGGGGAAAUCAUGCAACCAAAUGUCACACACAAAGAGAGAGAAAAAAAUACGUUUUUUAGAACUUGAAAAGGUAAAGUGGGACAAAAAAUAUUAUCCAUUCUUGAACUCUAAAAGUAAAGUUAUAAAAAGCUUAGUUUUUUUUUUUUUUUUUGUUAUGUAUGAUUGCAUGAUUUCCCCCUUUUAAGAUUUUAUCUCAUAAAAUUUUUUUCUAGAAGGUUCAAAUAAGUUUGAUGAAUAUUGUUUAUUUUAGUAAUUUUAAUUUUAUGGGGUACUUAAAACAUUAGAAGUUCACAAAAAGCAACAUUUAUAAGCUACCUAUCUAAAAAGCUUGCCCUAAUCAUUGAAAUCCAAAAUAUAAAGUGACAACACACUUUUUAAAGAAAUUUUCAAAAUAGUUUUUAAAAAUACAUUUAUUUAUGAUAUUUUUAAAAUAAAAAUCUCAAAAAUAACUUGUUUAUAUAGUGUUUUAUUAGACAAAUACUUGAUCUUUAUAAGAUCACCCUAAUUAUAGAUUUAUGAACAUGUAACACAACAAUUAUCUAUAUGUAUACUUAGAAUUAUUAUAUUUUAAGUUUUUAACUACAUAGGACAUCAUGAGUUUUUCCACCAUUUAUCUUAUAAUAAGUUUAUUUAAAUAUGAUAAAGGAUAUAUUAUCUCAUUUCUUAUUAUAUCUGAUGCUAUAUAUAUAUAUAUAUAUAUAUAUAUAUAUAUGUAACAAAUCAAAUACAAUUUAAAGAUUUUAAUUAACCAUCUAUUAGCAACAAAGCAAUCUCUUAAUCUCAUUCAUAAUAUUAGGAUAAUUUAGUAUUUCCUUUUAUAAAACACUAGCAUAUAAAUCAACACAAAUCAUAUUAAGGGUGUAUUUGGUGUUGAUUUUAGGAAGCGUUUUUAGUAUUUCUAAUACUUGAAAGAUAAAAAUUAUCAAGUUUUAGAAAGAUCAAAAGCGCUUUUUAGAAUGACUAUCAAAUACAUGCUAAAUAUUACUUUUGGAUACUUAUAUUUUUAAAUAACUCUUAAAACUUUUAAGGCAAGUCUCUACUAUUUAUAUAAAUCCCCUAUUAUUUUUAAUUUUUAGAAACAAAAAAUAAAGAAUAGAAACUCCAUUUAAACAUCGCCUUAUUAUUUCCUAUUAUAAAAUAACACAAAUCAAAUGAAUUAUUUAAAAAUAAAUAAAUAUAAAAUCAAAGUUGAAGAGAAAAAACUCUUGUGCAUUAAAAAAACAUCAAAAUAAAUAAAUAAAUAAAACAUCAUCAAAUAAAUAUAAAAAUAAAUUAAUGUUAUGGAAAAAUGAGAAUAGGCAACAAGAAAAUAAGAACACAGAUUUACAUGAAAAAUGCUAGAUGGGAAAAACCAUGGAUAGAGGAGAAGAAAAUCCACUAUAUUAAAAAUUUGGUAUAAAAUGUGAGAGAAUCAAGCGAGUAUUGUAUAGGCAUAAUCACUAUGACCCUAAAUCCUAUACAUCAUCGCAUAUGUAUGGUGUAUGCGAUAAUAUUUGUGAUAAUAAAAAUAUUGUCGCAUAAAAUAACUAUGGGAUGUAAUAUUUGUAAUAAUAUUCUUUACAAAAAAAUAUUUUUUCUUUGCUUUAUUCACUUUGAUCACAAGUUGAAAUAAGACAAUAAAAAUAUUUUCUUAAUUUUUGAAAAUUAAUUGAGGACUUAGAGCUACUUGUUACUGAGUGAAUUUGCUGAAUGGUGAAGAAUGCGUGUAUAGUAGUUUUGCAAAUUUUCAAACUUGUAGACAUAUUUUGUGAAGUCUUUUUCUCUUUGUAAAGCCCCAUUUUCUAUGUGAAGUUAUUUUUUCAAUAUUCUCUUUGGAAGGAAUUUACCAUUAGUUAUAUAGGUAAGAUUAAGGAAUUAAAUUUGGAAUUCUUAAGAUUUGAUUGCUUAAUUCAAAGAAUUUGGUUCAAGGGAAAUUUGCCAACAAAAUAAUAUUUAUUUUUAAUUCUAUGAUGACUUUAAUUAUUUGAUAUAAUUUUAUUUUGAAAGACUUGAUGUGGGGGACUCAUCACUUAUUGAGUCCAAAUUUUGUUGCACCCAAAUUUUUAUGAGCUAAGAAACCAUAAUUUUAAAGACCAAUUCAGUGGUAAGUGAAUAUGCUAAAAUCUUCUAUGUACAAAUGACCUCACUUCAAGGUGCAACACAUACAUGUAUUAUUAUGUGUAUGGGAUGAGUCUUGAAGUUAGUCUUCAUUCUUCUUUGAUUUUUUUUUUCUUCAAAUAAAUAAAUAAAACAUCAUCAAAUAAAUGUAAAAAUAAAAUAUGUAUCGGUUAAUUGGAGAGGAGAGCUUUAAGGGCAUUUCUUCUAUGAAAUUCUAUGCUCCACGUACCAUAAAUUUGUACUCAACCAACAAAAUUACAGAAUGGGUCCAUGCACAAACAAAAAUAACCUAAAUGUAAAUAUCUAAAAAUGUAUAAAGUUCACAAUAGAUAUUCAAGCCCAAAUUUAAAUUUCAAAUUAGUCCAACAGAUUUCAUCAAUCAAAAUGGGUCCAAAUUAGCAAAUAUAACCCAACAAAAAUAUCUCAUAUGUCAUAGGCCCUAAUUUAAAAUUUUCAAAUUAAUAGCCAAACUAUAAGUUCAAUUAAUCAAACCCAAAACAUGAUAAAUUAAAAUAAAUCUCAUUAGGCCUAAACUUAAUAUCCCAUAAUUCAAUAUAUAAACCUAAAUCCACAAUCAAAAUCAACCCAAUUUAUGCUAAUCCUGAUUUACAAUCAAAAUCAAACAUAAUUUAAUAAGUAAAUAACUAAAUAAAUUAAGCAAACUCAAAACACCCAAACCACUACAACAUAAAUCAAACAAUAAUAAAUAUAAUGACAAUAAUAAUAAUAAUAAUAAUAAUAAUAAUAAUAAUAAUAAUAAUAACAAAAUAAAAUAAAAUAAAAAUAAAAAAUUUAACUCACAUCGGAGCCAGUUUGAAUGUCUUGGGAAAGAAAGAAAAUGAGAGAAAAGUGAGAGAUGAUUGACAACUGACAGUGGCUCACUGGCGGCGACUGGCUAGUGGUCCUACCGAUGGUAGUGAGGAUUGAUUGGUUUUUGGGAAAAAAAAAUAAAAUGAAGAAAAGAAAAUGAGGAGUAAUAAAAAAAAUGGAGAAAUUAGAGGAAUGUGGGAGAAGAAUGGAGAGAGAGAACGUAGAAAAUGAGUGAAAAGAAAUGAGGCUAGUUGGAGGAGAAAGUGGUAGUGUGUGAGCUAAAGUGAAGAAGAAUAGAAGAAGAAAAUGGAGAAGAAUGGGGAAAAAAAAUCCGCCUCCCUAAAUGAAGAGAGGUGGGUAGCCUAAAGAAGAAGAAAAAAAAUAAAAUAAAAUAAAAUGGGUAGAAAAUGAGAGGGGGUUGGUGGUCUUGUGAAUGAGGUGGUAUGCGUUAGAGAGAGAGAGUGGGUGGGGUUGUUGGGGAAGGUAUGAGAGAGAGAGGAGAGAGAAAAGAAAAAAAAGAAAGAAAAGAAAAAAGAUAAUAUAAAAUAAUAAUAAUAAUAAUAAUAAUAAAAUAAAAUAAUAUACAAAAUAAUAAAAACUAAUAAUUAAAUAGUGAGUGAGCAAAAAAUAUCAUAUGUAAUCGGGAUUUAAUUUUAAGAGUAAAGUUGGGUUAAAAAUUAAUGUAAAAUAAAAUUGAGACAAAUUUUGGGGUAUACAAAUAUGCUGAUUCGACUCAUGGUAGCUCAGCUUUAAAGGCGUAUCAACAAAAUUUAUACCUUGAAUACUAUUACUAAAGUAGCCAAGCUACUAUAGCAUAGUGGUUCUAGGAUCGUUCACUGGGAAGGGUUUUCGCAAACACUAGUGAUAUUCAAAUUAGGAAAAUUGGUGAUUUUUUUUAUGGAUGUUAGCUUUAAAAGAAGAUGUAAAUGUUUUAGAAAGAUUUAAACUAAUCUAAGCUAACAUUAAAGACUAAAAUGAAAGGGUGUAAAAACAAGUUUCUCAAAGAUAGGAUAGCUAUGCUCUGGCUCUUAUGCAAAUUGGAAAUCUCAGGAUAGGCUCCUCGCGUUGGGGUUGCAACUAUGGUGAUGCUUGCUUCCCGAACCGGUAUGGAUUUAGCAAAUCAAGUUUUAAUCCUUUAAAAUGACAAAACAGAUGGUAGUGAAUUUCAUCAAUGGUUAUUCACCUUAGACUUCCUUUGAAUGGCUCGUAAGAGAUAACUAAUGGUCUAAAGCCAAAAGCUUACCAAAUAUUGGCAACUCAAAGUCAUUCCAAGUGAUAAACUCACCUUUCAAUGGCCAUUGAAAUUGGUUCUAACGGAUUAAUGAAAAACUUGGAAUUGAAAACCUCACCUUCCAAUAGCUCGUAGGAGAUAACUAAUGGAUAGAAAUCUAAAAGCUUAUCAAGUAUUGGCCGUUGGAAGUUGUUCAAAGGAAAUAAAAACCAAACUUUGCAUUAAUGAACCUUUAAUGAAAAACGUCUACCUUACCUUCCAGGUGCGAGAAAUUUCCAUGGGAUUGCAUCCAAGCCAUCACAUAACAUCCAUACUUUGAGAAACUAAAAGUUUUAGUCAAUCAUCCUCUAAGGAAAAGCCCUCAGAGGCUAUUUGGCUACUAAGAAAAUAGAAAUGGGAAAGAACAGGAGAAACGAGAGAGCUCUGUAUCUAUUCUAAGUGUAAAACGUAAUAUAUCUUCUAUAUGAUCCAAGAGGUGAUUUCCACCCCUUAUAUAGUCUUUACAAAAGCAAAAGCUUGUGAUUGGUUAGUUACAAGGAUAAGAAAGGAAAUUACAUCACAAAAUACAAAGGAAAAUAUCUAAAGUGGAGUCGGCAAAAGCAGAGGAAAAUUCGCAACACGCAUGGGUUAUGCGAAUUUUGAAGGUGUUAUGCGAAUUUCGCAUAACACCUUAUGUUAUGCGAAAUUUUCGCAUAACCUGGAGCAGUUGGCUUCCGAAGGCCAUAUCUUCCUCAUUUAAACUCCAAAUCAUGCACGGUUUGAAGCGUUGGAUGAGCUUUGAAAUGGUAUAUAGUAUGUAAAAAAUGGACUUCGGAAAGUGCUCCAAAAGUGCGAAAGAAGACUGCAGCUGCUGUCCUCUGUUUUCCUCUUCUCCAUUGUNNNNNNNNNNNNNNNNNNNNNNNNNNNNNNNNNNNNNNNNNNNNNNNNNNNNNNNNNNNNNNNNNNNNNNNNNNNNNNNNNNNNNNNNNNNNNNNNNNNNUUGUCUUAAUAUGACAUGAACUCUCCCAAAUAAAAAAUAAAAAUAAAAAUCUAAAACCCUACAAAAAUGGCCAAAACGAAAACUCCUAAGGUGCCUCUAAAGUUAUACUAUGGAUCUAAACUCCCUUAGAAAAGCCUCCAAAAAUGGCCCAAAAAUCGGUGUCAAAAUCGAGUAGCAAUCAGACCACUAAGGAGCACAUCAACAAAUGCAUACAAAGGGAAAAAAACCAUACGUGUACCAUACGAUGACAAAAGGCAUAAGGUAUCCAACAAUAUGACUGAUUCACGUGUUACGAGCUCAAAGAACUUUGUCAUGCACCAUGGAGGAAGGGAAACUCUAGAAUAAUGUGAUGAGGAAGUUAUUAGCACAAUGUAACAAAGUGAGGAAAAAAGUGAUGACUGCAAAGCUGUGAUGACUGCAAAGCUGUGAGGACAAGGUGCACAAUGCUAAUGAAUAUGAAAUGAAUAGCACUAGGCUAUAAUGCAAUGAAUAGCUCAAGGUUGUACCAUAAUGAACAAGUCAAGGAUGUGUAAAGAUGAGGAAUAACUCGAGGUUGUAAUGCAAUGAACAACUUAGGGUUGUGAAUGCAAUGAACAACUCAGCGCAAUGAAUGAAAUGAAUAGCUAAGGGCUGUGAAUGCAAUGAACAACUCGAGGUUGUGGAUGUAAUGAACAACUCAUGGUCAUGGAUGCAAUGAACAGCUCAGGGCUGUAGAUGAACAACUCAGGGUUGUGGAUGUCAUGAACAACUCAAGAAUAGGGGCACUGUACACCCAAAAUGGGAGAUCACGAUCUACGAUUCCAAGUCAAACCACUAAAGGGUGACCAAAAUGAGGGUGAUCAACUCACUAAAAAAGAUGAUCAAAAUGUCUUAAGGGAGAGGAGAUGCCCCAGAUGAAACUUAAAGGAAAUGAGUAGUGCUAAUGAAACUAAAAAAAGAAAAAAAUGUCACAACUGAAAUUGAAAAAAUAGCAAACUUAGAUUAAAGUGCAAUGAACAACUUUGGGAUGUGGAUGUGAUGAAUAGUACCGUGUUGUAAUGAAAUGAAUAACUCUAAGAUAUGGGCAUUGUACGCCUAAAGAGGGAGAUCGUGGUUUACGACUCCAAGUCAAACCACUAAAGGACGACUAAAAUAAGAUGAUCAACUUACUAUAAAUGAGAAUGCAACUAUCUCGAGAAAAAGGGUAUGCCCCAAAUGACACUCAACAGUAAAAGAAUGACACAAAAGAAACUAAUACAAGAGGAUGCCACAAAUGAAACUGAAAUGAUAACAGACUCAGUACUAAUGUGUAAUGAACAACUUUGGACUAUGGAUGCAAUGAAUAGCACUGGGUUGUAAUGAAAUGAACAACUCUAAGAUGUGGGCACUAUACGCCUAAGAAAUGAGAUCAUAGUUUACGACUCUAAGUCAAACCGCUAAAGGGCGACUAGAAUAGGAUAAUCAACUCACUAAAAAUGAGGAUGCAACUAUUUCGAGAAAGGGGGUAUGCCCUAAAUGACACUCAACAGUAUAAGAAUGACAUAAAUGAAACUAAAAUAAGAGGAUGCCACAAAUAAAACUAAAAUGAUAACAAACUCAAAACUAAUGUGCAAUGAAUAACUCUAGGUUGUGGAUGCAAUGAACAACACUGGGCUGUAAUGAAAUGAACAACUCUAAGAUGUGGGCACUAUACGCCUAAAGAGGGAAAUCACGGUCUACGACUCCAAGUCAAACCACUAAAGGGUGACUAGAAUAGGAUGAUCAACUCACUAAAAAUGAGAAUGCAACUAUCUCGAGAAAAGCGGGAUGCCCUAAAUGACACUCAAUAGUUAAAGGAUGACACAAAUGAAACUAAAACGAAAUGAUACUACAAAUGAAAUUGAAAUGAUAACAAACUGAUAACUAAAGUGCAAUGAACAACUCUAGGCCGUGGAUGCAAUGGACAGCUCAAGAAUAGGGGAACUGUUCGCCCAAAAUGGGAGAUCGUGGUCUGCGACUCUGAGUCAAACCACUAAAGGGUGGCUAAAAUCAAAAUGAUCAACUCACUAAAAAUGAGGAUCUGAACAUCUCAAGAAAGGGGUUAUGCCCCAAAUGAAACUGACAAUAGAGGGAUGCCCUAAAUAGACUGAAGAAAGGAGGAUGCCCUAAACAAACUAACAAAAAAUGGAUGCCUUAAACAAACUGACGGAAGUGAAAUGCCCUAAAUAAACUGACCAAAGAAGAAUGCACUAAACAAACUCCGAGAAAAAAAAAAAGAAGUAUGCGAUAUAGAAUCAAAGACACCUAAAGCAAAAACAAGAAACAAAGAAUGUGGUUUACAACUAGAAACACCCAAAAGAACCUUAAAGAAGUGACUGGGAUAAUGAACUUAAUGAAAAUGGGGUAUGCCACAGUAAAAGACUCGGAAGUAUCAGCAAAUGGGUCAAACGACCAUGAAAUCAAUAGGAGAUAUGAUGAACCCAAAAAGGGCAUAUGCCCUAACAAAAGAACACUAAAAGGGGGUAUGCCUCGAUAUGACGACUCACAAUAAUUAAGAAAUGGAUCGAGCAAUGAGAAAAUCUGCAAAAUAUCUUAUGAACUCAAAGAUGGGGGUAUGCCCCAGUGUAAAAUAGUGACCAACAUAAGACACAGAAUGUCACCAUACAAUACACUCUAGGAUAUGCUCAAUGACAAUGUAAUGAAAACAAUAGCCUCAAUCAACAAAUGUUCAAGCAAGACCAUGCAUCACAUAAACUAAAAUAAUAAGCUAAACAAAUGCUANNNNNNNNNNNNNNNNNNNNNNNNNNNNNNNNNNNNNNNNNNNNNNNNNNNNNNNNNNNNNNNNNNNNNNNNNNNNNNNNNNNNNNNNNNNNNNNNNNNNAUGUCCAACGAAGGAAACUGGGUAUCCAAGUCAAACCAAGUAUGUUGAGGAAACUGAACCCAUAGGACAAUAACUUUAUGAUCCAUUGAAAAUAGCAAUCAUGAAUAGAAGGUCGAGUCUCGAUGUCAAAAUCAACAAGGUGGCAUUGCCCCAGUAUGAAUACAUCUUCUCAAAAUGGGUAAACCCUCAGUGCAAGAUAAUCUCUAGAAAGUAUGUGUCUAGUAUAAACUAUCAUCUCACAAAAUCUAUCACUGAUGAGUGGGCUAUACCCCAGUGUAAGCAUUUCCAAAUCAAACAUCGAUGAGAGGAGUACAACCAAUGAUAAAUAAUAUGAUCAAAACAAAUCUCCACUCCUCAAAGUCAUCAUGGUAACGUGAAGAGAGUAUCUAACCUCAUUUAAAGAAAGAUCAUGUCCCAAUGUGAAAAAUAUCAAGCAAAGUGGUAUGUCUCAACAAAAAUGCACUCUAACAUGAUCAUGCUUAGAUGUAAGCUGGUAUCUUUAAGAUCAAUCACCAAUGAAAGGGUUAUGCCCCAGUAUAGGGCAAUCUCUGAAAUGACUAAAAUCCGCUACAAGCUCUCACAAGUGUCUAUGUCAUGAACUAAUCAUCUCAAAAAAUAAAAUAAAUAAAUAAAUAAAUAAAUCUAUCAAUAAUGAUGAGAAGGUUAUGCUCCUAUAAUCACAUCAAGAAAAUCACCCGGUCAUAUCUUGUACUCCAAUGUGAAAGGAAAAUAUGAUCACCUCCAAAGAAUGGCUAUGCCCCAAAAUACAUCAUUGAUUGAGAAAUAUGCCCCUCCGUAAAGUACAUCAACUGAAAUAUGCCAAUCAUGCCUCAUGCUCCAAUGUGAAAAAUGACGUAUAAUAUUCUUUGAGGGAUGGUCAUGACUCAAAAUCCAUCAUCAGUUGAGAGAAGUAUGCCCUGACAUAAUGGUCAUCUAAAAAAUCAAUCCUCGACUAAGAAAUGUGUGCCUUGAUGUGAUGUAUCAAGCAAAAUGGCUGCAUACCCCAUAAAAACUCUCUAAGGUGGCUAUGCCCCAAUGUUGGAUCAUACCACAACUCCUGGUCUAUCACAAUCAAAAUGCUCUCCAACCAAUCCCAAGUAUCGCCCACAUGAGAGCUAUCAAACACAAUGUGUGAUGUCAUGGCCUCAAGGUGGUCUUAAGAUUCGGGACGUAACAUAGGCUAGGGUAAUAAGGUGAAGAAAUGAAGGAAAACUAGGCUUAAUAAUCCUAAUGAUAAAACCCCAUACCCUUAUGUAUAAAAUGCAAUAUGUGCAAAGAGUCUCAUAAACCAUGGAUCUAAGGACACCCAAUAUGAAUAUAUCAGUGAGGAAGAAAGAAUCUAAGAUGAAUAUAUCAAUGAUAAAAGAGAAGAAAUGAAGAAUAUCAAACUGUUGAUGGGAUGUAUAAGAAUGAUGUGUGGAAAAUAUUGAACAUGGAAUGUAAAUUGAUAUGAACAAAGAACAAUGUAGGCAAGGCAAAUGCGAUAUCAUGAUAAGAACAAAUAAAUCGAAGAAAAAUGAAUGACACUAAUCCACUCAAAUCAAGUCAUGAGAAUAGUCAAAUCACCCACGUAUGUAUGAUGGANNNNNNNNNNNNNNUGAAAGUUCACAUACGAACUUUCAUAAGCAACUAACUCAAUAAAGCAACCUCAAUGACCAAUAUAUACACUCAAUAAAGGAUGACACUGUAUACAUGUGUUUAUUACUUUUUCUUUUUCAUUUUUUUUUCAUUUUUUUCAUUUUUUUUUCUUUUACUCGCACAUACUCUGAAUAUCAAUAAAUGAACUUCUCUGAGAAUACAUAAUGAAAUGGAUAUACUCUCAAACAAUGAUGUAAGCGAACUCUCUCUGACAAGAUGACCCUCUAAAUUAAGGAUUUCCAAACUAACGUCCAUGAGAUACGAGUUGAGGGGGAUAUGACUAUCUUCCCUGCACCAAAAUGUGAAAGAUCAUCACUCAAGGCAUAAAAAAAUGUGAUGAAAAAAAUAAAGAUGAAACAAAAGAUAUAAACAAUGAAGUAUGAUGAAGAAUGAUGUUGGGACAACAAAAAAAUAGUGAAGAAGGUGAGCCAAUAAGUCCACAACUCAUGAAACUCUCGAAUAAAAUAUAUAUACACCAAAAGACCCUUAUCCCGGUGUAAAAUGUGAGCAAGGAUAUAAGAAAGAAAAGACUAUGAUGCUCAUGUGAGGUUCAAAGGGCUAGCAAUGGUCCAAAUAUCAAUAAAGGUAAUAGGGUGUGAGCUAACCAAAAUGAAGGUCACAUAUCCUACGACCAUGGUCUCAAACAUCAUGCUCUUAAGCUUUCAAAUGAUCGAUACUGAAAAUCGAUGUCCAUUUGAUAUAAACACGUCAACUCUUUGGAAUUGUGCGCCAAACCAUACUCCAAAUGCUCCAUAAUAAUCUCAAAGAUAAUCAUCUCAAAGCAAAGUAAAUGGCGAUCUCAUAAGGCACAACUACUCAUCACAAGCCAACUCUCAUCAUGCAAGAUCAAUCUCUAUUUUCAUGGAAAAAUAAGUGACAAUCUCAUCAGGAAAUCGACCAAUCCUCACAUCGUAAACCAACCAAAGAUCAUAAGUCAUUCAUUGCCAUGCAAGAUCAAUCCCAGGCUCAAACUCCUCAUACUCUACCUGGUUGGAUUAGAGAAGAAAUGGGCAAAGCUAGAAAAACUGAAGAUGGAAAGGUCAUAUAAUGGUGUCAAGGGUGAUAUUGUGCAAAACUCACAAUGGAUGGAUGUAGGUCAAAGCAAAGUCAAUGUGUGAGAGUGAGUAAGACACUACUCUGAUCAUAAGAAAAUGGGUCACAAUCUCAAACUCCCAAGGUCAACUCUCCGAUCUUAGGCUAAUAAGCUCAACAUCCUCCAUGAUAGGUCAACCCCCAAGAAUGUGCAAAUGAAUAGAUGCCUCAAGUCAAAAGUACAACACAUCAUAUGAUAUAUGGUUCUACGAUGACAAUCUAAAACUUAAAAUAUGUUAGAAACUCUAAGGUCAUAAAGGUGUCCACUAUGAGAUGACUACAAAUGUGACUAAGGAAUCUUUAUCAAUAAUCCAAAAAAUGAAUGAGGUGUGAAAAACAACACUAUCAUGAGAUCGUUACCCCAUCAAUAACAAAAUAUCUCUAAUUCACUUUCAAUCUAAGCUCUAUAAAGAAAAACAAUAAGGUUAUAAAGGCAAACCUCUCAAAAAUGGUGUGAAUGUGAAAACAUGCCUUCACCUUUCUAUAAUGAAAAUAUCAGGUUGAAAAUAGAAAUAGGCAAAUCGACCAAAGAAUGAAGUACAAAGUCCAUGAUAGGUGAAGAAUGUAAAAAGGUGAACAUGAUCAAUGAACAUAUCCCAAAACAUCAAGCAUAAAGUGACAACAAACCGAAAGAAUGUGUCGACUUAAGGAAAUAAGACUAUCUGAAGCCCCAGGGAGAAAAUGUGCUAGACUUAACGAGCGAUAAGAAGAAACUAAAACUAUAUAGCAAGGGGUGGUCCAACUGAUACUCAAACUUGCAGCAAUAUCUAAGCACUCUCGAUUGGAGACCAAAAGAUGGAGUAUUGGAUCCAUACUGUGACUAAAGCGGCCUCGAAGGCUCUCAGAUGCAGCCACGUGAGGAAAGGAAAUCCUAAUUAAAAAUAUCUAAAGGUUAACCUACAAGGUCAAGGCGGCUCUAAAAAGAAAAAUUGAGUGGACUUUAAAGGAUCCUUAGCAAAAGCGAUCAUACCCUCCGAUGGUAUGCAACCUCCUACACGUCUUGAAAGAUACGGGAUUGAUUCCAUGCAAGGUGGUCAUCACCUCCACACAUGCACUAUCUCAUAUCUUAGAGGGUUUCCUAAUGAUGAAGACUCUUACAUCUCUCAACACUUAGUGGUAAUCUAAGGUGCACAGUGAACGGUGUGGGUUCAUCCGAAAAUCCUAUCAAACUAAGCAAAGAGAAAACACACUGGUCACACAAAUAUCCUGAAAUCUAGCUCUAACCUAUACAAGUCUUCAAAGAUUGGACUCCAAUUAGCAUUAAUGUUUCGACCUUCUCCAGAAUGCUCCCAAACAUAGAUAUAGUCCACCAUUAAACCCUACUCCGAAUCACUAGCUCGGUCGAAGAGCAAACAAAGUAACAAGUCUCAUAUCAAAUACGAGAUCAAGGGGAACACGGUCACCCGAGACUAGGGAAUUGGAGAUAAGGGGAUAGAUGUGUGUCCCACAUAGACAAGCAGCAUGCAUCACACAGAAGAAGAAUAGUUAUGCAAUAGACAACCAAGCAAAUAAUAGGUAUAUCAUUCAUAUAUACACACAAGCUAAACAAGAAAUAGGUAUAUAACAAGAAUAAACAAUAUGUUCAGAUAAACAAGAUAAUAUACAAUAAAGAGAAUCAAUCAUGCCAAUAUGAAUGAGAUAUAUAAAAAUGAGAAUAUACAUGUCAAGGAGAGCAAGAUAAUCAUACAACAAGAAGAGUCUUAUGUUAAAGCAAGCAAGAGAAUCAAUUGAUGUAGUCAACAUGUCAAUAUCGCAAAUGAACAUAAUAGCCAAAUAUGCAUCAUAAAGAAAAAAGGGUAAUCAUGCAGCACACAGUCAUACAAAAAAAAUACAGACAAACAUAAGCAAAUAAAUGUAAACACACAUGAUAACAAAAAUCAAUGUAUAGUAAGGCACAUGUAAUAUAUACAUAAAAUAAUCAUCAAGUCAACACUCAUAUACCUUAAAACAUGAAAAUAUACAAUAAAGACACAACGAGAGGGUGUUCACUGAUCGAUUAAUCAAACGCUACAUUUCCCUUAACUCGAGUUCAAGUUUGAUCCUUUAAAUAUACCUAGUGGAGUCGCUAUUUUGUGGACCCACAUUUUUCACAUGCGUCCUUACACAACAACGAGACUAAUUUUUUUUAUUUGGUGAAAAUUUGAUUUUUAGAAAAAAGACUUUGAGUCGUCACUUAUUUUUAUUUUUUUUAAGGGAAAACAAAAUAAGAAAGAAAACCUUGUGUGACUCCUUAUUUGAGAAAUACAUGUAUGCAAAAACCAAAUCUGGAUUCGAGGGUCAAGUUACCUAUUGGGAAUGUACGAUGGUGAGCUGUAGCACCUCUCUAAGCUCAUAUACGUACGGUCUCUACUAAACGAAUUAAGAGAAUUGUGGUAAUUAAUUAAUUAGUCAUGGAUAUCAAGAAAAAGAAUUUCACAAAUGAGUACGUACAAAUCAUAAUAAAAAAAAAUCAAAUUAUGAGAAUAGACAAAAUAAAUAACAAAAGAAUUGUGCAAAGUGAUUUAUUAAACUAAAUAAAAAAGAAGAUAUUAAAAAAAUUAAUUUUCAAGAAAUUUCAAAGGAUUUUAUUAAAAUGAUUUUGAAUUCAUGAUUUUAAUUUAUUUAUUUACAAAAAAAAAUGUCAAUUUAUUUUCUUCAAGUAAUUUGAUUCAAUUUCAUUUGUAUUCAAUUUUUUUUUAAAAAAAAAAAGUUAUUUACACUCAUGGUUGUUAAAAGAAUUAUUAACAAAAUUUCAAGUUGACAAUAAAAAUGAUUUUUACUUGCUUUUACUUGAAAACAAUGAAUUUUUACAAUUUUAUUAACAAAAGCAUUUCAAUUUAAGAAAAGUGACUUAUACAAAUUAUUAAAAAAAUAUAACUUUAUUUGCAAAAGGAUUUUUAAUUAAAAAGAAAAAAUUUAAAUCAUCUAUUUCUAAAAAUGACUUUUAAUCCCAUAUUAAUUAAGGAAAAAAUGAGUUAUUUAAAAAAACAUUUUUUGGACAAUUUGAAUAAAAAUUAAUUUUUGGGACAACUUUAUUUACAAAACAAUUUUUAGACAAUUAUUAUUAAAAACAAAUUUUCAAAUUCUAUUAACAAUAAUUUUUUGGAUUUUUCCAAACACAUUUUUAUGAAUUUUUAUUAAUAAAAUUUUUUUUUAUUAAGAAGAAUAUUGUUUGAGCUAUUAUUUUAUUAAAACAUGUUUAUUGAAUUAUUCUUCUUAUUCAAACAAAAUUUUUAAUUUGUUCGAUAUCCAAUUCUGUACACAACAAGUAAAUAUAUGCAAACAAAUAUUUAUAGAAACUAAUAAAAAUAACUGUACACAACAAGUAAAUAUAUACAAACAAAUAUUUAUAGAAACCAAUAAAAAUAAAACCAAAUAGAAGUGAGAAAUAAAACAUGUACUUAAACAAGCUUACAACAAGCUCAAUGUCUUCCUAUGACUUUCCGAGUCUCACUUUCUUUCAUUAAAUUUUAUGCUCCACGUACCAUAAAUCCGUACUCAACAAAAAAAAUUGUAGAAUUGGCCCAUGCAAAAACAAAAAUAACACAAAUGUAAAUAUCUAAAAAUGUAUAAAGUUCACAAUAGAUAUUCAAGGCCAAAUUCAAAUUUCAAAUUAGUCCAACAAAUUUCGUCAAUCAAAAUGGGUCCAAAUUAGCAAAUAUAACCCAACAAAAAUAUCUCACAUGUCAUAGGCUUUAAUAUAAAAUUUUCAAAUUAAUAACCAAAAUAUAAGUUCAAUUAAUCAAACCCAAAACAUGAUACAUUAAAGUAAAUCUCAUUAGGCCUAAACUUAAUAUCUCAUAAUUCAAGCCUAAUUUAAUAUAUAAACCUAAAUCCACAAUCAAAAUCAACUCACUUUAUGCUAAUCCCAAUUUACAAUCAAAAUCAAACAUAAUUUAAUAAGUAAAUAACUAAAUAAAUUAAGCAAACUCAAAACUCUCAAACCACUAUUGCAUAAAUCAAACAAUAAUAAAUAUAAUAAAAAUAAAAUAAAAUAAAAUAAAAAUAAAAAAUUUAACUCACGUUGGAGCCAGUUUGAGUGUCGUGGGAAAGAAAGACAAUGAGAGAAAAGUGGGAGAUGAUUGUUAGCUGGUAGUGGUUCGCCCGCGGCGACUGGUCGAUAGUCCUACCAACGGUAGUGAGGAUUGAUGAGUUUUGGGGAAAGGAAAAAAAAGAGGAGUAGUAAAAAAAAAAUGAAGAAAUGAGAGGAAGGUGGGAUAAGAGGGGAGAAAGAGAAUUAAGAAAAUAGGGGAAAAGAAAUGAGGCUGGCUGGAGGAGAAAAUGGCAGUGUGUGUGAGCUAAAGUGAAGAAGAAUGAAAGAAGAAGAAAGAGAAAAAUGGGGAAGAAGGAGAAAAAAAUUCGAGCCCCCUAAAUGAAGAAAGGUGAGUAGCCUAAAGAAGAAGAAAAAAUAAAAUAAAAUAAGAAAAAAUGAGGAGAAAAUGAGAGGGCCAAUAGUCUUGGGAAUGGGGUGGUAUGGGUGAGAGAGAGUGGACGGGGUUGUUGGGGAAGGUAUGGGAGAGAGAGGAGUGAUAAAAGAAAGAGAAAAAAAACAUAAUAAUAAUAAUAAUAAUCAUAAAUAAUAUAUAAAAUAAUAAAAAUUAAUAUUUAAAUGAUGAGUGGGUCCAAAAUGUUAUAUGUAAUUGGGAUUUAAUUUUAAGAGUAAAAUUGGACUAAAAAUUAAUGUAAAAAUAAAAUUGGAACAAAUUUUAGAAUCUACAAAUACAUUCUUUAAUCUUUCCACAACAUCAAUCUGAUCUAAAUGAAAUGCAAUAAAUUCUAAAAAUGAUACAAUCUUUAAUCAAUCCACAACAUCAACCCGAUCAAAACUCAAUGCAAUAUUGCUUAAUGGAGAGAAUCGUAAACUCCUUUUAUGAGAGGAAAACAAAACCCUUAACAGACCUUUAUGAGAGGAAAAUAGGAAAACAUAGAACUAAAAACCCUUAACGUAUUCACGAGAAUAAAAAAUUCUUAACACCUUAAUAAGAGGAAAACAAAGAAUUUGAACAAUCCUUAAUCCAUCAAAAGCUCUUAAUAUGAACGAGGGGAAAACAUAACCUUUAUUUUUCAGAUAGUUGAAUAAAGAAUCUAAAGAGAUAGAAUUUUUAGUUAUUAAGGAUUUUUUUAUAGAUGUCUAUUGAAAGUUUAAGAACUUUUAUGGAUAAGUGUUAAUUAAGAGACUGAAAGGGUACUUAGGAUUUUCAACUAAAAAAGUUAUAACAAUAUGAAUCGUAAGAACUUAAAAACAUCACCCAUCCAUAAGAGGAAUAUGGAAUGAGAGGUUAUUUUUUUACUUAUACAACAAUAAACUUUUUUGGAAGAGGUUUUUCUAAGUACAAAAAGUUAUGAAUAAAAAACCAUUGUUACGAUGAGUUAACUAAAAUAGAAUUAAUUUAGAAAAUAUCAAUAAAGUUGCAUGAAUUAUUAUCAUGAGUUAACUUAAUAAGAAUAAAUAGUAAUGAAGUUAAUGAAGUGAAUUUGGAUUGGCAGAUAUAUUUGAUGAUAAGAUUUUAUAAUAAUAAUAAAUUAUUAUGGCAGGAAAAAUAGGACAAAAUUGACCUUAUGAUAAGAUUUUUUUUAAUAAUAAAAACAUUAUUAUGGUAUGAAAAAAAGGGACAAAAUUGGCCUUUCCUUAAUUGUAACGGUUAAAUGGAAAUAAUGGGACAUGCGGUGGUUACAAGCCACCCCAAAAGGUAGGAAGAAUCUCCAACCCCCAUUCUCGGCUCCCUUAUCUUUUCCCUUACAACCAAAAAUCAACAACUAUCUUAGAAUGUCCUUCAGUCCACCAAAAUUCAACAACAACAAUUAUACAUUACAAUAAUGAAAACAAAAUUGAUUGAUCACCAGCUAACAUUAGGAGAUUAUAAGAUAAGGAUGUAAUUGCAAUUAUUGAAAUCACUUAAAGAGUAAAAAUUAGGAACAUGCUCACAAUAAAUAAAAUCACCUUAGAAUUAAAAAUUAGGGACAUGAUUAUGAUGACUAAAAUCACUCGAGAACUAAAAUGUUUUAGAGAUACAAUAAUUGAAAUCAACUGAAAAAUAAAUUCGGGAUGUGGUCGCAAUUAAUGUAUAUAUAAACAACCAAAUGUUGAAAGGAAAAACUAAUGAAAUUAAUAUGAUUUUCUUUCUAUGGUUAGAUUUCUCUUGACACCAAACAAAUGUAAGGAAGUUUAUAAAGGAAAAUUAGGUUUUGAUUCACUAAAUUAAAAUAAUAUAGAAAAAAGAUCUUCAAAUUUUAUAUAUCAGUUUUAUUUUUAUUUAUCUAAAAAAAAUUUAAAAUACAUAUAUUUUUUCAUAACUCAAAUAGUCAUUCCUCAAAUGCUAGUUUUACUUGUUAUGUUAAUAACACUAGUUAAUAAUUUUUUUAUUGUGAGAAUGAUUUAAGAUUAAUAAAAUAAGAAAUUUUUAAAACUAAAAAAGCAUUUAAAACUUUAAAAUUAAAAAUAUAAAAAUAAAACAAUAAUUUUUCAUUUAGUAAAACACGCCAGUAGAAAAUAUAGAUAUAGAGAAAGAGUUGGAAAUAAAAUAAGAGUUAAUAUUUUAUUUUUAAAAUUUUAUGUUUUUUAUUUUAAUUGUAUUUAAUUUUUAUGUAUUUUAGUUGUAAUUAUAUUUUUAAUUUUUAAAUUUUUUUUUAUUUUAUUGUUGAUGUAAACUAAUAAAUUUUUUGUUUAAUUAUAUAUAUAUAUAUUUUUAAAUUAGUGAGUAAAAACUCACUUUUUCUAAUUUAUAAUGUAUUUAUGGGAUUUUAUAAUAUAAGCAAUUUUUUUUUUUUGAGAAAGAGGAAAAAUCAACUUUUCAAUUUCCCUUAAUAAUUAUUAUUAUUAUCCAAUUUGGCUGAUUAUGAGAUUAGUUGGUAUCAUUACUAUAUCCAUUUGUUCUUAACCCUUCAUUAGAAUAGUAUUAGGAGUUGAACGUCAAUUGGAAUAUAGGCUUAUGGAAACAAAUCUAUCCAAGGAGGAAAAUGUCACGAUAUUUCGGCGAUAUAUCGCCGAAAUAUCGUGUAUCGAAGGGUUUAUAUUUUUUCGGUCCGGCGAUAUUUCGGUAUUUAUUGCGAGAAAUCGCCGAUUUCUCGCGAUAUAUCGGUGAUUUUUCAUCAUUGAUAUAUCGCGUGGUCAACGCGGGUCAACGAAAGUCAAACCCGCUACAGUGCCCGUCAACGGGUACACCCGCUUACCAUCUGGGCUAAAUUGCCCUUUGAUAUAUAAUAUGCAACAACUAUAUAUAUACUUAAAUUCAUUAUAUAAAGAAAAUAUAAGAAUAUUUUAAAGAGCAAAUUAAUUAUAAUUAUUUUAUAAUUAAAUGCAAUGGUGGUGUUUGUUUUUUUACUUAAUUCUAAAUAGAACCUUAAUACUUAAUAGUAUUAAAUAUUAGGUUGUUUGUUUUUGUAAUAUUUUAUUUCUAUUAAGUAUUAAAAAGUAAAAAAAACCAUUGUGUUAUUUUUUCUAUUUCGAAAAAGCUAUAUAUUUUGGCUUUUUCUAUUUAGUAAAAAGUUUAUAAUAAGUCAUGAAAAAGUAAAAAAACAAACAACCUAAAUUCUAAAACUAAAUGGUUUUCAGCAAAAAGCUAAAAAAACGAACACCACUAAAGUCUUUUAAUUAAUUACCAAAAAUAUAAAAAUUAUAUAAUUUUCUUCAUAAUGUUUUUAAUAUCAUUAAUAAUUAAUUAACUAUUAAAAAAUUAUAUAUAUAUAUAUAUCAUUAUUUAUUUUAUAUUGUUUAAUACAAUUGAAUUAAAUGGAUCAUAUUUUAAUACUAAUAUAUAUUUUAAAAUUAGACAUAUUAUAAUCAAAUAUCAUAAUAUUAUGUGUAAUUUAAUAAUAAAUGUACACUUAUAAAAUUCAUAUUUUUAUCGAUGCAUACGAUAUUAUUAUCAAAUAUGAUAAAUCAUGUUAUACAUAUAUCAAAAUUUUCAAUAAAAUAACUUUAAAAUGUCUAUUAUACUUUUAAUUAUAUUAUUAUGAGGUUUUCCUUACAUUUUCAUAAGUUUUUAACAAUUUCAUAAGUUUUCCGAUAUAUUCGAUAUAUCCGUAAAAUCAAAAUACCGAUAUAUCCGUGAUUACCGAUAUUUUUAUCCUUGAAUCUAUCCGAUUAGUAGGUUCUUAUUAUUUUCAAUAUAGACCCCGUAAAAUAAAUAGGGCAGCCCGUCCCUUUUGUCUGGAGGCAUCCUCCCAACUUAUUAAAGGUGAUAUGAGAUAAGACAGUGACAAAAUUGUCAGUUACUUCCCGACACCUGGCUCUCCACAAGCAAACCCAGUGAUCCAGAAAUUAAUUGGUACCUGGACACGUGACUACCAAACGAUUCGCUCACCCACCAUACCCAUGGCCUCAUGCCCCAUAUAUUUCCACAAACCUAGCUCAAUUUUCAUAGCCACCUUCACUGUCCUACACUCACUAAGCCAUGGCCAUAGAUACAAGCCUCUUGCUUGAGCUUGCUGCAGCAACUCUACUCUUCUUCAUCACCCGCUUCUUCAUUCGUUCUCUCCUUCUCAAAUCUUCCCGGAAGCUCCCUCCUGGCCCCAAAGGGUGGCCGCUCGUCGGCGCUCUUCCUCUUCUAGGUAACAUGCCUCAUGUUGCAUUAGCAAAGAUGGCCAAAAGAUACGGGCCUGUCAUGUUCUUGAAAAUGGGCACUAACAGCAUGGUGGUGGCCUCAACUCCCGGGGCGGCUCGGGCUUUCCUUAAAACGCUAGACAUUAAUUUCUCUAACCGCCCGCCUAAUGCCGGUGCGACACUCUUGGCCUAUCAUGCCCAAGACAUGGUUUUUGCGGAUUAUNNNNNNNNNNNNNNNNNNNNNNNNNNNNNNNNNNNNNNNNNNNNNNNNNNNNNNNNNNNNNNNNNNNNNNNNNNNNNNNNNNNNNNNNNNNNNNNNNNNNACCACAUAACCACCAUUUAGAUAUCUAUCCUUUUAUUUUUGGCAUGUGAACUUAUAGUGGGUGGCUGACCUUGAAUCCAAUAGUUAUCAUGAUAUAUAUGGCUGAAAUUAAAUCCAAUAGAAUCCAAUAUGUUUUCUUAUAUCUCAAGUUUCAAUCAAAAAAAUAUUUAUGAUUUGUUUUUAUUAAUUUGUGUCUUGUUUUCAAUUUAAUUAAUGAAAAUUUAUUUGAUCAAAAAGUUCAUUACAAACCAAUUUUAAAAAUCUAAUCCUUUAUUAUAUUUUGAUAUCGUUUUGAUAAAAAUGUCUUUAUUAUUAUUAUUAUUAUUUUUUUAUAAAAAUAAAUUUUUUUAUAAAUAUAUUGUAAAUAUUUAAAAUAAUUAAAAAUAUUUAGAUCAAAAAUCGAUUAUUUUUCAAACAAAAAUAUGAAAGUGAUAAAUUUGUAAAUAUGGGGAAUAUUUAAUCCUUUUAAUCGAUUAUUUCAUUAAUGAAGUGGGUAUAAUGAUGAACGCAGACUUGGUUUUGCUAGGGCAUGCAGAGGUUUUGCAAGAGAGAGAGAUCAUUUCUCGACUCUGAGAAAUCAAUCUCCUUUUGGCCCGGUGGCGGACUCCAAGUAAAGCCUUGAAGGAGCCUUGCUAACAUCCCUGCACACCCACGCCUUCCAGUACUGAAGGAAAUGAAGCGAAGGUUUGGCUCGUUCAACUCCACUGCUUGAACUGUACUAGCAUUCAGAUGCCGCUCUGGAUUGAAAUUUAGCGGUUCUUCCCAGAUUCUAGGGUUCCGGCCCAGCCCCAGACGACUCAGAAGGACAUGACUGACUUUGGGGAUAAAGCACCCAGCAACACUAGUCGGAUUCCUGAACUCGUCUAUCCUUUCCAACCACUCCAUCAAUUUCUUCACUGCUUUGCUCAAAAUCCCUGGUUGCUUGAUCAUUGCCUACUCAAUUGCAUUUGAUGGACUAUCGACGCCUGCAAGCAUCAACUCCUGCAAAUUAUGGAAGGAUCAUAAUCUGAUGAUUGAUCAAGUUAUUUGCUGGCUAGGAAAUGAUCAUCAUGCAAUGUAGAUCAAAAGGUAAGCACAACACUACUACAAAAAUAAUUUAUGGUGUCACUUUUAAAAUAAUGACACCAUAGGGUUUAUAAUUAAUAAAUGUGAUACAUCAUAUAAAAAUUCUUCAAUUGUGAUAGUUAGAUUAUGUUAGUUUUAUAUUUAUAGUGUCAUUUUUUGGGAAGUAACAUCAUAUAAAAUAAAAAUUUUUAAGUAUUAUAACUUAAUGAGCCCACUUGAGCCCACUUUUAUAAUUAAUAAUCAGGGAUAAUGUAUAAAAAGCCCAUUGUUUCCACAUGUCACCCAGAAUAAAAAAAAUCUUAGUAUACAAACCUUAUAUAUCUUCUUCUACCUUUUCUCUUACCCAUAAUCAACACACUCACAACCGACAUUUUCCACUUUGUGGACUCCCAGGUAAUCUAAAUUCUCUUAGAUCUAUCAUCUUUUUUCUUUUAUUAAUAUCAUUAUAUUGAUUGUUUCUGCAUCUUUGUAUUAUGGUUUUUGUGAACUGCGUUUUCUUGAGUUGUAGAGAAGAAAAACUUAGGUUUAAACUUCUAGUAUAGACGAAGAAACCUAUAGAUUAAUUGAUUUUUUAAUAUGAACCAAACACAUGACCGACUUCUUAAAAACAAGUGAAAAACAACAAAAAAUGAAUGAUUUUUAAUAUAUAUUUAUGUGAGAAUGACAGGUACAAAAUUUUAUUGAGAUAUUCUGCCACAUAAUCUUCAUCCCUUCCCUAAAAUGAGAGAGAGAGAAAAAAAAAAUAAUAAUUUUUUUUGUGUGUAUCUAAGUGGGAAUGAGAGAUAUAGAAUUUCGUUGAGAUGCAGUGCUGCCACAUGAUCUUUAUCCUCCAUUAAACCCAACAUAUUAAAUCCACUAACUCUCUCCCCAAAAACGAGUAAAAAAAAAAGGAAAAAAGUAUGAGUUAAAAAACAAAAACGGAAAAUAUGAUUUUUUUUUAAUGUGUUUCUAAGGAGAAUGAGAGACACAAAUUUUUGUUAAGAUGCAUUGCCACGUGUUCUUCAUCCUCUCCAUUAAGCCUAGUAUAUUAAACCUAAUAGCUCUCUCUUUUAAGCUUUCUAGUGAAGUGCCUACAGUAUCCAACUCAAAAUAAGACAACUUAAGCCCCAUUAGCCAACAAACAUGAGAAAAAAAUUAGUUUGUCAAACAUUGUCUAUUUGAAGGUCCUUGAUGGGUAUUGCUCAAAUUUUAGAAAUCUUGUCUCCUUAGAGGAAUUGAAGUUAUUUGGUUUAAGAUCCCAUGACUACCAUGCACUUAUGCAACAAUUGUUGCUAGUGGCAUUACAUUUUGUUUUGCCAAAGCAUGUGAGAUAUACUAUAUCAAGAUUGUGUAUCUUCUUCAAUCAAUUAUGUACAAAAGUGGCUGAUGUGCCAAAAUUGGAUGAGGUACACAAUGAGUUAGUGGUCACGCUGUGCUUACUUGAAAAGUAUUUUUCACCUUCAUUUUUUGAUAUUAUGCUUCAUCUAGCAGUGCAUUUGACAAGGGAGGUGUGACUAUGUGGUCCAGUUUACUUUAGGUGGAUCUACCCAUUUGAGAGGUAUAUGAAAGUUCUUAAAGAAUAUGUUCGCAAUCAUAAUCGGCCUGAAGAAUGCAUUACUAAGUGCUAUUUAGAAGAAAAAGCUAUCGAAUUUUGUACUGAAUAUUUAUUAGGGACUCAUGCAAUUGGAAUUCCAAAAGUAACAAUUAUGACAACAAAUUUGGUAGACCUAUAAUUGGUGGUCAUUCUACCAACAUUGAUCAUAAAUCGUGGUUACAAGCACAUCAUUAUCUGUUAGAGAAUACAACUAUUGUCCAACCAUACACUGAGUAAGAAAAACAUACCUUUAUCUUUUUAUAAUUUCAUAACAUAAUGAUGAAAUCCUAAGUUUGCAUUCCUUGUCUUUAACGUCAUAGGGAACACAUGAAUUGGUUGAGGUCUCAAUACCCUCGACAAUCUAAUAGACAAAUUUGAUUGCAAGAAGAACAUAUGAGUUGUUUUACAUAUUGGCUUAAAGAAAAGGUAAUCUCUUAGUUUUUAGAAAAUUUUUCAAUAUGUUGAAAACAUCACAAGUUUCCAAUAUGUUUUGAUUAUACACGGGUUGAAGAGGCUAUCCAUAAUGGGCAAGAUAUUCUCGACACGCUUAGGUGGUUAGCACAUGGCCCUACUCUCCAGGUAGUCAAAUAUCUUGGAUAUAUCGUUAAUGAGUGUCGUUACCAUACUAAGGAAUGCGAUAUGACAUGCAUCACCCAAAAUAGUGGUGUUAGCAUUUUAGCAAGGACUAUGCAAAUUACCAGUUCUAAGGAUAAGAACCCAGUUUGUGGUAAACUUUGCUUUUAUGAGGUCAUUAAUGAGAUAUGAGAUCUUGAUUACAACAUGUUCACAAUUCUAAUUUUCAAGUGUGAUUGGAUUGACAACAAGAAUGGUAUAAAAGUUGAUGAACUCGGGUUCACAUUAGUUGACUUCUCCAAAAUAGGUCACAAAUUGGAUCCAUUUAUUUUAGCAUCACAAGCCAAGCAAAUCUUCUAUGUUGAAGAUCAACUUGAUCCUAAAUGGUCAAUAGUUCUCUCAAUUCCUCCAAAAGAUUUCAAGAACAUAGAAGGACUAGAUGACUUCACCGAUAAUUGCAUGGUUCAUCACCCCUUUAUAAGUUCAAUGCCAGAAUUUGAAUCAUUUGAUGCUAUGGAUGAAUCAUAGGCAAUAUACAUGAGAGAAGAUUGUGAGGGCAUAUGGAUUGAAAAUAAUUAAAUAAUAUAUUGUACCCUUGAAUGAGAUAUAAUAAGGCAUUUCACUUAUUAGUUUUCAUGAGUUGCACAUUAGCUUAGCUUCUAUAUAUUGCUCAUGAUAUAUCUAUAUAUAUUAAUCAUCCUAAAUUUCUUUCAUGCAUCAUAAACAUAUGUUAUUCAAAGGUACCACUUCAAUCUUCAUUCAACUAUCUUUUUGUUGUCCAUGGAACUAGAUUUAUAUUAUUUUUUAUUAUCAUGUUUUGAUUUUAUGCUCACAUAACUUGAAACUCUCAUUCCUAAAUUUCUUUUUCAUUAAAACUAUAAAUUAGAAUUGAAACUAUGCAUAAUUUAUUUUAUUAUUAUCCUCACAAAUAAAUUCUUCAUUAUUGAUAAGAAAUCAAAAAACAAGACAAACUUUGAAAGAAAAUUUCAAAAUAUAUAUUUGUGAAUGACCAAUUUAAUUAUAGAAAAUAUAUGCAAGGCUAUACUAAUCUUGCUUUUGAGUCAUUUUACAGGUUUGUUGGUGAAGUACUAGUUUGCACAUUUACUUGAUAUCUUCCACACAAAUAUGGAUCUAGAAGAAGAGGAAAUGCAAAAAAUAAAGCAUAGAGGUAGUACAUUGAAACCAAAUAUUGCAAAAAAUCGAAGUAAAAGGAUAAAACUCAAGAUUGAAUACAAUAGCCUUGGUAGUCACAUUGAGGAAAAUUCAAUUGAACUAAGUAGUUAUCUUAGUACAAUAACUAGAACCCAUGUGCCAAUAAUUAUUGAGAGUUGGAGGAAAGUCCCUAAAGAGACUAAGGAGAAGUUAUGGGAUUUGAUCACAAUAAGUGUAUCUAUAGAUUUAAUAUAUAAUUAUUGUAUACAUUCAUUAACAUGAGCUAACAUGGGUUGCUAUUUUGUAGACAAGCUUUAAUGUGAAUAAAAAAUCCAAGAGGAAUUGUUUCAUACUAAUGGGCAUCAGGUUUCGAACCUUUAAGUACAAGUUGACAAAGAAAUAUAUAUUGUCUUUCAAGAAUGACCAGAAAAGCUGAAAAAGUCACCUCCUAUUUACCCAUUCAUACAAGAGGAUCAUUGGAGAUAGUUUGUUAAAGAUAGACUUUUUGAACAUUUUAAUGUUAAGCAUUAUUUUUAUUACAUCUUCAAUUUUCACAUUUACGUAGUUUUAUCAUGUACUAAUUUUGUGUCUAUAUUUUGUAGGAAUAUCACAAAGUUCAGAAAUCAAGAAGAGAUAAACACAUUUACAAUCAUUAUCUUCGAAGAAAAUGAUAUGCACGUUUUGAGCAGGAUAUAGUAAGUUAUCAAUAUCCAUAAAAAAAAAUGGAGUAUAUAUUUUGUUUAUAGGAAAAUGAUUUCAGUUUUUAAAUAUCAUUUAUUAACUUGAUCAUAUUGAACUAAUGAGUUUUAUUGUUAAAAAUUAUAUAGCUACAAGCAGAAGGGGCUAUUGGUAGGGUUGAUAGAAGUGUUUAUGAAAGAAAACAUGUGAGAAGAAAGGAAAGUUUAAUAAGAUUACAAAGCCAAUGAUUAACAUGAUAGUAAGUUAGCAUAUUUAUGCCUUUUAGAGCUUAUAGUGUUAGUAUGUUUGCCUAUAGUGUUAGUAUGUCUAUGUGAUUAUGGUUUGUGAUGAUAUCGUUAGGUGUUAAUAGGUAAGAGGCUUAAUGCUAUCAUUUUUAUGAGUAGUCAUGUUAUACUAGUGCAAAUAUAGUAGCCUAAUUUGAAAAUUAAUUUUGAAACAAUAUACAUUAAUUUAUCUAUUAUCAUUUUUAUUAAAACAAUUCAUUUUCUAGCUACCUUGAAUUGGUCCUCUUGAGUUGGUUGUCUUUGAUUGAUAUGUUAAUCAUCUUCAUCAAAUUAUUACUAAUAUAUGUUUUGUUGUAGGAUGAAUUACUAGAAAAGGCAAGGAGACUGGACUACCUCCACCUGGUCCAAAUGACAUAUUAUGUCAGGCAUUGGGUAAGCUUGAUCAUCUAGGACGUGUGGUAGGUCAAGACCGUUUGGUUAAGCCGAACUCAUACUUUCAUCAACCAUCUAAUGACAUGAAAAAAAAAAAUCAAAGAAGAAAUAUGGGAAAUGGUGUGAAAGGAGAUGCAAGAUGCUGGAACAAGACAAACUAUGUCUCCCCCCACACCCCAUUCUAAUAUGGGUAGUAAUAACAUGAGACAACAACUUGUUUUACAACUAGUUGUAGCAAAAAAACCAAUGUUUAAAAUGAUGGAAGAGCCCCAACCACCAAAACCACCAUUGAAAUGUAAGGUAUACAUUUACUUACUAAUAAUACAAGAUUAAUAUAAGUGAUAUAUAGCCUAUGUAAAUGAUAUUAUUUGUUGUAUUGAAGGUAAUUAAAUAUAAAUUAGCAGUGGAAUGAAAAUGAAAUGUUGUUGCAACCGGUACACUAAUAGAAGAAAAUUGAUCAAAUGGGUUGGUCGUAAUAAAUGUUGCACACAAGCUAGUUGCUAGACUCCCAUUUCCAAAUCCAUAUGAGAUUAUCAAUGUUGGGGAUGCUAUUGGCUUUAAGCUUGACUGGCCAACAAGCCUUGUCAUACUUGAAACUGAACAUCCUCAGGUAUGUCAUUUUAUACUUGUAGUAAAUUUGAUUGUAACUUGGUAUUUUAUUGUUUAGGAGUAUAUAUUACUAACAUUCCUUCCCUUUUCAUAGGUGUUGGAUAAAGGAAAGAAGUAGAUAGUGAAUGCACCAAGUAUUCGAAAAUCUAAGCCUCAAAAUCAUUCGGUCAUUAAAAAUUUUCAAAAAUUUAUGGAUGGUUGUCUUAGUAAUGAGAAGACAUACCUAAUACAGCUCCCCAUUUCACUAUUUGGUGUCGAAUUCCGAACAUAUAUAUCUAGAGAGGAUUGUGAAUACAUUAUUCCAUCUUUAGAGGUGUCAUCAAAAUGCAUCUCCUUCCAUUUAUGGUGUGCACCUUUUAUUUUCAUUUGUUUUUAUUUUUUUAAUAUGAGUUGCCCAUGUUGAACGAGAUUGGAUAUGACUAAUGAUAAUUUUCUUUUGGUGUUUUGAUAAUAUAAUAGGUACAUGCAUGAUCAACUACAUAUUGCCAAAAAGGAAUCACAAUUUAUAUUUGUUAAUCCUUUUACAAUAUCAUGAGCAGGCUUUAGUAAUCCUCAAACAGAGAAAAGAACACAAUUGUUGUCAAAACACUUAAUAGAGUGCCAAGAUGCCGGAUAUGUUUUCAUGUCCUACAACCUCAAGUAAGUGACGAAUAUUAUACUUUAAUUUGAGGUUUUAUGAUUGAUUUAUAUUUCUAAUUAGAUGCUACUUUUGUUUUUAAACGUUUUAGCUUUCAUUGGGGUUUUGGUAGUGAUUGAGCCAAGGAAAAUGAUAGUCCACUAUCUUAACCCUGUGCAUCACAAACCAUGUGAGGACUUAAAGGAUAUCGUAAACAUGUAAGUUCUUCCUAUUAUUUUUCAUAGUAUUAUUUAAAAAAAAAUUACAUUCACCUCAAACACAUUUUUUAUUAUUAUUUCUAUAUAUUAAAACAUAUAAAAUUUACCUAUCUUAAAAAUGUACCCAUUGAACUUAUUUACAUAGGGCUCUUCAAAUAUUUGCAAAGAAAAAAAAUUUUCUUUACACAUUUAGCUUAUGCAUUUGCACCAUUUAUAUAUAUGAGUACUAAUGUUAUUUUAUAACUGAUCGAUUAGUGUCCAAGACAAGAAAGAGGGUUCGAAUGUGGCUACUUUGUUAUGAGAUUCAUUAAAGAGACAAUUUUUUAUCCUACAAUUAUUGCUUCAAAGGUAUUACUUAUUUAAUGAAUUGUACAUAGUUUUAAGCUUCCAAAUGUUAUGCAUUUUAAUGUUAUUUUCUUAUUUGAUUUUAGUUUGGUGAUAAAAAAACAUAUUCUCAAGUAGAAUUCAAUGAAAUUAGAGGAGAAUGGACUACUUUUGUGCUACAACUAAUCAUGAAUCAUGUUGAUGCAUCAUGAUCACCAUGCAUGGUGAGUCCCUUAACUACUACAUGAAUUUUUCCAUAGAUAUUGUAUAGUAUUGCUUUUCUUUGAACAAUGUUUUUAUUUGAAAAAAAGAAAAAAAAAAAAAGUUCUUAGAUUUGUUCAUUUAUGAUAACAUCGAUCCAUAUUUAUUUUCUUCAAUGAAAUCUAUAAAACUCAUUAAACUAUGAAAUGCAGGUAUACACUCUUAGGAGGGUGGAAUAGAGAAUAAAAAGAACGAAGAAGGCAACAAGAUUUUGGGUUUUUAAAUGCAACUCGUAUGUCAUAUGUUGUAGGACAUAAACGUUACUUUAAUUGGUAGUGAGAAUUUUAGAUUUUUAGAUGCUACUUUUAUGUCAUUUUAUAGUUAGUCGGUUUUAUGCUUAUGAAAUGAAGGUAUACAUGAAUCUUGGGAUGCUUAACAUUUCUAAAUCAUGUUUUGGUAUUUAUUCACUCUUCUUUUUUAGUUUUGGUGGGUUUGAUAUGUUGGAUGUACUAUCUUUUUGUGAACAUUUGAUAGACAAAUAUUAUUAGAUGAUCAAUGUAUUACGAGUUAUUCCAUAAACAUUACCGAAAAAUGAGUUAAAUGUAAUAUGAUUGUUAUAUUUAUGGACAAAAUAUACACAGGUUAAUCCUAUUUGUUAAUUCAUAAGUAUUACAAAAAUCUACAACUAAAAGCAAUCAUAUCUUCCACGAUAAUUUACAAUGAUGUGACACCAUAACUCAAAGGUGAUGCAUUUAAUGUGACAUCAUAACUCAAAGAUCAUGCAUUUAAUGCGACAUCCUAUCAUCACUAGAAAUAUAUGAUGUCACUUCCGAAUGUGUCACCAUUUAUCUACUUUGGUGUCACUUACAAAUACGUCACCAAUUGGUACCCUCUAUGGUGUCAGUAGAGAAGGUGACACUAUGUUGUAGUGACACCCUAUGUUUAUGGUGACUCGUUAUAAAUGUCACCAUAUAUCUUUUUCCUUAUAGUGAAAAUUACUUAUCUUACUAUGCAUUGGGCUUUGAUAUUAGCCAGAGACAGUAGUGGCUCCUAAUUUUUAUCCUUAUUAAUUUUUAUCCUUAAUUGAAAUGAAAACGUCAAGCAGGUCCUCAACCUCUUUUUCGCCAUUCUUCCAUUGUUCUACUAUUUGGUCCACGAUUGGAUCAUGGUACUUGUUAAUGGUGUUCAUAGCCUCCCUUAUAGUCUUUUCAUGGCCAUCUAAAUUCAGUACUCUCAGCCAUGGGAAGUAAUCAGAUAAAGAGAAUACAUAUAGAUGAGCAAGUACAGUAAAGAAGGAUUCAACAUGUUGCUCCUCUUCAACUCCAGGGCCUCCAUCUUUCUUUCGUUGGCUAAAGUAUCUUGUGUUGAGGAUCAUCUUCCGGAUGAAAUUCCUGCUGUAUUGACGGAUUGUAUUUCUGUCACACCCCAAAUACUAGGCAACCCAGAACUUGACUCGUGACCCCAGGUCAAAGGUUUGACCUUAAGAGUUACUCUUAUCCAUGUUGGCAAUCAAUUAAAACACCUUAAAUUUUUUUCUUCAAUAAAGCGUUUAAUCCUAAAUAAAUUUAUUAAGCUAAGAUUUACUAUAACAUAUUAUUUUAUUUUUCCAAAACCAACCAUCACAUUAUCUUCUGUUCACAAGUAUUAAAAAAAAAAAAAAUUCCACCAAUCAUCUUCCUACCCAAAAACUCAAAUAUUUACAAUAAUUUCUAAGUCAAAAAGAAUAUUUCCAAAAAUGUUUUACAAACUAAUAAAAUAUAAUUUAACUUAAAAAAGUCCAUAUAACUCAAAUUAGUAGAUGUCAAAAGGUAAUUAAAAAACAACAACAACCAUUAUUAUGGUUUUUUUGCUUUUUAGAACACUUCAUGAUCUUCUUAUAGUCCCUCAGAAACUAUAUCUGCAUCUAAAAAUUUUAGAAAAUAAAGGGAUGCACAUUUCCACGUUACUAUUUAGACCUAAAUGGGUUAGAAAUUCUAGGUCAAUAAAACACAACCAUAUGCCAAAAUAUAAUAUUACAUUUACAUUAUACACACUAAAAGAAACCUCAACCAUACAAAUUUAAAUCAAUCAAAAUUAUCAUUUUCCUUAUUUAAUCAUAUGUUUAGCAUAUCAAUAAUUUUAAAUUUACAAAAUAAAUAAGUCACUUUAGUCUUGAAUAAUAUAUUCAAACAUACACUUGAUAAAUAAUACAAAUCAUUCUUCCAAAUGCAACCAUAAUACAAAUGCUUACACACAAUCAAGCAAUGCAAUAUCGUUCUCGGGCUUUCACCGAAGGAUACGCGUUUAUACCCAAAUACACUCCCCAUUCGGAGUCUUCCUAGGGUAAACUUUUGAGUCUUUCACCCUAAGGAACUCACUCACUUCUUAAUUCACUAUCUCUAGGGUCAUUCAAUUUCUUAUUUUUCUUUUCUUUUCAUUUUUGCCAUUUUUGGGGUCUUUUCAUUCUCAUUUUCAUUUCACACAACCAUUUCUUUAAUUUUUAUUUUUCUUCACACAAUCAUGAUGCAUAUGAAAUGCAAAUGAAUCAUAUUUUAAUAUCCAUAAUUUUCCAAGACAUAAUUUUAUUUACUCCCAUUAUGUUUCAUAAUUUCCAAUAAUCCACACAACGAUUUUUCUUCACUUUAAUCAUUACAAACAUAAAAGAAAAUUCACAAUUAAUUUGUAUAGCAUCAAAACAUAGUUUUAAACAUUAACUACAUAAAUUCUAUUUAUUCCCGACAUGCUUAAUAAUUUCCAAAUCCAAUAUAACCAUUUUUUUCAAUUAAAUAACCACACAUAUCCAAGAAAAUUCUCACUAAUACAAAUAUCAACGAAAAUGUAAUUUAUGUCAUAAUUUAUUUGUCUCCAAUAAUUUCAAAAAUUUUGACACCCAUAUGAUAAUUUUCCACAAUUAAGCCACCCUAACAUUUGGGAAAAAUUUUCCAAUAAUUCAAAUAUCAACAAAAACCCAAUUUAUAUCAUCAUUUUAUUUAUUUUUAAAAGCAUUAAUAAUUUUAAUAAUCAAUACAACACUUUUUCACAAUCAAGCCACCACAACAUUCUGGGAAAUUUUUCCAAUAAUUCAAAUGUUAACAAAACACAAUUAUACCUUAAUUUUCUUAUCUCCAACAACAUCAAUAAUUCUUAGUACUCAAUACAACUAUUUUUAUUUUUUCAUAUUUAAUCUUCUCAAACAUUACCAAAAUUCCAAGAAAAAUCCAUAAAAUCACGAAAUAAAAUUAUUCACAAUAAUAAUCACACUUCAAAUACUACAAAUAACAUCUAUUAUCUUUCAACAACACAAUAUAUAAAUUUUUUUCAAAGAAAAUAUUAAAUCAAAGUUUUAGGGUUAAAUCACCUUACCUUAAAUUUGAAAAAUUUAACCGUUAAAACUAAAAUAGGACACCGUAGGAGUGUUCCUCGCAUUGAAUAGAAUGUCCUUCCAAAAUUUCACGCGAAAUGGACGUCAUUUGGUAGGUCCACCAGCAUCCUAAAGCUGGCGACCCAUUUUUCCCACUCUUUGUCGACGACUCCCUUACAUCUCUCACUCGAUUUCCUUUCUUCAUUUUCUUUUCUUCUUCUUCUUUUAAACUCCCAUGACAAUUUCACUUUAUAUAUAUAUAUAUAUAUUAUUAAAACAAAUCCUAAAAUACCACGCACAUCCAUUUCUUAAUAAAUUAAAACCAUUAUUCUUAAAUUCACCUUCUGUAAUUAUGAAUUAUACCAAACUUAUGAUUUUCCAUCUCAUGAAAAAUACCACCGUAUUCGUAAUUUAAUUUACUACAAGCCUAUUCUUCAAAAAGUAUAAUUUGAUUAUAAUUACAUGAAACAUUGAUUUUUUACUCUAAAAUUAAUUUAAAACAUGAUAUAAUUAACUAUUAACAAAAUUCAAUUCCAUAAAAAUAUUAAAAACAUAAAAUAAUUUUUUGGCAAUCAAGAAGUUGAAAUUUGUAAUAACCCUUAACCCGUUAAUUUUACCUAUAUUUAUUUACCAACAAAAAUUUAAAUAAUAUUCUAAAAUUUAAUUCCAUAAAUUAAUUAGUCAUUCAAUUUAUAAAAAUCAAAUUCUCUACCCUUUGGUAUAACUUUUAUUUAAUUUACUUCAUUUUUCAAAUUAUUCAAUCGCAUCAAAAUUUCAAAAGUUAAAUUCACUAAAUUCACAUUUAAUUAAUUUAUCCUUUUGUAUUUUUUUUUCUAAAUUCGCAUAUCAUAAUUUAAUCUUAAUUUAAUUUUGAUUCAAUUUUGUUUGAUGUUUUCUAAUUUUAUGAGGUUUAAUUCCAAUUAUAAAAAUUAAAUUCAAUUUCUUUUUAAUUAUCCAUUAUCACAAUUUGAUAUAAUAUAAAUUUUUAUCAAGUUUUUCUUACUAUGAUUUUUCUUAUAAUUAUCCAAUAAUAAUUAAAUUAAUUCUCGUAACAUAUUUAAUAUUCAAAUUUUAAAAACUUAAUCUCAAUUAUUUGAUGGUUAAUUUUUUUCUCAAAAUCUAAAUUUAAUUUAUGAAAUUCUCACUCCUUACAUCUGACGUGGCAAAAUUUUCAAACUAUUGACUUUUGACCAACUUUUCCUAAAUUUAUCCUAAUUAAAUACUAACACAUGGAUUUUCACCACUCUUUUUGACCUUUUGACCCACAAAUUUAUGAAAGACUUUAUGCUUGGAGAAUCUACAAAAACCUGGGUAUUACAAUUUCUCAAGUUGAUAACUGUCGUGGUUAUGAAGCCACCACUUGAAUACUCAGUCGCCAUUGUAAUGGGCCUGGAUGCAAAUAGUACAUCAUGUUUCUUCAAAAGUUCUCUGCUAAUCUCUGGGAAAGUCGCAGGGACGAGAUGAAAUAUUUCCCAAUUGAAUACAUGCAAUUUCAGUGUUCAUUUCUUUCAUAAAGCCAAUGUAUCCACCAGAAAGUUGUCUUGUUGUUGAGUAAAUGAGGUAGAUAUUGCACUAGUGGCCAUGGAGCUAAUGCUAGAGGAAAUUGUAUUGGCUUGCUUUUGGUACUUGUUUUGGAUUUUAAUUUAGUGAAGAUGAGAAAGAUUGAUGUGAUGAAAAGCAGCAAGAGGAAGUUGAGAUGAGACAACACAUCGUCUGUGGUAGUAGAAGAAAACAAGGUUGAGUUACUGCUACUACUCUCUACAACAAAACCAUUUACACGUCUUUUAUAGAAAAACCAUGUUUGUCUUGUCUUGGGUCUGGAUGCACAUUUUUAAUAUUGGGGAAAUCAUGCAACCAAAUGUCACACACAAAGAGAGAGAGAGAAAAAAUACGUUUUUUAGAACUUGAAAAGGUAAAGUGGGAAAAAAAUAUUACCCAUUCUUGAACUCUAAAAGUAAAGUUAUAAAAAGCUUAGUUUUUUUUUUUUUUUUUGAUUAUGUAUGAUUGCAUGAUUUCCCUCUUUUAAGAUUUUAUCUCAUAAAUUUUUUUUUCUAGAAGGUUCAAAUAAGUUUGAUGAAUAUUGUUUAUUUUUGUAAUUUGAUGAAGAUUUUUUAUUUUAGUAAUUUUAAUUUUAUGGGGUACUUAAAACAUUAGAAGUUCACAAAAAACAACAUUUAUAAGCUACCUAUCUAAAAAGUUUGGCCUAAUCAUUGAAAUCCAAAAUAUAAAGUGACAACACACUUUUUAAAGCAAUUUUCAAAAUAGUUUUUAAAAACACAUUUAUGAUAUUUUUAAAAUAAAAAUCACAAAAAUAACUUGUUUAUAUAGCAUUUUAUUAGACAAAUACUUGAUCUUUAUAAGAUCACCCUAAUUAUAGAUUUAUGAACAUGUAACACAACAAUUAUCUAUAUAUAUAUACUUAGAAUUAUUAUAUUUUAAGUUUUUAACUACAUAGGACAUCAUGAGUUUUUCCACCAUUUAUCUUAUAAUAAGUUUAUUUAAAUAUGAUAAAGGAUAUAUUAUCUCAUUUCUUAUUAUAUCUUAUGCUAUAUAUAUAUAUAUAUAUAUGUAACAAAUCAAAUACAAUUUAAAGAUUUUAAUUAACCAUCUAUUAGCAACAAAGCAAUCUCUUAAUCUCAUUCAUAAUAUUAGGAUAAUUUAGUAUUUCCUUUUAUAAAACCCUAGCAUAUAAAUCAACACAAAUCAUAUUAAGGGUGUAUUUGGUGUUGAUUUUAGGAAGCGUUUUUAGUAUUUCUAAUACUUGAAAGAUAAAAAUUUUCAAGUUUUAGAAAGAUCAAAAGUGCUUUUUAGAAUGACUAUCAAAUACACGCUAAAUAUUACUUUGAAUACUUAUAUUUUUAAAUAACUUUUAAAACUUUUAAGGCAAGUCUCUACUAUUUAUAUAAAUCCCCUAUUAUUUUUAAUUUUUAGAAACAAAAAAUAAAGAAUAGAAACUCCAUUUAAACAUCACCUUAUUAUUUCCUAUUAUAAAAUAACACAAAUCAAAUGAAUUAUUUAAAAAUAAAUAAAUAUAAAAUCAAAGUUGAAGAGAAAAACUCUUGUGCAUUAAAAAAACAUCAAAAUAAAUAAAUAAAUAAAACAUCAUCAAAUAAAUGUAAAAAUAAAAUAAUGUUAUGGAAAAAUGAGAAUAGGCAACUAGAAAAUAGAAACACAAAUUUACAUGAAAAAUCCUAGAUGAGAAAAACCAUGGAUAGAGGAGAAGAAAAUCCACUAUAUUAAAAUUUUGGUAUAAAAUGUGAGAGAAUCAAGCGAGUAUUGUAUAGGCAUAAUCACUAUGACCCUAAAUCCUAUACAUCAUCGUAUAUGUAUGGUGUAUGCGAUAAUAUUUGUGAUAAUAAAAUUAUUGUCGCAUAAAAUAACUAUGGGAUGUAAUAUUUGUAAUAAUAUUCUUUACAAAAAAAUAUUUUUUUCUUUGCUUUAUUCACUUUGAUCACAACUUGAAAUAAGACAAUAAAAAUAUUUUCUUAAUUUUUGAAAAUUAAUUGAGGACUUAGAGCUGCUUGUUACCGAGUGAAUUUGAUGAAUGGUGAAGAAUGCAUGUAUAGUAGUUUUGCAAUUUUUCAGACUUGUAGACAUAUUUUGUGAAGUCUUUUUAUCUUUGUAAAGCCCCAUUUUCUAUGUGAAGUUAUUUUUUCAAUAUUCUCUUUGGAAGGAAUUUACCAUUAGUUAUAUAGGUAAGAUUAAGGAAUUAAAUUUGGAAUUCUUAAGAUUUGAUUGCUUAAUUCAAAGAAUUUGGUUCAAGGGAAAUUUGCCAACAAAAUAAUAUUUAUUUUUAAUUCUAUGAUGACUUUAAUUAUUUGAUAUAAUUUUAUUUUGAAAGGCUUGAUGUGGGGGACUCAUCACUUAUUGAGUCCAAAUUUUGUUGCACCCAAAUUUUUAUGAGCUAAGAAACCAUAAUUUUAAAGACCAAUUCAGUGGUAAGUGAAUCUGCUAAAAUCUUCUGUGUACAAAUGACCUCACUUCAAGGUGCAACACGUACAUGUAUUAUUAUGUGUAUGGGAUGAGUCUUGAAGUUAGUCUUCAUUCUUCUUUGAUUUUUUUUCUUCAAAUAAAUAAAUAAAACAUCAUCAAAUAAAUGUAAAAAUAAAAUAUGUAUUGGUUAAUUGGAGAUGAGAGCUUUAAGGGCAUUUCUUCUAUAAAAUUCUAUGCUCCACGUACCAUAAAUUCGUAUUCAACCAAAAAAAUUGUAAAAUGGGUCCAUGUACAAACAAAAAUAGCCCAAAUGUAAAUAUCUAAAAAUGUAUAAAGUUCACAAUAGAUAUUCAAGCCCAAAUUUAAAUUUCAAAUUAGUCCAACAGAUUUCAUCAAUCAAAAUGAGUCCAAAUUAGCAAAUAUAACCCAACAAAAAUAUCUCAUAUAUCAUAGGCCCUAAUCUAAAAUUUUCAUAUUAAUAGCCAAAAUAUAAGUUCAAUUAAUCAAACCCAAAACAUGAUAAAUUAAAAUAAAUCUCAUUAGGCCUAAACUUAAUAUCCCAUAAUUCAAGCUUAAUUUAAUAUAUAAACCUAAAUCCACAAUCAAAAUCAACCCAAUUUAUGCUAAUCUCGAUUUACAAUCAAAAUCAAACAUAAUUUAAUAAGUAAAUAACUAAAUAAAUUAAGCAAACUCAAAACACCCAAACCACUACGACAUAAAUCAAACAAUAAUAAUAAUAAUAAUAAUAAUAAAAACAAAACAAAUAAAAUAAAAAUAAAAAUUUUAACUCACAUCGGAGCCAGUUUGAAUGUCUUGGGAAAGAAAGAAAAUGAGAGAAAAGUGAAAGAUGAUUGACAACUGAUAGUAGCUCACUGGCGGCGACUGGCGAGUGGUCCUGCCGAUGGUAGUGAAGAUUGAUUGGUUUUUGGGAAAAAAAAUAAAAUGAAGAAAAGAAAAUGAGGAGUAAUAAAAAAAAUGGAGAAAUGAGAGGAAGGUGGGAGAAGAAGGGAGAGAGAGAAUGUAGAAAAUGGGCGAAAAGAAAUGAGGCUAGCUGGAGGAGAAGUGGUAGUGUGUGUGAGCUAAAGUGAAGAAGAAUAGAAGAAGAAAAUGGAGAAAAAAUGGAGAAGAAUGGGAAAAAAAAUCUGGCCCCCUAAAUGAAGAGAGGUGGGUAGCCUAAAGAAGAAGAAAAAAUAAAAUAAAAUAAAAUAAAAUGAGAAAAAAAUGAGAGGGGGUCGGUGGUCUUGCGAAUGAGGUGGUAUGCGUUAGAGAGAGAGAGUGGGUGGGGUUGUUGGGGAAGGUAUGAGAGAGAGAGGAGAGAGAAAAGAAAAAAAAAAGAAAAAAAAAAGAUAAUACAAAAUAAUAAUAAUAAUAAUAAAAUAAAAUAAUAUACAAAAUAAUAAAAACUAAUAAUUAAAUAGUGAGUAGGCAAAAAAUAUCAUAUAUAAUCGGGAUUUAAUUUAAAGAGUAAAAUUGGGACAAAUUUUGGGGUAUACAAAUAUGCGCCUCUUCGGUAGAGUUCACGAGUAAAGCAAGUGUAUAUGUGGGCGAAACAAAGUGGGCUCUACUGAAACACAAGAAAGAGCACCAAAUUUGUCUUAGUAUGACAUGAACUCUCCCAAAUCAAAACAAAAAAUAAAUAAAUAAAUAAAAUUAAAAAAAAAAUCUAAAGCCCUAUAAAAAUGGCGAAAACGGAAACUCCUAAGGUGUCUCUAAAGUUAUACUAUGGAUCUAGACUCCCUUAGAAAAGCCUUCAAAAAUCGGUGUCAAAAUUAAGUAGCAAUCAGACCACUAAGGAGCACAUGAACAAAUGCAUACAAAGGGAAAAAAAACCAUACGUGUACCAUACGAGGACAAAAGGCAUAAGGUAUCCAACAAUAUGACUGAUUCACGUGUUACGAGCUCAAAGGACUUUGUCAUGCACCAUGGAGGAGGGGAAACUCUAGAAUAAUGUGAUGAGGAAGUUAUUAGCACAAUGUAACAGAGUAAGGAAAAGAGUGACGAGUGCAAAGCUGUGAGGAUAAGGUGCACAAUGCUAAUGAAUAUGAAAUGAAUAGUAUUAGGCUAUGAUGCAAUGAAUAGCUUAGGGUUGUACCAUAAUGAACAGGUCAAGGAUGUGUAAAGAUGAGGAACAACUUAAGGUUGUAAUGCAAUGAACAACUUAGGACUGUGAAUGCAAUGAACAGCUCAAUGCAAUGAAUGCAAUGAAUAGCUCAGGGCUGUUAAUGCAAUGAACAACUCGAGGUUGUGGAUGCAAUGAACAACUCAUGGUCAUGGAUGCAAUGAACAGCUCAGGGCUAUGGAUGAACAGCUCAGGGCUGUGGAUGAACAACUCAGGGUUGUAGAUGUCAUGAACAACUCAAGAAUAGGGGCACUAUACACCCAAAAGGGGCGAUCAUGGUCUACGAUUCCAAGUCAAACCACUAAAAGGUGACCAAAAUGAGGGUGAUCAACUCACUAAAAAAGAUAAUCAAAAUGUCUUAAGGGAUGGGAGAUGCCCUAGAUGAAACUUAAAGGAAAUGAGUAGCACUAAUGAAACUAAAAAAAAAAAAAUGUCACAACUGAAAUUGAAAAAAUAACAAACUUAGAUUAAAGUACAAUGAACAACUUUGGGCUAUGGAUGUGAUGACUAGUACCGUGUUGUAAUGAAAUGAAUAACUCUAAGAUAUGGGCAUUAUACGCCUAAAGAGGGAGAUCGUGGUUUACAACUCUAAGUCAAACCACUAAAAGACUACUAAAAUAAGAUGAUCAACUUACUAUAAAUGAGAAUGCAACUAUCUUGAGAAAAAGGGUAUGCCCCAAAUGACACUCAACAGUAAAAGAAUGACACAAAUGAAACUAAAAUAAGAGAAUGCCACAAAUGAAACUGAAAUGAUAACAGACUCAGAACUAAUAUGCAAUGAACAACUUUGGACUGUGGAUGCAAUGAAUAGCACUGGGUUGUAAUGAAAUGAACAACUCUAAGAUGUGGGCAUUGUACGCCUAAAGAGGGAGAUCAUGGUUUACAACUCCAAGUCAAACCGCUAAAGGGCAACUAGAAUAGGAUAAUCAACUCACUAAAAAUGAGGAUGCAACUAUCUCGAGAAAAGGGGUAUGCCCUAAAUGACACUCAACAGUAUAAGAAUGACAUAAAUGAAACUAAAAUAAGAGGAUGCCACAAAUGAAACUAAAAUGAUAACAAACUCAAAACUAAUGUGCAAUGAAUAACUCUAGGUUGUGGAUGCAAUGAACAACACUGGGCUGUAAUUGAUUCGUCCCUAGCAGCGGCAGUGGCAACGGCACCAUUUGAUUCGAGGUUCGAUCCCCGGCAACGGCGCCAUUUGAUUCGUGCCCAAUUGGUGUCUCAGCUGAUUCGUGUCCAGCUGGUGCUCCUUGAUUGAGGGAUUAAUCAACAAAAUUUAUAACCUAUAACACCAUAUACUAGGGUAGCAAAGACAAAGCUACUAUAGUAUAGUGGCUCUAGGAUCGUUCACUGGGAUGGGUUUUCACUUCACAAAUGAUAUCAAUUCAAAGCUGAAUUGGUGCCUUUUCAUUUCAAGGUUAGCUUUAAAAGAAAACAUAAAGAUGUUUGAAAGAAAAGAAUUUGGUUUUAAACUAACCAAAAGUAGUAACUGAUUUUACUUAUAAAGAAAAGUGUUUCUUGGAGUUCAGAUCACUAGGCUCAGAUUCCUCAUACAAAAAAGGAAUUCCGGUCACUUGUUUCUUUUCCUCGCAUUAGAGAUUCAACUUAAAGUUAAUUCUCUAACCGGUGUUGUACAGAAGCUUCCCAUUAAUGGGUUNNNNNNNNNNNNNNNNNNNNNNNNNNNNNNNNNNNNNNNNNNNNNNNNNNNNNNNNNNNNNNNNNNNNNNNNNNNNNNNNNNNNNNNNNNNNNNNNNNNNUUUUUCUUUUUUUCUUUUUUUCAAUUUUUCAAAAGACUCAUUGGUCUUUAUGAGGGGUCCCAACACUAUUAAUGAGAGGUUAAAGGUGUCAAAUUAUGAUUUCUCAAGCUUAGAGGGUGAGAUAGUUUCACAUCUUAUAACCGGAAUCUAAUGUAUGUGUGUGCGAAUAGCUUAAGGUGGAAGAGAUAAGUUUGCAUGCAAUGGGAGUUUCAACAAUUCAUCAACUUUUAAAAGAGCAUAAUACAAACUCUAAGACUCCUGUAAUCAAGUUGAAACUCGACUUCUCUCAUUUAAUUUUGAGAGUUAAUCCUUAAUAUCCAUGGAGUUUAAAGCAAAAAUUUUAAAAUUUAAGCAAAAAGCAACUAAAUUACCAAAAUAACUUAGCAUUAUUAACAAUACUUACUUCCUCAACUCUCCCCCCAACCAAGCUGAACAUUGUCCUCAAUGUGACAAAAGCGAUUAAAAAAUAGGGAGGAAGUGGUACCUCCUUAGUGACAUGGAGUCUGAGUCGUAUAGGAGAAACCACAUGUUUCAAAGAAAACAUAAGAGUUAGUGAGUAGAGGAAAUAGGAAUAUGCCAAGUUUAAACAAAAAUGAUGUCUAUGUAUGAUGUAUCAUCAGUAAUACAUCCAAUCCCAAAAUAUAAGACAUCAAAAUAUGGAAUUAUCUAUACUAAUAUGUAAAUACAAAAAGUAAAGAGAUGAUCAAGUAGUGGUAAGGUCCUGUGGAGCUGAUGCGUCUGUGAUGGCCUCUUGAGUGGGUUGGAUCAGGACUUUGGCCUCUGUUCAGGUAGUCUCCUUAGAUGGCAUAGUCUCCUCAACUGGAGCUCUCAGCUGGUAGCUAUGGGAUUUGAUGGUUUAAGGAGGUCAGAAAUGGAGUGAGAGGUUUGGUGUGUGUGAUCCCAGGGUGUGCAGGGCUCUCCUCUUCAGAUGCAUGAUCGUAGGGCUCUGUUGGCAUUUUAGCAACUUCCCUUGGCUUUGCAAGGUGUUUUUGCAAACCUUCCUUCCAUUUUGCAAGUCAAUUUUGCAAUUUGCAGGCCAUUUCUAAGCUUGGAGGUGAUUUCGCAACCAUUUCAAAGCUCAAAAGUGAUUUUGCAGGCAAUGGGCAAUUUCGCAGCCCAUUUUUGAAGCUUGGAGCAUUUUCGCAGCCAUUCUGAAGCUUGGAGAUCAUUUCGCAUCCAUUUCAAAGCUCAAAAGUGAUUUCUCAACCCAAAAUUGAUUUCGCAGCUCAUUUCAUAGCCAUUUCGUUGCUCAAAAGUGAUUUCGCAGCCGUAUCGCAGCUUCAAAAUGAUUUCGCAGCCGCGAAAUUCUCGCUCAACUUUGCGCGCUUGUUUUCAAACGACCAUAACUUCUUCAUUUCACCUCCAAAUCGCAUACCGUUUGAAGUUCUGGACUCCUGACUUCCCAAGCUUUGAAACAAGAUAUGGUAUGCAUAAUUUGAGCUCCAGAAAGUGCUUCAAAAACGUGUCCAACAGUAGCGAAAUUGAGGUGCGACAUUUCCGCUCAUGGUUUGUACAGUCUUCUUCAAACAGCCAUAACUUUUCCGUUUCAAAUCCAAAUCGAGCACCGUUUGAAGCUAUGGACUCGUGACUUCCCAAGCUUUCCAACGAGAUAUUGCAUGCAUAAUUUGAACUUCGGGAAGUGGUCGAAUCAUGUCCAACAGUUUCCGAAAUGGGGUGCGGCUGUGAAAUUGGGAUUUUUCAUGUUUUGGGACUUCGCAGCCGUUUCGCAGCUGCGAAAUGGGAGUCACUGUGCUGCGGAAUGGCACUCGUGUGCCAAAACCGCCUUCGCAAUUGCGAAAUACCCUGCGGAAUGGGACUUUUGGUGCGAAAUCAGGCUUUACCACUUCGCAAUGCGUUUCGCAGCUGCGAAAUGGAUGCUCCUGUGCUGCGAAGUGGCACUCGUGUGCCAAAAUUGGUUUCGCAGCUGCCAAAUACCCUGCGGAAUGGAGCUUUCUCUGCGAAAUGGAGGAUUUCAUGCUUUGGUGGUUCGCAGCCGCUUUCGCAGCUGCGAAAUGGGGGCCACUGUGCUGCGAAGUGGCACUCGUGUGCCAAAUUUGGUUUCGCAGCUGCGAAAACUUUCGCAGAGAGGGCAAUUGGGUUGCGAACUGGUUUCGCAACAAAAUUUCGAUUUCGCAGAGGCUGCGAAAUCUCGCAGACCCCUGUUUUUCCCCUGUUUCUCCCCUGUUUUCGGUCCGUUUGACUCUGAUUUUGCUCCGAUUUUGCUCCGAUUUUUUUCCUUCAAUUUCUUUGCAAUUCCUCUUGAUUUUGAUCAUCCAAAAACCUAUAUUACAUCAAAACAAACUAGAAUUAAAGCAUUGAAAUCAAAAUUAAAGCAUUGAAAUCAAAAUUAAAACAAGUAAAAAAACAAAACAAAAAGAUAUGGACUAACUAGUCUUUAAAAAGACUAAGUCCAUCAAAAAAUUUGAUCCUGAUUUAGCUUGCCCGGAUCCCAUAUGAAGCUUGCAUCUCUCACUUGGGACGUGAUUUGUAUGAUUUUCCCAUACAAAGCUUGGAGAAAAGUUAGAGGCAUGUGUUUCAUCAUCAAUUCUUCCUUGAUGACUAUCCUCUGUGGUUCUUCAUGUACAUUAACAGUAUAGCCAUCUUUUCUCUAUGCUUUUCCCCUUUUUCUUUCCUUUGAUUUCCUCCCUCUUUUCUUUCUCUGUUUCACUUUCACCUUAUACUCUAGCUUGCAUGUGGGCAGAUCAACCUCUUACACUCCUCAAAGUGAUCACUUCUUNNNNNNNNNNNNNNNNNNNNNNNNNNNNNNNNNNNNNNNNNNNNNNNNNNNNNNNNNNNNNNNNNNNNNNNNNNNNNNNNNNNNNNNNNNNNNNNNNNNNNNNNNNNNNNNNNNNNNNNNNNNNNNNNNNNNNNNNNNNNNNNNNNNNNNNNNNNNNNNNNNNNNNNNNNNNNNNNNNNNNNNNNNNNNNNNNNNNNNNNNNNNNNNNNNNNNNNNNNNNNNNNNNNNNNNNNNNNNNNNNNNNNNNNNNNNNNNNNNNNNNNNNNNNNNNNNNNNNNNNNNNNNNNNNNNNNNNNNNNNNNNNNNNNNNNNNNNNNNNNNNNNNNNNNNNNNNNNNNNNNNNNNNNNNNNNNNNNNNNNNNNNNNNNNNNNNNNNNNNNNNNNNNNNNNNNNNNNNNNNNNNNNNNNNNNNNNNNNNNNNNNNNNNNNNNNNNNNNNNNNNNNNNNNNNNNNNNNNNNNNNNNNNNNNNNNNNNNNNNNNNNNNNNNNNNNNNNNNNNNNNNNNNNNNNNNNNNNNNNNNNNNNNNGAAGAUCACAAGUACUCUAGAAAGGUGAUAUCACUGUAAAGUGGCACCAUCCCCGGCAACGGCGCCAUUUGAUUCGUCCCUAGCAGCGGCAGUGGCAACGGCACCAUUUGAUUCGAGGUUCGAUCCCCGGCAACGGCGCCAUUUGAUUCGUGCCCAAUUGGUGUCUCAGCUGAUUCGUGUCCAGCUGGUGCUCCUUGAUUGAGGGAUUAAUCAACAAAAUUUAUAACCUAUAACACCAUAUACUAGGGUAGCAAAGACAAAGCUACUAUAGUAUAGUGGCUCUAGGAUCGUUCACUGGGAUGGGUUUUCACUUCACAAAUGAUAUCAAUUCAAAGCUGAAUUGGUGCCUUUUCAUUUCAAGGUUAGCUUUAAAAGAAAACAUAAAGAUGUUUGAAAGAAAAGAAUUUGGUUUUAAACUAACCAAAAGUAGUAACUGAUUUUACUUAUAAAGAAAAGUGUUUCUUGGAGUUCAGAUCACUAGGCUCAGAUUCCUCAUACAAAAAAGGAAUUCCGGUCACUUGUUUCUUUUCCUCGCAUUAGAGAUUCAACUUAUAGUUAAUUCUCUAACCGGUGUUGUACAGAUGCUUCCCAUUAAUGGGUUCAAACACUAAAUCCCUCUCACUGAUGCAACUUGCAAUGGUUCAUGCCUCUCACGAGCACUUACCAUUCAAGGAGAUCUUUAACCUUGGACUUCCCUUCACAAACUCGCAAGAGAUAACUAAUGGAUGUCUCCUAGGAGUCCAAAAGCUUACCAAGUGUUGGUAAUUCUAGAAAAUCCUACCUUCAAGUCACCUCCCAAAGGCUCGCAAGGGGUAAACUAGUGCAUUUCCAUGGUUGGAAAUCACUUGCCUUACCAAGUGUUGGCCCAGGUGACUCUAAGGUGUUUUAAGUUAACUAAAAAGAUAAAAACCAUUAACGGGUCACACUUUCUCUUCAUUAAAAACUAAAACAACAAAACUUCCAAAUUAUGCAUGUGGAAACUUACCCGGCUUUCCUCACUCCAAGAGACAAAAGGCUUAGCCUCUCAUCCUCUGAGGAAAAAUCCUCAGAGUUUGGUUGGCUAGAAAAUGAAAAUGAAAUGAAAAAUGAAAGAGAAGGAAAAACAGAGCAAGGCUCUGUAUAUUCUAUAUAUGAUCAAUAUUACGGAUUACAUAUAUGGUCCUCCUUUUUUACAGUGGAUGCAAGGGAAUAUAUAUAGAGGAGUUUUUCCAACCUUCCUAGCUAAGAAAUCUUAUGGUUGGUGGAUCACAAGGAGAAGAAUGGAAAUUCAUACAAAAAUAUCUGAAGAAAAAUAUCCAAAAGAGUCGGUGCAAAAAUAUCGGGAAGCACUAAGGACCAUUUCGCAGGAGAAAAUGGUGUCUGCGAGAUUUCGCAGACACUCAAGAGGGCUGCGAAAUAUUUUCGCAACAACAAGUUAAACUCGCAGUGCUGCGAAAUUGGCUUCCACCUUGAGGUUCUCAGCGUUCCAACUUGCGGAAUGUAUCGGGUAGCUUCAGGAGGAAUUCCAUAGGACUGUACAAAAAGGCUGCGAAAUUCUCGCAACAAAAGGCUGAUUUCGCAACACUUUGGAGUGAUCUUCUUGCAAUGGCUGUAACUCCUUCGUUUCAACUCCGAAUCGUGCACCGUUUGAAGCAUUGGAUUCUUGACUUCCUAAGCUUUGAAAUGAUAUAUAGAAUGUAGAAAAUGGACUUCGGGAAGUUCUCCAAAAGUGCGAAAGAAGACUGCAGCUAGCUUUCCUCUGUUUUCUUCACUCUGUUUUUCCUCUCUCCUUGCUUCUCUCCUUGCAUACUUUGAACGACUAUGGCAAAGGGAUAUGGAGCUCCAAAGCUUGGUUCUUCUUGAAUUUGAGCUCUUCAUUGCUUUGCCAUGGAUUCCAAAUAACUCUCCUCAAUCUUGGAUUGUUUUGGUGAUCAAAUUACUAACAAAAACACCAAAAACUUACACAAUUUGAUUAGAAAUGAUUGCAAGGGUCCUUAACAUGUUAAUUGAGUUAAAAGGCAAUAACUACUACUCAAAAGUGUUUAAAAGAGUUAAUUACAAGCUAUCAAAUAGCACUUUUUGAGUAGUAAUCAGUAAUGAAAUGAACAACUUUAAGAUGUGGACACUAUACGCCUAAAGAGGGAAAUCACAAUCUAUGACUCCAAGUCAAACCACUAAAGGGCGACUAGAAUAGGAUGAUCAACUCACUAAAAAUGAGAAUGCAACUAUCUCGAGAAAAGCGGUAUGCCCCAAAUGACACUCAACAGUUAAAGGAUGACACAAAUGAAACUAAAAUGAAAGGAUGUUACAAAUGAAACUGAAAUGAUAACAAACUGAUAACUAAAAUGCAAUGAACAACUCUGGGCCGUUGAUGCAAUGGAUAGCUCAAGAAUAGGGGAACUGUUUGCCCAAAAUGGGAGAUUGUGGUCUGCGACUCUGAGUCAAACCACUAAAGGGUGACUAAAAUCAAAAUGAUCAACUCACUAAAAAUGAGGAUCUGGACAUCUCAAGAAAGGGGUUAUGCCCCAAAUGAAACUCAAAGGAAAAAGACGCCACAAAUGAAACUGACAAUAGAGGGAUGCCCUAAACAAACUAACGAAAAAUGGAUGCCCUAAACAAACUGACGGAAGUGAAAUGCCCUAAAUAAAUUGACCAAAGAAGAAUGCACUAAACAAACUUCGAGAAAAAAAAAUAUGCGAUAUACAAUCGAAAACACCUAAAGCAAAAACAAGAAACAAAGAAUGUGGUUUACAACUAGAAACACCCAAAAGAACCCUAAAGAAGUGACUGGGAUAAUGAACUCAAUGAAAAUGGUGUAUGCCACAGUAAAAGACUCGGAAGUAUCAGCAAAUGGGUCAAACGAUCAUGAAAUUAAUAGGAGAUAUGAUGAACCCAAAAAGGGCAUAUGCCCCAACAAAAGAACACUAAAAGGGGGGUAUGCCCCAAUAUGAAAUAGUGACCAACAUAAGACACAGAAUGUCACCAUACAAGACACUAUAGGAUAUGUUCAAUGACAAUGUAAUGAAAACAUAUAGCCCCAAUCAACAAAUGUUCAAGCAAGACUAUGCAUCACAUAAACUAAAAUAAUAGGCUAAACAAAUGCUAACCAAGUCUCUCACUUUAAAAUGUAAGCAAGUCAAGACAUGACAUGUCAACCAUCGACAUGAAAACAUCAUCACAAAUACAUUAACAAACUAAUAGUCCCUACUAUCAUGGAAGAUGUAGAACCUAACGUCCAAAGGCAUGUGAAAACUCAACCAGAAAACUCAAGACUAGUUUGUAUCCUCCUCUAAUCAAGAGAGCUGUUAGGCUCUGCCAAGAUGGAUGUAGGUAUAAUAGUGUCAAAAGUAGGAUGUCUGGAUGUCCAACGAAGGAAACUGGGUAUCCAAGUCAAACCAAGUAUGUUGAGGAAACUGAACCCAUGGGACAAUAACUGGGUAUCGAUUGAGAAAUAUGCCCCUCCGUAAAGUACAUCAAUUGAAAUAUGCCAAUCAUGCCUCAUGCUCCAAUGUGAAAAAGGACGUAUAAUCUUCUUUGAGGGAUGGUCAUGACUCAAAAUCCAUCAUCAGUUGAGAGAAGUAUACCCCAGCAUAAUGGUCAUCUAAAAAAUCAAUCCCCAACUAAGAAAUGUGUGCCUUGAUGUGAUGUAUCAAGCAAAAUGGCUGCAUACCCCAUAAAAAACUCUCUGAGGUGGCUAUGCCCCAAUGUUGGAUCAUACCACAACUCCUAGUCUAUCACAAUCAAAAUGCUCUCCAACCAAUCCCAAGUAUCGCCCACAUGAGAGCUAUCAAACACAAUGUGUGAUGUCAUGGCCUCAAGGUGGUCUUAAGAUUCGGGACAUAACGUAGGCUAGGGUAAUAAGGUGAAGAAAUGAAGGAAAACUAGGCUUAAUAAUCCCAAUGAUAAAACCUCAUACCCUUAUGUAUAAAAUGCAAUAUGUGUAAAGAGUCUCAUAAACCAUGGAUCUAAGGACGCCCAAUAUGAAUAUAUUAGUGAGGAAGAAAAAAAUCUAAGAUGAAUAUAUCAAUGAUAAAAGAGAAGAAAUGAAGAAUAUCAAACUGCUGAUGGGAUGUAUAAGAAUGAUGUGUGGAAAAUAUUGAACAUGGAAUGUAAAUUGAUAUGAACAAAGAACAAUGUAGGCAAGGCGAAUGCGAUAUCAUGAGAAGAACAAAUAAAUCAAAGAAAAAUGAAUGAGCACUAAUCCACUCAAAUCAAGUCAUGGAGAAUAGUCAAAUCACCAACGUAUGUAAUGAUGGAGAAGACAAUGAUUCGAAGUCCCUAGGAAAAUGUCACUUGUUUCUCACACAUAAAAUACAUAACGAGAUAGACACAAAAAGAUGAGAGUUUUUUUAAAGUUCACGUAAGAACUUUCAUAAGCAACUAAUUCAAUAAAGCAACCUCAAUGACCAAUAUAUACACUCAAUAAAGGAUGACACUGUAUACAUGUGUUUAUUACUUUUUCUUUUUCAUUUUUUUUUCAUUUUUUUUCAUUUUUUUUCUUUUACUCGUGCAUACUUUGAAUAUCAAUAAAUGAACUUCUCUGAGAAUACAUAAUGAAAUGGAUAUACUCUCAAACAAUGAUGUAGGCGAACUCUCUCUGACAAGAUGACCCUCUAAAUUAAGGAUUUCCGAACUAACAUCCAUGAGAUAGGAGUGGAGGAGGAUAUGAUCAUUCUCCAUGCACCGAAAUGUGAAAGAUCAUCACUCAAGGCAUAAAAAAAUGUGAUGAAAAAAAUAAAAGAUGAAACAAAAGAUAUAAACAAUCAAGUAUGAUGAAGAAUGAUGUUGGGAUGACAAAAAAAUAGUGAAGAAUGUGAGCCAAUAAGUCCACAACUCAUGAAACUCUCGAAUAAAAUAUAUAUACACCAAAAGACCCUUAUCCCGGUGUAAAAUGUGAGCAAGGAUAUAAGAAAGAAAAGACUAUGAUGCUCAUGUGAGGUUCAAAGGGCUAGCAACGGUCCAAAUGUCAAUAAAGGUAAUAGGGUGUGAGCUAACCAAAAUGAAGGUCACCCAUCCUACGACCAUGGUCUCAAACAUCGUGCUCUUAAGCUUUCAAAUGAUCAAUACUGAAAAUCGAUGUCCAUUUGAUAUAAACACGUCAACCCUUUCGACUUGGGCGUCAAACCAUACUCCAAAUGCUCAAUAAUAAUCUCAAAGAUAAUAUUCUCAAAGAAAAGUAAAUGGCGAUCUCAUAAGGCACAACUACUCAUCACAAGCCAACUCUCAUCAUGCAAGAUCAAUCUCUAUUUUCAUGGAAAAAUAAGUGACAAUCUCAUAAGGCAAUCGACCAAUCCUCACAUCGUAAACCAACCAAAGAUCAUAAAUCAUUCAUUGCCAUGCAAGAUCAAUCCCAAGCUCAAACUCCUCAUACUCUACCUGGUUGGAUUAGAGAAGAAAUGGGCAAAGCUAGAAAAACUGAAGAUGGAAAGGUCAUAUAAUGGUGUCAAGGGUGAUGUUGUGCAAAACUCACAAUGGAUGGAUGUAGGUCAAAGCAAAGUCAAUGUGUGAGAGUGAGUAAGGCACUACUCUGAUCAUAAGAAGAUGGGUCACAAUCUCAAACUCCCAAGGUCAAAUCUCCGAUCCUAGGCUAAUAAGCUCAACAUCCUCCAUGAUAGGUCAACCCCCAAUAUCACAAUGUGCAAAUGAAUAGAAGCCUCAAGUCAAAAGUACAACACAUCAUAUGAUAUAUGGCCCUAUGAUGACAAUCUAAAACUGGAAAUAUGUUAGAAACUCUAAGGUCAUAAAGGUGUCCACUGUGAGAUGACUACAAAUGUGACUAAGGAAUCUUUAUCAAUAAUUCAAAAAAUGAAUGAGGUGUGAAAAACCACACUAUCAUGAGAUUGAUACCCCAUUAAUAACAAAAUAUCCCUAAUUCACUUUCAAUCUAAGCUCUAUAAAGAAAAACAAUAAGGUUAUAAAGGCAAACCUCUAAAAAAUGGAGUGAAUGUGAAAACAUGUCUUCACCUUUCUAUAAUGAAAAUAUCAGGUUGAAAAUAGAAAUAGGCAAAUCAACCAAAGAAUGAAGUACAAAGCCCAUGACAGGUGAAGAAUGUAAAAAGGUGAACAUGAUCAAUGAACAUAUCCCAAAACAUCAAGCAUAAAGUGACAACAAAUCGAAAGAAUGUGUCGACUUAAGAAAAGAAGACUACCUGAAGCCCUAGAAAGAAAGUGUGCUAGACUCAACGAGUGACAAGAAGAAACUAAAACCAUAUAGCAAGGGGGUGGUCCAACUGAUACUCAAACUUGCACCAAUAUCUAAGCACUCUCAAUUGGAGACCAAAAAAUGGAGUAUUGGAUCCAUACUGUGACUAAAGCGGCCUCGAAGGCUCUUAGAUGCAUCCACGUGUAGGAAAAGAAAUCCUAAUAAAAAUAUCUAAGGCUUAACCUACAAGGUCAAGGCGUCUCUAAAAAGAAAAAUUAAGUGGACUUUAAAGGAUCCCUAGCAAAAACGAUCAUACCUUCCGAUGGUACGCAACCUCCUACACGUCUUGAAAGAUACGGGAGUGAUUCCAUGCAAGGUGGUCAUCACCUCCACACAUGCACUAUCUCAUAUCCUAGAGGGUUUCCUAAUGAUGAAGACUCUUACAUCUCUCAACACUUAGUGGUAAUCUAAGGUGCACAGUGAACGGUGUGGGUUCAUCCGAAAAUCCUAUCAAACUAAGCAAAGAGAAAACACACUAGUCACACAAAUAUCCUGAAAUCUAGCUCUAACCUAUACAAGUCUUCAAAGAUUGAACUCCAAUUAGCAUUAAUGUUUUGACCUUCUCUAGAAUGCUCCCAAACAUAGAUAUAGUCCAUUACUAAACCCUACUCUGAAUACUAGCUCGGUCGAAGAGCAAACAAAGUAACAAGUCUCAUAUCAAAUACGAGAUCAAGGGGAACACAGUCACCUGAGACUAGGGAAUUGGAGGUAAUGGGAUAGAUGUGUGUCCCACAUAGACAAGCAACAUUCAUCACACAGAAGAAGAAUAGUCAUGCAAUAGACAACCAAGCAAAGAACAGGUAUAUCAUUCAUAUCUACACACAAGCUAAACAAGAAAUAGGUAUAUAACAAGAAUAAACAAUAUGUUGAGAUAAACAAGAUAAUAUACAAUAAAGAGAAUCAAUCAUGCCAAUAUGAAUGAGAUAUACAAAAAUGAGAAUAUACAUGUUAAGGAGAGCAAGAUAAUCAUACAACAAGAAGAGUCUUAUGUUAAAGCAAACAAGAGAAUCAAUCGAUGUAGUCAACAUGUCAAUAUCGCAAAUGAACAUAAUAGCCAAAUAUGCAUCAUAAAGAAAAAAGGGUAAUCAUGCAGCACACAGUCAUACAAAACAAAUACAGACAAACAUAAGCAAAUAAAUGUAAACACACAUGAUAACAAAAAUAAAUGUAUAGUAAGGCACAUGCAAUAUAUACAUAAAAUAAUCAUCAAGUCAACACUCAUAUACCUUGAAACAUGAAAAUAUACAAUAAAGACACAACGAGAGGGUAUUCACUAAUCAAUUAAUCAAACGCUACAUUUCCCUUAACUUGAGUUCAAGUUUGAUCCUUUAAAUAUCCCUAGUGGAGCUGCUAAUUUGUGAACCCAUAUUUUUCACAUGCGUCCUUACACAACAGCGAGACUCAUUUUUUUUAUUUGGUGAAAUUUUGAUUUUUAGAAAAAAGACUUUGAGUCGUCACUUAUUUUUGUUUUUUUUAAGGGAAAAUAAAAUAAGAAAGAAAAACUUGUGUGACUCCAUAUUUGGGAAAGACAUGUAUGCAAAAACCAAAUCUAGAUUCAGGGGUCAAGUUACCUAUUGGGAAUGUACGAUGGUGAGCUGUAGCAUCUCUCUAAGCUCAUAUACGUACGGUCUCUACUAAACAAAUUAAGAGAAUUGUGGUAAUUAAUUAAUUAGUCAUGGAUACCAAGAAAAAGAAUUGCACAAAUGAGUACGUACAAAUCAUGAUAAAAAAAAAUCAAAUUAUAAGAAUAGACAAAAUAAAUAACAAGAGAAUUGUGCAAAGUGAUUUAUUAAACUAAAUAAAAAAGAAGAUAUUAAAAAAAAAAUUAGUUUUCAAGAAAUUUCAAAGGAUUUUGUUAAAAUGAUUUUGAAUUAAUGAUUUUAAUUUAUUUAUUUACAAAAAAAAUGUCAAUUUAUUUUCUUCAAGUGAUUUGAUUCAAUUUCAUUUGUAUUCAAUUUUUUUUUAAAGUUAUUUACACUCAUGGUUGUUAAAAGAAUUAUUAACAAAAUUUCAAGUUGACAAUAAAAAUGAUUUUUACUUGCUUUUACUCGAAAACAAUGAAUUUUUACAAUUUUAUUAACAAAAGCAUUUCAAUUUAAGAAAGUGACUUAUACAAAUUAUUAAAAAAAAUAUAACUUUAUCUACAAAAGAAUUUUUAAUUAAAAAGAAAAAAUUUAAAUCCUCUAUUUUAAAAAAUGACUUUUAAUCCCAUUUUAAUUAAGGAAAAAUGAGUUAUUUAAAAAAACAUUUUUUGGACAAUUUGAAUAAAAAUUAAUUUUUGGGACAACUUUAUUUACAAAACAAUUUUUGAACAAUUGUUAUUAAAAACAAAAUUUCAAAUUCUAUGAAAAACAAUUUUUUGGAUUUUUCCAAACACAUUUUUAUGAAUUUUUGUUAAUAAAAAACUUUUUUUUAUUAAGAAGAAUAUUUUUUGAGAUAUUGUUUUAUUAAAACAUGUUUAUUGAAUUAUUCUUCUUAUUCAAACAAAAAUUAUAAUUUGUUCGAUAUCCAAUUCUGUACAUAACAAGUAAAUAUAUACAAACAAAUAUUUAUAAAAACUAAUAAAAAUAAAACCAAAUAGAAGUGAGAAAUAAAACAUGUGCUUAAACAAUCUUACAACAAGCUCAAUGUAUUUCUACGACUUUUCGAGUCUCACUUUCUUACAUUAAAUUUUAUGCUCUACGUACCAUAAAUUCGUACUCAACCAACAAAAUUGCAGAAUUGGCCUAUGCAAAAACAAAAAUAACACAAAUGUAAAUAUCUAAAAAUGUAUAAAGUUCAUAAUAGAUAUUCAAGCCCAAAUUCAAAUUUCAAAUUAGUCCAACAAAUUUCGUCAAUCAAAAUGGGUUCAAAUUAGCAAAUAUAACCCAAUAAAAAUAUCUCACAUGUCAUAGGCCCUAAUAUAAAAUUUCCAAAUUAAUAACCAAAAUAUAAGUUCAAUUAAUCAAACCCAAAACAUGAUACAUUAAAACAAAUCUCAUUAGGCUUAAACUUAAUAUCUCAUAAUUCAAUAUAUAAACCUAAAUCCGCAGUCAAAAUCAACUCACUUUAUGCUAAUCCCAAUUUAUAAUCAAAAUCAAACAUAAUUUAAUAAGUAAAUAACUAAAUAAAUUAAGCAAACUCAAAAAUCGAACCACUAUUGCAUAAUCAAACAAUAAUAAAUAUAAUGACAAUAAUAAUAAUAAUAAUAAUAAUAAAAAUAAUAAUAAAAAUAAAAAAUUUAACUCACGUUGGAACCAGUUUGAGUGUCGUGGGAAAGAAAGAAAAUGAGUGAAAAGUGGGAGAUGAUCGUUAGCUGGUAGUGGCUCGUCGGUGGCGACUGGUCGAUAGUCCUAUCGGCGGUAGAGAGGAUUGAUGAGUUUUUAGGAAAGGAAAAAAAAAAGAGUAAUAAAAAAAAAAUGGAGAAAUGAGAGGAAGGUGGGAUAAGAGAGGAGAGAGAGAAUGAAGAAAAUAGGGAAAAAGAAAUGAGGUCGGCUAGAGGAGGAAGUGGUAGUGUGUGUGAGCUAAAGUGAAGAAGAAUGAAAGAAGAAGAAGGAGAAAAAUGGGGAAGAAGGGGAAAAAAAUUCGAGCCCCCUAAAUGAAGAAAGGUGAGUAGCCUAAAGAAGAAGAAAAAAUAAAAUAAAAUAAGAAAAAAUGAGGAGAAAAUGAGAGGGCCAGUAGUCUUGGGAAUGGGGUGGUAUGGGUGAGAGAGAGUGGGUGGGGGGGUUGUUGGGGAAGGUAUGGGAGAGAGAGGUAAGAUAAAAGAAAGAAAAAAAAAACAUAAUAAUAAUAAUAAUAAUCAUAAAUAAUAUAUAAAAUAAUAAAAAUUAAUAUUUAAAUGAUGAGUGGGUCAAAAAUAUUAUAUGUAAUUGGGAUUUAAUUUUAAGAGUAAAAUUGGAUUAAAAAUUAAUGUAAAAAUAAAAUUAGAACAAAAUUUGGAAUCUACAAAUACAUUCUUUAAUCUUUCCACAACAUCAAUCUGAUAUAAAUCAAAUGCAAUAAAUUCUAAAAAUGAUACAAUCUUUAAUCAAUCCACAACAUCAACCCGAUCAAAACUUAAUGCAAUAUUGCUUAAUGGAGAGAAUCGUAAAAUCCUUUUAUGAGAGGAAAACAAAACCCUUAACAGACCUUUAUGAGAGGAAAAUAGGAAAACAUAGAACUAAAAACCCUUAACGCAUUCACGAGAAUAAAAAAUCUUUAACACCUUAAUAAGAGGAAAACAAAGAAUUUGAACAAUCCUUAAUCCAUCAAAAGCUCUUAAUAUGAACGAGGGGAAAACAUAACCUUUAUUUUUCAGAUCGUUGAAUAAAGAAUCUAAAGAGAUAGAAUUUUUAGUUAUUAAGGAUUUUUUAUAGAUGUCUAUUGAAUGUUUAAGAACUUUUAUGGAUAAGUGUUAAUUAAGAGACUGAAAGGGUACUUAGGAUUUUCAACUAAAAAAGUUAUAACAAUAUGAAUCGUAAGAACUUAAAAACAUCACCCAUCCAAUAGAGGAAUAUGGAAUGAGAGGUUAUUUUUUUACUUAUACAACAAUAAACUUUUUUGGAAGAGGUUUUUCUAAGUACAAAAAGUUAUGAAUAAAAAACUAUUAUUAUGAUGAGUUAACUAAAAUAGAAUUAAUUUAGAAAAUAUCAAUAAAGUUGCAUGAAUUAUUAUCAUGAGUUAACUUAAUAAUAAUUAAUAGUAAUAAAGUUAAUGAAGUGAAUUUGGAUUGGCAGAUAUAUUUGAUGAUAAGAUUUUUUUAAUAAUAAAAAAUUAUUAUGGCAUGAAAAAUAGGACAAAAUUAACCUUAUGAUAAGAUUUUUUUAAUAAUAAAAACAUUAUUAUGGUAUGAAAAAAGGGACAAAAUUGGCCUUUCCUUAAUUGUAACCACCCCAAAAGGUAGGAAGAAUCUCCAACCCCCAUUCUCGGCUCCCUUAUCUUUUCCCCUACAACCAAAAUUCAACAACUAUCUUAGAAUGUCCUUCAGUCCACCAGAUCUGGAUCCCUUUGAUUUUCGUCUUCUUUUUUCUUUCCUCCUUUCCCUUUUUCUAGUUUCUUCCUUCAAAAUCCAUCCCUCAUAUCUCUCACAAAUUUUCUGUCCCACCUUCUUCUCUUCCUCCCAAUUUCCUUUCUAUAUAUAUAGUUUCUGUCUUUCCUUUGUUUCUCUCUUCAAAAUAUUCUGAUUUUCCCCUUAGAAAUUUGAUUUUUCUCUUCAAAUAUUUUGAUUUUCCCACUCAAAAUUCCGACUUCCCCCCAUAAAAAUUCUGGAUUUUCUUUCCCAAUUUGGCUUAAAGAUAGUCAUAUUUUUUUGUUCCCGAAAGACAUUAUGUGUCUUUUGAAACAUUCGAAGGGUGAUCAUGUAUGGACAGAAUUAAAAAGUAUGGUUGGUAAGUUGGGAGACAGGAUGGGAUGGGAGAUUUAAAAUUAAAAAUCAAUAAAAUAAUAUUAGAAUAAAAUAAAGAAAAGAAAUAGUGAGUAAAAACAACACCUAUACAUCACAAUAAUGAAAACAAAAUUGAUUGAUCACCAGCUAACAUUAGGAGAUUAUAAGAUAAAGAUGUAAUUGCAAUUAUUGAAAUCACUUAAAGAGAAAAAAUUAGGAACAUGCUCACUAUAAAUAAAAUCACCUUAGAAUUAAAAAUUAGGGACAUGAUUAUGAUGAUUAAAAUCACUUGAGAACUAAAAUGUUUUAGAGAUACAAUAAUUGAAAUCAACUGAAAAAUAAAUUCGGUAUGUGGUCGCAAUUAAUGUAUAUAUAAACAACCAAAUGUUGAAAGGAAAAACUAAUGGAAUUAAUGCGAUUUUCUUUUUAUGGUUAGAUUUCUCUUGACACCAAACAAAUGUAAGGAAGUUUAUAAAGGAAAAUUAGGUUUUGAUUCACUAAAUUAAAAUAAUAUAGAAAAAGAUCUUCAAAUUUUAUAUAUAUAUUUUUUCAUAACUCAGAUUUUCAUUAGAAUAGUGUCAGGAGUUGAACGCCAGUGGGAAUACAGGCUUAUGGAAACAAAUCUAUCCGACUAGUAGGUUCUUAUUAUUUUCAAUAUAGACCCCAUAAAAUAAAUAGGAGAUGGGCAGCCCGUCCCUUUUGUGAGGCCAUCCUCCCAACUUAUUAAAGGUGAUGUGAGUUUAAGACAGUGACAAAAUUGUCGGUUACUUCCCAAACCUGCUCUCCACAGGCAAACCCAGUGAUCCAGAAAUUAAUUGGUACCUGACACGUGACUACCAAACGUUCGCUCACCCACCAUACCCAUGGCCUCAUGCCCCAUAUAUUUCCACAAACCUAGCUCAAUUUUCAUAGCCACCUUCACUGUCCUACACUCACUAAGCCAUGGCCAUAGAUACAAGCCUCUUGCUUAAGCUUGCUGCAGCAAUUCUACUCUUCUUUAUCACCCGCUUCUUCAUUCGUUCUCUCCUUCCCAAACCUUCCCGGAAGCUCCCUCCUGGCCCCAGAGGGUGGCCGCUCCUCGGCGCUCUUCCUCUUCUAGGUAACAUGCCUCAUGUUGCACUAGCAAAGAUGGCCAAAAGAUACGGACCUGUCAUGUUCUUGAAAAUGGGCACUAACUGCAUGGUGGUGGCCUCAACUCCGGAGGCAGCUCAGGCUUUCCUUAAAACCCUAGACAUUAAUGUCUCGAACCGCCCGCCUAAUGCCGGUGCAACACACUUGGCCUAUGAUGCCCAAGACAUGGUUUUUGCGGAUUAUGGGCCAAGGUGGAAGCUCCUGAGAAAGCUAAGCAACUUACACAUGCUUGGUGGGAAGGCUCUUGAGGACUGGUCUCAGGUUCGAACUGUUGAGCUAGGUCACAUGCUUCGAGCCAUGCUUGAGUUGAGCCAGCGAGAGGAGCCGGUGGUGGUGCCGGAGAUGUUAUCUUUUUCCGUGGCCAACAUGAUAGGGCAAGUGAUACUAAGCCGCCGGGUGUUUGAAACAAAAGGGUCGGAGUCAAAUGAGUUCAAGGACAUGGUGGUGGAGCUCAUGACCACUGCUGGGUACUUCAAUAUUGGCGAUUUUAUUCCGUCCAUCGCAUGGCUGGACAUCCAAGGGAUCGAGCGCGGGAUGAAGCAUUUACAUAAGAAGUUCGACAAGUUAUUGACAAGGAUGAUAGAGGAGCACACGGCAUCAGCCCAUGAGCGCAAGGGAAACCCAGAUUUUCUGGACGUAGUCAUGGGCCAUCAAGGAAAUUCUACAGGGGAGAAGCUCACCCUUACCAACAUUAAGGCGCUCCUCCUGGUAUGCAUAGUUAAAGCUCGUCUUUAAUUUUGUUUUCCGAUAUUUUCUUUCCGGAAACAGCACUUUUAUUGCUUUUAGAUAUGUACGUUUUUAUCAGGUAGCCAUUUUAGGGGCACAUCACUGUUCUUUAUUUGCAUUUUUUUUUUGUCUUUUUCCACUUGCAUGGUUGUUUUCAUAUGCUCAGCUGCAUGGCACAGGAAAAUUGGGAAAAAUGAUUGGUUCUCUGAUCAGACCUUCUGCACCAAAACACACUUCUCUCUAUUUUAUAAAAUCAAGAACAUUUAUGGUUUACAUGAUUUUUCGAACUUGAACUUUUGCUAGGGCUAAUGCAUGGAUCUCAAUUUUCAAUUGCGUUUGAUUACAUAAAUUUCAAGUAUGUCACCAUAUUUUUGUUUCCUUGGCUAGAAUUUAUUUACUGCAGGAACAGACACUUCAUCAAGCGUAAUCGAGUGGUCUCUGGCUGAGAUGUUGAAAAACCCGAGCAUCCUCAAGCGUGCUCACGAAGAAAUGGAUCAAGUGAUUGGAAGGAGCCGGCGGCUCGUGGAGUCUGACUUACCAAAACUUCCAUACCUACAAGCCAUAUGCAAGGAAAGCUUCCGGAAGCACCCAUCCACCCCAUUGAACCUUCCUCGUGUCUCAGCCCAGGCAUGUGAAGUGAACGGCUACUACAUCCCAAAGAACACUAGACUUAGCGUGAACAUAUGGGCAAUCGGGCGAGACCCUGAUGUCUGGGAAAGCCCGGAAGAAUUCAGGCCAGAAAGGUUUUUAAGUGGAAGAAAUGCAAAAAUUGAUCCUCGUGGAAAUGAUUUUGAGUUGAUCCCGUUUGGGGCUGGACGAAGGAUUUGUGCUGGCACUAGAAUGGGAAUAGUGCUAGUUGAGUACAUUUUGGGGUCGUUGGUACACUCAUUUGACUGGAAAAUGCCGGAUGGAGUUGAGAUCAACAUGGACGAAGCUUUCGGGCUUGCUUUGCAGAAGGCAGUUUCUCUUUCGGCUAUGGUGACACCUAGGCUUCACCAGAGUGCGUAUGCAGUCUGAGCUCAAGCUGUUCAGAUCAAAACCCAGGGCUAGCUACUAUAUGGCAUGGAUUUGUUUUAGUUUCCUUUGGGUUAGUAUAACUGUAUAAGAUGUAUUAGCUCAAAGAUUGGGAGUUUCAUUCUACCACCAAGCCAUAUGCCUAUCCGUGAUCUAUAAAUUUAGCUUCGGUUUGGUUAUAGUUUCUAUUUUUCUUUUGUCUUCGUAAUCAGUAAAUAAUAGUAACCUUUAUAUAAAAUAUAGUAACUCUUCACAAAUUUUGCAUUGAAAAAAAUAAUAGUUUUAAAAUCUGUUUAAAAAAAUUAAGGUGCAUUAAAAAAUUUUAAUAUAUCAAAUUUAAAAAAUUUUAAAAAUAAUUUUAAAGAUAUAAAAAAAAUUAUAUUUUUUGUAAAAGAGUUUUACUUUUUGUAUAGAACAUAUUACGGUUUUGUAUUUUAAAAACAGAAUACGAGGAAUGUAUCCAAAUGUACAUUUAGUAAUAUUUUACUGAAAAUUUUAAAGGUUAGAUAAGAAAUAAACAAAAAUUAAAAUCUAAUUGCACUAUUAUUUUAAGGUUAAUUCUGUCAUGGGUAUUCAUCAAUUUUUUAAGUUAAUUAUGCUUAAGGUCUUUACUAAAUAAGAAGAGGAAAUUUUGGUAAUUAAUUAAAUUUAAAAAAUAUAUAAUAAUAAUAUAUUAUAUUGUAUAUAUGCUAAAGAACCAUUAGAGAUGACAAUUAGGCAGGGUUGAGAUGAGAUGGGUCACUCCCAUCCUGUUUACAUAGUUUAAUUCUCAUGAGCUAAUAAAAAAAAUUAAAUGGGAGGGAAAGGGUGUGAGAAUUUUCCAUAUCCACUUGGUACCAUCCUUUAUAAUUUCUUUUUAAAAUUUAAUUUUCAAAAAUGUUUAAUUACAUUAAAAAUAAUAUAUAUUUUAUAAAUAAAGAAAAUAUUAUAAUUUUUUAUAACUUCUUUUAUUAAAAAUAAAUUUUAAAUCAAAGAAAGGGGUAUUUUUGUCCAUUCAGGGUCUUUUUUUUUUUUGUCGAGGCACUAUUGGAAAAAAGGCCAACAGUAACACUUCUGCAUCAUUUUCCAACUUGUCAUAAUAUUUGGAUGUGUUCCAUUAUUGAAGCUCUAGGUAAGGAUUUUCUUCUCCACCUUGAAGAGCCAGACAUAUCAUCCAAAAGCCCCCAGACACUAAUGGACUCAACCUUUUAUAUGUUUAUACACUACUCUUAUCCAACAUACUUCCAAAUUGAAUAGCCGGUGAAAUCAAGUAAACCCAACAAUGUCCAUCCAUUCCCAUGUCUCCACGCUAUUUCUCCUUAUAGUCUUAAUAUUAUCUGGAUCCAUUGCCAUCACAGGUCAAUUAAAGAAGCAACUGUCUAUGACUUCCAAGGUCAGCCUGGUCAGGUAAGUUAUGAUCCAAAGCUCAAUUUUUCUAACAAUAGUUAGCUUAUAUUUUGGUUCUCAUCCCCUCAAUAAAGACAUGAACAGAUAUACCCAAUUAUUUUCAAUCAAAUUCUUAGAAGGGGAAAAUCUUUUCUGUAGGUGAUGUACGUGUCUUGGAAAUUUCUAUUACUUAUCCUAAGAAGUUUGUGUGUGGUUGUCAGGAAAAGGGAAGUUACUGUUUCAUCUCUAUAGCAUAUUAAAAUGUAGAAAAUUGAAUUCAUUAAUUUUCAAUUUUUUCUCAUUCUACUCAGGGUAAGUGUCCUUCGGAACUUGAACAUGCAGAAAAGAUUAAAAAAAAUAAAAAAUAACAGAAUUAGAAUAUGAACAUGUACGUGAAUAUGCACUAUGAUACUACACGCCAAAAAAGACAAAAAGCUUAGACAUGUUUGCUAAAGGACAAGGUGACUAGAAGAGUGAAAAGCGUGUAGAGCAUCUAGUCAGGGUCACCAUUACAAAAAGAAGAAAGGAAAACUUGUGUUUUGAUGGGGCCAUUUGGGAAAUAUUUGGUUUUCGAAACCCAAUUUUAUGAAAUCUAAAAACCAUCUUUUAAUGUGGAAAGUUAUAUACUUUUCAUGCACUUUGAGUCGGGUGCAUAUUUUGUGCCGAGAUUGCCCCUUCGGGAUCCAGGUCAGUAGCAUCCUAAGGCCAUGUUAGCAAGGGCCAAAAUGGAACCGCAGAAAAACUCCAAAAUCAAAAUCUGAUCUUCCCAAAAAAACACCCUAGUCGAUGGUUCUUUCACCCCUUUCUCUCAUUUGAUACCCAUUUCUCUCAUAUUUCUUCACUUCGUCACCGAGGCAAAGCAAAGAACCGUGUAUAGUUUUAAAAAAUUUCUCUCAUUUCAGUUCAGAAGCCCUUAAUCCCAAACUCCAAUCUACACUUUUCUUUCUUCAGCCCCUUCUCCUCUCAAAGUCUUGACUAGUCGUACCUGAUCGUCCCAAUUUCCUCAUCCCAAACUCCAAUCACCUGUACAUUUUGAUUGAAAUUCUGGUUUAGGCCAGCGAACUAGAAUGGAAACAACAACUAUGAUAUAUUGGUUUCAUGAAGAAGAAAUCUCCUCUUCGUGUCAUUGGGUGGAAUUUUGCCCUAACCUCCACAGAAAAUUUUAAGGUAAUUAAUUUGUAUUUAGGGUUGUUUUGAUUUUAUUUUAUUUUUCAAAUGGAGCACAAGAGCGAUUGUGGAGUGGUAAUUGUAGUUCGAAUUUUGUGUGCAUUGGUGAGGCCAUAGCUUGAGGCGCAUGUGGAUUUUGGACGGCAUGAUCAGAUGGUCAAUCUCUAUCUUUUUGUGGAUUGGAGGCUCAUGAAAUGUAAAAUGAAAGUGGUAAUUUAUUUUUGAUUGUCAAAAGAAUGUUGUGGAGAUAUGUAGAUAUUAGGUAGAAGACCUUUGUUUUUUUUGACAUUUUUAGACUGAUGGUAAUUAACGAUGACAACAAUUAGGCAAGAUCAUUUUUUGGCAAAAAAAUUCAUAAUUAAAUCAUAUUUGUUGAGACUAAAAAUAAUAAUAAAAAUAAUAAUUCAAAUGCAUAAAUUAUGUGCUAGUUAGUAUAAAUUGUUGGUAGUGUUUGUGAAUUUGCAAUGUUUGUUGGAUUGUGAGGGUACAUCUUUUGCAAAUCGUGUGUGGUUUGAUUAACAUGUUUUUCUUUAUUGGGAAUGAUUUCAUUGUUGUAGUCUUUCAGAUUUUCUUUGUAGAAAGACUGAAUUUUAGUGAUGAUAUGAAAUAAAACCAUUAUAAUCUCCUUUGAGCAAUAUUUAAAAUAUUUCAUUAUGAAAUUUUGUAAGCUUGGCUUUCAUUAAUUAUAUCAUAUUGAUCCAUCCAACCAUUAUUAUUUCUCCUUUUUGCGAUAGUCAAAACAUUUUAUCUACAAAGGAAGUGUUUGCAAAUUGAUUUGAUGUUGGAAACAUUUUAUCUUAAUGAACCUUAGGUACUACCCUAAUGCACCUUAGGUACUACCUUAAUGAACCUUAGGUACGACCUUAAUGUACCUCAGGUACUACCUUAAUGCACCUUCAAAAAAUUGUGCCCUUAGGUCACUAAAGACAAUUCUUUCAUUGCAUUACAUAUUGGAGCAUGACUUGGUUAUGUUGUUAUUGGUAACUCAAUGGUGAGCUUAUGUAAUCAUACCAGGAUCAAGGUACAACCCUAAUGCACCUUAAGUACUAUCUUAAUGAACUUGAGCUACUACCUUAAUGUACCUCAGGUACUACUUUAAUGUACCUUAGGUACUACCUUAAUGCACCUUCGAGAAAUGUUGCUUUUCUGUGAUUGAAGACACAAUUAUUUCAUUGCAUUAUAGAUUGGAGCAUGGCAUUGUUAUGUUCUAUUUGUUACUUAAUCAGUAGCUUAUGUAAUUAUAACAAAUUUAAGGUACUACCUUAAUGCACCUUAGGUACGACCUUAAUGAACCUAAGGUACUAUCUUAAUGCACCUUCGAGAAAUGUUGCUCUUCUAUGGCUAAAGAGACAAUUAUUUCAUUGCAUUACAAAUUAGAGCAUGACAUUGUUAUGUUCUUAUUGGUUACUCAAUCGAUAGCUUAUGUAAUCAUAACAAAUUUAAGGUACUACCUUAAUGCGCCUUAGGUAUGACCUUAAUGAACCUGAGGUACUACCUUAAUGUACCUCAGGUACUACUUUAAUGCACCUUCAAGAAAUGUUGCUUUUUUGUGACUGAAGACACAAUUAUUUCAUUGCAGUACAAAUUGGAGCAUGGCUUUGUUAUGUUCUUAUUGGUUACUUAAUCGGUAGUUUAUGUAAUCAUAACAAAUUUAAGGUACUACCUUAAUGCAUCUUAGGUACGACCAUAAAGAACCUGAGGUACUACCUUGUACCUCGGGUACUACCUUAAUGCACCUUUGAGAAAUGUUGCUCUUCUGUGAUUGAAGACACAAUUAUUUCAUUGCAGUAUAGAUUAGAGCAUGGCAUUGUUAUUUUCUUAUUGGUUACUCAAUCAGUAGAUUAUAUAAUCAUAACAAAUUUAAGGUACUACCUUAAUGCACAUUCGAGAAAUGUUGCUUUUCUAUGAUUGAAGACACAAUUAUUUCAUUACAUUGCAGAUUGGAGCAUGGCAUUGUUAUGUUCUUAACCUCUUGGAUGAAUAUUUUCAAAUUUAUGCACAAUCUUCUAAGCAUAAGCCAUUUGUUAUUGUAUGGUGUCUCAUAUUAAUUUUUCAAUUGUCACCUUGUAAUUUAAUUGUUAGUGUAUGGUUUAAAAUUUAUGAUCACAUAUUCAGAUUUUAAAAUCUACAAUCGUGUGCUGUCAUCUCUAUUUUGAAACUGCAUUUGAUAGACUCAUUCUUGCUAUUGAAAUAUACAAAUUCUGAUAUAUGCUUUGCGUUUUUCAUCUCCUAUCCAAAUUAAGGAUGACAUGUGAGUGGACCUUCACCAGAUGGUGUAUACACCUCGAUGGUGUCUUACUUUUAGACAUCUCCUUGGCAAUGUAGUGAAUUAGUGUUACUGUGAUGUGUUGCUUAUGAUAUUCUGGAUGGUGUCUUAUGAUAGUCCACCAUGCUUGUGUUUGGAAAAAUAUAGACUUAUGGUCUUAUCUACCUUAUCAAGUUGUACACGGUAUUUAUAGUUGGUUUAUUUCUAAAUUUAUACGGUGCAUCGUAUAAUGUCUCUGAUUUUUGUGUGCAGGACUUCGAAGUUGAUGAACUCUCACAAAUAUUUCUUUUUGUAUCAGAAUUUGUAGAUUGUAUGAAGUAAAGGAUGAUCAACCUACAGAUGCAUUUUGGAACCCUCUUUACCCCUUGCAACGGAGGAUGUUGUUCCUUUAAGAGAGCAAGUGGCAACUCUUGAAGAUUAACAUCAGGAUUCUCAUAUCCCAAAUGAUGUUAAGUUAAGGCCUGGAUGAUCAGGAGAGAUUUCCAUCAUCAGUAGGAGCUCAACCAAAUAUGAAGAAGAUGAGGAAAUACCACAUAAAAAAUAAGAGGAAUCUAGUCACUAGGGCUGAAGCCUGAUAGAUCAAGAUUUCAAGGUCGUGGAAGAGGAACAAGGAGAGGAAGCGGAAAGAGUGGCAUUUUGGCUCAAUCUAGAAUUUCAUUUGGGUUGAAUCCAGUCAUUUUGGCUGCACAUUCAUGUCCACCGUCUUUGGCAUCAGAAGAGGAACUCAUGAUAAAGACAACAAAAUUAUGGAUGGUUCAGAUUUGGCCUAUUUUAGUAGUUAUGUUCAAUUAUUUUAAAAAGUCUCUAUUAUUAGUGUCUUGAGUUCACAACUAAUGGGACUUUGGAUUCUCUUUGUUGGAAGAUUACUUGAUGACCGGUUCUUAAAAUAAAUCCAAUUCAGAACAAGCAAUUCAAAUAUAUAACAUUGCUUAUUAUUAAUCUAAUUAUUAUUAUUAUUAUUAUUAUUAUUAUUAUUACCUUUGUUGAUAAUCAAAUGCAGUUUUUAAAAAACCCCACAAAAUGAUGCGCAAAAUGAAUAGUUGACAAUUUGUGGGAAGUGCAUUCUCAUCAUAUCCGGGUAUGGUUGCCACAUUAAUAUGCCAUCACACAACCCUGUUGAACCCAAUAUCUGAUAUCAAACCUAAAGAUUUCUCUUUCUUUUCCUAAGAUGAUUUAAUAAGAUUGUUAUUAAAUAAAAGAAAAGAAACUCGUGAUAGGAAGAAAUUCAUCCACAUGCUUAAGGUCAUCUCAGCACCUUACAAUCUCAUCAAAUCACCAGUGCCACUACUCUUGAAUGUUUCCUUACGAAUACCAACCAAUGUCUUCACCAUCACCCAUGAGACCUGAAUUUGUCACCAUGGUUUAGAGCAUUCAGUUUCAAAACCAUGGUCCUUUUAUUUUAACUACAAUUGUAGAGGCCACUAGCAUGGAAUAGAACAUUGAAAUAUGGAAAACAUAUUUAAGAAAUGCCUGAUCUUCAUUAAGAUUUUCUCACUAAAACGAAACACAAACAUAGUCCAUGGAAUUUAUACCUUAGCAUAAUUAUUAUACCAUAGUCAACAAACCAAAGAAACCUCCAAACUACCAAAAACCUUGAGAGAAAUUGCUAUCUAAAACCUUACACACCAACUAAUUAUGAAAGGAAUACCCAUAAACAAGGUACUACACUGACCAUAGAAGGAUAAACUGAAAGAUGAUCAAGUUAGAAAUAGAAAUUUCCAGUCUCUGUGUCUCAUUUUCCUAUUAAAUUAUUACUUUUUCCGAUAAAAAUGUUGUCACUUUGGAUCACAGUUGAAAAACUAAUAUGUUGUUGAAUCAGUCACCAAUGCACCACGGACGCGCACAUUUCAUCAACAUAACAAAUUAUCACCUAUUUACUUUUCUCCAUGUUCUUCCUUCCUUUCCUACACAUUAUUUCACAUUAAUCAACAACCCUAUUACAGUCAUGAAAAUCCUCACUUGAAGAGGAUUGAAUAAUUGAUUUAUUAGUGUACUAAUUUUGAUCAUAUGGAAAGAUGAGUUUGCUUGAUACAAUCUGAAGAAGGAGGAUAACAUAUGACCUAGUAUGAGAUUGCUCCCUCUCGUAGGCUAUAGUACCAGCAUCACCAGGCAGUCUUUGUUUUCCUUACGCGUUGUCCAUUGAUGUACAUAAACUCCUGACUAUCACUAUGACCAAAAUCCUAUUGUUACAAUGGUUAGUGACAAACAUAUAUAGAACACAAAUAAUGGUUUUACAAUGGGAAGAAAACCACAUUAGCCCACAAGAUAACCAUUCAGUCAUUUCUAGACAAACUACAAUCAAGCAUUGCUUUAUAGGGCUAGUAGCAUCAGUUAGGAAAAUACUUAUCAUCAACCAUCAGUCCCAAUUGAUAGGAGUCCAUAAUUUUAUCUCUGACGUUGUUCCGUUCAUUGAGCAGUAACUUCACAACUAGCUGGAGUCGGUACAUGUGCAUCUUGUCCUACAGAAGUCGGAACAACUGAUUUCAUGUUUUUGGAUAAAAUAAAAAGAUAAACAGUACAAAUUAGGGUGUAAACCAACUCUAACCUCUACCAAUGAAGUACUUAAGGUUGCUUAAUUCCAAAAUUCCAUGAAGUUAAGAGCGAUGAUACCACAUUCGUACCUAUAACACAUCACGCUUAGGCUUGUCAUGUAGAUGAUUGAAAUAUGAGAAAUAUAAUUAAAUGCAAAUGACUUUAUUGCUUAGAAUAUAUGAAUCUUUUACCCAUUAAGUUGUUGGACAAGAUGUGGUUGCACAUACACAAAUUUUGAGACAUCCAGGUCCAUGUGAAUUCCAUGUGCAUGCAGUGCUUUGUGGAUAACCACUGAUAAUCACCUGGUUGAUGCACUAAUGUUGUUCCCCCAUCGCAAUGGCAAAAAUGAAAGGAUCUCAACUCGUCUAAUCGGAAAGUUGACCACGUGUAAGUGCCAGUGAUUGUUUUCACAUACGGGGAUAAACAACUGCAUGUUCAUUACAGAGUUAUUAGGUUUUACGUUAUUAGAUAACAGUCAUGGCAAAUGCCAUUGCAUAUAUUAUUAAGGAAAGUAACUUUAACAAGCAUUAUUUACCAAAUCACAUGUUCCCAGAUCAUGACCCAAUAUGUCAGCAUCCACAUACAUGCGACAUCUGUCCAUGAUGACCUAGCUGGUUGCAUUUGCUUUCAGGUUGUUGAGAACAACCUGUUCAAGGGUGAGAUUAAUCAAUACAAACAUCAACAAAUACUAUUCUAUUUUGACACCAUCUAAAUUUAGGAUAUUAGAGGGUCCACCAAGAACGAAGGAUCAAAAUAGUGUGCUCACGCUGGUGGUGCUUGCUGUCCAUUCAACAUGUGGGACAUAAUCGCCAUAAUCUGAAAAAGUUAUGGAAAUGCACAUAUUUUACAACCUCAAUCUACACUUUAUGCAUUCAUAUUACCUAUUAAUUGGGAAUUCAAUUCAACUAAAGGACAAGUAACUUACCACAGAAUUAACCCACCGCCUUACAUUUAGACAAGACAUUUCUUCCCCGGUAAUGUACAUCCCAUACAUCUCGCACAAAAUCUCAUUACAAUGAUAGAAAAGGAUUUUUGUCAUAUUGAUGUCAAGUUAUUCACAUAUUAUAUCACUGUAACAAUCAUUGGUACAAAAAAUAAAUGUACCUAGGAUCACCAUUUUAUGCCAAUGCGCAAUCCGCUACUACCCUAUCAGCAUGGGGGAUUUUAGGGAAUGUUUAACGCAUUACACGACAAACGGGCUUUUGCAAGUGGGAGGAUGCUUGACAAUCCUCUUAGCAGUCCGCUUAAAUCUCCUCAUAAAUGAAAGUCUAACUAAUUGGCUGCCACUUCCACUUGCCCCAUCAUUUUCCAAUGCUUCUUCUAUUCUCAAUUCUGGUGGAAACGAUGACACUACAUGAAAUUGUGGGGACAGUGACUGGGAAUUAAUGGCUGCUGGUGAUGCUUCCAUUCCAAUUAGCGAGUGGGGGGUUGUUGCGAGGCUGUCUUGUGGUACCAUUUCUUCAGCUGAAGGCUACUUGUCCGAUGUCUCGUGCCUUGGUUGAUAUUCAGCUGGCUGUGCUGUCUGUGGGCAAGGGACUGAAGAAGUCCUGUCUAAUCCACAACGCCGAGAACGUAAUGCAACAACAUCCCGUGCCAAAGAGGAAGCUAAUCUCAGCAUAGUCUCUAAUGUCUCAAUGAGACGAGCUUCAAGUACCUAUUACAUAGUGGGAAAUUUUAUAUACUUGUAUUCAUUGUAUGGAAGAAUUGGUAUACGUGGUGAGUGGGCAUGUACUAUCUCGGUAGCAUUGUCAGAAGUUAAGAAUGUUGAAGCUACUAAUGGUACAUUCAAGUGGGGUGUGCUUUCUGGUUGCUUUUGUGCCUGCGUGUUGCAUCAACAGUUCAAUGUGAUAAUCAACAAAUUGGUUAUUAGUUGAAUAAGCUAAUAUUGUUUAUAAAAUGUAGGGAAAUAUUUGUUAAGUUAGAGCAUACAUGCACAUGUCCAUAAGCACCGAAUGUUGAUAUUUUAGCUGCUAAUCGGCAUUUGAUUACUUCAUCACUCCAAGCGACAACUAGCGGGCUAGUAACUUCAAUUUUAUUGACGGCAUGUAGAAGUAUGCCAUGAAGAACAACUGUGCAAGGGUAGUAUAUGAGACGAGGAACAUUAAAAAAGCAAAUUGCAGUAAACAUGACAUUCAAAUUAAAAUGUAAACUAAGUUCAUCCUAAUUACAUAAUGUGUUGGAGCCUUUAUUGUACCUGUAGGAACAUGAGGCAGCCUCAGAUGUAAGUAGGAUGAUUUUUGCAAUAAUCCCUGAUUCCAUCCUCUAAGUAUUGGAACACAAACUUGGCCCAAUUCCUUUGGACACCAACAUCACCAUCCCAAAUGGUAUUCCAAAGGCCAUAGAUCCCUUCAAGCUUUGAGUUUGGUGCCAGCAUAGUGGCACAUGAAAAAAUUAAAAAUGAUUUUAAGAAUUCAUCACAAACUGGCUGAUUCUCAAGGUUUUGCUCCAGUAUGCAGAGGCUGUAUGUGCGAUUGAUCGGGGCUGUUCUUUUAAGGACAACCAUGUCUAACCCGGUACUAGGGAUGGCCAUGACCCUAUUGACAUGUUCUUCAUUGAUAGGGAUAGCAUUGUCGAUUGCCAUAUUCAGUUUAUGUAAAGUCGUAUUGAGAAAUGAGCCACCCACAUAGCUCAUACCUCAGUUCGCGACAUGCAAAGCUCAAUAGUCCCCUAAAGCCCAUCUCCUUAAUGGCUUGUUGUUUUUCAUCGAAUAGACAUGCAAUGACACUAAUAAAUUUCUUCCUUGAAAAACGGGACUUAGGAAGCUUUUCCUAUAGUAAAAAUGUAAUAUUUGUUAGUGACAAAAAAAUGCAAGAUAUGGAAAUUUGGAAUAAGGUUGAAAAUGAAGAUUCAAUCCAUUUUGGAAUGAAAACUCUUUUGUCAAUAUGUGUACAUGUUGGUGGAAUGUGCUCUUUCAUUUUUCUGUGUUCUAUGGCCAUGUCUAUAGUGAGAUAACCUUAUGUUUGGAAGAUGAAACUGAAAACUCAAGUUUUGAGACCCUACAAAUUAAAGACUGUUAGCGUAAAGUGUCGUAUGGUAAUGCAUAAGGCAUGAAAAAGUUCAUUUACAAAUAAAUUAUAAGAGUCUAGGAAAAAUAAACAUAGAUUUGGAAAAAAUUUGAACAAUACACUAAUAAAUGGAAGCUACCAAUAAGAAAAUUAACUAGUUUUCUUCUUAACCAACCAAAUAGUUGAAUAUUAAGGACAACAACAAUAACUAUUAGUUGCACAAUUAGUAUAAUAAAGUGAAACAAAUUUUUUGUUUAACUAUUAGAUGCAAUUUUCUAGGAAAUCAAUGGCCUUAUACAUAGUCAAGAGUAUGAAUAUGAUAGUUGUAAAAAGGAGUAAAAUUGAGACAACUAUGGCUUUCAAAAAAUUGAAAUUGAUUUAUGUGAGUGUGAUUGGUUUAGCACAAGUUCAACACUUGUGAAACAUCAAGAAGAUAGGCAAGUUUUUGAAGGGCACAGAGAAAAGUUCUAAACAUGAUCUUGCUGCUGGCCAAAAUAGUCAAGUGUAGGGAUUUACUUCUGCUAAUAAAUUAUGCAGACAUUUGUAUUUGCAAGUUUAAUAUGAAAAGAAGGGAUCCAACAAGUAAAUACGGUUCUAUGAUAAUCCAUUCGACACAAGGAUCCCAUUAUACCCAGUUUAAAAUAACCGCAUAUAAUAAAAAAGUCAUUGGCAAUAUCUAUGAUAGUUAUUCCUCAUCUUAAAACUUUGAAAAGUUAUAAGAUCGAGUUUUUUCCUAAUUUACACCAGGCUCAUGUUUAACUAGUUUAAAGUCAAUAAAAAAUAAUGAACAAACCAUAAUUUUCAAAACUAUGACAAGACUCACAAACAAGUCAACAAGCAAUAUCAGAACUUUAGUGCCCAUCUUAGAAUUUUAGCAAGUUACUAAAGACAAAUAGAGUCAUCUUGGAAAGCAAAGCUCAUAUUUUAAGAUUGAACACUCCUAGCAACUGAAAGUUAUAUAUCUACAUAAGAAAAAAAUUUAAAUAUUUCCAAAACAUAAAUUUUAUAGAUGCAAUGUAAGUCAAAUUUGUUUUUGUCCAAAACAAAAAGAACUUUACAUUCAACAAUGCCCUAGUAAGCACCUAUAUGUUGCAAGAAUUCUUAUACAACAUUAAAAAAUGGGAUAAUAACCACCAUGUAUGUAGUUAGACAAGAUAAGUGGUGGUGACGGGAGAAAGGGGGAAUGGUGGAAAACAAAGUAUAACAAAAUAUUCGGAUUGAACAGUAUACAUGGAUAUAUAUAUAUAUAUAUUAUGUUGGAGAUGAUUGUCCAAUCCCCAGAAGGGAAAAAUGUAAAUAAUAAUAUUAAUAACAAUAAUAAUUAUUAUUAUAAUAAUGUGUAGAAAAAAAAUCUAAUAUCAAUAGUACAUCAAUAAUUAAGGGAUAUGAUAGCAAAAAAAGUUGGCCCUGUCAGGAGUACAACAUAUAUAAUAACAUAGUUCAGUUUGAUAAUGAAUUCUAAUAGAAUGAAACCUAUAUCUAAUGGAAGGGAGGGAUGUGUUUUUGAAACUGAAUAUGUUAUGAAAGAAAAUUUGGAUUCUUUGCCAUUCAUCUUGGUUUACAAGUGUUGGACAUGUACGACAUGAAUGUUGGUUCAUUUCUGGUUAGGAAGGGUCUUUAAUUUAACUCAAUGGACAUAGCAAGUGACAGCAAAGGUACAAAACAUUGACAUAGUAACACUCAUUCAAUGAGAACCAAUUCACUUAAGUUAGUUCAAAUAUGGUAGUACAAGAUCUGAACAAUGCAAUAAGGUGACAGAUAUGCAUUGAAGGCAAAUGAUUCUUGCACGUUUUUCUGUUGUGGUCGAACAUAUGACAACAAGAGCAAUAGACCGUCCGUUUAUCUUGAAAUUGGGACUUAAUGCGCUUCUUCCUUGGCCUUCCGGGAGGCCCUUUGUAUGUGAAGGCUUUAGAGAGAAGAAAACCUCCCUAGUGAUAGAUCGAACCAAACCAUCAUCAUUGUAGUAAUCAUUAAUGAAAUUAGUAAUGUUUUGGCCAAUGAAAAUGAUGGCAGCUGCAACAUGUUCACAAGGGAUUCCCAACAUUCGCCAACCCCUAUAAGUGCACAUAUGGUUCAUAAUGUCUACAUUCAACAAGGCCCUCCCGAUACAUGCCCCAAAUGCUCCAUUCAUGAACGGUGUGACCGGAUACACCUCACCAUUUUCAAUAUUUUGCAGCACCUUAUCUUCAAUUUUUGGGCCUAUAAACCUUUUCUUAUUGUUGGACUCUUCUUGAUGCUUCACAAGCAUAGAACCUAACUUGGACAUGUGCUCCAAUAAAAAGUUACAAAUGUAGUGAUGUUUUUCAUUCUGUAAGCAAGCAUUAAAUGACUCGGCAAGGUUGGUAGUCAUUUUAUCCUUUUUUUUUUUUUUUUAGGAAUUUUGGCAUGGCCUAAUAGUUGAUUCGAGCCCAAUCGGUGUCUCAGCUGAUUCAUGUCCAGCUGGUGCUCCUUGAUUGAGGUAGUAAUCAACAAAAUUUAUAACCUAUUACACCAUGAACUAGGGUAGCAAAGACAAAGCUACUAUAGCAUAGUGGCUCUAGGAUCGUUCACUGGGAAGGGUUUUCAACUCUCAACUGAUACCAAUUCAAAGCUGAGUUGGUGCUUUUUCAUUUCAAGGUUAGCUUUAAAAGAAAACAUAAAGAUGUUUGAGUGAAAAGGGUUUGGUCUUAAACUAACCAAAAAGAAAGUAAUGGAAAUUACUUAUGAAGAAAAACAUUCCUUGGAGGUUUAGGUUCACAGGGGAGGUUCCUUAUGCAAAAACAGAGCUCCGAUCAUUUGGUUCAUUUCCUCGCAUUAGAGAAUUAACAUAAAGUCAAUUCUCUAACCGGUGCGGUACAGCUGCUUCCCUUUAAUGGGUUCAAACACUAAAUCCCUCUCACUGAUGCAACUUGCAAUGGCUCGUGCCUCUCACCUAGCAUUUUCCAUUCAAGGUGAUCUUUAACCUUGGACUUCCCUUCUCAAGCUCGCAAGAGAUAACUAAUGGAUGUCUCCUUGGAGUCCAAAAUCUUACCAAGUGUUGGCAAUUCUAGAAAAUCCUACUUCCAAGUCACUUCCCAAAAGCUCGCAAGAGAUAAACAAGUGCAUCUCCAUGGACGGAGAUAAUGUGCCUUACCAAGCGUUGGCUCAAGUGACUUGGAGGUGUUUUAAGUUAACUAAAAACAUAGAAAUCAUUAAAGGAUCACACUUUCUCUUCAUUAAUGACUGAAACCACACAACUAUUAACUCUUGCACUUGGAACCUUUCCCGGCAACCUUAACUCCAAGGAACUAAAAGUCUAGCCACUCAUUCUCUGAGGAAACUUCCUUAGAGUUUGUUUGGCUAGUAAGAAAACUAACGAGAAAACAAAUAUAUGAAGGAAAAACAGAGCAAGUGCUCUCUGAAAUAUAUUUCUUCCUUCCCUGAUUACAUAAUAAUCCCUUUGUAAAGAAAAUUACAAAACUAUAUAUAUGAGGUUAUUCACCAUUUUUACUUACUUAAAGACUAAGGAAUCCUAUGAUAAGUGGAUUACAAGGAGAGUUUGUGGAUUUAGACAACAAAUAUCUAAAGCAAAAUAUCCCAAAAUAUCUCAAAAUGUCGGUCGGAAAUAUCAGGAAGCUUCAGGAGAACACUGCUGCACUGUAUACUGAGAAAAAACUCUGCCGACAAGCGUUAUCAGAAGGUCCGGAUAUGUUUAUUCGAAGAAGUUGAAGCGUCCUCCUCUCCUAUCUGGCUAUGAAAUAUCCGGAUGUAAAAUGUCAGCGCACGGAAUUCCGGAUAUGAAAUGUCGGUGCACGUAUCCAGAUGUAAAAAUGUCGGCGCACGGAAUUCCAGAUAUGAAAUGUCCCGCGCUGCCAAGCUAUCCGGAUCAACUCCAUCCGGAUUCCCCUAAGAGGACAUGCGCGCCAUGCUAUCCUGCUCUCGUGAACAUCACAUUCCGGAUGAUAACACAUCCUAUCCGGAUAUAGUGUCCGGAUGGAAAACAUUGACUAAAGUGAGCAAGCCUUGCUACAGCCCACGUUCCGCCACUCUCCAAUGGUGUGUCCGGACGCCCUGUCCAGACAUUUUUUGCCAUGGAUUCCAAAGAACUCUCCUCAAUCUUGGAUUGCUUUGGUGAUAAAAAAGCUAUCAAACACCAAAACUUAACACAAUUUGAUUAAAAUUGAUUGUCAGGGUCCUUAAUAUGUUAAUUGGGUUAAAAAGUGAUAACUACUGCUCAAAAGUGUUUAAAAGAGUUUAUUACAAGCUAUCAAAUAGCACUUUUUGAGUAGUAAUCAAUAGCCCAAUGGCAAGACACAUUUUCUUCAACCCAUGUGGCUAAAGCAUCAUUGUAUUUUUUUAGUUCAAACAUGGAAACGUUAUAAUCAUGUUCUAACCUUGCAUACACAAUACUAUCUAGGAAUUGAAGUGCAUUUUCUUUACCCUUGUUCCCUCGUGUGUUAUGCUUGGACAAGAAACUACUAAAAUUCUCCUUCAAGUGACGAUAGCAAUAGGCAUGGUUUUCAAGGUCAAACACCUCAAGAACACUACAAAGGAGAGCAAGAUGUCUAUCUAAGAUAAUAAUAAUUUCCUUGUUUCCAACAACUAUCUUCAAUUUUUCCAAGAACCACAACCAAUCUUCAUAAUUUUUCGAGCUCAUCACUCCAAAGGCAUGAAGUUAUUAGCAUUGUAGGUGGUGGCUGAAAAUAGUGCACCGCCAUUUGGCCCACUCAUGUGGUCCGAAUCAAUUGCAAUGAUUGGUCGACACCCCAUUACAAACCCUUGGAUAGAUAUUGAAUGAGCAAGAAAAAACUGCUCAAAAUGGCCAUCAUCAGAAUAACUCAACUCAACGCUCAAUCUUGGAUUUGUUGCAAGCAUUCUUUCACACAUCCAUGGCAACAAUUUGUAAUAAUUUUUUGGUAGUCCAUAAAUAGCUCCUUAGCAUUCUCCUUUAUUUUCCAUGCUUGAAGGUAAGUCAACUGGAUGCCAUGUUGCCUUACAAAGUCCUUACAAAUUUGUCGUGGUUGGUAUUCAGGAGUAGAUCAAACGACAUCAUCAAUGACCAAUGAGGCACAAGUGGAUCUCACUAAAGGUUGAGACAAGGCAAUAUCUCCCAAGCAAUGGUUAUGUACAUUUUGAAAUGUGCGUACUUGAACAAUGUUUGAAUCCCCUAUUGCACGAGCAGUGAUUUUCCAAGGACAAUCUUCAAUUGUGCAUACUACAGUCAUGCGUUUUGAACUAUUCAUUUUGUAAGAAUAUUGGAAUUUUCUAGCCAAAUACAUCAAAUAGAUUGCAUCUCGAAACUCUGAGACAUUUGGGAAGGUAUGUCCACUACCUAUAAUUGAAUGUCGGAACCGGCUUGGUUGAAGUUGAAUGAUAUUUGUUUCAGCACAUAUUUGGGAAAACCCAAAUGACUCAAUUGUAGGCGACUCAUUAGAUAUGUUGCAAUGGGGGCUCACCAAUGGAGGAAACAUGUGCCGAGUUUGAAACAACAAUAGGUGUUGGGGCACUGCGAAAAAAACAGGGAAAGAAAUUGAUCAUCCAUCAGCCUAUGUGUGAAAGUUGAUUAAAAAGGGAAAAUUAUUAUGGGAAGACAUUAGGUACCUAGUAAGGGCAAUGAAGCCAGCACCACCUUCAACACAUUGGCAGACAUAGACACGACAAAACAUGUUAUUAAUUUAAACAUCUUGACUAUAUCGGCAUUAUUAUUCAUCAUCGAGAGUAGACAUGAUGGGUCAAACUUCACUAUGAAAUCCAAUUUAAUUGAAUUGGGCUCCAAGUUCAGUUCACCACAUACUUUGAAACAAAUUCAGAAUCUGAGAUAUUCUUGCUAACAAUGCAAUUGGUCCUACCACCCUUAUAUUCAACAGACCCAACAACAAUCUUAACAAGCUCACCAUCUUCUGGAAUGUAACAAAACAUCUCCUCUUCCAUUUCCUUAAUGACAUAAAGAUUUGUUACAAAUAAUAUAACAACGAAAGAUUGAGGAAUUAUGUAUGUUGAUUGCAUUUUCUUUUAUGUAGGAAAUAUAUAAGACAACUUUUAUUCACAAAUGAAGUAUUUGAAUCUUCAAAAAUGCAAUUUCCAGUCGUCACAUAGGUAGUACCCAAGGUGGGCUAAGGUAGUACCUGAUGUUGACUAAGACAGUACCUACAGUCGAUUAAGAUCGUACUUUCAAGAAUAAUUAGCUAGUACAUAAGGUUAACUUAGCAGUAGAAUAAGAUUAACCAACUGAUCACCAAAAUAAAACACAAUGGGCUAAGGUAGUACCUAAUAGAUUGGUAAGUUCUAUGCGCAAUUGAGUAUGUUUUAUGCACGUAGCCCAUGCAAUGCCACUUAUUGGUUAUAUCCUUGUGAAAUGGACUACGUACUGACCAAGGAAUUACCUAAUGUUAAGGAAUGAAGUCACUAAGACUAAUAUGAGAAGUGAACAUUUUCUAACCAGCAAACCACUUCUAAAAAUUUGGUCACCCAUAAUGACAAGCAAGGUUUUGUUAGAUCAACUUAUUUUUUUAGGACAUCUUCAUCAAGAUGGGAAGUUUGUAUUGUUACAGUAAAUACAAAAAGCUACGGAAUGGGAAUAGGUUUAUGGUUAGCCAUGGAGAUGAAGGUAGUUUUCUAUUCUGUAGAGGACCAAAACUGAGAACAAUACCCAUGAAGAUCUGGCUCCUCUCCACACCGUUUAUUCAUAAAGAACCAUUUAUCUAAAGAGUAGAGUGUCAUAAAAUUUUCAUUUCUUCAUUCAAGUCAUUGAAAAUUUAGUUACUUCAUUUGAAGGGUUACAAUUAUUACCUGCAUAUAUAAAAUAUAAAUUUGACUAGAUAAUUUUAACUGCUGAAACCUAUAUCAUUUUUUAAGCAUUUAUAGCAACUGCCUAAUAGUUCAAGUAAUUUUAUAUAAAAAUAUGAAAAUAAAACUGAUAAAAUUAUCAAAUCUAGGUCAUUUUGUGCUAAAUGGGAGCAGUCACAGACAAACAAAACAAAAAAUAUAUAGAUCAAUAUGCAUUUCAUCCAUUCUACUUGCAUUCCCUAGUUCCUAAAAUCUUAUUAAGGAAACUAAACCACUACAUGGAUACCAACAGUUCCUAUAUAGCCUUUCCUAUUUCCAUAUUCUAAAAGGGAUCUCUAAAUCAAUAUCAAUUACUAAUCAACAAGAAGAGUAACAUAUACUAACCAAAAAUAUUUGAAGAAAUGGGACGUGAAUUUAAAUUAUAGACAUAAAAAAAAAAAUAACAAAAACUUUAGCACCCAUCAACCAUCAAUAUCAUAAAAAACCCAAAAAGCUGAGUAAUUUGGAAUCUAAAAAUCACCAUUUCAAAAGCACUUAUUUCGAUCUCAAAAGAAAUACAUCCUCCUGAAAAAGUGUUCUUUUUGGUAAUCCACUGCAAAGCCCAAUCCAAAAACACAAUCCAAUAAAUGGGUUUCACUAAAAAAUGCAUUGUUUCCCAACACCCAAAAAUAGGAAGGAAAAAAAGGUUCAUUUUUGGCAAAUCAGUUCAAAAUCCGUUUUUCCCAGUUCAAAACCACAACAAAAAAAAAUGGGUUUUUCAGCAAAACGAUUCCCAACCCAUAUUCUUGCCUUCAUUUGAUAUCAAAACAGAAAAGUUUUGGGAAUUUUCCAAUCCAAAUAAAACCGUAGAAACUGAUAAAAACGCAUGGAAUUGAGAAAAUGGAUGAUGAUUCAUUACGAAUAGAUUUAAAAACUGAUUAUGAACUCCUAGAUGCCAAAAUUUGAGUCACACCUAAUUGAGAAAAAACCCAGACAAACAUGAGAUUUUUGUGAUGUGAAUGCAAAUGCAAAAGAAAGAAGGAAUGGGUUACCUUGGGAGAAAAAAUCUAAGAUGAGACAAAUGGGAUUAAGGGCUUUUGAACUGAAGUGAGAGAAAUUUUUGAAAACUAUACAUGGUUCUCAGCUUCGCCUCAGUGAUGGAGUGAAGAAACAUGAGAGAAAUGGGUAUCAAAUGAGAGAGAGGAAAGAAAGAAUCAUCGGCUACGGUGUUUUUGUGGGAAUGUCAAAUUUUGAUUUUUGAGUUUUCAAGCGGUUCAGUUUCGGCCCGUGAUGACAUGGACUCAAAGAUGUUGUUGACCUGGAGACCUGGGGGGCAAUCUCGGCCUAAAAUAUGCACCCGACUCAGAGUGCAUAAAAAAUAUAUAACUUUCCACAUUAAAGCUAGUUUUCAUAUUUCAUAAAUAUGGUUUUGAAAACCAUAUAUGUCCCAAAUGGCCCCAUCAACACACAAGUUUCCCAAGAAGAAAACAUCUUUCCAAUUAGCAUUCACACUAUGGUUUUCAAAUAGGUUUCAGUAUGCCAUUAUAUCCUAUGUCAAUAAUUCACCAUUAGUGGGUAUACCAAAAGAUUCUUCCUAUGAAUCAUACCUUCUUUAAAAAAAUAUAAACUUGACUUUUUUCAUGCCUCUAUUGAUUCUACACAACAUUCUGUUUGGAUCAGUUGUCAUAUUUCUCUUGCAUUCCUAUGUUUCUGAUACCAAGUAUAUCAGAUAAGAGUUUUUUUUUUUAAAAAAAAAAAAAAAAAAAAAAAAGAAACCUCAAACUACCCUUGAUUUCAUGAGGGAAGAAGAUUAAGGAUGAAAAUAGACCACAGUGUAUUGCAUAAAAAAUUUUAUGACUCUGAAGUGUUUGAUUUCAAUAAUGCGCAGAACACUCAUGUUCUAUCAACAACUCCUAGUGGCUCAAGUAGUGGAUCAACUAUAUUAACAGCAGCAAAAUUAGCAGUAAUGUCACCAGGGACGGAGACUGAUGGAUCCAUCUUAUGUCUAUCUGAUAGUAAUUCAAUAGUUGGUAUCAAACCAACACUUGGUCUUACCAGCUGAGCUGGGGUGGUUCCAAUCUCUCCUAGGCAGGACACAGUUGGGUAGGUAAUGUUUCAUCUUCCUCAAUCCAAAUACAAGACUAUCAUUUGUUGAGCAACCAAAUAGAGCAGACUGGUCCAUCUUAUUGACGAACAUAGAAAAGAAGAAAUAACAAUGAAAAGUUGGGAUCUUACAAUUAUUUAAAUUUCAAAUGAUGAUUUUUAGUAGUGAAUUUUGUGUUUAUACUCUUCAUCCAGACCGAAGCCAAUCAAGCAUCAAUGAAUGUAACUAGAUUUUAUUAUAUGCAAUACAAGAUCUUCACAUGGUUCUGUCAAUUUGUUAGGCUUUGAUAUAAAUCUGCUUGCUUUAUGAUCAUCGGCAUGUGCUUCACUACUUUGUUUUUAACUGGAGAACUUCAUAGUUUUGUUAUAUCCAUUGAUCUCAGAACUCAAUGGUGUUAAUUCUAGUAAGAACUCCUAACAUGUUGGAUGCAACAGGCCUAUCUUAGGACAACCUUCUAUUCUAUAGAGAUAUUGGAUGUCAUUGUUGGUUUUGACUAUAGGGAUGAAGCAACUAGGACAACAUCCAAGUACAAACCAUAAGGUAGCUAUAAGCAAUUUCUCAAUGCAAAUGAGAUCAGGGAGAAGAGAUUGUAAUAAGUACAAAUGCUAAGAAACAAAACAGAUCAUGAUCAGAAUUCUUCCAAAAAAGAAUAGAGAAAAAAAAUGAAAAAUAUUGGAGAAAGCAUUUCGCACGAUCUUGCUUUGGAUAUUGAAAUGAAAAACAAUAGAGUCCCAACAGUUCACAAAACCUAAAAAACUCCAAUGUAAAUCUAUAGCAUUUCACAUAAUAUUGCUUAAAAUAUUGAAAGAUCGUGACCUUCUCUCAAAAGAAGUCCUUCAAUAAAUAUGGAUUAAGGGUUUUCCUCCCUCCUUUAGAGAAAAUAGUGUUAGACCAUAGGGUAGGGCAGGGCAAAUGAAAGAGAAAACAAAUCAGGGUUUUGAUUAAAAGAAAAGGAAACCCAUUGGAAUCUUAGAAUGCAAAUCUUACCCCACUUCCAGUUGGUAGCUAGACUCCUUACUUGAGCUACUCCUCUAAUCCCGACUACAUCGACUGAAUCUUUCACUUUUGAAAUGAAAACCUCCAGAUCUCAGUUCGUUUCUGGUUACUUCAUGGAAGAGAAGGCCAAAUAGCUCUAUCUAUGGAGCACUAGUGCAUCAUUAGGAAGUGAAGCUUAGAGUGUAUGCUCUCAAAUAUUCCUACCACCAUGAGAUUCCAAGACUUUUGGAGGGAAAUCCUGUAGAAGGAAUGAAACUUUUAGCUAAAUAUAUUCACUGUGUAACACUUUUAAGAAGUGAUGAGGAUAAAAAAAAAAAUUUAUAUAUAUCAAUGACACCUUUCAGAAGAGCCAAGGAUGCAAAAAAUGACGCUUAAAAUAAGCGCCAAGAUUUUUAACCUCUACCGUUCCAUGACGCUUGUAGAGCGCCAUAGUAAAGGAGCGUCAACGUCUAGGCAUGAUAAGCUAAAUAGAAACUUUUCUAAUAGCAUCCAGAAAGAAAAAGUCAUUGUUUUUGUGUUUUUUUUUUUUUUAGUAGUGCUAGUGAUUAUAUUUGCAUCCUUCAAAUAUCGUUACACAUCUAAUUAAAUUUUUAAAAAUUUAGGAUAAAAAUGGCCUUCUCCUUUAAAGUUAGCAUUAUGUGGAACUAUACUUUAACAUCCUUAAGGUUGUGUUUAGUUCCAGAAAAUACUAAGGAAAUAAAAAAUAUAUAAAGAAAAAUAAUUUUUUCAUAUUUGGUUGUCAUAUGAAAAAUAUAGAAAAAAAUAAAAUAUAAUUAAAAUUUCAUGUAUGUUUAAAUUAUUUAAAUCUUUAUAUCGAUGAGUUAAAAUAAAUAACAUUAGUUUAAAGUAACAAAUAAAAAUAAUUUAUCGACUUUUAAUUUAUUUUUUAUUUUUCUUCACUUUUUCUUUAUAUUUUCUUUCAUUUGUAUUUUCCCUCAAAUUUUCCGGGAACCAAAUAUAACCUAAGGGAAUCUAGAAUAUUAUAAACAUUCUUAAAGGUGUCCAUAGCUAAACUUUUGAACACCAUUAAAAACGUGAAAAACUAUAUUUUGGACAUACUUCAGAUGUCGAAUCUUACUUUCAAGUUUGAAUGCCAUGAAAUUGUUUCAAGAUUGGGAACAAUAAGACUAACUCAUCAUGUCAUGGAUCCUUGCAUCCAUAUCAGAUGCUCUUCUAACACGUAUGGUAAAUUGUGAUACUUCAGCUCAGGUAUAGAGGACUCUUGAACAACAUUUUGCCACUGAAGUACGAGCCAAAAUAACUCACUUCAAGACUCAACUUCACAACACAAAGAAAGGUGACCCAUCCAUAAGUGACUACUUUCUCAAGAUCAAAAACAUUGUUGAUCACCUUGCACUAGUUGGCCAUAAUCUUUCUGAUAAAGACCAUAUAGAUGCAGUCUUUGAAGGAUUACAUCAAGAAUAUGGAACCUUCAUCAUCUCACUAAGCUCAAGAAUUGACCCAUAUACAGUUGAAGAGAUUGAAGCACUCCUUCUUGCCCAAGAAGCUUGUACUGAGAAAAACAUCAAGAUUCAUGAAUUCUCGGGUGAUACUCGGGUUUUUAAUGACAUGUCAAAUUCAGAUAUUAGAAAAGUUUUCAUAAAAUUGUUAAUCAAAUGGUAAAAAUAAAAAAAAUAAAAAAAUUGUGAAGAUCCGCAUCUUAAUUGAGAGAGAUUUUAGAAAAGUUAGUUAAAAGUGAAUAGUUUAAAAAUCUUGCCACGUCAUAUGUAAAGAGUAGGAAUUAAAAAAAUUAUUAAAUAAUUGAGAUUAGGUUUUUGUAAUUUUGAAUAUUAAGUAUAUUGUGAGAAUUAAUUUAAUAAUUAUUAGAUAAUUAUUAGAGAAUUGUGGAGAAAAACUUGGUAAAAAUUUAUAUUAUAUUGAAUUGUUAUAAUGAAUAAUUAAACAGAAAUUGAAUUUAAUUCUAAAACGAAUCAAUUUAACUCUUAUACUUGGAAUUAAACCUUAUGGGAUUAUAAAACAUCAAAUAGAAUUGAAUUGAAAUUAAGUUUAGAUUAAAUUAUGAUAUAUGAAUUUAAGAAAAUGUAUAAAAGGGUAAAUUAAUUAAAUGCGAAUUUAAUGAAUUUAACUUUUGCAAUUUUGAUUCAAUUGAGGAAUUUGACAAAUGAAAUAAAUUAAAUGAAAGUUAAACUAAAGGUUGAUAAUUUGAUUAUUAUAUAAAUUUAAUGACUAAAUAAUUGAUGAAAUUAAGUUUUAAAAUAUUGCUUAAUUUUUUGUUGGUGAAUAAAUAUUGGUAAAAUUAACGAGUUAAAGGUUAUCAUGAAUCUCAACUUCUUGUAUGUUGAAGAAUUAUUUUAUAUUUAAGACAUUUUAUAAAAUUGAUUUUUAUUUUUAUUUUUUAUUCUUUUUAAUAGUUAAUGGAAUCAUGUCCUUAAUGAAUUUCAAAGUAAAAAUGCGUUAGGUAAUUAAAUUCAAAUUAUAUUUUUUGAAGAGUAGACUUGUAGUAAAUUUAAUAAAGAAUACAAUGGUAUUUUUCAUAAGAAAGAAAAUCAUAAGUUGAGUAUAAUUUAUAAUUGUGGAAUGUGAAAUAAAAACUAGUAUUUUAAUUUAUUAAAAAAAAUAUGUGUGGUAUUUCAAAUUUGUUUAAUAAUAAUAAUAAUAAUAAUAAAAAUAAUAAUAAUAUAGAAGGAAUGGAGAACAUAAUAGGGGCGUUCGUAGAGAGGAAAGUGUCAUUGGCCUUCGACCGAUCAUUUGGUGGCCAAACGACUUUCAUUUUGUGUGAGAUUUUAGAAGAACACUCUAUUCAACACGAGAAACAUAUGAACGUAGUCAGAUUUUGAUUUCAACAGUUAGAUUUUCUAAUUUGAGGUAAGAUGGUUUAAUCCUAAAACUUUGAUUUAAUAUUUUAUUUUGAAAAAAAUUUAUAUAUUGUGUUGUUGGGAGAUAAUAGAUGUUAUUUGUAUUAUUUGAAGUAUGAUUAUGAUUAUUGAUAAUUUUAUUUUGUGAUUUACAGAUUUUUUUUUUGGAAUAAUGAUAAUAUUUAAAAUGAUUUAAAUAUAGAAAAAUAGUUGUAUUGAGUGUUACGAAUUAUAUAUUGAGACUGUUGAGAAUAAAUAAAAUUAAAGUAUAAAUUGUGUUUCAUUGAUAUUUGAAUUAUUGAGAAUUUUCUUUGAUAUUUGGGAUGAGAUAAUUGAAGAAAAAUUGUUAUGUUGGUUGUUGGAAAUUAUUAAGCUAUUGGGAAUAAAUAAAAUUUAUGUGACUAAGGUUUAACCCAUGUUUCGAUAAUAUACGAAUUAUUUGUGAAUUUUCUUUGAUGUUUGUAGUGAUUAAAGUGAAGAAAAAUUGUUGUGUGAAUUAUUGAAAAUUAUAAAACAUAAUUGGAGUAAAUGUAAUUAUGUCUUGGAAGAAAAAGAAAAAUUGAAGAAAUGGUUGAAUUAGUAACUUUAAUUUUAUAGGGUACUUAAAACAUUUCCAAGUUCACAAUCUAAAAAGCUCAAUCUGAUCAUUGACAUUCAAAAUAUAAAGUGAAAGAACAUUUUUUUAAACAAUUUUCAAAAUAAUUGGUUUAUAUUGACUUAUGCUAGUGUUUUAUGAAAGAAAAUACUAAAUUAUUGUAAUAUCAUAAACAAUAUUUAUCUCAAUAAUUUGAGUCAUUACACUCUCAACGGGAAAAUAAUAUAUCCAACUCAUAAGCAGAUUGUUUUGGCACCUCUAGAGAAUAAGUUCAGAAUUUAUUGUAAUGCCAUCUUCACACAUCAGAGAUGGACAUGGAUGAAGACCCUCAAUGAAGAACUCAAGGCCAUUUACAAUACUAACAUUGAGUAGUUGCAUUUUUCACAAAAGAUAGUUUGAUCUAUCUCAUCGUAUAGUUAGGACUUGGUUCAAUGAUGGAAGUGGUAGUGCAUGGUAAUUUUGAGAAAUUGAAGAUGAGGUUCUGAUCAAGAUUGAGGAUGACGAAACCAUUGCCACCAUUGUUGAAGAGGUAAAAGUUUCAACAAAGGGCAUGGUUGACCAUUGCAGCGAUAUAUUGUGUAUCGGAAGGUAUCGACACGAUAUUUCAUGGAGAAAUAUGGAUCGAUAUUUCGGGAUAAAUCCCGAGAAAUCGGCGAUUUUAACGAUAAAUCGUCAAUUUUUCCCGAUAUAUCGCAUAGUCAACGAAAGUCAAAUGCGCUAAAAUGCUUUCUCCUUUUGCUUCUGAGGGGAUUUGAACCCCAAACCUUUUGGUUUGGGGUACACCCCACUUGCCUUUGGUAUAUAUUGUGCACUAAACUUAUAUAUACUUAAACUCAUUAUAUAAAGAAAAUAUUAAAAGGAUAUUUUAAAGAGCAAAUUAAUUAUAAUUAUUUUAUAAUUAAAUGCAAAAUUUUCUUUUAAUUGAUUACCAAAAAUAUAAAAAUUAUAUAAUUUUCUUCAUAAUGUUUUUCAUAUCAUUAAUAAUUAAUUAAAUAUUUAAAAAUUAUAUAUAUAUAUAUAUAUAUCAUAAUUUAUUUUAUAUUGUUUAGUACAAUUGAAUUAAAUGAAUCAUAAUUUUAAUAUUAAUAUAUAUUUUAAAAUUAGACAUAUUAUAAUCAAAUAUCAUAAUAUUAAAUGUAAUUUAAUAAUAAAUGUACACUUAUAAAAUUCAUAUUUUUAUCGAUGCAUACGAUAUUAUUAUCAAAUAUGAUAAAUCAUGUUAUACAUAUAUCAAAUUUUUCAAUAAAAUAACUUUAAAAUGUCUAUUAUACUUCUAAUUAUAUUAUUAUGAGGUUUUCCUUACAUUUUCAUGAGUUUUUAACAAUUUUAAGCUUACCGAUUUUUUUUUUUCCAAAAUAUCUACCGAUAUAUUCGAUAUAUCCGUAAAAUUGAAGUACCGAUAUAUCCGUGAUUACCGAUAUUUUCAUUCUUGAUUAUACCAUGUAAAAUAAAAGUACAGUGGUUUUGGAAAAUACAAUGAAACAGAGUGAGUUUGAUUUUUUAUUUUUUAACAAAAUAAAAUGUUGAAAAAAAGAAGUAAAUAAAGAAAGAUAUAUUAAGAGUCAGUUUGACAUUACUUUUAAUGAAAGUGUUUUUAUUGUAAGUGUUUUCUUCUACAACACUUCUGUAAAAAACACUUUUAUAAGAAUUUAAAAAAGUGAUUCUAAUAGUAUUUUUAAUAAUAUAUUGCAUAAGUAUAAAAACAUUUUUAAUAAUAAUAAAUUACUAAAAAAAGAUAUUUAUUACAAAAAAAAUUAUAAUAAAUAAAAAAUUUUAUUAAAAAAAUAUAUAUAAAUAUUUAAUUGUUAAAAAAACUCAAAUUUAUUUUUAUGAAAAUGAAGUGAAAAGGGAAGAGGAGAGUAAGAAGAAAAAAGAAAGUUAAAGGGAAAUGGAGGAUAGCGAGAAAAUUUAUUUUAGGAAUAUAUAAAAAAAAUUUGAAGUAUUUUUUUUUUUAAAGAAACACCUCUCAAGUGCUUCUCUAAAAAACACUUCAAAUGUUUUUUAAAAUUUUCAUAAGUGUUUUUCAAAAUAUUAUAAAACAUAUAUAUAUUUUAUCUUAAAAAAACAUUUAAGUGUUUUUAGGGCUAAUUACACUUCUAAAAAACAUUGUCAAACGGGCUCUAAAUUCAUAUUUCCUUGAAUUUAUAUUUUUAUUUUCUCUCUAUGAAUUUUCCUUUAUUUCAAAUAUAAACUAUAUUUUAAAAGGGUAAUUUUAUUUACUUGCCUUAAGGUUUUUGUUAGAUACACUUAAUUAUCAUUUAUUUGAAAUUUUAUUAAAUAUCUUUCUUAUCAUUUUCGUUUCUUAAUUGCCAUGUACUCGAUAAAAUCAACUUGAAGGGAAUUAAGCCAAAUUCCCAACCUGUGAGAAACAAAAAAUAGAGAAAACACACGCCAAAGAAAAACAAUCACACGCACAAGACAGUAUUUACGUGGUUUGGCAAUUUGCCCACUACAUCCACGGAGUUGUAGGGAUACCAUUAUUAUUAUGGAAGAAUACAGAGUACAUCUUGCGGCUACAAUAUUUUCUCUCUAUAUAUAACACAACAACCACACUACACUAAAAAUCCCUAAUUACAAAAGGUGGUUCCACAAUGGGUUAAACGGGCCUAUCAGCCCAAGCCUUCGCUCCAUGGACUAAGCCUCAGUAAAUCUCCCAUUAAAAAACCACGCAAUAUUAUUCGGGUCGGGUCGUCAAACCGGAUCAAACAAAACUAGGCUCCACAAAGCCCAACAAAUCUCCCACUUGGAGACUAGUUCAAUCACCAACAUCAAACCAUUAUCCUCCAAGAAACAAUCCCUCAUCCCUGCAACUCAUCCUCCUAUCCUCAAGCUAGAAGACCAAUUGAAGUUGCGCACAACUUCAACUUCUCAACAGUGAUACCCUUAGUCAACAUGUCUGUCGGGUUCUUAGAUCCACAAAUCUUCUCAAGUAUUACUAGUUUAUCUUCAACAAGGUAACGGAUAAAGUGGUAUUUUGUUUGUAUAUGCUUCGACUUUGAAUGAAAAACCGAAUUUUUGACAAGAAAAAUUGCACUAUGACUGUCACUGUGUAGAAUGCCCAUCUCCUACUUCUUAUCCAAUUCAUCUAAGAAACUAUGUAGCCAAAUCAUCUCCUUUCCAACUUCAGUUGCUGCAACAUACUCAGCUUCUGUAGUAGACAAAGUAACAAUCUUCUAUAGAUUUGAAGCCCAUGAUAUAGCUGUACCACCUAGAGUAAAAACAAACUCAGUAGUACUCUUUCUACUAUCAAUAUCACCAGCAAAAUCAGCAUCUACAUAACCCUGCAGUUUCAAACUUACACUUGUGAAGCAAAGACAUGUAUCUAAUGAACCCUUCAGAUAUCUUGAAAUCCACUUGACUACCUCCCAAUGUUGCUUUCCAGGCCUACUCAUGAAUCUGCUCACAACUCCCACUGCAUGUGCAAUGUCUAGCCUUGUACACACCAUAGCAUACAUCAAGUUGUCAAUAGCUGAGGCAUAGGGCACCUUGCUCAUAUGGUCUCUUUCUUCUUCUGUCUUCGGUGACUGUUCUUUGCUUAGUUUGAAAUGACUACCCAAGGGUGUGCUCACUAGUUUAGCUUCAUUCAUGUUGAACCUGCUGAGAACUUUCUUCACAUACUCUGACUGUGAAAGCUUCAAUGUACUAUUAGUCUUGUCUCUAAUGAUUCUCAUACCAAGGAUUUGCUUUGCAGCUCCCAAAUCCUUCAUCGUAAACUUUUUGGACAAUUGCUUCUUCAGAUUAUUAAUCUUCUCAAUGUCAGACCCUGUAAUAAGCAUAUCAUCCAUAUACAACAGUAAUAUGAUGUAAGAAUUGUCAAAAGACUUAACAUAGCAAUAGUGAUCAACUUCACAUCUCUUGAACCCAAUUCUAUGCAUAACAUUGUCAAACUUCUUGUACCACUGUCUAGGAGCUUGUUUAAGGCCAUACAAGCUCUUUCUUAGUUUGCAAACUAGAUUCUCUUGUUCCUUAACAAUGAACUCUUCUGGCUGAAUCAUGUAAAGGUCUUCUUGCAAGUCACCAUGAAGGAAUGCUGUCUUCACAUCUAAUUGCUCAAGAUGUAAGUUUUCUGUAGCCACCAUUCCCAGUACAAGUCUGAUUAUUGACAUCUUCACAACUGGAGAAAAUAUCUCUGUGUAGUCAAUGCCCUCCUUCUUCUGGAACCCUUUAACAACUAAUCUGGCCUUGUAACGUUUGCUACCAUCAUGCUCAUUCUUUGUUCUGUAUACCCACUUGUUGUGCAAAGCCUUCUUUCCUACUGACAAUUCAGUCAGUUCCCAUGUCUGAUUUCCCAACAAGGAAUCCAUCUCAUCCUUCAUGGCUAACUCCCACUUGCUUGAAUUCUCAUCUUGUAAGGCUUCAUCAUAACACUUUGGCUCACCACCAUCAGUCAACAUGAGAUAAUUUAAAACAGGUGAAUAACACUGUGGAGGUCUAAUGUUCCUGGAAGAUUUACGAACUUCAGCUAUAGGUGUACUCAAAUCUACCUGUGAAUUUAUAUUCUCCUUAUCUUCUUCACCCCCUUUUUGGACAGUACUUUCAGUCAAUUCAUCUAAGUUGACAAACUCAGAUUUCUUUUUAUCUAUCUCUGUAACAUCUGACACUAUAGUUGGCCUGUCCUUGUACACAACCUAUUCAUUAAAUAUCACAUUUCUACUUCUGAUGAUUUUCUUGUUUGUUCAUCCCAAAACCUAUAGCCAAAUUUCUCAUCACCAUAGCCAAUGAAAAAACAUAUUUUAGACUUUACAUCAAGUUUACUACGAGCAUUAGAAUCAAUAUGAACAUAAAAAACACAACCAAAAACUUUUAAACGUGAAAAUUUUACCUCUUUACCACUCCAAACCUCCUCGGGAAGUCUAAACUCCAUGGGAACUAAUGGUCCUCGGUUUAUCAAGUAAGCCGCAGUGCUAACAGCAUCAGCCCAAAAAGUUUUUAGUAGUCCAGCAUGCAACCUCAUACUUCUAGCACGCUCACUAAGAGUUCUAUUCAUGCGCUUAGCCACACCAUUCUGUUGUGGUGUCCUAGGAAUGGUCUUCUCCAUCCUAAUUCCCUCUACAACACAAUACUCAUUGAACCCUCCAUCUAUGUACUCUCCUUCAUUAUCUGACCUCAAACAUUUUACUUUCAAACCUGUUUCUAUCUCAACCAUGACUUCCACUUCUUAAAAGUUUCAAAUGCAUCAGAUUUAUUUUUCAGAAAAUAAACUCAUACCUUUCUUCUUGAGUCAUCAAUAAAAGUGAUGUAGUACCUUGAACCUCCAAGGGAUGCAAUCGGAGAAGGCCCCACCAAAUCAGUGUGUACUAGUUCCAAUUUUUCAGCCUUCAGUGUCCUGCGAGUUUUCAAGAAGCUCACAUUUUUUUGCUUUUCUAAGAUGCAACUUUCACACAUGUCAAAAUCAAUGGACUUCAAUUCUGGUAGUUUUCCUUUUGACAACAGCAUCUUCAUCCAUUUCUCACUCAUGUGAUCAAGUUUGCAAUGCCAUAAGCUUGUAUCAGUCUUUGCAUCAGCAACUGCAAUUGUGUCUCUUGGACAUGAGGUCAUAUACAGAGUACCGGUCUUCUUUCCACGAGCCAAUACCCUAGCUCCCUUUGUAACCUUCCAAGUACCACCAACAAAUAGUAUUGCAUGUCUUUCAUCAUCAAGUUGUCCAACAGAAAUCAGAUUCCUCCUCAGGUCAGGAAUAUGUCGAACUUUCUCCAGUAACCAAACAGACCCAUUGGGCAACGAUAUCCGGACGUCUCCCAAACCCACAACAUCCAAGGCUGAACCAUCAGCCAAAUACACCUUACCAAAUUCACUUGCAGCAUAAUUCUGUAUGAUUUCUCGGUGUGGAGUGGUAUGAAAAGAAGCUCUUGAAUCCAAAACCCAAUCAUCAAGUGGACUGUCUACUGCAAGAAGUAAUGCAUCUUGUACCUCUUCUGUUACAACAUUAGCAAAAUCAUCUUCAUUAUUCUUCUUAUGACUUUUGCAUUGCCUUCUAAAGUGACCUAUUUUCCCACAAUUCCAGCAUUGUACUUGUUGGCCUAAUCUAGAUUUGUUUCUAUUCCGAUUAGAAUUUUUGGAUUUUCAUCUACCCCGAUUUGAAUUUCUGUCAUUACCUUUGCCUCUUAUCUCAAGGUUUAGGGCAGAACCAGAUCCUGAGGUUUCGCCUGCAUCUCUUCUGCGAAUCUCCUCAGCCAGAAUUAAAUCUCGUAUAUCAUUGUACUUGAGUUUUUCCUUUCCCGUAGAAUUGCUUACUGUCAUCCUCAUUGCCUCCCAACUGUUUGGCAAAGAAGCCAAGACGAUUAAGGCGCGAAUCUCAUCAUCAAAAUCAAUUUCUACAGACGACAAUUGAUUUGUGAUUGUAUUAAAUUCAUUUAGAUGUUGUGCUACUGAUGCAUUCUCUACCAUCUUCAAAUUGAACAAUUUCUUCAUUAGAUGCACCUUAUUGUUUGCGGACGGCUUUUCAUACAUACCGGACAAAGCCUUCAUCAGAUCUGCUGUGGUCUUCUCAUUUACAAUAUUGUGUGCAACAGACCUAGACAGAGUUAACCUAAUAACUCCUAGAACCUGUCUGUCAAGAAGCGCCCAUUCCUCAGCCUUCAUACUCUCAGGUUUUGUCCCCAAAAGAGGCAGAUGCAAUUUCCUCCCAUAGAGAUAAUCUUCAAUCUGCAUCCUCCAAUACGCAAAGUCUGUGCCAUCAAACUUUUCUAUUCUAGACGUCUUUUCUGCUUCCUCUGCCAUUGCUCCCACUUAAACCUAACCCUAGGCUCUGAUACCAGUUGAAGGGAAUUAAGUCAAAUUCCCAACCUAUGAGAUCCAAAAAAUAGAGAAAACACACGCCAAAGAAAAACAAUCACACGCACAAGACAGUAUUUACAUGGUUCGACAAUUUGCCUACGUCCACGGAGUUGCAGGGAUAUCACUAUUAUCAAGGAAGAAUACAGAGUACAUCUUGCGGCUACAAUAUUUUCUCUCUAUAUAUAACACAACAACCACACCACAUUAAAAAACCCUAAUUACAAAAGGCGGUUCCACAAUAGGCUAAACGGGCCUAUUGGCCCAAGCCUUCGCUCCAUGGAUUAAGCCUUAGUAAAUCUCCCAUUAAAAAACCAUGCAAUAUUAUUCGGGUCGGGUCGUCAAACCAGAUCAAACAAAACUAGGCUCCACAAAGCCUAACAAAAUCAACCUUAUUAUCAUCCUUACUUCUUGAACCUUGGCUUAAAACUCCAACUUCACACAACAUAUGGUAUAAAUUAAGAAAAGACUUAUUAAAAGUAGUAACGUUCUACUUUAGUUUAAAAAUGUUAACAAAAAUUAGAGGAGAAUGAACUAAAAUAUACUGAAUUUAAAAUCAAGCUAACAUAUUAGAAACCAUUUGAAAUCUCACGUGAUUAAAUAGAUUUCUUGUAGUUUGACAAAGGAAAGAAAUUACUUGAAAAGAAUGGCAAAAUCGAACUGCAUCUUAUGACCUACAAUCACAUGAUUUCCAGACUUAGUGCAUCCAUUGCCAAGAAAGAUGACGAUCAUAUCACCUUUUGUAAUAAUUCAAUGCCUCUUUUUGUAAAGCCAUAUCAUAAAUAUAAUGAAAUUAAAAGACAAAUUAAUCAAUCAAAUAAUUAAAAUUUAAAAUUUACAUGGCAGUAGGUGAGGGAAUUGUUUAGUUAAGAAUGAAGAGAGACCACACUCGAGGAAAUAUUAUUGAGGGCAUUGAUGUUGACUUCCCAUAUUCACACCUAAUUAAAAAGGUGAUUAAGAAAAUAAACAAAAACAACCCAAAAAGAGUGAAAGAUAUAUUGCUAGGAAAGAUUGUUCAAAAUGAUCCCAAGUUAUAAAAAUGAACUCUUUCAUUAAGAUGACCUUUUUGAAUACUUUUAUCCUUUUUUGUUUUUUGUUUGCCUUCAAAAUUAUAAUCUUUCCUUUAUUUAUGUUAUUUUAUUUACUUUAUCAUUUUUUUUUUCUAAUUUCUCAUUUAUUUCUUCUACUUACUUUUUCUCUUCUAUGAAGUCUCAUUAUAACUUCAUCUUUAACUUAAUCUCUCUCUUACCCCAUAAUUUCAUCUUUAGUUUAGUCAUGUCUUAUGAAGCUAAUUGUAUUUCCCUCCCUAGCUUACUCUCUAAGUUGUUAGUAAUCCUCGAUCUCAAUUCUUUCUCGUAGUCCAUUUUUAUUUUCAUUCAAGGUGAUCAUUAAAAUUACACAAGGGCUAAAUUUAAAUUAUAAGAGUUAAUUUCAAUUACAUUCCCUCAAGUUUUGGCUUAGAUACACCUUACCUCAACUGGUUUGAAAUUUCAUCAAUUAUCUCCCUUAUUUUAAGUGAAAGGGGAGGUGAGUAAAAUUAAUAAAUGAAAAGGUAAGGGAUGUAUUUGAUGAAAUUUCAAAUCAAUGAGCGAAAGUGUAUUUAGCUGAAACAUCAUGGAAAAUGAAUUAAAUUAACUUUAUACAAAACUUAACUGAGAUUAAAUUCUUGUAAAGUUUCUCACUUAAUCUAUCAUGAGAUUAAGUUCAAAAUCAUAAUAGUGAUGAGAUCUCAAACUUCAUAUCUUAACACAGUCAAUUGAACUUAUCUUGAUGAGUUUGAAGUCUCAAAAUUGUUUUGAGAUCCCUAGCUAGAAAUAAUUGCUAAAGCCCUUAAUUUUUUUAUUAAAAUGCCUGUGAGCUUGAUUGAGAUCAAUUUGGAUUACUUUUAGAGAUUCUAGAGGAAUUUAGAAGAAUAUAUAAAGGAAAAAACUUAGGGAAGAAGAAAAGUGCUAGUUAGAGCAGCCUUCUAUUGCACCAGAAGAAGUGGGCGCACCCUUCUACUAUGCCAAAAGGACUUGACGCAUCUGUAUAAGUACGCUAGGAAGGAAAAUAAAGCAACAAGCCGGCCUUUGACUUGAGAGAUGGAGAACCCUCUCCCAGACUUAACUGGCGCACCUUUUAAGUGCGCCAAGGAAAAGAAAGAGUUGUGGCUCAACCCCAUCAAGGAUUGAUAGGCAUACUCUGUCCACUAAAGAUUAAAUGUGUUAGCACAUCUCUUAUCUCCCUCUAUGAACAAAUGGCGCAUUUAAUUAUACAUACACUGUAAGCAUUGGGCUGCCUAUCCGAUGGUGCAAUUCAAAAGCUGUGGCACGCUUGGUCAACGUAUGAGAAGCAUCCACUUGCAUCCAACAAUCUUGCAUGGGUGGGGCACACCCAACCUAAGUGUUCUCGAAGUUUGGAUGGUGUUGGAGCUGUUCUUUCCAAACUUCCAGCUUCUUCUUGUCUCACGUUCACCUGCAAUGCAAGGUUUACCCGGUGAAGCCCCGGGCAGACCCCUCCGAUGGUUAAGUCUGUUGGAGUGUGAUAAGCCAACUUCUUUUUAAUUUUUCUUCUUAGCUGUGUUCUUAUACAUCUCUUCACUUACCGCCGGGACCGGAGAUAAUGGGGGCAUUUUCACCACAUCACUACCCACUUUGCCCCCUUCUCAUGGCAGCAACCUUUUGGGCUAACCGCUCCCACCAUUUUUGGCGUCUAACCCCCUCAAGACCUUUCACAUAAGUUCCCAUAUUUCUUUCUGGGCCAGAGACUCUGUCUAGUCCUCCAAAUUCAGCUCUUAAUUUUAAAUGCUUGGGCCCAGGCCCAUUGCUCCAAAUCUGUGAGGGGUACCCACAGAUGGCUACCACCAUACAUUCUACUGCAACCUUAUUCAUCAAGAUGUGAACCAAUCAUGAAAACAAGGGAAGCAAUUUAGAAAAAGGAAUGGGGCCUCACAAGAUAUUUGGUGGAGAAUUUGUUCUGCUACCAUCUCUGAAAGGAUCAAAGGUUGACUAAUUUUAGGCUGGCAACCAGUAGUAUUCUAGAAAUAGAGAAGGGAAAUUUGAGGAAAAGUCAUCAUUUUCCUUCUCAAAUUUCCUUGGAGGGGUGUUCUAGAAUAUAGAAUAUAGAAGAUAUUUUUUCUUAUCCCUUGGAGGGGUGUUUUUAGUUUUUCUUCUUGAAAUACUUUGCAGGUACAAAACUGUAUGAGCUUUUUGUUCAUGGAGUUCUAUGGGAUUCUUCGAAAAUGAAUGAAAUUCAAUUUUAAAAGAAGUCUUUUGUUUCUUUGCUUGAGUAAUUUUUUACCUUAAGUUUAAUUUCCCUCGCAUGUUCUAUCCAUGAAGCACUAAUUUCAACUAAAUCUUUGUAUAAUGGUUAUGGGAGUAACUUUAAACCUUAAAAUUCUCAUUCAAGCUUUUCCAAAUGAAAUAUAUUAAUAUCAAGUUUCAUUUAAAUAAUCUAUUUUUCCGCAGAUAUAACGAUGAGUUGAAAUUUAGACUUAUUUAAUUUGUUUAUGUCAAACAUUCAAAUCUAAAAUACAUAUAACAAAAGAUCAUGGGAAUUUGUAAUAUAAACAAUUUUUAUGCAAAGGGCCAAAUUGUAAAGAAUAGAAUACUAUUUUCAAAAGAGAUCCAAAUCAAGUCGUUGUUUUUAAUAAAUAAAUAAAUAAAUACAUUUUUUGUUUCAUUUGGAAGAUGGUGUUAAAGAGCGACUGAAUCAAAUAACUUGCUCAACCGGCAAAGCUGAGCUGGUCAACUGGACUUGCUUAUAUAUACGUAAUUGGGGAAAAAAAUGUCAGAUGAGGGGGCGGAUUAGGUCACUUGGGGGGUGCCGGGUGUAGAUGGAAGAAAGAAGUACGUAUAUAAUAAUAAUAAUUGGAGGGUUGACGUUGUCUGUGAGGCAGCUCGGGCUUUCCUUAAAACCCUAGACAUUAAUUUCUCGAACCGCCCGCCUAAUGCCGGUGCAACACACUUGGCCUAUGAUGCCCAAGACAUGGUUUUUGCGGAUUAUGGGCCAAGGUGGAAGCUCCUGAGAAAGCUAAGCAACUUACACAUGCUUGGUGUGAAGGCUCUUGAGGACUGGUCUCGGGUUCGAACUGUUGAGCUAGGUCACAUGCUUCGAGCCAUGCUUGAGUUGAGCCAGCGAGAGGAGCCGGUGGUGGUGCCGGAGAUGUUAUCUUUUUCCGUGGCCAACAUGAUAGGGCAAGUGAUACUAAGCCGCCGGGUGUUUGAAACAAAAGGGUCGGAGUCAAAUGAGUUCAAGGACAUGGUGGUGGAGCUCAUGACCAGUGCUGGGUACUUAAAUAUUGGCGAUUUUAUUCCGUCCAUCGCAUGGCUGGACAUCCAAGGGAUCGAGCGCGGGAUGAAGCAUUUACAUAAGAAGUUCGACAAGUUAUUGACAAGGAUGAUAGAGGAGCACACGGCAUCAGCCCAUGAGCGCAAGGGAAACCCAGAUUUUCUGGACGUAGUCAUGGGCCAUCAAGGAAAUUCUACAGGGGAGAAGCUCACCCUUACCAACAUUAAGGCGCUCCUCCUGGUAUGCAUAGUUAAAGCUCCUCCUGGUACGUUUUUAUCAGGUAGCCAUUUUAGGGGCACAUCACUGUUCUUUAUUUGGAUUUUUUUUUGUCUUUUUCCACUUGCAUGGCACAGGAAAAUUGGGGAAAAUGAUUGGUUCUCUGAUCAGACCUUCUGCACCAAAACACACUUCUCUCUAUUUUAUAAAAUCAAGAACAUUUAUGGUUUACAUGAUUUUUCGAACUUGAACUUUUGCUAGGGCUAAUCCAUGGAUCUCAAUUUUCAAUUGCGUUUGAUUACAUAAAUUUCAAGUAUGUCACCAUAUUUUUGUUUCCUUGGCUAGAAUUUAUUUACUGCAGGAACAGACACUUCAUCAAGCGUAAUCGAGUGGUCUCUGGCUGAGAUGUUGAAAAACCCGAGCAUCCUCAAGCGUGCUCACGAAGAAAUGGAUCAAGUGAUUGGAAGGAGCCGGCGGCUCGUGGAGUCUGACUUACCAAAACUUCCAUACCUACAAGCCAUAUGCAAGGAAAGCUUCCGGAAGCACCCAUCCACCCCAUUGAACCUUCCUCGUGUCUCAAACGAGGCAUGUGAAGUGAACGGCUACUACAUCCCAAAGAACACUAGACUUAGCGUGAACAUAUGGGCAAUCGGGCGAGACCCUGAUGUCUGGGAAAGCCCGGAAGAAUUCAGUCCAGAAAGGUUUCUAAGUGGAAGAAAUGCAAAAAUUGAUCCUCGUGGAAAUGAUUUUGAGUUGAUCCCGUUUGGGGCUGGACGAAGGAUUUGCGCUGGCACUAGAAUGGGAAUAGUGCUGGUUGAGUACAUUUUAGGGACGUUGGUACAUUCAUUUGACUGGAAAAUGCCGGAUGGAGUUGAGAUCAACAUGGACGAAGCUUUCGGGCUUGCACUGCAGAAGGCAGUUUCUCUUUCGGCUAUGGUGACACCAAGGCUUCACCAGAGUGCGUAUGCAGUCUGAGCUCAAACCGCUCAGACCAAAACCCAGGCCUCGUUGCUAUAUGGCAUGGAUGCAGUUAUGAAGAAAAUAUUUUCGGAUGUUGUUUUAGUUUCCUGUGGCUUAUAAUAAGAUGUAUUAGCUCAAAGAUUGUAGUUUCAUUCUAACACCAAGCCAUAUGCAUCUAUGCAUAAUCUAUUAAUUUAUGCUUGAUUUGGUUAUAGUUUUUGGUUUUUUUGUCUUCCAAAUCAGUAAAUAGUAGUAACCUUUAUAUAAAAUAUAACUCAUACAAAAUUUUGCAUUGAGAAAGUAAUAGUGUAUAACUCAUAUGCAUCUAUGCAUAAUCGCUUGACCCCACCUCUUUUAAUUUCUUUUUAAAAUUUAAUUUUAAAAAAAUGUUUAAUUACAUUAAAAAUAAAUAUAUUUUAUAAAUAAAGAAAAUAAUAGGAAGCCGACAUGCAUGAUUAAAUAGUUGUGUUGGAGUCCAGCAACAAAAGGCAACAAGGUCCUUGAUCAGAGCCAUCAUCUCUUUUCGAUCACUUCUUGUGCAUGAGUUGGCCUGCAGAAUGGGAUUGGCUUAGAUGAUCGUUACUGAUGUUUCCUUUUCAACAUCAUAAUUCAGCGCAAACCAAGUUGAAUAUUCAACAACAAAUAAGUACAGAAAAAUAAAGGAAGAAAAAAAUCCCACUUUAUCUCCGUAAAGUAAUGCCAUAUUUUUCUUCAGACUUAUCUUCUAGCUAGAUUUUUGUUGGAGCUCUGAGCCCGUGAUCCAUUAGAUGACCUUUAAAAAAAUCCCAUCAGCUAUGGAAAAAGUUUUCAUUAAAUCUAAUGAUAAAAAACAAGAAACAAAAGGAGGCACAUCUUCCAGGAACUUUCACCCAGAAAAAAAUAAAAGACAAUGAAUCUUAAUCAGCCAUUAGCCGCUUUCAAUUAUUUAUCAUAAUUAAUGGCGUGCGAUGAAAGCCUAGGAACCAGUCCCAAACAAAAAUUCAUAAAGCAAACCCUCGGUACGAUCGGGGCGGACUGAAGUGAAGGUGGAACUUAGAAGAAGUCGAUAAAUAAAUAGUCGGGUACCAGAUCUGACCGCUACAAUAAAUUGGGGAGUAAGGAUGAAAAUAUCGGUAAUCACGGAUAUAUCGGUACUUCGAAUUUACGGAUAUAUCGGGGAUAUAUCGACGGAUAUUUUGGAAAAAAAAUAUCGAUAGGCUUAAAAUUGUUAAAACUCAUGGAAAUAUAAGAGAAACCUCAUAAUAAUAUAAUUAAAAGCAUAAUAGAUAUUUAAAGUUGUUUUAUUGAAGAAUUUGAUAUACAUAUGAUAUAAUUUGCGAUAUUAGAUGUAAUUAUAUUAUGUAGAACUAUAAGAAAUGUUAAUUUUGUAAUUGUUCUCAUUAUAAAGUCACAUAAAAUACUUCAUUUCAUUUAAUAUCAAUAAUUUGUACACAUUACAUUACAAUGUCCCUUUUGUACCAAAAUGAGGAUCGAUGUGGUUCAAUGGGAUUGAUAGAUGAAGGAACCCCGCCUUGUUGUUGGAGACAAUAUUAGUACUAACUCAAUGAAUCUCGAUAAUAUUGGUUAAAAAUUCUAACAUGCCAUGCAUAUAUCUCUUGAGUCCUGCCCACUACCGCUACAUGGAUAGGGUACUCAAAGUUCACCCAUGUGUUAAUGUCAAAUCCUCCUUCCAUCUGAUAUGGAACUUGGUAUGGCAUUUGUCUGGAAAGGGAACAAUGCGACAUACCAUACUCUUCAUCGGUUGAACUUGAAGGUUGACCAUAACUCAUUACAUGAGGAAGGUAGAUGUUAGCCUCAUUUGAGGAAUCACUAAAUUGAGUCCCUAUACUCAUAGAUUCAAAACUCCCUGAAAGUAACUCUUCGUUAUAUGGUUCCAUCGUUCAUUCUCUUCCUCUAUAGGGCUUCCUAAUAGCUCCUAUGCUUGGACCAGCUCUUCUAGAGCCAUGGUCUUCAUCCUGUGUGUAGUGUGUGAAAUCAUUUUCAUAGGUAAAUUGGCUGAUUAGAUAUUGACUAUGUUGAUGUUCAUAAAUAUCUCCUCCCGUAUUAUCACCUCCAUCAUUAGUUUCACCUCUUGAACCAUAGUAACUAAAAGCAGAAGUACCUGCAGCACUAGGUCUACUGCUAUGGCCAGCACUUGUGGAGUCAAUCUCUUGGUGGGAAUUCAAUGCCGCUUGAACUAAAUCAUUAGUAUCUUUGCUAAAACUUUCAGAGUGAACUUCUUCAGAUAACACACGUUCAACAUUAACUCCAAAUUAUUGAGCAUGAGCGGCAAUUCAUGGAUUAGGAUUUCCAACUUCGUCAUCCAAGUGUAUAGGCCUAACCCAUUGGAACAACUGAUUAUCUUCUUCUUCACCUACCUUAGCUGAAAUGUCAAGAAGAUCAAAGUAAUCUUUUUCAACAACUCGAUCAUUUUCUGCCUCCAUAUCGCGUAACUUUAGCCUCAUAUUAUAGUAACAAAAAACUAAUUGCUCCAAUCUAGGGUAAGCCAAACGAUUUCGUUGCUUUGUGUGGAUGAGAGCAAACGUGCUCCAAUUUCUCUCACGGGCAAAAGAUGACGCAGUUUGUGAGAGAACUUUGAUGGCUAACUUUCUCAAUGUAGGUGUUUGAUUCCCAUACAUAAACCACCAUUCAGUUGCAACCAAUUUGAUAAUCAUAUAAAUACUUAUGUGGUGAAUUUACAAUAAUGAUAAUCAAUUUUUUCUUAUAAAGACUCACCGGGUACCAUGGUUGACCUUGUUGCAAUCGCUGCUCGAUUACUGAAUCAUUUUUUUGCAUCUCGAAAAAGCACAAGCUAUGUAUUCAACAUUUAAUUUGUUAAUAUCAUAUUUGUUAGUAAACGUUCAAAUAAAUUGAUAAUUGAAAUAAUUGUUUUAUCAACAAAAAUAACAAUUUUCUAUUUACCUCAUUUCCAAAUUGACCAAGCGACUUAGUAGUUGGAUCAAAUUUUGCAAAAACAUCAUGGACCGCUUGAAGUAGUUCCGGAUCACUACCAACUCCAUGCCUAUAUUGAAAUCUUGGAUUUAAGAAGUAUGUUACAAUAAAAUUAAGUAGAGCUAGUAUAUUUUUAAAGAAAAUUAAAUACAAAGUAAAAACUUAUAAAGAUAGAUAGUACUUAAGUACCUGUUGCAUGAAGUGGAUGUUUUAGUGUUUUCUCCCAAUGAUCUUUUAUUAUUUUGAAGAUCUAAUCUCCAGCUCCUUGAUGAAUAAGGUUUCCUUUCAUCACUUGCAUAAACUCGUACACAAAUGGCAUUGUGGGAACAACUUUAGAAUCCACAAGUUGAAGCACCACGUAUAAUGGCUCAUAUAAUGAAACUAUAUUUGUCAAUCUGUCCCAAUACGUAUGGUCAAACAAUAAUUGCUCCAAUUCUCAGCUAAGUUUUGUUCGACUGAGUUUGUGGUGUGCCCAUUCAUCACUCAUAAACAUUUUUUUCAAAUCAACCCUUUUUUUAAGAAGACUGUUAAGAACAAUAUAAUUGGUAAAAAACCUUAUAGCUCCUGGUCGAACAAUGUCUCCACCACAAUACUUUCUCAUUUGUGCAAGUAACCAAUCAUGAUUGUAAAUGAAGUUAGUUAUCUUGCGAGCAUUGUUUAUCACAUCGAUAACAUUAGGUCUUUUACCAAUGUCUUCAAAGAUUAAGUCGAUACAGUGCGCCGCACACGGAGUUCAAUAUAAGUUAUACUUCUUCAUCAAUUGUUUCCCUGCUUUCAUGAACGCCGACCCAUUAUCUGUGACAAUUUGGACCACAUUUUCUUUACUGACUUCUUUGAUAAUAGUCUUCAAUAGCUCGUAAAUAUACUUGUGGUCUUUGAUAUAGUUUGAUGCAUCGAUUGACUUAAGGAACACCGUGGUCCCUUUAAAAUAAACCAUGAAAUUAAUAAUACUUAAUUUCGUGGGCCUUGUCCAUCAAUCUGACAUUAUUGUGCACUCAUAUGUCUUCCAUUUUUCUCUUUGCUGGUUCACAUAAGCUUCCAUUUCUUUGUACUCCAUUUCCAAGUACUUGUUCUUUAUUUCAUAUGGAGAUGGAGGUUCGAUUCCCAUUCCUACACUUCAUAUAUAAAAAAUAUGUAAAACAUGUCACAAAAGACCAUGCUUACUAAAAAUGUGACACAAUAUAACAUUUCAAAAAUUAGUAAUUAGUUGCUUGUUGUGCACCAAUAAUCAUAUUCUUGAAGUGAUGAGACUUUGCUUUUGCGGGUGCGACGCUCUCAUAAAUGAAGAAUUAGCUAAUUAAGCGUCCCAUCGUUUCUUUAAUUGCACCACGCUUGAAUAUUUCUUUAAUAUUUUUUUGUCUUGCUGCAAAAGACUUAUAAAGCGAAGGGGCAACAAGGGGUGAUUGGUGCGAAUGUCGCAUACUUUGUGAUUUUCACAUCGUCGUCGGUAUACCAGCAGACCGUGAAGACUUCCCCGUUUUGUGUUUGCUUCCUACAAUAUUCUCAUGUUGUUCAUGUUCCCAUUCUGAUGAUUUUGAGGCACGAACUGCAGAUCGAUAUGCAUCCCGCUCAUCUGGGUACAUAUCUGUUAGAUACAUAUACACAUCUUCAUCCUCAACAUCUUCAUCAUCAUCAUUUUCGUCUACCAAAUGUGUAUCAUGAGUCCCCAUUGUGCCACGUAAUUGAGCACAGAUGUCUUGAAUAUCAGCAACUUUCUUUGCUUUUGCUUUUUUUUUUUUUUUUUUGUCAUACACCAACAAACAUAUCUUUUCUUUCACUUCGGGAGGCACUCUCGGACACUUUUUGGUGUUGUUAUGCGAGUCGUUAUGCGUUAAAUGGAACUUGAAUCGUGUGAUGCCUCCACUUUUCAUCAAUAACCUACAGAAAUUACAAAUUGUUCCAUUUAUGUUCCCCCUCAAUUGGUGAACAAUACUUCCAAGCCGGAUCUCGCCCUGGCAUGACAGAACCACCUUCACUAGCCAUGCUAAAUCUAUUGCAAAAGAAAUACACUUGAAUGUAAUUUCAAUGUAAACAAAAAUUAAGUCAACAUUUAAAUUUAAAUCUAUGAGAAAUCUACAAAAUAAUCAUAAAAAAUGAACAUAUUUGAUAUUCCAAAUAUCUAGUUCAUGUUAAUUAAACUAAUUAAAUAAUUUAGCUAAGUUAAUUUUUUGAAUCUAAAUGUAAUUCUAUGAAAAAUUUAGUAAAUAUAAAAAUUAAUCAUAAUUGAAUAUGAAAAUAAAUCCCAAUAAUCAUAAAAAUGAACAUAUUUGAUAUUCCAAAUAUACUAGUUCAUGUUCAUUAAAUUAAUUAAAUAAUUUAGUUAAGUUAAUUUUUUGAAUCUAAAUGUAAUUCUAUGAAAAAUUUAGUAAAUAUAAAAAUUAAUCAUAAUUGAAUAUGAAAAUAUAUAGCAAUAAUCAUAAAAAAAAGUUCAUAUUUGAUAUUCCAAAUAUACUAGUUCAUGUUAAUUAAACUAAUUAAAUAAUUUAGCUAAGUUAAUUUUUUGAAUCUAAAUGUAAUUCUAUGAAAAACUUAGUAAAUAUAAAAAUUAAUCAUAAUUGAAUAUGAAAAUAAAUCACAAUAAUCAUAAAAAUUAACAUAUUUGAUAUUCCAAAUAUACUAGUUCAUGUUAAUUAAAUUAAUUAAAUAAUUUGUCUAAGUUAACUAGUUGAAUCUAAUUCUAACUAGAAUGAAUGUGAAAAAAAAAAUCACAAAAAAUCAUCUAAAAUAAACAUAUCAAUUUAUAAUUAAAUAAUCAAAUUAACCUAAGUUAAUUCAAUAAAAAUAUACAAAUUAGUUACAAUUGAAUGUAAAAAUAAAAUUAAAUCAUCCAUAUUGCAAAUAUACUAAUUAAUUGAACAUACAUGAAUUAAUUACAAUUGAAAACAAAAUUAAUUACAAGUUAAAACAAACAUACCUUAAAAUGAUUGAAUAAUUGAGCAACCUUCGAAAAAAUUGGAAUAAUGAGAGAGCAAAUCAAUAAUGAAAUCAAAUAUGAAUGAAAUGGAUGCAAAAUGGGCUAUUUAUAGGAGAAAUUUGGGCCACAAUAGCCGUUGGAAGAUUAUUUUACCAUUGAAAAACAAUUUUGGCUGUUGGAUCAAAAUCUGGGCAAAAUCUGACCGUUGGAUCAUGAUAUUACUGUUGGAAUCUCAUCCUAACCGUUGGAUCAAACCUAGAUUCAAUUUGGAGCAUUGGAUAUAUGACUGUUGCAAGCAGACGUGGCGGGCAACAUUUGGACCAUCGGAUCAACAUGGGUGUGAUUUGGGCUGUUAGAUCAUGUUGGAGAUAUGAGUAGACAUGUCACCAAAAAAUCGGCGAUUUAUUGCCGAAAUAUCGACGAUUUUCCUCCGUCUGGGCUGACUUUUCGCCGAUAUAUCGCCGACAAAUUGGCGAUAUUUUGACAAUUUUUUAGUGAAAUUUCUCAUUCUUGAUUUUUCUCCACAUAAUAUCGUGUCGACACCUCCUGAUACAUGAUAUAUCACUGAUAUAUCCCGACAUUUUCCUCUUUGUUGGGGAGUAGGUGAUCUCGAUAUUAAUUCAAUAAAUAAAUAAAUAAAUAAAAUCAGAGUGGUGUGUGAUUGAGAUUAAUUGUAUGAUCACCGAAUUAUGAUGGAUCGGACGUACAAUAUCAAAAAGUUUUGAUAUCGUUUUGAUAUUAUUUUUUUAAUAAAAAUAAUUAUUUUUAAAAAAAUAUGUUAUAAAUAUUUAAAAUAAUUAAAAAUAUUUAGAUCAAAAAUCGACUAUUUUUCAAACAAAAAUAUGGAAGUGAUAAAUGUGCAAAUAUGGGGAAUAUUUAAUCCUUUUAAUCCAUUAUUUCAUUAAUAAAGUGGGUAUAAUUAAUGAUGAACGCAAACUUGGUUUUGCUAGGGCAUGCAAAGGUUUUGCAAGAGAGAGAGAUCAUUUCUCGACUUUAAGAAAUCAAUCUCCUUUUGGCCUGGAGGCAGACUCCAAGUUAAGCCUUGAAAGAGCAUUGCUAAUAGCAUCACUGCUAUUGCAGACCCGAAUGCGAUCCCUGUGCACCCACACCUUCCAGCACUGAAGGAAAUGAAACGAAGGUUUGGCUCGUUCAACUCCACUGCUUGACUGUACUAGCAUUCAGAUGCUACCCUGGAUUGAAAUUUAAUGGUUCUUCCCAUAUUCUAAGGUUCCGGCCAAGCCCCAAACGGCUCAGAAGGACAUGACUGCCUUUGGGGAUAAAGUAGCCAGCAACACUAGUCAGAUUCUUGAGCUAGUCUAUCCUUUCCAACCACUCCAUCAAUUUCUUCACUGCUUUGCUCAAAACCCCUAGUUGAUUGACCAUUGCCUACUCAAUUGCAUUUGAUGGACUAUCCACGCCUGCAAGCAUCAACUCCUGUAAAUUAUGGAAGGAUCAUAAUCUGAUGAUUGAUCAAGUUAUUUGCUGGCUAGGAAAUGAUCAACACAUAAUAUAGAUCAAAAUGUAAACACAACACUACUAAAAAAUAAUUUAUGGUGUUACUAUUUAUGGUGUCACUUUUAAAAUAAUGACACCAUAGGGUUUAUAAUUAAUAAAGGUGAUACAUCAUAUAAAAAUUCUUCAAUUGAGAUAGUUAGAUGAUGUUAGUUUUAUUUUUAUAAUGUCAUUUUUUGGUAAGUUACAUCAUAUAAAAUAAAAAAAUUUAAGUAUUAUAACUCAAUGAGCCUAUUUGAGCCCACUUUUAAAAUUAAUAAUGAGGGACAAUGUAUAAAAAGCCAAUUGUUUCCACAUGCCACCCACAAUCCAAAAAAUCUCAGUAUACAAACCUUAUAUAUCAAACCAUAAUCUUUUUCUACCUUUUCUCUCACCCAUUGUCAACACACUCACAACUGACAUUCUCCACUUUGUGAACUCCCAGGUAACCCAAAUUCUCUUAGAUCUAUCAUAUUUUUUCCUUUAUUAAUAUCAUUAUAUCGAUUGUUUCAGCAUCUUUGCAUUAUGAUUUUUGUGAAAUGCAUUUUCUUGAGUUGUAGGGAAGAAAAACUUAAGUUUAAACUUCUAGCAUAGAAGAAGAAACCUAUAGAUUAAUUGAUUUUUUAAUCUGAACCAAACACAUGGUCGAAUCCUUAGAAACAAGUGAAAAAUAAGAAAAAAUGAAUGAUUUUUAAUAUAUAUUUGUGUGAGAAUGACAUGUACAUAAUUUUGUUGAGAUAUACUGUCACAUAAUCUUCAUCCCUUCCCAAAAAUGAGAGAGAGAGAAAAAAAAAAAGGAAUAAUUUUUUUGUGUGUAUCUAAGUGGGAAUGAGAGAUAUAGAAUUUCGUUGAGAUGCAAUGCUAUCACAUGAUCUUUAUCCUCCAUUAAACCCAACACAUUAAAUCCACUAACUCUCUCCUCAAAAACGAGUAAAAAAAAAAAAAAAAGAAUGAGUUAAAAAAGAGGAAAAAAAUGAUUUUUUUAAUGUGUUUCUAAGGAGAAUGAGAGAUACAGAUUUUUGUUAAGAUGCACUGCCACAUGUUCUUCAUCCUCUCCAUUAAGCCUAACAUAUUAAACCUAAUAGCUCACUCUUUUAAGCAUUCCAAUGAAGUGCCUACAGUAUCCAACUCAAAAUAAGACAGACAACUUAAGCCCCAUUAGCCAACAACCCAUAUUUUGUGCACAUCUUCAUGAGAUUAUUUUGUGAGAAAAUGUCAUGAAACAAUCCCAAUUUGAUAAUCUAGGCAUGUAUUUGACUUAAAAAUAAAUUUCUAUUCUAUAUAUUAAAGAAUAAAAUCAUGAUUGAAAAUUAUUCUUAAAAACUUAUUUAGAGCAAAAAUUGUUUUCUAACAUAAAAAUAUUUUUUUAACUUAGAAAAUAUAUUUGAAAUUAUUUGAUAGAAAACUGGGCAUGUAUUUGACUUAAAAAUAAAUUUCUAUUCUAUAGCUCAAAUAAUAAAAUCAUGUUUGAAAAUUAUUCUUAAAAACUUAUUUAGAGCAAAAAUGGUUUUCUAACAUAAAAAUAUAUUUUUUAAUUUAGAAAAUAUAUUUGGAAACAUUUGAUAGAAAACUGGGCAUGUAUUAAACUUAAAAAUAAAUUUCUAUUCUAUAGAUCAAAGGAUAAAAUCAUGUUUGAAAAUUACUCUUAAAAACUUAUUUAGAGUAAAAACGGUUUUCUAACAUAAAAAUAAAUUUUUAACUUAGAAAAUAUAUUUGAAAACAUUUGAUAGAAACCUUUUUUUUUCUAAUGUCAAUAAGUUGUCUUUUUCUUAAUUUAAUUGCAAUCAAUUUGCCUAUAUGCAUUUAAAAAUAUAUAUUAUCAUAUUUAGCAAUAUUUUGAUUGUUAGGCAAAUUAUCAUUUUUGAGAGGAAUUUUUGUAGCUCUCAUAAUUAUAAUUGUAUUUUAAUAACCAUUUCCAAUAUAAAAAAAAAAGAAAAAGAAAAUAAAGUUAGACAAUUAUCAAAAUCUGAUUUUUAGGAUUUUUAAAAAAUCUACAAGCCAAAACUAUUUAUAAUUUUGACCAUGUGAGAACAAUUCUUUUUCUAUACUUUGAGUUAUUUUGUUUUUUUUUUCUUAGCAUUUGAAAGUAUAAAAGAAUUUCUUUUAUCAUAUUAUAUAUGUGCAUAUGUGUUCUUAUGGUUGUUUAUGUCAUGUUUUAUCAAAGAAUAUAGUGAAAUUUCCUUUGAGUGGAAGGUUUUAGUCCACGCUAGUGAGUGGACAUGGUAUGAAUAGUUUGGGUGGGUUGUAUCUAUGGUAAAAAAUAAUAAGACACACCUUUUGCAAGUCUCCAAGUUGGUUGAGACCUACAGACAUGGCAUCAUGUUGACUAGACCUUGACUUUUGCAAGUCUCCAAGUUUCCAACUUUUUUUUUUUUAAUAUUAAGGUGUGGGGUCAUGAACACCUUUAUUUCCUUUUUAAAUAACAAAAAGGAAGAGAAUUUGAUCGUGAGAAGGCUAUUGCUAUCAAUUGUGUUCACCUGGAGAAUUUUUUAAUGUAUAGAGGCCAUAUAUAUAUAUAUAUAUAUUUAUGUCUAAUUUAGGAGGGUAAUUUGGGUUUGUCUAAUCUAUUCCAUUUAAUCUUACUAUACAAUCAUUUUUAUUAUUUGAAUUAUUCUUGUAUUAAAUUUCUUCAACCCAAAUUUAAUUAAUUGAUAGGAUGAAAGAAAAUGUGAGAAUGUGAGACUAGAGGUGGCCUUUGUUUGAUUGAUAAUUAAUCAUUUUUUUAUUUUACAUAUAUCUAUCGACAUAUAAAGAGCCAUAAAGUUAAUAUCAUAAUGGAAUUUCAUAAAACCCAUUAUAGAAUUUCAUGCUUGAAGUCAUUACUUUUGAAAGUAUUUAUUAUAAUGAAAGCUACUUUUUGUAAAAAUUAUUAUUUUAUGGUUGAUAAUUCAUUAAGUGUCUUCUUAUUCAACUAGUUGACUUCUUGCCAUGGAAAAGUAUACCCAAAAAAAGGUGACUUCUUGUAGUAGAAAAGUAUACCCAAAAAAUGACUUGUUGGAGUGCACCCAAUGUGUAUGUAAAUUUUGUGGGUGAAAAAUUUAGAGGUAAAUUAUUGGGUACUUGUAUACAUAGAUAACUAUGAAAACAUAAUUUUUGUUAAGUGAAAUAAAUUAAUUUUAAAAUAACAAACAAACUGCCAAUAAAUUAAGUUAAACAUGUUGAUUAAAGUUAAGAGAAAAAUAUUAAAACAUAAAAUGAUGAAAAUGAUAAUAAUUAUGAUAAUGGUGAACAUAGUAAAUGAUAACAAUAAUUGUGGUUGGUAAAUGAUAAAAAUAGUUGCCGGAAAAUUUGUUUAGAUAAUAGGUUAAUUUUAUAAUAAAUUUAUGGCAUUUUAAGGUUUUUUUUUAUAACAUAUUCUUUUAGAUUUUAAAAUUUCAAAGGAUACUAUUUGUUUUUAUUACUUAUAACUUUUAGUAUUUAUAAAUUAAAAUUUUAGUACUUAAAUUUAAUAUUUGUAAGUUAUAUGAAUGACUUGAAGCAUGUAAUAUAUAUAAAUACACAUAUUCAUACUUGAAAUAUUGCAUUUUUUUGGAUUAUUAGUUUAAUUUAAUGGAGAUGAGUAUUUUGUUGAAAAGUUACAAUGUAUUAUUGAAAAUAUGACUUGAUAGUUGAUUAUGAAUAUGUGUCAUUUUUAGUAAAAAUAAAUAAAAUUAAAUCUAUAACAUUUUAUAUUGAUAGUAUAUUAUUCUUGUAAUAGGUUCAAAUAAUAAGCAAGUCAUUAUCAAAGAAGUUAUUGGAAGUGUAAGGGUACGUUUAUUUAUUGCAUGCUCUUAUAUAGUAUCAAUUGUAAGGAAGAUAAAAUUACUGAUUACUACUCAAAAAGUGCUAUUUGAUAGCCUAUAAUUAAUCCUUUUAAACACUUUUGAGUAGUAGUUUAGGCCUUUUAACUCAAUUGGCAUGUUAAGGACCCUUGAAAGCAAUUUUAAUUACUUUGUGUAAGUUUUGGUGUUUUUGUUAGUAUUUUGAUCACCAAAGCAAGUCAAGACUGAGGAGAGUUAUGAGGAAUCUUGGGCAAAGCUUAGAAGUCAUUUGCCAAGAGUGAAUCCAGAAUGCAAGGAGAAAAAGUAAAGAGAAUCUGCCAUGAAGCAUAUUCUUGAUGACAGUCAUAGCAGCCACUUUAGGAGCACUUUCUGAAGUCCAAUUGAUACAUGCUAUAUACCAUUUCAAAGCUCAGGAAGUCAACAAUCCACUGCUUCAAACGGUGUGCAAUUCGGAGUUGAAACGAAGAAGUUGCAGCCAUUGCAAGCCAAUCACUCCAAGCUGAAGGAAGCAUUUUUGCAAAGUGUUGCGAAAUCACCCUUUUGUUGCGAAGUGAUUCCACAGCCUUUUUGUACAGUAGGGUGUAUUUCCUCCUGAAGAUGCCCGACAUAUACCGCGAGAGGGAAGCUGGGAACCUCAAGGUGGAAGCCAACUUCGCAGCCCUGCGAAGAUAGCAUGUUGUUGCGAAAUGAUUUCGCAGCCCUCUUGAGUGUCUGCGAAAUCUCGCAGACACCAUUUUCUCUUGCGAAAUGGUUCCUGGAGCAUCCCGAUAUCUGCUACCGAUAUUGGGAGAUAUUUUACAUUAGAUUUUUGUUGUCUAAAUACCAAAAUACUCCUUGUAAGCCACCAAUUACAAGAUUCCUUAGCUUUUAAGUUAGUAAAAAAGAGAAAAAUAUCUAUGUAAUAAUUAGUUUUAUAUUAUGUUCAUAUAUACCUCUCGGGAGCCUGUUCUCAGAAGGAUCCUUUUGUAAAGUUUUGGGUAAGCAAGUAAAGUUCAGUUCUUUGUUUUGCCUUACCUUCUCACUUUGUAUUUUUCUAUUUAUUACUAAGUUAUGAACUCUCUGAGGAGUUUUCCCCAGAGAAUGAGUAACUAAACCUCUAGUUCCUUGGAGCUAAGGUUGCCGGGGAAGGUUCCAAGUGCAAGAAUGCAAAGCUUUGUGGUUUUAGCUAAUAAUGAAAAGGAAGUGAAAUCCUUUAGUGAUUUCUAUGUUUUUAGUUAACUUAAAACACCUUAGAGUCACCUGGGCCAACACUUGGUAAGGCAAGUGAUUUCCAACCAUGGAAAUGCACUAGUUUACCCCUUGCGAGCCUCUGGGAGGUGACUUUAGGGUAGGAUUUUCUAGAAUAGCCAACACUUGGUAAGCUUUUGGACUCCAAGGAGACAUCCAUUAGUUAUCUCUUGCGAGCUUUUGACGGGUAAUCCAAGGUUAAAGAUCACCUUGAAUGGUUACGGCUUAGUGAGAAGCUUAAAUCAUUGCAAGUUGCAUCAGUGAGAGAAUUAAAGUGAAAUCUAAUUGAAGGAUGUAUCUAUACAACACCGGUUAGAGAAUUGACUAUAGGUUGAAUCUCUAACGCGAAGAAAUGAACCAUCUGACCGGAGCUAUGUCUUUUGCAUGAGGAACCACCCCAGUGAACCUAACUCUCCAAGGAAUGUUUUUCUUCCUAAGUUAUUCCCAUUACCUGUUGUGUUAGUUAGUUUAAGUCUAAAUCUUUACAAAUCAAAGUUUGGGUUUUAUUUCUUAAGCUAACCUUGAAAUGAAACAAGACCAAUUCACUUUGAAUUGGUAUCAUUGAUAGCUUGUUAAUCCUUCCCAGUGAACGAUCCUAGAGCCACUAUACUAUAGUAGUUUUUUCUUUGCUACCCUAGUAUAUGGUGUUAUAGGUUAUAAAUUUUGUUGAUUACUCCCUCAAUCAAGGAGCACCAGCUGGACACGAAUCAACUGAGACACCAACUGGGCAUGAAUCAAAUUACCUUGUAAAGGUAAUUAAAUAUUUAUAUAUUUUAAAAACUUUUUUCCUAUAUACUAUGCUUUUGAAACUUGUUUAAUUAAACAUAUUAGUUAUUUGACAAACUUUUCACAAAUGUUUUGUAUACUUAUGUGUUCUAUUUCGUUCCAUAGUUUUAUUGCAUAAUACUUAUGUAUAUUUUUUCACAAACUUUUUACAACUAUUUUGUGUACUAAUGCAUAUUAAGUUUUGUUCUUGCCUAUAUAAGCUACAUUUAGUUAUUUAAAUAUAUCCAAUAUUAUGUUGAAGAAAGAUGUAUUUACUUAACUUUUUUUAUUCUUCAUAUUAACAAGUUUUUUAGUUCUCUUGUCUCGAGAUUGGAUGUCAAAAGAUAGAAGGUCAGUUGAGUAUGAUGAAAGAGUUGAAAACUUUAUCAAUUUUGCAUUAGCACAUUCAAUCAACCAUACCUCUAUAAAAUGUCCAUGCUUAUGUUGUGCAAAUCUGUUAUGUCAAACUCUUCAAGUCAUUAGAGAGCAUUUGUUCUUUAAUGGAAUAGAUCUCAGUUAUUGAGUAUGGUAUUGGCAUGGAGAAAAGGGACCCAAUGGAGGAUUUUCAAAUGUCUCACCACAACAUUAUGACAAAUGCAACUAUAAUGAUGUUGUUGACACAAUAGAUAUGGUUAAUGCUGCACAAGUUAAUUAUAUGAAUAAUCCCCAAGUGUUUGGAAGGUUACUUGAAGAUGCAGAAAAACCUUUAUAUCUCGGAUACAUGAAAUACACAAAGUUGCCAGCAUUGGUAAAACUUUACGACUUAAAAGCACGUUAUGGUUAGUCUGACAAAGGAUUCUCAUAAUUGCUUCAGUUGCUUGGAGAUAUGUUGCCAUUGAAUAAUGAGAUGUUGUUGUCCAUGUAUGAAGCUAAAAAGGCUUUCAGUGCACUUGGGAUGGAAUAUAAAAAAAUUCAUGCAUGUUCUAAUGAUUGUAUUUUGUAUAGAAACCAGUAUAAGGAUGGUAUUACAUGCCUAACUUGUGGAAAGUCAAGGUGGAAGAUAAACGAUGAGGGGAAAAAGAUUAAGAAGGGGGGUUCCUUCAAAGGUUUUUUGGUAUUUCCCACCAAUCCCUAGAUUCAAAAGGAUGUUCCAAUCCUCAAAAACCACUAAACAUCUUAUAUGGCAUGCCAAGGAUAAAGAAUAUGAUGGUAAACUACGCCACCCAUCAGACUCCUCAGCAUGGAAACUAGUUGACCAUAUGUGGCUUGAUUUUGCUUCUAAACCGAGGAACCUUAGACUAGUACUCUCAAUAGAUGGUAUAAAUCUUCAUAAGUCUAUGAGCAGUAGACAUAGUUGUUGGUCUGUUAUACUGAUCAUAUACAACCUUCCUCCUUGGUUGUGCAUAAAAAAGAAGUUUAUGAUGCUAUCAUUAUUGAUCUCAGGACCACGACAACCUAGUAAAAAUAUAGAUGUUUACUUGAGUCCAUUGGUGGAUGACCUUAAAACUUUGUGGUAAAAAAAAGUUGAGACUUAUGAUGCACACUUGCGUGAGGUUUUUUACUUUAAAGGCCAUCCUUUUAUGGACAAUCAAUGAUUUCCCUGAAUAUGGAAGCUUGGCCAAUUGCAUUGUGAAAGGAUAUUAUGCAUGUCCAAUAUGUGGAGGAGGAACAUAUUCCGAAAGAUUAAAGCAUGGUAGGAAGAACUCGUAUAUGGGUCACCAACGAUUUCUUCCACAUAACCAUCCCUAUUGGAGACAAAAGAAGGCAUUCAAUGGUGAAGAAGAUUUUAGAAUUCCUCCUAAAAUUUUGAGUGGGGAAGAAAUACUUGAAAAAGUUGAUCUCAUUCCUAUUUCUUGGGAAAAAAUGAAGAUAAAAUCUCUUGAAUCUAAUGUGAACACAAAUUGUUGGAAAAAAAAAAGUCCAUAUUUUUUGAGUUAGAAUAUUGGAAAUAUCUUCAUGUCCUUCACAACCUGGAUGUUAUGCACAUCGAAAAGAAUGUCUGUGAGAGUAUUAUUGGUACUUUGUUUAACAUCCCAGGAAAAAAAAAGAUGGACUUAAUGCUCAACUUGACCUAGUUGAAAUGGGUUUAAGGUCUGAACUUUUCCCAAGAGUUGACUUAAAGCAGACCUAUCUUCCCCCUGCAUGUUAUUCACUAUCCAAACAUGAGAAAAAAAUUAGUUUGUCAAACAUUGUCUAAUUUGAAGGUCCCGGAGGGGUAUUGCUCAAAUUUUAGAAAUCUUGUCUCCUUAGAGGAAUUGAAGUUAUUUGGUUUAAGAUCCCAUGACUAUCAUGCACUUAUGCAACAACUGUUGCUAGUGGCAUUACGUUUUGUUUUGCCAAAGCAUGUGAGAUAUACUAUAUCAAGAUUGUGUAUCUUCUUCAAUCAAUUACAUACAAAAGUGGUUGAAGUGUCAAAAUUGGAUGAAGUACACAAUGAGUUAGUGGUCAUGUUGUGCUUACUUGAAAAAUAUUUUUCACCUUUAUUUUUUUGAUAUUAUGCUUCAUCUAGCAGUGCAUUUGAUAAAGGAGGUGUGACUAUGUGGUCUAGUUUACUUUAGUGGAUCUACCCAUUUGAGAGGUAUAUGAAAGUUCUUAAAGGAUAUGUUCACAAUCAUAAUCAGCCUGAAUGAUGCAUUACUAAGUGCUAUUUAGCAGAGAAAGCUGUCGAAUUUUGUACUAAAUAUUUAUUAAGGAUUCAUGCAAUUGGAAUUCCAAAAAGUAACAAUUAUGACAACAAAUUUGGUAGACCUAUAAUUGGUGGUCAUUCUACCAACAUUGAUCAUAAAUCGUGGUUACAAACACAUCAUUAUGUGUUAGAGAAUACAACUAUUGUCCAACCAUACACUGAGUAAAAAAAAACAUACCUUUAUCUUUUUAUAAUUUUAUAACAUAAUGAUGAAAUCCUAAGUUUGCAUUCCUUGUCUAUAAUGUCAUAGGGAACACAUGAAUUGGUUGAAGUCUCAAUACCCUUGACAAUCUAAUAGACAAAUUUGGUUGCAAGAAGAACAUAUGUGUUGUUUUACAUAUUGACUGAAAGAAAAGGUAAUCUCUUAGUUUUUAGAAAAAUUUUCAAUAUGUUGAAAACAUCACAAGUUUCCAAUAUGUUUUGAUUAUACACAGGUUGAAGAGGCUAUCCAUAAUGGGCAAGAUAUUACCGACACGCUUAGGUGGUUAGCACAUGGCCCUACUCUCCAGGUAGUCAAAUAUCCUGGAUAUAUCGUUAAUGGGUGUCGUUAACAUAUUAAUGAACACGAUAUGACAUGCAUCACCCAAAAUAGUGGUGUUAGCAUUUUAGUAAGGACUAUGCAAAUUCCCAGUUCUAAGGAUAAGAACCCAGUUUUUGGUGAACUUUGCUUUUAUGGGGUCAUUAUUGAGAUAUGGGAUCUUGAUUACAACAUGUUCACAAUUCCAAUUUUCAAGUGUGAUUGGGUUGACAACAAGAAUGGUAUAAAAGUUGAUGAACUCGGGUUCACAUUAGUUGACUUCUCCUAAAUAUGUCACAAAUCGGAUCCAUUUAUUUUAGCAUCACAAGCCAAGCAAGUCUUCUAUGUUGAAGACCAACUUGAUCCUAAAUGGUCAAUAGUUCUCUCAAUUCCUCCAAAAUAUUUCAAGAACAUAGAAGGACUAGAUGACUUCACCGAUAAUUGCAUGGAACAUCACCCCUUUAUAAGUUCAAUGCCAAAAGUUGAAUCAUUUGAUGCUAUGGAUGAAUCAGAGGCAAUAUACAUGAGGGAAGACUAUGAGGGCAUAUGGAUUGAAAAUAAUUAAAUAAUAUAUUGUACCCUUGACAUGAGAUAUAAUAAGGCAUUUCACUUAUUAGUUUUCAUGAGUUGCAUAUUACCUUAGCUUCUAUAUAUUGCUCAUGAUAUAUAUAUAUAUAUUGAUCAUCCUAAAUUUCUUUCAUGCAUCAUAAACAUAUGUUAUUCAAAGGUACCACUUCAAUCUUCAUUCAACUAUCUUUUUGUUGUCCAUGGAACUAGAUUUAUAUUAUUUUUUAUUAUCAUGUUUUGAUUUUAUGCUCACAUAACUUGAAACUCUCAUUCCUAAAUUUCUUUUUCAUUAAAACUAUAAAUCAUAAUUGAAACUAUGCACUAAUUUAUUUUAUUAUUAUCCUCACAAAUAAAUUCUUCAUUAUUGAUAAGAAAUCAAAAAACAAGACAAACUUUGAAAGAAAAUUUCAAAAAAUGUAUUUGUGAAUGACCAAUUUAAUUAUAGAAAAUAUAUGCAAGGCUAUACUAAUCUUGCUUUUAAGUCAUUUUACAGGUUUGUUGGUGAAGUACUAGUUUGCACAUUUACUUGAUAUCUUCCACACAAAUAUGGAUCUGAAAGAAGAAUAAAUGCCAAAAAUAAAGCAUAGAGGUAGUACAUUGAAACCAAAGAUUGCAAAAAAUCAAAGUAAAGGGAUAAAGCUCAAGAUUGAAUACAAUAGCCUUGGUAGUCACAUUGAGGAAAAUUCAGUUGAACUAAGUAGUUAUCUUAGUACAAUAACUAGAACCCAUGUGCCAAUAAUUAUUGAGAGUUGGAGGAAAGUCCCUAAAGAGACUAAGGAGAAGUUAUGUGAUUUGAUCACGGUAAGUCUAUCUAUAGCUUUAAUAUAUAAUUAUUGUAUACAUUCAUUAACAUGAGUUAACAUGGGUUACUAUUUUGUAGACAAGCUUUAAUGUGAAUAAAAAAUCCAAGAGGAAUUGUUUCAUACUAAUGGACAUAAGGUUUUGAACCUUUAAGACAAAGAAAUAUAUAUUGUCUUUCAAGAAUGACCAGAAAAGCUGAAAAAGUCACCUCCUAUCUACCCAUUCAUACAAGAGGAUCAUUGGAGACAGUUUGUUAAAGAUAGACUUUCUGAACAUUUUAAUGUUAAGCAUUAUUCUUAUUACAUCUUCAAUUUUCACAUUUACGUAGUUUCACCAUGUACUAAUUUUGUGUCUAUAUUUUGUAGGAAUAUUGCAAGGUUCAGAAAUCAAGAAAAGAUAAACACAUUUACAAUCAUUAUCUUAGAAGAAAAAGAAAAUGAUAUGCACGUUUUGAGCAGGAUAUAGUAAGUUAUCAACAUUCAUAAAAAAAAAUGAAGUAUAUGUUUUGUUUAUAGGAAAAUGAUUCCAAUUUUUAAAUAUCAUUUAUGAACUUGAUCAUAUUGAACUAAUGAGUUUUAUUGUUAACAAUUUUAUAGCUACAAGCAGAAGGGGCAAUUGGUAGGGUUGAUAGAAGUGUUUUAUGGAAGAAAGCAUGUGAGAAGAAAGGAAAGUUUAAUAAGAUUACAAAACCAAUGAUUAACAUGAUAGUAAGUUAGCAUAUUUAUUCCUUUUAGAGCCUAUAGUGUUAGUAUGUCCAUGUGAUUAUGGUUUGUGAUGAUAUCGUUAGGUGUUAAUAGGCAAGAGGCUUAAUGCUAUCAUUUUUAUGAGUAGUCAUGUUAGACUAGUGCAAAUAUAGUAGCCUAAUUUGAAAAUUAAUUUUGAAACAAUAUACAUUAAUUUAUCUAUUAUUCUUUAUAUUAAAACAAUUCAUUUUCUAGCUACCUUGAAUUGGUUGUCUUUGAUUGAUAUGUUAAUCAUCUUCAUCAAAUUAUUACUAAUAUAUGUUUUGUUGUAGGAUGAAUUACUAGAAAAGGCAAGGAGACUGGACUACCUCCACUUGGUCCAAAUGACAUAUUAUGUCAAGCAUUGGGUAAACUUGAUCAUCUAGGACAUGUGGUAGGUCAGGACCGUUUGGUUAGGCCCAACUCAUACUUUUAUCAAACAUUUGAUGACAUGAAAAAAAUCAAAGAAGAAAUAUGGGAAAUGGUGUGAAAGAAGAUGCAAGAUGCUGCAACAAGACAAGCUAUGUCUCCCCCCACACCCCAUUCUGAUAUGGGUAGUAAUAACAUGAGACAACAGCUUGUUUUACAACUAGUUGUAGCAAAAAAACUGAUGUUUGAAAUGAUGGAAGAGCCCCAACCACCAGAACCACCACUAAAACGUAAAGUAUACAUUUACUUACUAAUAAUACAAGAUUAAUAUAAGUGAUAUAUAGCCUAUGUAAAUGAUAUUAUUUGUUGUAUUGAAGGUAAUUAAAUAUAAAUUAGCAGUGGAAAGAAAAUGAAAUGUUGUUGCAACCGGUACACUAAUGAAAUGCUGAGCUUUCCAUUGCUUUGCCAUGGAUUCCCAAGAACUCUCCUCAAUCUCGGAUUGCUUUGGUGAUAAAAAAGUUAUCAAAACACCAAAACUUGACAAAAUUUGAUUAGAAUUGAUUGCAAGGAUCCUUAAUAUGUUAAUUGGGUUAAAAGGUGAUAACUACUACUCAAAAGUGUUUAAAAAAGUUAAUUACAAGCUAUGAAAUAACACUUUUUGAGUAGUAAUUACUCCCCCCAACCAACAUAUUGCUAGUCCCUUAGCAAUGAAGGAGAGAAAAAUAAAAAUAAAAAGUAUUAUAAUUUAUAACAUCAUGCUGAUCAAAAACCAAUUUCCAAGUGGCAUGAUGAUUUAACUCUCACAUGGAACAUUAAAGAAAUAAAACUCAAAUUUCAACAAGAGUUAUCAAAUAACUUGUCUAAUCACAAUUCUUAAAGAGAAGACAUUAUGUAAAUUUAAGCUUUAAAAGAGUUUCCACUCCCAAAGGGCCAAACCUUACUUUUCCACAAAAAUCUAAGUGUUAUUUAUUAGCUUCCGAAUAUAGUAUGUUGAACUAAUCUCUCCCCCUAACCUAGUUCUUUUUCAAAGCUUAGCAAACUAAUCAACCUCAAAUAGGUUAAGAACGCACCUCUUUUCUCACAAUUUUUUUUUUCAUUGUAGGAGUACAAGGCUUAAAGGUAUUCUUUUUUUAAAUUGUCCAUGUAAUGGGGGUCCAUUGAUGACUCCCAACCAAUUAAGGUUUAGGGCAUCAAGCUUUAAAGAUCUUUCAACCACUAACUCCUCGGAUUUUACCCCGGACUUUUGAGAAUGAAUUUUAAUACCCAAGCACCUACAGUAUGUUAGACUCCACCUUUUCACCCUUGUAACGAGCAUUGAGGUCGGUGACUCCCAACCAAUUAAGGCUUAGGGCACCAGGUUUUAAAGAUUUUCACCAUAUACCCCUCAGACCUUGCUCGAGUUUCAAGGCAAGUAAACAUUUUUUCUUUUUUCUUUUUUUUUUUUUCCAAAGGCUCAUUGGCCUUUUAUAAGGUGUCCCAACACUAUUAAAUGAGGUCAAAGGUACCAAGUCUAAAUUUUCCUAAGUCAAGAGGGAAAUAGUUUUUCAUCUUAUAAUCGGAACCUAUUGUACACAGUGUGUGAAUAGCUUAAAGUGGAAGAACUGAGGUUGAAUUCAAUAGAAGUUUCAACAAUUCAUCAACUUUAGUAAGCAUAAUACAAAAUCUAAGUCAAGUAAAAAGACAAAAAUUCAAUUUCUCCCUUUUCAUUUUGAAAAUUUUUCCUUAAUAACCAUGGAGAGUAGAAUAAAAAACUUUAAAAAAUUUUAAAAUUAAGCAAAAAGCAACUAAAUUACCAAAAUAACUUAGCAUUAUUAACAAAACUUACUUCCUCAACUCUCCCCCCAACCAAGCUGAACAUUGUUCUCAAUGUGACAAAAGCGAUUGAAAAAUAGGGAGGAAGUGGUACCUCCUGUGUGACAUGGAGUCUGAGUCAUAUAAGAGAAACCACAUGUUUAAAAAAAAAACAUAAGAGUUAGUGAGUAGAGGAAAUAGGCUGAUCAACAAAAGGAGGGGCCUGUGAUGGCUCUGAUGAGCUGGGAAUGGCAUGCUCAGGAGCUGAUGUAAUGCCGAGAUGAUGCUGGAUCUGCCUCAGGAUGGCAGUGUGUUGGGCCUGACUGGUAAGCCAUUUGAUCUAGCCUAACAACCUGGGGAAAAGGAGUGGAAUGGCAUCAGCUCGGAGUAGCUUCUUUCGAUUUUCUUGCAAUUCCUCCUGAUUUUAAUCAUUAAAAAAAAAUAAAAACUAUAUUACAUCAAAACAAAGUAAAAUUAAAGCAUUAAAAUCAAAAUUAAAGCAUUGAAAUCAAAAUUAAAACAAGUAAUAAAUAAAACAAAAAGGUAUGGACUAGCUAGUCUUUAAAAAGACUAAGUCCAUUAAAAAAAAUUUGAUCCUGAUUUAGCUUGCCCGGAUCCCAUAUGAAGCUUGCAUCCCUCACUUGAGACUUGCUCUGUAUGAUUUUUCCAUACAAAGCUCGGGGGAAAAGUGGAUGCAUGUGUUUCUUCAUCAUUUCUUCCUUGAUGACUAUUUUCAGUGGUUCUUCAUCUAUAUAGUCAUCUUUCUCUAUGCUUUUCCCCUUUUUCUUUCCUUUGAUUUCCUCCCUCUUUUCUUUCUCUGUUUCACUCUCUUCAUCAUGCUCUAGCUUGCAUGUGGGCAGAUCAACCUCUUUAUCACUCUCCUUAGCCUCCAUUUCAUGGAUACCCUUUUGAUUUUGAUGAGGUUGAGAAGGAGAGUUUUCUUUCUCUUGCAUUGUUUUGAGGUUGGCAAACCUUGAGAUUGAAUCUUGGAGAUUAUCUAUCUUCUGAGAUAGAUCAUUUUGCACUCCAUCCAUCCUGUCAAUUUUUUGACUGAGCUGAGCAUUGAUGGAUUUCUGAGCUCCAACAAAGUCUCCCACGACCUUGCUAAGAUUCACCAUAACUUGUUCAAGGUUUGAGGCUUGCUGUGGUGCUUGAGCAGGUUGCUUGUACUGAGGUGGCUGUGGUUUCUAAGAGAAAUUUGGAUGGUCCUUCCAAUUGGAAUUGUAGGUGUUGCAAUCACCAAACAUUUCCCUCAUGACUGGAAUGGUAGGACACUCUUCCACCAAGUGCUCAUAAGAUAGACAAAUGGCACAAGACAUAGCUUGCAAUGGUGUUUGAGAGAUGGCUUGCACUUUUUGCAUCUUUUUCAUUUCUAACUCUUCCAAUCUCCUUGCCAUAGCUGUAAUCUUUGCCUUCAUGUCUAUGCCGUCAUUCAAAAUAUACAUCUCACCCUUAGCAUUAGGUUGAGACGUCAUUCUUCCCAUAUCUCUAGCAUUUGGUUCAUCCCAUUCUCUUGAAACUUCAGCCAGAUAACUCAUGAAAUUCAUGGCUUCCUCUGCUAUCUUGUAUUCAAUAUGGCAUGCACAACUAGCAAUUUGUGAAUUAAAAACAGAGAAAACAAAAGAAAAUAAAAGAAAAACAAUUCUAAGAAAAAAAAUAAGGUAAACUAAAAACUAAAUAAAAUGUAUUCUAAAAUAUGAACAAAGGAAAAUAAACAAAUAAAAAGAGUUAGUAAAAGGAAAAGAAAAGUCACCAAACUUGUGAUGAAGAUCACAAGUACUCUAAAAAGGUCAUAUCACUGUAAAGUGGCACCAUCCCCGGAAACGGCGCCAUUUGAUUCGUGCCCAAUUGGUGUCUCAACUGAUUCAUGUCCAGCUGGUGCUCCUUGAUUGGGGGAGUAAUCAACAAAAUUUAUAACCUAUUACACCAUGAACUAGGAUAGCAAAGACAAAGCUACUAUAGCAUAGUGGCUCUAGGAUCGUUCACUGGGAUGGGUUUUCACUUCACAAUUGAUAUUAAUUCAAAGAUGAAUUGGUGCCUUUUCAUUUCAAGGUUAGCUUUAAAGGAAAACAUAAAGAUGUUUGAAUGAAAAAGGUUUGGUUUUAAACUAACCAAAAAUAGUAACUGAUUUUACUUACAAAGAAAAGUGUUUCUUGGAGUUUAGAUCACUAGGCUCAGGUUCCUUAUACAAAAAGGGAGUUCCGGUCACUUAUUUCUUUUCCUCGCAUUGGGGAUUUAACAUAUAGUUAUUUCCCGAACCGGUGUGGUACAGAUGCUUCCCAUUAAUGGGUUCAAACACUAAAUCCCUCUCACUGAUGCAUCUUGCAAUGGCUCGGGCCUCUCACCUAGCAUUUGCCAUUCAAGGUGAUCUUUAACCUUGGACUUCCCGUCAAAACUCGCAAGAGAUAACUAAUGGAUGUCUCCGUGGAUCCAAAAGCUUACCAAGUGUUGGCUAUUCUAGAAAAUCCUACCUUCAAACCACCUCCCAAAGGCUCGCAAGAGAUAAACUAGUGCAUCUCAACGGAUGGAGAUCACUUGCCUUACCAAGUGUUGGCCCAGGUGAUUUAAAGACGUUUUAAGUUAACUAAAAAGAUAAAAACCAUUAACGGGUCACACUUUCUCUUCAUUAAAAACUAAAACAACAAAACUUCCAAUUCUUGCAUUUGGAAACUUACCUAGCUUUCUUCAUUCCAAGAGAUGAAGAGCCUAGCCUCUCAUCCUCUGAGGAAAAAUCCUCAGAGUUUGGUUGGCUAGAAAUAAAAAGAACGAGAAAACAAAAAUAUGUAUGAAAAGCAGAGCAAGUGCUCUGUAUUUUACUUCCUUCCAAAAUUGUACAAAGGAUGCGUCGUCUUUGAGAACAAGCUCCCGAGAUUCUACAUAUAUAUUUUUUAUGAAAAUUACAAAACUAUAUAUAAGAGGUUAUUCACCCUUUUUUCUUACUUAAAGACUAAGGAAUCCUAUGAUAGGUGGGUUACAAGGAGACUUUGGGGAUUUAGACAUCAAAUAUCUAAAGCAAAAUAUCUCAAAAUGUCGGUCGCACAUUGGGGAUUUAGACAUCAAAUAUCUAAAGCAAAAUAUCUCAAAAUGUCGGUCGCACAUAUCAGGAAGCUUCAGGAGAACACUACGGCACUGUGUAGAAAAAUAUCUCAAAAUGUCGGUCGGACAUAUAGGGAAGCUUCAGGAGAACACCGUGGCACUGUGCAAAAUGGAUGCGAAACUCUCUGGGUAAGCGCUAUCAGAGGAUCCGGAUAUGUCUGACCGGGGAAGUUGAAACGCCCUCUUCUCCCAUCCGGCAUCAAGCGUCGGAUGCGAAAUAUCCGGAUGGAAUGUCGGCAGAGCAAAAUUCCGAAUGUGAGACAUCCGGGUGGAAUGUCGGCGGAGCAGAAUUCCGAAUGUGAGACAUCCGGGUGAAAUGUCGACGGAGCAAAAUUUCGAAUGUGAGACAUCCGGGUGGAAUGUGCGAUGCCACAGCCCACAUUUUGCCGCCCUUCGAUGGUGUGUCCGGACGGAUCCCAUACUCCUUGCAUUCCGGAUUUGCUUAUGGCAAAGGACUUCAAAGCUUCGGUUCUUUUUGUUUUUGAGCUUUCCAUUUCUUUACCAUGGAUUCCAAAGAACUCUCCUCAAUCUCGGAUUGCUUUGGUGAUAAAAAAGCUAUCAAAACACCAAAACUUGACAAAAUUUGAUUAGAAUUGAUUACAAGGGUCCUUAAUAUGUUAAUUGGGUUAAAAGGUGAUAACUACUACUCAAAAGUAUUUAAAAGAGUUAAUUACAAGCUAUGAAAUAGCACUUUUUGAGUAGUAAUCAACUUGUUAAUGGUGUUCAUAGCCUUCCAUACAGUCUUUUCAUGGCCAUCUAAAUUCAGCACUCUUAGCCAUGGGAAGUAAUAAGAUAAAGACAAUACAUAUAGAUGAGAAAGUACAGUAAAGAAGGAUUCAACAUGUUGCUCCUCUUCAACUAUAGGGCUUCCAUCUUUUUUUCGUUGGCCAAAGUAUCUUGUGUUGAGGAUCAUCUUCUAGAUGACAUUCCCGCUAUAUUGACAGACUGUAUUUCUAUCACACCCCAAAUACUGGGCAACGCAGAACUUGACUCAUGACCCCAGGUCAAAGGUUUGACCCUAAGAGUUACAAUUAUCCAUGUUGGCAAUCAAUCAAAACAUCCUGAAUUUUUUUUUUCAAUAAAGCGUUUAAUCCUAAAUAAAUUUAUUAAGUUAAGAUUUACUGUAACAUAUUAUUUUAUUUUUCCAAAACCAACCAUCACAUUAUCUCCUAUUCACAAGUAUUAAAAAAAAUAAAAUUCCACCGAUCAUCUUCCUACCCAAAAGCUCAAAUAUUUACAAUAAUCUCUAAGUCAAAAAGAAUAUUUCCAAAAAUGUUUUACAAACUAAUAAAAUAUAAUUUAACUUACAAAAGUCCAUAUAACUCAAAUUAGUGGAUGUCAAAAAGGUAUUAAAAAAAAACAACCAUUAUUAUGGUUUUUUUUUUUUUUUUGCUUUUUGAAACACUUCAUGAUCUUCCUAUGGUCCCUCAGAAACUAUAUCUGCAUCUAAAAAUUUUAUAAAAUAAAGGGAUGCACAUUUCCACGUUACUCUUUAGACCUAAAUGGGUUAGAAAUUCUAGGUCAAUAAAACACAACCAUAUGCCAAAAUAUAAUAUUACAUUUACAUUAUACACACUAAAAGAACCUCAACCAUACAUAUUUAAAUCAAUCAAAAUUAUCAUUUUCCUUAUUUAAUCAUAUGUCUAGCAUAUCAAUAAUUUUAAAUUUACAAAAUAAAUAAGUCACUUUAGUCUUGAAUAAUAUAUUCAAACAUACACUUGAUAAAUAAUACAAAUUCUUCUUCCAAAUGCAACCAUGAUGCAAAUGAUUACACACAAUCACACAAUGCAUUGUCAUUCUCGGGUUUUCACUGAAGGAUACACGUUUGUACCUAAAUACACUUCCCAUUCGGAGUCUUCCUAGGGUAAACUUUUGAGUUUUUCACCCUAAGGAUCUCACUUCCUUCUUAAUUCGCCCUCUCUAGGGUCAUUCAAUUUCUUAUUUUUCUUUUCUUUUCAUUUUUGCCAUUUUCGGGUCUUUUUAUUCUCAUUUCUAUUUCACACAACCGUUUCUUUAAUUUUUCUUUUUCUUCACACAAUCAUGAUGCAUAUGAAAUGCAACUGAAUCAUAUUUUAACAUCCAUAAUUUUCCAAGACAUAAUUCUAUUUACUCCCAUUAUGUUUCAUAAUUUCCAAUAAUCCACACAAUGAUUUUUCUUCACUUUAAUCGUCACAAACAUAAAAGAAAAUUCAUAAUUAAUUUGUAUAGUAUUAAAACAUAGUUUUAAACAUUGACCACAUAAAUUCUAUUUAUUCCCAACAUGCUUAGUAAUUUCCAAAUCCAAUAUAACCAUUUUUUUUUCAAUUAAAUAACCAAACAUAUCCAAGAAAAUUCCCACUAAUACAAAUAUCAACAAAAAUGUAAUUUAUGUCAUAAUUUAUUUGUCUCCAAUAAUUUCAAAAAUUUUAACACCCAUAUGACAAUUUUCCACAAUUAAGCCACCCUAACAUUCGGGAAAUUUUUUUCAAUAAUUCAAAUAUCAACAAAAACCCAAUUUAUAUCAUCAUCUUAUUUAUUUAUAAAAACAUUAAUAAUUUUAAUAAUCAAUACGACACUUUUCCACAAUUAAGCCACCGCAACAUUCUGGGAAAAUUUUCCAAUAAUUCAUAUAUUAACAAAACACAAUUAUACCUUAAUUUUUCUUAUCUCCAACAACAUCAAUAAUUCUUAGUACUCAAUAUAACUAUUUUUAUUUUUUCAUAUUUAAUAUUCUCAAGCACUACCAAAAUUCCAAGAAAAAUCCAUAAAUCACGAAAUAAAAUUAUUCACAACAAUAAUCACACUUCAAAUACCACAAAUAACAUCUAUUAUCUUUCAACAACACAAUAUAUAAUUUUUUUUCAAAGAAAAUAUUAAAUCAAAGUUUUAGGGUUAAAUCACCCUACCUUAAAUGUGAAAAAUUUAACCGUUAAAACUAAAAUGGGACACCGUAGGAGUAUUCCUCGCAUUGAAUAGAAUAUCUUUCUAAAAUUUCACGUGAAAUGGAUGUCAUUUGGUAGGUCCACCAGCGUCCUAAAGCUGGCGACCCAUUUUUCCCACUCUCUAUCGACGACUCCCCUACAUCUCUCACUCAAUUUCCUUUCUUCAUUUUUUUUUUCUUCUUUUAAACUCCCACGCCAAUUUCACUUUAUAUAUAUAUAUAUAUAUGUGUGUGUGUGUGUGUGUGUGUGUGUGUGUGUGUGUGUGUGUAUUAUUAAAACAAAUCCUAAAAUACCACGCACAUCCCUUUCUCAAUAAAUUAAAACCAUUAUUCUUAAAUUCACCUUCCGUAAUUAUGAAUUAUACCAAACUUAUGAUUUUCCAUCUCACGAAAAAUACCACCGUAUUCGUAAUUUAAUUUACUACAAGCCUACUCUUCAAAAAGUAUAAUUUGAUUAUAAUUACAUGAAACAUUUUUUUUUACUCUGAAAUUCAUUUAAAACAUGAUAUAAUUAACUAUUAACAAAAUUCAAUUCCAUAAAAUAUUAAAAACAUAAAAUAAUUUUUUGGCAAUCAAGAAGUUGAAAUUUGUAAUAACCCUUAACCUGUUAAUUUUACCCAUAUUUAUUUACCAACAAAAAUUUAAAUAAUAUUCUAAAAUUUAAUUCCAUAAAUUAAUUAGUCAUUCAAUUUAUAAAAAUCAAAUUCUCUACCAUUUGGUAUAACUUUUAUUUAAUUUAAUUCAUUUGUCAAAUUAUUCAAUCGCAUCAAAAUUUCAAAAGUUAAAUUCACUAAAUUCACAUUUAAUUAAUUUAUCAUUUUGUAUUUUUUUCUUCUAAAUUCACAUAUCAUAAUUUAAUCUUAAUUUAAUUUUGAUUCAAUUCUGUUUGAUGUUUUGUAAUUUUAUGAGGUUUAAUUCCAAUUAUAAAAAUUAAAUUCAAUUUCCUUUUAAUUAUCCAUUAUCACAAUUUGAUAUAAUAUAAAUUUUUAUCAAGUUUUUCUUACUACGAUUUUUCUGAUAAUUAUCCAAUAAUAAUUAAAUUAAUUCUUGUAACAUACUUAAUAUUCAAAUUUUCAAAACUUAAUAUCAAUUAUUUGAUAGUUAAUUUUUUUCUCCAAAUCUAAAUUUAAUUUAUGAAAUUCUCACUCCUUACAUCUAAUGUGGCAAAAUUUUCAAACUAUUGACUUUUGACCAACUUUUCCUAAAUUUCUCCUAAUUAAAUACUAACAUGUGGAUUUUCACCACUCUUUUUGACCUUUUGACCCACAAAUUUAUGAAAGACUUUAUGCUUGGAGAAUCUACAAAAACGUGGGUAUUACAAUUUCUCGGGUUGAUAACAGUCGUGGUUAAGAAGCCACCACUUGAAUACUCAGUCGCCAUUGUAAUGGGUGUGGAUGCAAAUAGUACAUCAUGUUUCUUCAAAAGUUCUCUGCUAAUCUCUAGGGAAGUCACGAGAACGAGAUGAAAUAUUGCCUAAUUGAAUACAUGCAAUUUCAUUGUUCAUUUCUUUCAUAAAGCCAUGUAUCCACCGGAAAGUUGGCUUGUUGUUGAGUAAAUGAGGUAGAUUUCGCACUAGUGGCCAUGGAGCUAAUCCUGGAGGAAGUUGUAUUGGCUUGCUUUUGGUACUUGUUUUGGAUUUUAAUUUAGUGAAGAUGAGAAAGAUUGAUGUGAUGAAGAGUAGCAAGAGGAAGUUGAGAUGAGACAACACAUCGUCUAUGGUAGUAGAAGAAAAUAAGGCUGAGUUGCUGCUACUACUCUCUACAACAAAACCAUUUACACGUUUUUUUAUUGCAAAACCAUGUUUGUCCUGUCUUGGGUCUGGAUGCACAUUUUUAAUAAUGGGGAAAUCAUGCAACCAAACGUCACAUACAAAGAGAGAGAGAAAAAAAAUAUUACCCAUUCUUGAACUCUAAAAGUAAAGUUAUAAAAAGCUUAGUUUUUUUUUUUGGUUAUGUAUGAUUGCAUGAUUUCCCCCUUUUAAGGUUUUAUCUCAUAAUUUUUUUUUCUAGAAGGUUCAAAUAAGUUUGAUGAAUAUUGUUUAUUUUAGUAAUUUGAUGAAGAUUUUUUAUUUUAGUAAUUUUAAUUUUAUGGGGUACUUAAAACAUUAGAAGGUCACAAAAAGCAACAUUUAUAAGCUACCUGUCUAAAAAUCUUGGCCUAAUCAUUGAAAUUCAAAAUAUAAAGUGACAACACACUUUUUAAAGCAAUUUUCAAAAUAGUUUUUAAAAACACAUUUAUGAUAUUUUUAAAAUAAAAAUCUCAAAAAUAACUUGUUUAUAUAGCGUUUUAUUAGACAAAUAGUUGAUCUUUACAAGAUCACCCUAAUUAUAGAUUUAUGAACAUGUAACACAACAAUUAUCUAUAUAUAUAUACUUAAAAUUAUUAUAUUUUAAGUUUUUAACUACAUAGGACAUCAUGAGUUCUUCCACCAUUUAUCUUAUAAUAAGUUUAUUUAAAUAUGAUAAAGGAUAUAUUAUCUCAUUUUUUAUUAUAUCUAAUGUUAUAUAUAUAUAUAUAUAUAUAUAACAAAUCAAAUACAAUUUAAAGAUUUUAAUUAACCAUCUAUUAGCAACAAAGCAAUCUCUUAAUCUCAUUCAUAAUAUUAGGAUAAUUUAGUAUUCCCUUUUAUAAAACACUAGCAUAUAAAUCAACACAAAUCAUAUUAAGGGUGUAUUUGGUAUUGAUUUUAGAAAACAUUUUUAGUAUUUCUAAUACUUGAAAGAUAAAAAAAUUCAAGUUUUAGAAAAAUCAAAAACGUUUUUUAGAAUGACUAUCAAAUACACGCUAAAUAUUACUUUUGAAUAUUUAUAUUUUUAAAUAACUUUUAAAUCUUUUAAGGCAAGUCUCUACUAUUUCUAUAAAUCCCCUAUUAUUUUUAAUUUUUAGAAACAAAAAAUAAAGAAUAGGAACUCCAUUUAAACAUCACCUUAUUAUUUCCUAUUAUAAAAUAGCACAAAUCAAAUGAAUUAUUUAAAAAUAAAUAAAUAUAAAAUCAAAGUUGAAGAGAAAAAACUCUUGUGCAUUAAAAAAACAUCAAAAUAAAUAAAUAAAUAAAACAUCAUCAAAUAAAUGUAAAAACAAAAUAAUGUUAUGGAAAAAUGAGAAUAGACAACAAGAAAAUAAGAACACGUAGAUUUACAUGAAAAGUCCUAGACGGGAAAAACCAUGGAUAGAGGAGAAGAAAUUCCACUAUAUUAAAAUUUUGGUAUAAAAUGUGAGAGAAUCAAGCGAGUAUUGUAUAGGCAUAAUCACUACGACCCUAAAUCCUAUACAUCAUCGCAUAGGUAUGGUGUAUGCGAUAAUAUUUGUGAUAAUAAAAAUAUUGUCACAUAAAAUAACUAUGGAAUGUAAUAUUUGUAAUAAUAUUCUUUACAAAAAAAUAUUUUUUCUUUACUUUAUUCACUUUGAUCACAACUUGAAAUAAGACAAUAAAAAUAUUUUCUUAAUUUUUGAAAAUUAAUUGAGGACUUAGAGCAGCUUGUUACUGAGUGAAUUUGCUGAAUGGUGAAGAAUGCGAGUAUAGUAGUUUUGCAAUUUUUUAGCCUUGUAGACAUAUUUUGUGAAGUCUUUUUCUCUUUGUAAAGCCCCAUUUUCUAUGUGAAGUUAUUUUUUUAAUAUUCUCUUUGGAAGUAAUUUAUCAUUAGUUAUAUAGGUAAGAUUAAGGAAUUAAAUUUGGAAUUCUUAAGAUUUGGUUGCUUAAUUCAAAGAAUUUGGUUCAAGGGAAAUUUGCCAACAAAAUAAUAUUUAUUUUUAAUUCUAUGAUGACUUUAAUUAUUUGAUAUAAUUUUAUUUUGAAAGACUUGAUGUGGGGGACUCAUCACUUAUUGAGUCCAAAUUUUGUUGCACCCAAAUUUUUAUGAGCUAAGAAACCAUAAUUUUAAAGACCAAUUCAAUGGUAAGUGAAUCCGCUAAAAUCUUCUAUGUACAAAUGACCUCACUUCAAGGUGCAACACAUACAUGUAUUAUUAUGUGUAUGGGAUGAGUCUUGAAGUUAGUCUUCAUUCCUCUUUGAUUUUUUUUUCUUCAAAUAAAUAAAUAAAACAUCAUCAAAUAAAUGUAAAAAUAAAAUAUGUAUCGGUUAAUUGGAGAGGAGAGCUUUAAGGGCAUUUCUUCCAUGAAAUUCUAUGCUCCGCGUACCAUAAAUUCGUACUCAACCAACAAAAUUGCAGAAUGGGCCCAUGCACAAACAAAAAUAGCCCAAAUGUAAAUAUCUAAAAAUGUAUAAAGUUCACAAUAGAUGAUCAAGCCCAAAUUUAAAUUUAAAAUUAGUCCAACAGGUUUCAUCAAUCAAAAUGGGCCCAAAUUAGCAAAUAUAACCCAACAAAAAUAUCUCAUAUGUCAUAGGCCCUAAUCUAAAAUUUUCAAAUUAAUAGCCAAAAUAUAAGUUCAAUUAAUCAAACCUAAAACAUAAUAAAUUAAAAUAAAUCUCAUUAGGCCUAAACUUAAUAUUCCAUAAUUCAAACCUAAUUUAAUAUAUAAACCUAAAUCCACAAUCAAAAUCAACCCAAUUUAUGCUAAUCCCAAUUUACAAUCAAUAUCAAACACAAUUUAAUAAGUAAAUAACUAAAUAGAUUAAGCAAACUCAAAACACCCAAACCACUACGGCAUAAAUCAAACAAUAAUAAAUAUAAUGACAACAAUAAUAAUAAUAAUAACAAAAUAAAAUAAAAAUUUUAACUCACGUUGGAGCCAGUUUAAAUGUCGUGGGAAAGAAAGAAAAUAGGAGAAAAGUGAGAGAUGAUUGACAACUGAUAGAGGCUUGCCGGCGGCGACUGGCCGGUGGUCCUGUUGAUGGUAGUGAAGAUUGAUGGGUUUUUGGGAAAAAAGAAAAAAGAAAAUGAGGAGUAAUAAAAAAAUGGAGAAAUGAGAGGAAUGUAGGAGAAGAAAGGAGAUAGAGAAUGUAGAAAAUGGGCGAAAAGAAAUGGGGCUAGCUGGAGGAGGAAGUGGUAGUGUGUGUGAGUUAAACUAAAGAAGAAUGGAAGAAGAAAAUGGAGAAAAAAUGGAAAAUAAGGGAGAAAAAACAUUCGGCCCCCUAAAUGAAGAGAUGUGGGUAGCCUAAAGAAGAAGAAAAAAUAAAAUAAAAUGAAGAGAAAAUGAGAAGGGGUCGGUGGUCUUGCGAAUGAGGUGGUGGUAUGUGUUAGAGAGAGAGUGGGUGGGAUUGUUGGGAAAGGUAUGGGAGAGAGAUGAGAGAGAAAAUAAAAAAAAGAUAAUAUAAAUAAUAAUAAUAAAAAUAAAAUAAAAUAAAAUAAUAUAUAAAAUAAUAAAAACUAAUAAUUAAAUAGUGAGUGGGCCAAAAAUAUCAUAUGUAAUCGAGAUUUAAUUUUAAGAGUAAAAUUGGGCUAAAAAUUAAUGUAAAAAUAAAAUUAGGACAAAUUUUGGGGUAUACAAAUAUGCGCCUCUUUAGUAGAGUCCACGAGUAAAGCAAGUGUAUAUGUGGGCGAAACAAACUGGGCUCUACUGAAAAACAAGAAAUACCAGCAAAUUUGUCUUAGUAUGACACGAGUUCUCCCAAAUUAAAACAAAACAAAAAGAAAUUUUAAAACCCCACACAAAUGGCAAAAACGGAAACUCCUAAGGUGUCUCUAAAGUUAUACUAUGGAUCUAGACUCCCUUAGAAAAGCCUCCAAAAAUGGCCCAAAAAUCGGUGUCAAAAUCGAGUAGCAAUUAGACCACUAAGGAGCGUAUGAACGAAUGUGUACAAAGGGAAAAAAACCAUACAAGGACAAAAGGCAUAAGGUAUCCAACAAUAUGACUGAAUCACAUGUUACAAGCUCAAAAGACUUUGUCAUGCACCAUGGAGGAGGGGAAGCUCUAGAAUAAUGUGAUGAGGAAGUUAUUAGCACAAUGUAACAGAGUGAGAAAAAAAGCAACGAGUGCAAAGCUGUGAGGACAAGGUGCACAAUGCUAAUGAAUAUGAAAUGAAUAGCACUGGGCUAUGAUGCAAUGAAUAGCUAAGGGUUGUAGCAUAAUGAACAAGUCAAGGAUGUGUAAAGAUGAGGAACAACUCAAGGUUGUAAUGCAAUGAACAACUUAGGGCUGUGAUUGCAAUGAACAACUCAAUGCAAUUAAUGCAAUGAAUAGCUCAGGGCUGUGAAUGCAAUGAACAACUUGAGGUUGUGGAUGCAAUGAACAACUCAUGGUCAUGGAUGCAAUGAACAGCUCAAGGCCGUGGAUGCAAUGAACAACUUAGGGUUGUGGAUGUCAUGAACAACUUAAGAAUAAGGGCACUGUACACCCAAAAGGGGAAAUCACGAUCUACGAUUCCAAGUCAAACCACUAAAGGGUGACCAAGAUGAGGGUGAUCAACUCACUAAAAAAGAGGAUCAAAAUGUCUCAAGGGAAGGGGGAUGCCCCAAAUGAAACUUAAAGGAAAUGAAUAGCACUAAUGAAACUAAAAAAAGAAAAUAUGUCACAACUGAAAUUGAAAAAAUAACAAAGUUAGAUUAAAGUGCAAUGAACAACUUUGGGUUGUGGAUGCGAUGAAUAGUACCGUGCUAUAAUGAAAUGAAUAACUCUAAGAUAUGGGCAUUGUACGCCUAAAAAAGGAGAUCGUGGUCUAGAAAUCCAAGUCAAACCACUAAAGGGCAACUAGAAUAGGAUGAUCAGCUUACUGAAAAUGAGAAUGCAACUAUCUCGAGAAAAAGGGUAUGCCCCAAAUGACACUCAACAGUAAAAGAAUGACACAAAUGAAACUAAAACAAGAGGAUGCCACAAAUGAAACUGAAAUGAUAACAAACUCACAAAUAAUGUGCAAUGAACAACUUUGGACUGUGGAUGCAAUGAAUAGCACCAGGUUGUAAUGAAAUGGACAACUCUAAGAUGUGGGCACUAUACACCUAAGAAAGGAGAUCACGGUUUACGACUCCAAGUCAAACUGCUAAAGGACGACUAGAAUAGGAUAAUCAACUAUCUAAAAAUGAGGAUGCAACUAUCUCGAGAAAAAGGGUAUGCCCUAAAUGACACUCAACAGUAUAAGAAUGACAUAAAUGAAACUAAAAUAAGAGAAUGCCACAAAUGAAACUAAAAUGAUAACAAACUCAAAACUAAUGUGCAAUGAAUAACUUUAGGUUGUGGAUGUAGUGAACAACAUUGGGUUGUAAUGAAAUGAACAACUCUAAGAUGUGGGCAUUAUACGCCUAAAGAGGGAAAUCACGAUCUACGACUCCAAGUCAAACCACUCAAGGGCGACUAAAAUAGGAUGAUCAACUCACUAAAAAUGAGAAUGCAACUAUCUCGAGAAAAGGGGUAUGCCCUAAAUGACACUCAAUAGUAAAAGGAUGACACAAAUGAAACAAAAACGAAAGAAUGCUACAAAUGAAACUGAAAUGAUAACAAACUCAUGACUAAAUUGCAACGAACAACUCUGGGUCGUGGAUGCAAUGGACAGCUCAAGAAUAGGGGAAUUGUUGGCCCAAAAUGAGAGAUUGUGGUCUGCGACUUUGAGUCAAACCACUAAAGGGUGACUAAAAUCAAAAUGAUUAACUCACUAAAAAUGAGGAUCUAAACAUCUCAAGAAAUGGGAUAUGCCCCAAAUGAAACUCAAAUGAAAGAGAUGCCACAAAUGAAACCGAUAAUAGAGGGAUGCCCUAAAUAGACUAAAGAAAAAGGGGUGCCCUAAACAAACUAACGGAAAAUGGAUGCCUUAAACAAACUGACGGAAGUGAAAUGCCCUAAAUAAAUUGACCAAAGAAGAAUGCACUAAACAAACUCCGAGAAAAAAAAAAAAAAAAAAGUAUGUGAUAUACAAUCGAAAACACCUAAAGCAAAAAUAAGAAACAAAAAAUGUGGUUUACAACUAGAAACACCCAAAAGAACCCUAAAGAAGUGAUUGGGAUAAUGAACUCAAUGAAAAUGGGGUAUGCCACAAUAAAAGACUCGGAAGUAUCAGCAAAUGGGUCAAACAACCAUGAAAUCAAUAGGAGAUAUGAUGAACCCAAAAAGGGUGUAUGCCUCAACAAAAGAACACUAAAAUAGGGGUAUGCCCUAGUGUAAAAUAGUGACCAACAUAAGACGCAAAAUGUCACCAUACAAGACACUCUAGGAUAUGCUCAAUGACAAUGUAAUGAAAACAUAUAGCCUCAAUUAACAAAUGUUCAAGCAAAACCAUGCAUCACAUAAACUAAAAUAAUAGGCUAAACAAAUGCUAACUAAGACUCUCAGUCUAAAAUAUAAGCAAGUUAAGACAUGACAUGUCAACCAUCAACAUGAAAACAUCAUCACAAAUACAUCAACAAUCUAAUAGUCCCUGUUAUCAUGGAAGAUGUAGAACCUAACGUCCAAAGGCAUGUGAAAGCUCAACCAGAAAACUCAAAACUAGUCUGUAUCCUCCUCUAAUCAAGAGAAUGGGACAAGGUUAUGUAAGAUGAUGAAAUAGGCAAACUCAAUAUCGGUCAGGCUCUGCCAAGAUGGAUGUAGGUAUAAUAGUGUCAAAGGUAGGAUGUUUGGAUGUCCAACGAAGGAAACUAGGUAUCCAAGUCGAACCAAGUAUAUUGAGGAAACUGAACCCAGGGGUCAAUAACUUUAUGAUCCAUUGAAAAUAGCAAUCAUGAAUAGAAGGUUGAGUCUCGAUGUCAAAAUCAACAAGGUGGCUAUGCCCCAGUAAGAAUACAUCUUCUCAAAAUGGGUAAACCCUCAAUGCAAGAUAAUCUCUAGAAAGUAUGUGUCUAGUAUAAACCGUUAUCUCACAAAAUCUAUCACUAAUGAGUGGGCUAUGUCCUAGUGUAAGCAUUUCCAAAAUCAAACAUCAAUGAGAGGAGUACAACCAAUCAUACAUAAUUUGAUCAAAAUGAAUCUCCACUCCUCAAAGUCAUCAUGGUAACGUGAAUAGAGUAUCUAUCCGCAUUUAAAGAAAGAUCAUGUCCCAAUGUGAAAAAGAUCAAGCAAAGUGGUAUGCCUCAACAAAAAGGCAAUCUAACAUGAUCAUGCCUAGAUGUAAGUUGGUAUCUUUAAGAUCAAUUGCCAAUGAAAGGGUUAUGCCCCAAUAUAGGGCAAUAUUUGAAAUGACUAAAAUCCGUUGCAAGCUCUCACAAGUGUCUAUGUCAUGAACCAAUCAUCUCCAAAAAAAAAAAAAAAAAAAAAUCUAUCAACAAUGAUGAGAAGGCUAUGCUUCUAUAAUCACAUCAAGGAAAUCACCCAGUCAUAUCUUGUACUCCAAUGUGAAAGGAAAAUAUGAUCACCUCCAAAGAAUGGCUAUGCCCCAAAAUACAUCAUUGAUUGAGAAAUAUGUCCCUACAUAAAGUACAUCAACUGAAAUAUGUCAAUCAUGCCUCAUGCUCCAAUGUGAAAAAGGACGUAUAAUCUUCUCUGGGGGAUGGUCAUGACUCAAAAUCCAUCAUCAAUUGAGAGAAAUAUGCCCCGACAUAAUGGUCAUCUAAAAAAUCAAUCCCUGACCAAGAAAUGUGUGCCUUGAUGUGAUGUAUCAAGCAAAAUGGCUGCAUACCCCAUAAAAAACUCUCUAAGGUGGCUAUGCCCUAGUGUAGGAUCAUACCACAUCUCCUGGUCUAUCAUAAUCAAAAUGCUCUCCAACCAAUCCCAAUUAUCGCUCACAUGAGAGCUAUCAAACACAAUGUGUGAUGUCAUGGCCUCAAGAUGGUCUUAAGAUUUAGGACGUAACGUAGGCUAGGGUAAUAAGGUGAAGAAAUGAAGGGAAACUAGGCUCAAUAAUCCCAAUGAUAAAACCCCAUACCUUAAGGCGAAUGAGAUAUCAUGAGAAGAACAAAUAAAUCGAAGAAAAAUGAAUGAGCACUAAUCCACUCAAAUGAAGUCAUGGAGAAUAGUCAAAUCACCAACGUAUGUAAUGAUGGAGAAGACAAUGAUUCGAAAUCCCUAGGAAAAUGUCACUUGUCUGUCACACAUAAAAUACAUAACGAGAUAGACACAAAAAGAUGAGAGCCUCUUGAAAUUUCACAUACGAACUUUCAUAAGCAACUAACUCGAUAAAGCAACCUCAAUGACCAAUAUAAACACUUAAUAAAGGAUGACAUUGUAUACAUGCGCUUAUUACUUUUUUUUUCUUUUUUUUUUCUUUUACCUGCGCAUACUCUGAAUAUCAAUAAAUGAACUUUUUUGAGAAUACAUAAUGAAAUGGAUAUACUCUCAAACAAUGAUGUAAGCGAACUUUCUCUGCCAAGAUGACCCUCUAAAUUAAGGAUUUUUGAACUAACGUCCAUGAGAUAAGAGUGGAGGAGAAUAUAGCCAUCCUUCAUGCACCGAAAUGUGAAAGAUCAUCACCCAUGGCAUAAAAAAAUGUGAUGAAAAAAAAUAAAAGAUGAAACAGAAGAUAUAAACAAUGAAGUAUGAUGUUGGGACAACAAAAAAAAAUAGUGAAGAAGGUGAGCUAAUAAGUCCACAACUCAUGAAACUCUCGAAUAAAACAUAUAUAACCAAAAGACCCCUAUCCCGGUGUAAAAUGUGAGCAAGGAUAUCAGAAAGAAAAGACUAUGAUGAUCAUGUGAGGUUCAAAGGGCUAGCAAUGGUCCAAAUGUCAAUAAAGGUAAUAGGGUGUGAGCUAACCGAAAUGAAGGUCACCCAUCCUAUGACCAUGGUCUCAAACAUCGUGCUCUUAAGCUUUCAAAUGAUUAAUAUUGAAAAUCGAUGUCCAUUUGAUAUAAACAUGUCGACCUUUUGGAAUUGUGCGCCAAACCAUACUCCAAAUGCUCCAUAAUAAUCUCAAAGAUAAUCCUCUCAAAGCAAAGUAAAUGGCGAUCUCAUAAGGCACAACUACUCAUCAUAAGCCAACUCUCAUCAUGCAAGAUCAAUCUUUAUUUUCAUGGAAAAAUAAGUGACAAUCUCAUCAGGCAAUCAACCAAUUCUCACAUCGUAAACCAACCAAAGAUCAUAAGUCAUUCAUCGCCAUGCAAGAUUAAUCCCGGGUUCAAACUCCUCACACUCUACCUAGUUGGAUUAGAGAAGAAAUGGACAAAACUAGAAAAAUUGAAGAUGGAAAGGUCAUAUAAUGGUGUCAAGGGUGAUGUUGUGCAAAACUCACAAUGGAUGGAUGUAGGUCAAAGCAAAGUCAAUGUGUGAGAGUGAGUAAGGCACUACUCUGAUCAUAAGAAGAUGGGUCACAAUCUCAAACUCCCUAGGUCAAAUCUCCGAUCCUAGGCUAAUAAGCUCAAUAUCCUCCAUGAUAGGUCAGCCCCCAAGAUCACAAUGUGCAAAUGAAUACAUGUCUCAAGUCAAAAGUACAACACGUCAUAUGAUAUAUGGUCCUGCGAUGGCAAUCUAAAACUGGAAAUAUGUUAGAAACUCUAAGGUCAUAAAGGUGUCCACUGUGAGAUGACUACAAAUGUGACUAAAGAAUCUUUAUAAAUAAUCUAGAAAAUGAAUGAGGUGUGAAAAACAACACUAUCAUGAGAUCGAUAUCCCAUCAAUAACAAAAUAUCUCUAAUUCAUUUUCAAUCUAAGCUCUAUAAAGAAUAAUAAUAAGGUUAUAAAGACAAACCUCUCAAAAGUGGUGUGAAUGUGAAAACAUGUCUUCACCUUUCUGCAAUGAAAAUAUCAGGUUGAAAAUAGAAAUAUGCAAAUCAACCAAAAAAUGAAGUACCGAGUCUAUGACAGGUGAAGAAUGUAAAAAUGUGAACAUGAUCAAUGAACAUAUCCCAAAACAUCAAGCAGAAUGUGACAACAAACCGAAAGAAUGUGUCGACUUAAGAAAAGAAGACUAUCUGAAGCCCUAGGGAGAAAGUGUGCUAAACUCAACAAGUGACAAGAAGAAACUAAAACCAUACAGCAAGAGGUGGUCCAACUGAUACUCAAACUUGCACCAAUAUCUAAGCACUCUCGAUUAGAGACCAAAAGAUGGAGUAUUGGAUCCAUAUUGUGACUAAAGCGGCCUUGAGGGCUCUCAAAUGCACCCACGUGUAGGAAAGGAAAUCUUAAUAAAAAUAUCUAAGGCUUAACCUACAAGGUCAAGGCGGCUCUAAAAAGAAAAAUUGAGUGGACUUUAAAGGAUCCCUAGCAAAAACGAUCACACCCUCCGACGGUACGCAACCUCCUACACGGCUUCAAAGAUACGGGAGUGAUUCCAUGCAAGGUGGUCAUCACCUCCACACAUGCACUAUCUCAUAUCCUAGAGGGUUUUCUAAUGAUGAAGGCUCUUACAUCUCUCAACAUUUAGUGGUAAUCUAAGGUGCAUAGUGAAUAGUAUGGGUUCAUCCGAAAAUCCUAUCAAACUAAGUAGAGAGAAAACACACUGGUCACACAAAUAUCUUGAAAUCUAGCUCUAGGCUAUACAAGUCUUCAAAGAUUGGAUUCCAAUUAGCAUUAAUGUGUCGGCCUUCUCCAGAAUGCUCCUAAACAUAGAUAUAGCCCAUCACUAAACCCUACUCUGAAUCACUAGCUUGGUCGAAAAGCAAACAAAGUAACAAGUCUCAUAUCAAAUACGAGAUCAAGGGGAACACGAUCACCCGAGACUAAGGAAUUAGAGGUAAGGGGAUAGAUGUGUAUCCCACAUAGACAAGCAACACAUGCAUCACACAGAAGAAGAAUAGUCAUGCAAUAGACAACUAAGCAAAGAACAGGUAUAUCAUUCAUAUCUACACACAAGCUAAACAAGAAAUAGGUAUAUAAUAAGAAUAAACAAUAUCUUGAGAUAAACAAGAUAAUAUACAAUAAAGAGAAUCAAUCACACCAAUAUAAAUGAGAUAUACAAAAAUGAGAAUAUGCAUGUGUGGACCCUCACCCGAUCCACCAACCGGUGCAAUUUGCUAUUCAAAAGGUGAAAGGGAAAACUGGUUUUCGAGUUUUGAAAAAUUUGUCCCAGUGAGGAACGGUUUUGUUUGGAGUCACCACUUACUUUUUAUUUUUAUUUUCAAAUUGGGAAAAUUUAAGUAAGAAUAAAAACCUCAGUAUGACUCCAGUUAGGAAAAAGCGGUCUGCGAAAACUAGAUUCUAGGUCCGGGGAUCAGGUUACCUAUCGGGAAGGUACCUCAUGCUAGGUAGCACCCCUCUAGGCCCGAAACUUGGUCUUUACUAAUGAACUGGGUAUAUGGGAGCAUAUGGGUCAAAGAUCAAACAAACCUUGGGCUAAACAAAUGAUAUGAAUCACAUAGACUCACCUAGUAUUUAGCAUGCACAUACACUCAACAAGUCAAAAUCAGAGUGCAUACCUGAGGUCCCCAGCCAAACAUUGUAUAAGAAGUCAGUCAAUAAGCUCAAACACACAACAAAUAUACAUAGCAAUCAUGCACCAAGCAUUCAUGUGAAUUUCAUUAUCCAAAGCCGAAGUGUAUACUUGUGGUCCCUAGCCAUGCAUUGCAAGGAAAAUGUGAGGCAAGUAAUACAAGCAUACAACAUACACUCUCAAUCAAGCAUCAAAUCUCAUACCCAAAAGAGAGGGAAACGGGUUGAAAUGAAAUAAAUGGUUUGCUUUCUUUUGCACACAUUCCUCUAAAUUCCAUCAAACCAAACCAUGCUCGCUUAACCCAUAUUCUUCUCAUCCAUGAAAUGAGCUCACAUAAAAUCUAACCAAACCGAACUCUGACCCUAAAGGUGGCCCACAAGUGCCUUGGAGCCUAAGGGCUCAAGCCACAACAAAAAUGGGGAUCAAAACAUGUUAAAAUUGGGGUUGUCUAGUAGAACUUGUUGAACUGGUUCCCAAUUGGUACAACUGAUUGAGAAAAAUUUUGAAACUUUACCAGCAUAUUCAUCGAAGAAUAAGGAAUGCAACAAAAAAAAUGGCACUCAAUUCCGAGCCCGGAUGAGGGAGAACCGGCCGAAACAAUGCAAUGUGUUUAUAAAAUGGGGCUACCUAACAUAACUUGUUGAACUGGUUCCCAACUGAUUCAAACUAUUGAGAAAAAUUCUAAAACUUUACCAUAAGAUUCCUAGAAAAAUAAGGAAUCCAAAAAAAAAUGGCACUCGAUUCCGAGUCUGGAUGAGGGAGAAUCGGUCGAAACAAUGCAACGUGUUCCUUAUAGAAGGCCAAACCCGAGCCACCCAACCUUUCUAUAAAAACCGGAAAAACUUCAAAACAGAGUAUUCCCCCUCAUUCUCUGAAAAGACUCCAAGAAGUUCUCACCAAUCAAGAGCUCCUUGCUCCCUUCUCUCUUUCCAUUCUAGCUUUUUAUACCAGAACCUCUGCUCCUAUGUAUCCUGACGAGGGGAGGGGGCCACAAAAGAGAGGCGCCGCCCAUGCCAUGGUGGCAAAAGAAGCCAUCCCUUUCGGCCCCAAAACCUUCUAGAACUGGACAUGCUAAUAUCUUAUAUCCAAGCCUUUGUCAUUCUCCAAUACAGGCAAACACAUAGACAAGGACUCUAACACCAUAAAAAAAUGAGUAGAAAGCAUAGAUAAAAACAUUAAAGAAAAAAAUCCCAGGGAAUGGUGAGCAAAAGAUGAACAUAAAUAACCUCAGUUCAGGGGUAGAUUCAUAGGCAAAAAUAGGGAAACGAUUCAAAAUAGAUUUUUAGCAUGAACAAAAUCAAAUGGGAUCAAUGGCAUCAAUUGAAUGAAGAACGUAGCUAACAGACAAAAAACCAAUUUCAACAUAACAAUUUGUGGCCUUUUUCGUCCACACCAAUCAAUAAAACAUUAAAUAUUUUGAAACAACCAGAAGAAGGAAUUGAAUAUAAGCAAGAAUACUGAGAGUAAUUAGAAUCGUACCUUGAAAGGACCAGCCUUUGAGAGGUGUUCCUCAGCUUCAAGUGAGAUUGAUUCUCCUUCUACAAAAUCCACUCAAGACCAGUGAUCACGAUUUCUUUUCCUUCUUUUCAAAGCCAACAAAAAUUCUUUUUUUUUUCUCAAGAUUUUUCCCUUUUCUCGUUCUUUCUGUUUUUCUUUAAAAACUUUUCCCAUUUCUCCCUCUCAGACCUCCGUUUUUCUUUUUCUCUAGGUGCCAAACUCUUAGAGACCCCUAGACUCUUCCCCCACUCUUUCAGUUUCCCCUCCUGCAGAGUCUCUCUCCCAGAAUCUCUAAAAAAAACCCUCUUUUUCCUCUCUAAACAUCUCAUCUUUUUUCUUCUUUUUCAAACUUCUCUUCCCAACUCUCUUUGUUCUCUGUUUUCUUUCUCUCUAGGUGCCAAACCCUCAGAGACCCCUAGAAUUUUCCUCCCACGCUUUCAAUUCUCCUCCUACAGAAUCUCUCUACCCAGAUUUCUCAAAAAGUCACUUUUUCCAAACGUCCCUCUUUUCCUCAAAACCUUUCAAACUUCCAUCCUUAGCAUCCGCACCACCCCAUUUUCUUUUCCCUUCAACUUUAGAAAUCCUCACCUUCAACCUUGGAACCCCAACUCAUUUAGCUCUCAUCUUCUCGAGGUGAGCAGCUGCCCCUCAUUACUUCAUAAUUCCUUGCCCGCCAAGAAUCCACAUGGAUUCAAGGUGGGUUGUAAUCAACCCGAAAAAUGGCCUAAAUUGGACAUAAAACCAUCCUCCUAACCCAUCUGGAGCACCAAGGCUCGAACCAGCCUAAACAAGGGCACCAAAAAUGCCAAAAACAGAGUCGUUCGCAAGCAGCCUCGACGAACCAAUUGACCGCCUAAAAAAAACCUUGACGAACCGGUUGACCAUCCAAUCGAACAGUUGAGAAAAAUUAUCAAAAUUUGAACAAUAUUCCUUGAAAAAUAAGGAAUCGAACAAAAAAAUGGUGCGCGAUUUUGAGUUCGAAUGAGAGAGAUAUGAUUGAAACAAACCCAAGUGCUCCGUAUUCGAACAUGCUCAUAUGAACUCCAACUGAGUUGAAGUUUUGGGGAGACCUCACUUCCUUUCUUUAGCACGAUGUGAAGAAUUAGGGAAUUGACCAUGAUGGCACUCCAAAAUGAACUACACACUCGCACUACAUUGGAUCGCAGAUGAACUUACACAAGGCUCAAAAACCGAUCAAACCCAAAAGAGGGACCAUAGUGGUGCCAUACGGAAAAAAUUGGGUGCAUGUGACACUCCUAAGAUAAAUGCAAGUGUCGAUGGACAAAAUUGAGGGUCUACAACAUGUUAAGGAGAGCAAGAUAAUCAUACAACAAAAAGAGUCUUAUAUUAAAGCAAGCAAGAGAAUCAAUCGAUGUAGUUAACAUGUCAAUAUCGCAAAUGAACAUAACAACCAAAUAUGCAUCAUAAAGAAAAAAGGGCAAUCAUGCAACACACAGUCAUACAAAACAAAUACAGACAAACAUAAGCAAAUAAAUGUAAACACACAUGAUAACAAAAAUCAAUGUAUAGUAAGACACAUGCAAUAUAUACAUAAAAUAAUCAUCAAGUCAACACUCAUAUACCUUAAAACAUGAAAAUAUACAAUAAAGACACAACAAGAGAGUAUUCACUGAUCAAUUAAUCAAACGCUACCUUUUCCUUAACUUGAGUUCAAGUUUGAUCCUCUAAAUAUCCCUAGUGGAGUCGUCAUUUUGUGGACCCGCAUUUUUCACAUGCAUCCUUACAUAACAGCGAGACUCAUUUUUUUAUUUGGUGAAAAUUUGAUUUUUAGAAAAAAAAAAAAAACUUUAAGUCGUCACUUAUUUUUAUUUUUUUAAGGGAAAACAAAAUAAGAAAGAAAACCUUGUGUGACUCCUUAUUUGGAAAAGACAUGUAUGCAAAAACCAAAUUUGGAUUUGAGGGUCAAGUUACCUAUUAGGAGUGUACGAUGGUGAGCUGUAGCACCCCUCUAAUCUCGUAUAUGUACGGUCUCAACUAAACGAAUUAAGAGAAUUGUGGUAAUUAAUUAAUUAGUCAUGACUACCAAGAAAAAGAAUCGCACAAAUGAGUAUGUACAAAUCAUGAUAAAAAAAAAUCAAAUUAUAAGAAUAGACAAAAUAAAUAACAAGAGAACUGUGCAAAGUGAUUUAUUGAACUAAAUAAAAAAGAAGAUAUUAAAAAAAAUAGUUUUCAAUAAAUUUCAAAGGAUUUUAUUAAAAUGACUUUGAAUUAAUGAUUUUAAUUUAUUUAUUUACAAAAAAAAUGUCAAUUUAUUUUCUUCAAGUGAUUUGGUUCAAUUUCAUUUAUAUUCAAUUUUUUAAAAAAAAUAAUUAUUUACACUCAUGGUUGUUAAAAGAAUUAUUAACAAAAUUUCAAGUUGACAAUAAAAAUGAUUUUUACUUGCUUUUACUCGAAAACAAUGAAUUUUUACAAUUUUAUUAACAAAAGAAUUUCAAUUUAAGAAAAGUGAUUUAUACAAAUGAUUAAAAAAAUUUAACUUUAUUUGCAAAAGAAUUUUUUAAUUAAAAAGAAAAAAUUUAAAUCCUCUAUUUCUAAAAAUGACUUUUAAUCCCAUUUUAAUUAAGGAAAAAAAAAGUUAUUUAAAAAACAUUUUUUGGACAAUUUGAUUAAAAAUUAAUUUUUGGGACAACUUUAUUUACAAAACAAUUUUUGGACAAUUAUUAUUAAAAACAAAAUUUCAAAUUCUAUUAAAAAUAAUUUUUUUGGAUUUUUCUAAACACAUUUUUAUGAAUUUUUAUUAAUAAAAAACCUUCUUUUAUUAAAAUGAAUAUUUUUUGAGCUAUUAUUUUAUUAAAACAUGUUUAUUGAAUUAUUAUUCUUAUUCAAACAAAAUUUUUGAUUUGUUCGAUAUCCAAUUCUGUACACAACAAGUAAAUAUAUACAAACAAAUAUUUUUAGAAACCAAUAAAAAUAAAACCAAAUAGAAGUGAGAAAUAAAACAUGUACUUAAACAAACUUACAACAAGCUCAAUGUCUUCCUACGACUUUUCAAGUCUCACUUUCUUUCAUUAAAUUUUAUGCUCCACGUACCAUAAAUCUGUACUCAACCAACAAAAUUGCAUAAUGGGCCCAUGCAAAAACAAAAAUAACCCAAAUGUAAAUAUCAUAAAAUGUAUAAAGUUCACAAUAGAUAUUCAAGCCCAAAUUCAAAUUUCAAAUUAGUCCAACAAAUUUUGUCAAUCAAAAUGGGUCCAAAUUAGUAAAUAUAACUCAACAAAAAUAUCUCACAUGUCAUAGGCCCUAAUAUAAAAUUUUCAAAUUAAUAACUAAAAUAUAAGUUCAAUUAAUCAAACCCAAAACAUGAUACAUUAAAAUAAAUCUCAUUAGGCAUAAACUUAAUAUCCCAUAAUUCAAGCCUAAUUUAAUAUAUAAACCUAAAUCCACAAUCAAAAUCAACUCACUUUAUGCUAAUCCCAAUUUACAAUCAAAAUCAAACACAAUUUAAUAAGUAAAUAACUAAAUAAAUUAAGCAAACUCAAAACUCCCAAACCACUAUUGCAUAAAUCAAACAAUAAUAAAUAUAAUGAAAACAAUAAUAAUAAUAAAAAUAAAAUAAAAUAAAAAUAAAAAUUUUAACUCAUGUUGGAGCCAAUUUGAGUGUUGUGGGAAAGAAAGAAAAUGAGAGACCAGUGGGAGAUGAUUGUUAGCUAGUAGUGGCUUGUCGGCGGCAAUUGGUCGAUAGUCCUACCGGCGAUAGUGAGGAUUGAUGAGUUUUUGGGAAAGAAAAAAAAAAGAGGAGUAAUAAAAAAAAUGGAGAAACGAGAGGAAUGUGGGAUAAGAGGGGAGAGAGAGAAUGAAGAAAAUAGGGGAAAAGAAAUGAGGUCGGCUGGAGGAGGAAGUGGCGGUGUGUGUGAGCUAAAGUGAAGAAGAAUGAAAGAAGAAGAAGGAGAAAAAUGGGGAAGAAGGGGAAAAAAAUACGGGCCCUAAAUGAAGAGAGGUGAGUAACCUAAAGAAGAAGAAAAAAUAAAAUAAAAUAAGAAAAAUGAGGAGAAAAUGAGAGGGCCAAUAGUUUUGGAAAUGGGGUGGUAUGGGUGAGAGAGAGUGGGUGGGGUUGUUAGGGAAGGUAUGGAAGAGAGAGGAGAGAGAAAAGAAAGAGAAAAAAAUAUAAUAAUAAUAAUAAUCAUAAAUAAUAUAUAAAAUAAUAAAAAUUAAUAAUUAAAUGAUGAGUGGAUAAAAAAUAUUAUAUGUAAUUGGGAUUUAAUUUUAAGAGUAAAAUUGUACUAAAAAUUAAUAUAAAAAUAAAAUUGGAACAAAUUUUAAAAUCUAUAAAUACAUUCUUUAAUCUUUCCACAACAUCAAUCUGAUCUAAAUGAAAUGCAAUAAAUUCUAAAAAUGAUACAAUCUUUAAUCAAUCCACAACAUCAACCCAAUCGAAACUCAAUGCAAUAUUGCUUAAUGGAGAGAAUAGUAAAAUCCUUUAAUGAGAGGAAAACAAAACCCUUAACAGACCUUUAUGAGAGGAAAAUAGGAAAACAUAGAACUAAAAACCCUUAACGUCUUCAUGAGAAUAAAAAAUCCUUAACACCUUAACAAGAGGAAAACAAAGAAUUUGAACAAUCCUUAAUCCAUCAAAAGCUCUUAAUGUGAACAAGGGAAAACAUAACCUUUAUUUUUCAGAGCGUCUAUAUAGGUGAAUAAAAAAUCUAAAGAGAUAGAAUUUUUAGCUAUUAAGGAUUUUUUAUAGAUGUCUAUUGAAAGUUUAAGAACUUUUAUGGAUAAGUGUUAAUUAAGAGACUGAAAGGGUACUUAGGAUUUUCAACUAAAAAAGUUAUAACAAUAUGAAUGGUAAGAACUUAAAAACAUCACCCAUCCAUCAUAGGAAUAUGGAAUGAGAGGUUUUUUUUUUACUUAUACAAUAAUAAAUUUUUUUGGAAGAGGUUUUUCUAAGUACAAAAAGUUAUGAAUAAAAAACCAUUGUUACGAUGAGUUAACUAAAAUAGAAUUAAUUUAUAAAAUAUCAAUAAAGUUGCAUGAAUUAUUAAUUUAAAAUAAUAUGGAAAUCAGUUUUAUAUUUAUUUAUUUAAAAAUAUUUUAAAAUACAUAUAUUUUUUCAUGACUCAAAUAGUCAUUCCUCAAAUGCUAAUUUUACUUGUUAUGUUAAUAACACUAGUUAAUAAUUUUUUAUUGUGAAAAUCGAUUUGAGAUUAAUAAAAUAAGAAAUUUUUAAAACUAAAAAGACAAUUUAAACUUAAAAAAAACUUUUAAAUUAAAAAUAUAAAAAUAAAACAAUAAUUUUUCAUUUAGUAAAACUUGUCAGUAAAAAAUAUAAAUAUAAAGAAAAAGUUGGAAAUACAAUAAGAGUUAAUAUUUUAUUUUUAAAAUUUUAUGUUUUUUUAUUUUAAUUGUAUUUAAUUUUUAUUUAUUUUAGUUGUAAUUUUAUUUUUAAUUUUUUAAUUUUUUAAUUUUAUUGUUGAUGUAAACUAAUAAAAUUUUUGUUCAAUUAUAUAUAUAUAUAUAUAUUUUAAAUUAGUGAGUAAAACCCACUUUUUCUAAUUUAUAAUAUAUUUAUGGGAUUUUAUAAAGAAAAAUCAACAUUUCAAUUUCCCUUCAUUAUUAUUAUUAUUAUCCAAUUUGGUUGAUUAUGAGAUUAGUUGGUAUCAUUACUAUAUCCAUUUGUCCUUAACCCUUCAUUAGAAUAGUAUUAGGAGUUGAACGUCAGUUGGAAUACAGGCUUAUGGAAACAAAUCUAUCCGAUUAGUAGGUUCUUAUUAUUUUCAAUAUAGACCCCAUAAAAUAAAUAGGAGAUGGGCAGCCCGUCCCUUUUGUCUGGAGGCUUAUGGAAACAAAGUAUCUUUGGCAGGAUACUUUGCAGAACAACUUUAGGAGACCCCUAUCUCAAAUUCAAGACUAUAAAUUAAAGCCUAAAAUCGAAACGGAAGUCGUAUAAUACAAAUAAAAGAAUAAAAGGGAGUGAAGUAAAAUUUAGUAUGGAAUGCAUGACAAGUUCCACCUGGAAGUGGCUUAUAGAGAAAAGGAAACGGAAAAAACAAAAGAACUGGAAUUGCAUAAAUCACAAUAAAUGGAUUCUUAUGCAGUGAGAGCAGCGUGUUUUCUCAUUCUCCUUGCUAUUGUUUUCUUCUCUUUACUCCAACCUCUACCAGUUUUUUUCUCAUUUUUGAACCCCUUUAAAAACCAGUUUAUUUUUUUAUUUUUUUAUCUUCGCUCUGUUUUUUCCUUUUCCAGAAAAAAAAAACGGCAAACCUCACUCGCCCAGCUGCCCUAAGAACCCACACUCCAUAUUUUUUUUUUUUCAAAAAAAAUCUUUCUCCUGCUCGGUUUUUCUUCCUUUUCUAUUUUUGUUCUCCCCCGAAUCUGUCGCCACCCACUCUCUGUUUCUCUUGUUUAGUUCCAAAAAUCCUCGCUCUCACCCCCCGUUAGCUAGUUUUUCUCUAUCUACCUUCAUCUUCGGUCCCCAGCUCUCUCUUAUUUUCCCGUUUUUCUAGCUCUCUCUUUUACCCAACCUUUCCCUCCCCCUCUAGAACAAAUUUUCUCCUCAAAUCUUCACCCGUGAGCCACCCUCUUCCUCCCUCGCUUGCUCUGUUUUUCUCUCUCCGGUCUUAUCCCCUUUCCCGUUUGUCCCCUAACUCCUCAUUUUUUUCCUCCUAAAAAAAAUGAAGACCCCCUACCAACCUUCACCUGCCCUCUGUUUAUCCCCUCUUGCAAGUCUUCCCUUGUUCCAACCAUCAGCCAGUCUCCAUCCUCAAGCACCACCAUGGCAAGGUGGUGGUGUCCAUGGCCACAUGUCCAAGCAUGCUCGGCUCCUCUAGAAACCAGCCACCCACUCUUCCAAAAAUGCUGCCAGCUCUCCCGGGAUUGUGACACCUAGAAAAAGAACUGCAUGGAAGAAGAGCCCCAAAUGGGGGUCUAGAAAUAUGCCCCUCUUCAGAAGAGCUCACGAAUGUAAGGAAUAUGAACACUGAAGUGAAAAGAAAGUGUGAAUAGUGAGUGGAAUGAAGUGAACACUAUCGAAGAACAAAGGAGACCCCCAAAGGACACUAGUGAAACCCGAACUCACUCAGGCCAAGAGGUGAACACAAACAAGGCUCUAAAAUCCUAAAAGAAAACAAUGUGUCAAAAUGUCUCUAAAGCCACACUGAGGACUCAGGCCCCCUCUAAGACGUCUCCAAAAGUGACUCGAAAGACCGUAUCAAAGAUGAGUAACGGUAGAACCACACUGAAGUACAAGAAAUAAUGUGUCCAAAGGAGACUCCCUUUGUGAACUACAUGAGAAUACUAGGUGUAGGGUGCCCAACAACAUGACUGAAAUAUGCAUCGUGAACCCAAGGGCCAUGUCAUGUGCAGUGGAAAAGGAAUCUAGAAGAACAAUGAUGAAUAGGCGAUAAGCAUAGGGUAAUGAGUUGAGGAAAAUGAGAACAAGUGCAAAACCACGAAGGUUAAUGUGCAAUGCCAAUGGAUAUGAAUACUAAGAACUGUGACUUUGAAUGGUACAACUGAGGAAAAAUGACUCUGAACAUAAAAAACACGGAAAGAUGGUGACUCAAGGUGCCUAGAUGGAUAUGUAUGAUGGCUCUGAACGCCAUAACUAAAGAAAGAUGGUGACUCAAAAUCGAACAAGACUCAACUAUGCAAGCGUAACUCGGAGGCGAACAAGACUCAACUUACUCUGACAAAACAAUGAUCGAUCGAUAUAGGUGCGGUUCUGACUCAAAUUGAACACAAACGGAUAGGAAUAUGGCUGAUCGAUACGGGUACAGCCUCAAAACGCAAACUGACACGAUGAUGACCGAUCAAUAUAGGUGGGUCCCAACCUAAACUGAACACAAAAUAAUAGGAAGAUGGCCGAUCGAUAUAGGUGCGGCCCUGAAAACUCAAACUAAACUCUAACUGAUAGGAUGAAUGAUCGAUCGAUAUGGGUGCGACCCCAAAACACAAACUGACCGAUCGAUAUAGGUGCGGUCACGACUCAAAUUGAAUAUAAGAUGAUAGGAAGAUGAUCGAUCGAUAUGGGUACGGCCUCGAAAACUCAAACUGACAUGGAAAAUGAACGAUUGAUAUUAGGUGCGGUCCCGAAAACUCAAAUUGACAUGGAAAUGAUAGGAAGAUGGUCAAUCGAUAUAGGUGCGACCCCGACUCAAACUUAAACAGACAAGAUGAUGACUGAUCGAUAUAGGUGUGGUCCCGACUCAAACUGAACACAAUGAUAAGAAGAUGGCUGAUCGAUAUGGGUGCGGCCCCGAAAACUCAAAUUGAAACGAAAAAAUGACCGAUCGAUGUAGGUGUUGUCCCAAAAACUCAAACUGACACGAUAAUGACCGAUCGAUAUAGGUGCAGUCCUAACUCGAAUUGAACACAAAAUGAUAGGAAUAUGCCCGAUCGAUAUGGGUGCGGCCCCAAAACGCAAACUCAAAUUGACAAGAUGAUGACCGAUCGAUAUAGGUGCAGUCCCGAAAACUCAAACUGAGAUGGAAAUGAUAGGAAUAUGGUCGAUCAAUAUGGGUGUGACCCUAAAACGCAAACUCAAAUUGACAAGAUGAUGACCGAUCGAUAUAGGUGCAGUCCCAAAAACUCAAACUGAGAUGGAAAUGAUAGGAAUAUGGUCGAUCAAUAUGGGUGUGACCCUAAAACGCAAACUCAAAUUGACAAGAUGAUGACCGAUCGAUAUAGGUGCAGUCCCGAAAACUCAAACUGAUAGGACGAUGACCGAUCGAUAUAGGUGCGGUCUUAACUCAAACUGAUAUGAAAGAUAAUCAAUUGAUAUAGGUGUGGUCCUAAAUCAAACUGACAGAAAAAUGGUCGAUCGAUAUAGGUGCGACCCUAAAAUGCAAACUGACAAGACGAUGACCAAUCGAUAUAGGUGCGGUCCCGAAAACUCAAAAUGAACUCAAACUAACACAGAAAGUGAUUGGAACAUGGCCAAUCGAUAUGGGUGUGGCCCCAACUCAAACUAACACGAAAAAUGAUAGAAACAUGGCCGAUCGAUAUAGGUGCGGCCCCAACUCAAACUAACAUGAAAAGUGAUAGGAACAUGGUCGAUCGAUAUAGGUGCGGCCCCAACUCUAACUGAAACUGAUAAGAUGAUGAAUGACUGAUCGAUAUAGGUGCGGUCAUAACUCGAAAACUCAAACUCAAACUAAUAGGAAGAUGGUCGAUCGAUAUAAGUGCGACCCCAACUCAAACUGACAUGACGAAUGACCAAUUGAUAUAGGUGCGGUCCCGAAAAAAUUAAACUGACACAGAAAUGAUAGGAAGAUGACUGGUCAAUAUAGGUGCGACCUAAACUCAAACUGAUAUUAACGAGAUGAAAGAAUGACCUGAUCAAGUGGCCCAAAGCCAAAGGAUAACUCAGAUAAUGAUGCAAGCAAACUCGACCAAAAGGGAUAUGCCCUAGUAUGACAACUCAUGAGGAUCGACAACUAGGUUGAAGGAUACCAAAGCCUAGGAAAGGUUUGAUGAUCCUAAGGAAUGAGGGUAUGCCCUAGUAUGCGACUCGCGAGAGUCAACGACUAAAUAAAAAAGUGCAUGAAGUCUAUGGAAGGUCCGAUGAUCCCAAGGAUGUAGGGUAUGUCCCAGUAUGAUAACUCGGAGGGGUCAACAACUAGAUCGAAAAAUGAAUGAAACCUAUGGAAGGUUCGAUGCUUUCGAAGAAGGAGGGUAUGCCCUAGUAUGACAACCCGGAGGAGUCAACAAUUAGAUCGAAAAGGUGAAUGAAACCUGUGGAAGACCCGAUGCUCUCAGAGAAUGGGGUAUGCUCCAGUAUGUGAUGAUGAACAAACAGAGAUGCAAAAUGCCUCUAAACCACUGUACUAUAAAAUAUGCUCAUCCAUCAUGUAAUGAAAAUGUCCAAUCUCAGAUAGGUAAUGCUAAACAGGACCAUGUAUCGUGACACCAUGCUGACAAAACAAAACUAACUAGUGAAUAACAACAAUAAUGAUUAGUACUCAAAAUGCAAAGAGAAAACAAAUCAACACUCAACAUGCCAACUAUCAAAAUGAAAGCAUCAUCACUAAUAAAUCAAUAAUCUAUCAAGCCCUACCAACAUGGAAGAUGUUGAACCUAAAGUACAAAAGAUGUAUGAAAGCACAACCAAAGUGAUCGAGGAUUGAUCCACGUCUCCUCCUAAUUGAGAGAUGGGUGUGAGGUCAUGUGUCAUGGUGAGAUGUGUAGGAUAAAAGAAGGUGAUGAUCAGGCUCUGGUAAGAUAGAAAGCAUGAAAGUAUCAAAGGUGGAAUGUCUGAGUACAAGCUGAAAGGUAUGUAGGUAACCGAGAUUAUCCAAGUAUGUCGAGAAGACUAAACCCAAGGUAUCAAUAGCUCCAUAAUCCAUCAAAAACAGCAAUCACAAAAUAGAAAGUCAAGUCUCGAUAUCAAAACAUCCGACUAGGUGACUAUGCCCCAGUAUGCAAUGAAGACAACAUGAAAUAAUCCAAUGAUCUCUAUAUCACUCGGUAGAUGCUCCAAUAUAAAGGAUCAAUCUGAUCUCCCUCCAAAAGAUGGAUAUGCCCUAGUGUAAAGGAUCUGAUAGGAUGACUAUGCUCCAAUGAAACAUGCUCUCCAUUCUGGCUAUGCCCUAGUGUAAAGUAGUGUAUUCGAGUAAAAAAAUCAAUCAAUUUCUACUCCUGGUGUUAAAAAUGGAAACAUCUCAACAUAAUCCAUAUGAAUUAGAAUCCCCGAGCUCUAUGAGUAUGAAUGAACUAGCUAUGCCCCAGUAUAAACCAUUUGAAGUGACUAUGCUCCAAGAUAAAUCAAAGUCCAUCACCGAUGAGAGGGCUAUGCCUCAAAAUAAAUUGCCAUCUCAAAAAUCAACCAUCAAUGAGUAGAAUAUGUCCUAAUGCAGAGUAUCGAGUAAAGUGACUGUAUCUCUAAUAAAAGCGUUCUCUGAAAUGGCUAUGCCCUAGUGUAAGGUCAUCCCACAAUUCCUAAUCCAUCAUAAUCCAAGUGAAGAAGCGAACUGACUAUGCCUCAGUGCAAGGCAUCAUCUUGAAAAAAAACGUCAUCAAUGAGCGGGGUAUGCCCCAGUAUAGAUCAUAUCAUCUCCGAAAAUCCAUCACUGAUAAAAAUGGUAUGCACCAAUGUAAAUCCAUCGCCUCAACUCCCCAUCCAUCAUGCUCCGAGAAAUAAUCUCCAACCAAGUUCGAGUACAUCAUGUGUGAAGCGAUAAAGGACUACAAACGACUAGACUCUUAGCAUGAACUAUAAACAACGAAUCUGAACCAAACUGGACUCAACAAAGCAACUCUAAUGAACUAAAGACUGGACCCGAUAGAACGGGAACGGCUCAGAUGACGACCAUAAAUCAAAAUGAAAGGUGCUCUGAGCUAAACCACUGAAAAAUGAUGUACCCAUGUCAACUAAACCAAGUCCUCAACUCGGAAUAUCCCAAAAUACCAUAUGACCAUCAAUAUCAUCAACAUCUAGAUCAAUCUACUGAAGGCUAGGAGGAGGGGGAACUGCAUGUGUAGAAUACGUAGGUAAGGGAUUGGUGGUCACACUUGGCCCAGACAAGUUGACCAACCCUGAAUCAAUCAAGUCUUAUUUCACAUGAUGGAACGCCGAACAACACUCAGUAUCGUGUCCCUAAAUCUGAUGAUAUAAGCAAUGCUCAUGUGAGCGGAAAUGAGGAGGAAUGGGAUAUGGCAAGGAGCGUGGCACCAAAUGAACAAUCAAACCAGCAUCUCUAAGCUUCUCAAAAGCUCUAGUCAAAGUCAUGCCCAAUGGAGUGAACUGUCUCGCGGGUCUCUGUGCAAAUGGUUUAGGUGGUGGGUGAGUAGCGACUCUUAGAUGUGAUGGUCAUGAUUGUAGGCUAGUUUGAGAAAUGUAAGGCUAUUGAACAUAAACCGGCUGAUACUGAUACUGUGGAUGAGAGAAAUGAGCUCUGACUGUAGGAGGCCUGUAAGGUGAGUGAAGUGCAGGCCUCUGAUGCUGAUAGCUAAUAGUGUCAACCUCUCCAGACCUACUAGAUGAUCCAACUAGCUUCUUCCUCUUAUUGUUAGGGGAAGGAGUAGCAUCUGUCCAUAAUCCUCGAGCAAUGACCUCCUUAACACUAAAAGCUACAUGAACUAGACUCUUAAGAUCCUGAAAUGGGAUGCCCACAAGGUGUCUAGUGAACCUCGGUUGUAGGUUCUGAAGAACCAUAUCAAUCUGAUCCUGCUCCUUAAGCCGGUCUAUCAUACCAGCCACCUUUGCCCUCCAACGUUUGACAAAGGAAGAAAUAGACUCAUCUGGCCUCUUCAUGGUGGCCUCCAACUCUUGUCUGGAUACAUCAAUGUCGACACUAAAAGCAAACUGAGUCAAGAACUCAUGAGCCACAUCUUCCCAGGUGCGAAGUCUCAAAGGCUCAACUGAAGCAAACCACCUCUGAGCUGCCCCACUAAGUGACAUGGGGAAAAGGGCCACCAACUGUGCUUCAUCUAUCCCAUGUGCUCUCAUGACUGUGCUCUAUAGUCUCAAGUGGAUCUUAGGACAACCAAUCCCACUAUACCACUCAAUGUCUGGCAUGCGAAACUUGGUGGGCAAGCUAGCCGCCGGUAUGUCAUCCCUAUCAUCCCAAGUCAAACCUCCAUCCUGUAAUCUGAUUUGUCUUAUCCUGGCCUCAAGCCUCUAAACCCUAGCCUCCUGCUCGGUCAAUCUAGUAUCAUUAGUAGUAGUAACAAUGAGAGGCAACACUGUGGCAGUAGGUGGUGGAGUACUCUCGCAAUGAUCUGAUAAAUGGAAUGGAAUGCCAUGUGAAAUCCUAGGUGGAAAAACCUGUGCUGUCUGAGGUACAUGAGGAACUGUAUCGUCAGUGCUAAUGCCAACUGGAUGAUGAUCCUAGCGAGAACUCUCUAUCUGAUCCAAACGUCUACUAACCCUUGCCAUGAACUCCUGAAUAGAAGCAAGUGUGGAAGCUAGCUCGUCUGACAUCUCGAUCGAACUGUCUGAACUCUGAUGUGAAUCUGCUCUAAUCAAUCAACCUCCAACUCUCUUUCAAGGAUGUAACUCCAGACUUAAACAACUCCUAAAAUGGCUCCCUACAAUGCAAACGAAAUGGAUGAAGGACACAAGAUAAGACCUUAAAAGACAACAGUACAACAUGCAAGCACAUGGUCCUGAGGUGGCAAUUUGAAAUCUAGAUUUAUGAUGAGAACUCUGGAGUCAUAAAGGUGUCCACUGUGAGAUGGCUACAAAUGUGACUAGAGAAUUCCUAUCGAUAAUCCAAGAUGAAAGAGGUGUGAAUAACACACUAUCAUGAGAUCAAUACUCCAUUUAUAACCACAUAUCCUUGAUUCAACCUUCAAUCCAAGCUCCGUAAGAGAAAAAUGAUAAGGUGAUCAAGGCAACUCUCUCGAAAAAAGUGUAAAUGUGUCUUUCACCUUUCUAUAAUGACAACAUGAGCAUCGAGUUGAAAAUUGAAUCAAUGAUCAAACAAAGAAUGGGGUAUUGGGCUGAUGAUAGAUGUACGGGGUAAAAAGGUGAUCAAUGAACAUAUCCUAAAGCAUCAAGCAAGUGACAACAAAGUGAAAGGAUGCCAAGCCAAGAAAAGAAGAUGAAAACCCUAGGGAGAAAACAUGUUAAACUCAUCGAGUGAAAAACAUAAACUAAGGCGACAUGACAAAGGUGAUCCAACCGAUACUCAAACUCAUACCAAUCUCUAAGCACUCUCAACUAGAGACUAAAAAGAGGGAGUGUCGAAUUCGAAAUAUGACCACAGAGGCUCUGAAAGCCCUCAAAUGCACCCACGUGUAGGGAGGGAGUCCUAAUUGAAGGAUCUACGGCUCAACCUACAAGGUCAAGGUGGCUUUAAAUGGAUAUGGGUGGACUUUUAAAAGAUCCUUAGCAGAAGCGAUCGUACCCUCCGACGGUACGCAACCUCUUACACAUCUCUGAAGAGACGGGGCGCUUCUAUGCAAGGUGGUCAUCACCUCCACACAUGCACUACUUCGCAUCCCAGAGGGUUCCAAUGGUGAAAGCUCUCACAACUCUCAGCACUCAGUGGUAAUAUAAAGUGUAUAGUGAGUGGUGUGGGUGCAUCCGAAAACCCUAUGAAACUAAAAGAAAACACACUGGCCACAAAAAUAUCCUAAAAUCUAGCUCUGGGCUAUACAGGUCUUCAAUGAUCGGACUCUAAUCGACAUCAACGUGUCGGUCACCUCCAGAAUGCUCCCAAACAUCAGUAUAGCCCAUCGCUAGACCCUACUCCCAUCCUUUGGCUCGAUCAAAGAACAAGCACACACAAGGCCUCACACUUGAAAAAGUGAUAGCCAAGAUGAAGGAAAUGACCAAAACUAGAGGGUUGGAGAUAAGAGGAUAGAUGUGUGGCCCACACGGACAAACAACAUGCAAUCACGCAAAAAAAGGGCAGUCAUGUAACAUACAGUCGGGCAGAGUACAUGAUAUGUCACUCAUGUAUACAUACAAGCCGUGACGAUCAGAAUGAAUAGUGAUACAGACAUCAUACUCAAAGAUGAUCAAGAGACUACACAAUGCAAGUGAGUCAACAUGUCAAGUCAAAUUAUGUACAAUGGCGAGUCUAUACAUGUGAAAUGAUCAGAACGAACAUGGAAAAAAACAGGAUCACUAUGCUAAACAAUGUAAGAUAAUCGAUCAAUACAAUCAACAUAUCAAUCUCUCAAAUGAAUAUGGCAAUGAAGCAUAGAAAAAAUAGCUACCUCGAAAUCCCCAAUCAAAAUAAUCGAUCAUCAUAAUCAGCAUGUUAAGUGUCUCAAACAGAUAUAGCAACGAAACACAAAAAGAAUCACUAUAUCAGAAUCCUCAAUCAAGAUAAAUCAAUUGUCAUGACCAGCAUAUCAAUGUCCCAAAUGAAUACCAUAUCCGAGCAUGCAUCUAAUGAUAUUGGGAACUCUCAAUGUGCAAUCAAGAGAUAGGUACCCAAUGAUCGACUCAUCAAAUGCCACAUUUGCUUCAUCUUAAGUUCAAGUUUGACCCUCUAAACGUUCCCCAGUGGAGUCGCCAUUUUGUGGACCUCGUAUUUCUACUCAUCCACUUCCACUCAAUGGCGAGCUCGCUUUUUGUUGGAAAAAUGAUUUUAUUUUUAAGAAAAUGACUUGGAGUCGCCACUUAUUUUUUGUUUUAUUUUUAAAGGGUAAACAAAAUAAGAAAGAAAACCCUAAGUGUGACUCCUUAUUUGGAAAAGGUGGUCUGUGAAAAAUCGAGUCAAGGCUCGGGGGUCAGAUUACUUAUCGGGAAGGUAUGGUAAAGACCAUAACACCCUUCUGAGUCCCUAAAAACGAGUCUCUACUAAUAAAAUGAAGCAAGUAUGACAAUUGAUAAGUGAAUCAAUGGAUACCGAAUGAAUAUCGAUUAAAACAGAAUAACCGAAAGAACAAGAUGGGCAAAUAGUGUACCUGAGCGAUGAACUGAUUUGCUUCAUGGAAAACAAAGAUUAGUAAACAAACAUAGAAUACUUGCACACAUGUAUUAGAGUGGAAUAAAUCAAUCAUGUAUAACAAUCAAUCAAUCAAUCAACCAAUCAAUGAGGAAAUUCCAUAUGUUGGGCCCUCACCAAAGCCCGAUUUAUUUUAGCAUGAAUUGGUCUCACAAAUUCCAUUGUUUUAGAAUUAUGAGGAAAAAAAAAACAUUAUUGCUUAUCAAAAUCAAGAGAGAUAGAAGAUUAUUUGAAAACCAGAGUGGAAUUAAAACUGUUUGAAAGAAAAUUAGAUUUUUGAAAUUUAUUUGAAAAAUUGGAGUCUCAAAGAUUACUUGAAAAUCGGAGUUUUGAAAAUUAAAUUUAAGAAUUGGAAUUUUAGAUAUUAAAUUUAAAAGAAAUUGGAAUUUUGAGAAUUAAAUUUAGGAAAUGGAAUUUUGGAAAUUAAAUUUGAAAGAAAUCAGAAUUUUUGAAAUUAAAUUUGAAAGAAAUGAAAUUUUGGAAAUUAAAUUGAAGAAUUUGAAUUUUGGAAAUUAAAUUUGAAAGAAAUUGGAGUUUUAAAAAUUAAAUUUAGGAAAUGGAAUUUUGGAAAUUAAAUUUAAAAGAAAUCUGAUUUUGGAAAUUAAAUUUGAAAGAAAUUAGAAUUUUGGAAAUGAAAUUUGAAAGAAAUGAAAUUUUGAAAAUUAAAUUGAAGAAUUUGAAUUUUGGAAAUUAAAUUUGAAGGAAAUCGGAAUUCUAGAAAUUAAAUUUGAAAGAAAUUGGAGUUUUAAAAAUUACAUUUAGGAAAUGGAAUUUUGGAAAUUAAAUUUGAAAGAAAUGAAAUUUUGGAAAUUAAAUUGAAGAAUUUGAAUUUUGGAAAUUAAAUUUAAAGGAAAUCGGAAUUCUGGAAAUUAAAUUUGAAAGAGAUUGGAGUUUUAAAAAUUAAAUUUAGGAAAUGGAAUUUUUGAAAUUAAAUUUAAAAGAAAUUGGAUUUUAGAAAUUAAAUUUGAAAGAAAUCAUAAUUUUGGAAAUUAAUCGAGAAUUGGAGCUAUGAAAAUUAAAUUUAAGAAUUAUAGUUUUGGAAAAUUAAAGUUUUGAAAAUUAAACUUAAAAAUUUGAGGUUUUUUUUUUAAAAAAAUUUAAAUUUUAAAAAAAUGGAAUUUUGGGAAUUUAUUCGAAAAUGGAAUCCUAAAAAAAAUCUGAAUUUGAAAAUGUUAAUUUUGAAAAAUUAAUUUGAAGAUUGAAGUGAUUGAAAAUCAAGAAUUUUGAAAGUUGAUUUUUUUAUUAAAAAAAAAAUUGGUGAAAACGUGUGAGCAUAAAGGCUUAAAAAAAAAAAAAAAAACAAAACAAAAAAAAGUGUAUGGGCAUAUGUGCCCCAUGGAUGGCCCACCAAAAUUCCUCCAUUGACUUUACUACCAUGAAAUGAUUCCUAAAUAAGAAAAACCAUUAAUGACUCUGAGAGACUUCAAGAGAGAGACAGGGAGAAAAGUCUUUCUCUAACACAACUGAUGAACCAAGUCUUUAUGGGAGACUAGGCGGCGUUUGGUGGUGGUUUGGAUUCCUUUGCUGCCUUGUCAGUCUUCUUUGGUAGGAUACUUUGCAGAACAACUUUAGGAGACCCCUAUCUCAAAUUCAAGACUAUAAAUUAAAGCCUAAAAUCGAAACGGAAGUCGUAUAAUACAAAUAAAAGAAUAAAAGGGAGUGAAGUAAAAUUCAGUAUGGAAUGCAUGACAAGUUCCACCUGGAAGUGGCUUAUAGAGAAAAGGAAACGGAAAAAACAAAAGAACUGGAAUUGCAUAAAUCACGAUAAACGGAUUCUUACGCAGUGAGAGCAUCGUGUUUUCUCCUUCUUCUUGCUACUGUUUUCUUAUCUCUGCUCCAACCUCUACUAGUUUUUUUCUCAUUUUUGAACCCCUUUAAAAACCAGUUUAUUUUUUUAUUUUUUUAUCUUCGCUCUGUUUUUUCCUUUUCCAGAAAAAAAAAACGGCAAACCUCACUCCCACAGCUGCCCCAAGAACCCACUCUCCAGAUUUUUUUUUUCAAAAAAAAAUCUUUCUCCCGCUCGGUUUUUCUUCCUUUUCUAUUUUUGUUUUCCCCCGAAUCUGCCCCCACCCACUCUCUGUUUCUCCUGUUUAGCUCCAAAAAUCCUAGUUCUCACCCUCCGUAACCCAAUUUUUCUCUAUCUCCCUUCAUCUUCGGUCCCCAACUCUCUCUUAUCUUCCCGUUUUUCCAGCUCUCUCUCUUACCCAACCUUUCCCUCCUCAUCCAGAACAAAUUUUCUCCUCAAAUCUUCACCUGUGAACCACCCUCUUUCUCUCUCACUUGCUCUGUUUUUCUCUCUCCGGUCUUGGCCCCUCUCCUGUUCGCCCCCUAAAUCCUCAUUUUUUUCCUCCCAAAAAAAAUGAAGACCCCCUACCAGCCUUCACCUGCCCUCUGUUUAUCCCCUCUUGCAAGUCUUCCCCUAUUCCAACGAUCAGCCAGUCUCCAUCCUCAAGCACCACCAUGGCAAGGUGGUGGUGUCUAUGGCCACACGUCCCAGUAUGCUCGGCUCCUCCAGAAACCAGCCCCCCACUCUUCCAAAAAUGCUGCCAGUUCUCCCGGGAUUGUGACACCUAGAAAAAAAAACUACAUGGAAGAGGAGCCCCAAACGGGGGUCUACAAAUUAACUUUUUAAAAAUUCUAAACCUCUUUUGUGUUAUUAGCUUUUUUUCUCUCUCUCAUAAUUUCAUUACUUAGGCUUGUUUGGUUCGACUUCUAAAAAUGUAAAAAGAAGUAAAAAAAAUCAUUUUUAUGCCAAUAAGCUCUAUAUCAUGACUAUGAAACAAAUAUCUUAUGAAUUAUUGGAGCAAGAAAAUCAAUUCAUGAUUAAUUUUGUAAAUGAACUUUCUAAAAUGAUACCUUCAAUUGAGAAAGUGGUUGGUAAUUUAACUUAAUAACUUAAUUUAUCUUAUUAAGCACAUUAAGUAUGCUUGAUAAAAUAACUUACUACCAUAAUUUAAAGUUUUAAAUAACUUAAAUAAUUGGUUAAAAUAAUUAACUUUUUAAAAUUUUGAAACAUUUUUUGUGUUAUUAGCUCAUUUUUCUUUCUUUCUUUCUUUCUUUUUUUUUUUUCCUCAUAAUUUUGUUAUUUAGGCCUUGUUUGGUUUGACUUGUGAAAAAAAAAAUCAUUUUUAAGCUCAAUAAGAGUUUCUAUGAUUUUGACUUUUGUUUUUUUUCAAAAAUCUUAUGCCUUAAAAACGAGCUUAAUAUAGAAGUUAGGAAAGUGUUGUUUCUUGUAUAAACUCUAUUUUAAUUUAUGUAAGAAGUUUUUUCAUGUUUAAUAUACUUUGAGAAUACCAAUAUUGCUCUUUAAAAAUUAUGACUUUGGCUUCAGCUUUAGCUUUAUGAUUAGUUAAAGAAAAACACAAAAAACUCUCCGUAACAAGGUGUUAAUAUCAUUGAGGAUAAAUAUGACAAUUUAAUGGUCUAGAAAAAGUUUUGAGUUGAUUUUAUGAAACAACUUUGAUACUUAAAGUAAAAUUAAGUAGCAAGUUUUAAGUCAACAACUUAAAAGUGAUUUAAUUUAAAGUCAUUCUAGCAAUGCACUAACAAAUUGACAUGAGUCAAGAAGAGGUUGAUCGGUUUGAAGGUAUAGAUUUGGAUGUUAUCAACCUCCCUUGGGAGGAUGCAUAGAAUUUCCAACAUGUAGUCAGAAACAAAAAACUUCACCAAAAAAAAAAAAAAGUCCUAGGAAAAUAUCUUGAGGGACAUGUCUAAAUUAUCAUCUAAAUAUUCAAACAAUUUAUUAAAGCUUUAAUGUUGCAAAAGACGUUCAAAAGUCCAAAACAAGAGAAAAUUUCAAGACAUGCAUAAACCAUUUUUUUUUUAACUAAUCCAAAAAUGUGAUAAAAUCAUGAAAAAAAAAAAUCAUACAAUAGUCUCAAAAUGUCUAAUUUACAAGAAAAAUUAUGGCAAGGUAAAGUAUACAUACAAAUCAAUUUCAAAAUCAAGCAAACAACCCCUUUAUUCAAAAUUAGGUCAAUGCAAUCACUAUUGCAAGGGAAAAUGUUUAACUCAAUUGGGAAAAACAUUUUUUAAAUAUUUUAUUUGUCUAAAAUAAGCUUUAAGAAGGUUAAAAUUAAGUAAAAAUAUCAAAACAAUUUUACAAAGUCAUUUAGCAAUACAUUUCGGGUGUAACUAACCCACCAAAAUAUGAUUUGAUAUCUCCCAUUUGAAAAUUACUUUUUAACUUAGCCAAAAUUCUAAAGUCAAGUUCAAAGAGUCUACAAUACCAUAAAAUCAUAGAAUAAAUUUAGGAGCAUCCUAAGUUAGUCAUGUGUAAUGAAUCAAAUUUUAUGUAGGGGUCUCGCCAAAUCCCCAUUUAAUAUACAUGAAUCUAGCUUAUGCAUUUUCAACUUCACAUGAGUAUUGAUAAACUCAUCAAAACUAAGAAUUAUCCCAUUUAUUUAGGACUACAAACUUGGAUUCGUGUUAUACUCAAAAUCAAAAUUUUAUCGAAGAUAAAAAGGAAAAUGCAAACCGGAUGAAAUUUGAUUGCAUAUCUUUAGAAAAAGAGUUUUAGACCUUAAGAACUCUAACUAAAAUUUUGAAAUGGAUUUUAAUAUUAAUCUUUUUUUUGAGAUAAAGAUUUCUUUUUAAAAGAGAAAAUAUUUGUAAAUAACAAAACAUAAGAAUCAAACCAAGUAAACCAAAGGAGUGGAUGAACUACAAAGUUAUUUUUUUAUUUUUUAUUUUUACAAUCAACAAAGACUAAAGAUGGUGAAAGUAGAGACCAAUAUUCAUUAUUUUUCAAUGGCCUUUGAAAGUCAAAUUAAAAAAUGGAUCACCAGGCAACACAUUACGAAUUUUUAGAUCAAACAAACAAACAAGACAUCAAUAAAAAAUUAACAAAGAUCAACCAAACACAUAAACUGAGGCAAACAAUCGAGAACUAAUAUAAGAUAAACCAAAUGCAUAUACAUGUGGUCAUAAUAAUAUGAAUUUAGUAACAUAAGCACACAAAAUCCUAAAAAAACACAUGAACUAAGUAAGAUGAAUCAAGAACUAAAAUUACCUAUUUUAAAGCUUGAAUAUAAUAACAUUAGGAUAAACUAAUUAUCGGAAAUUCUAAAAGCACAAAUUAGAAUUGAAUCAAUCAAGAACUAAGAUUAAUAAACUUAAAACAUGAAUGCCAUUACAUGAGAUCAACUAAACUAAUUAAUUAAAAUUUGUAAGAACACAUAAAAUAAAUAGGAUGGAUUAGAAAAUAGAAAAAAAAAAAUACUAUUUUAAAACAUGAAUAUAAUAACGUGAGUUCAAUCAAACAAAUAAACUAGAAUUCAAAAAAUACAUGAACUACAUAGGAUCAAUCAAAACUCAAAAAAAAAAAAAAUUGACAAAACUUAAAUCAUGAAUAUAAUAACCUGAGUUCAAUUAAACUAAUAAACAAAAAUUCUAAAAACAUAAAAUAAAAUAGGAUCAAUUAAGAACUAAAAUUAACAAUUUUUAAAUAAGGAUAAAAUAGCAUGGAAUAAAUCACAUUAUCCAACUAAAAGUUUAAAAAAAAAAAACCACAUAAACUAAUAAGAUGAAUCAAGAAUUAAUAAUUAACAAUUUUGAAACAAGAAUAAAAUAUCAUGGAAUCAAUCACAUUAAUCAAAUAAAAAUGAAAAAAAACCACUUAAACUAAUAAGGUGAAUCACAAAUAAAAAUUAACAAUUUUGAAACAAGAAUAUAGCCUGGAAUUAAUCACACUAACCAAUUAAAUUUUUUUUUUAUAAAAAAAAACAUAAUCUAAUAAAAUGAAUCAAGAAUUAAAAAAAAUUAACAAUUUUAAAACAAUGAUAAAAUAGCAUGAAAUCAAUUACAUUAAUCAAAUAAAAUUCUGAAAACCACUUGAACUAAAUAGAUUUGAUUAAGAACUAAGAACUAAUUAUUUUUUUUAUUUUUUUUUAAACAAACAAUGUAUAAACUAAAGGAUCGACAUGUGAUUACAAUUUUUUUUUUUAAAAAAAAUAUCGAAACAAAAUACUCAAGAAAACUUACCUUCAAUCAUGUAAAAGAUGCUGCUGAUCAAUGGUGCGUGCUGUCCAAAAAAGGUUCAGCCUGGUGUGUUUUUCUCUCUCUCCAAUGGUGCGUGCCCCUCUUUUUUUAAAAAAAAAUCUGAUGCACAAUCCCACGUCUCAAAGUGGCAGCCUCAGUGGUGCGACUGUAGGAGAGUUUCUUUGUUCGAUAGUGUGUCAGUGCUCUUUCCUAGUGGAUGCACGAUAUGCAUGCGUCUUCGAAGAUGAGGGCAUGGCUUCUCUUAAAGAAAUCUGUGAUGAUGAAAGUAGUCCCCUUAAUGGAUGCGUCCCUAUUGGAGAGCCCCCUCUUAUAGUGUGUGUUGAGCCCCCUCCUAUAGCCCCUCCUCUCCCGUGUGUGUUGCUGAAAGAAGUCGCCUAUGGACGCACCCCACCUAAAAAUCCCGUGUGAAAUCUCCUCCCAUUUCCACAGCCUAUGCGUCAUCCCAAAAAAUCUAGUGGUAUACAGCCCGAUCUUCCACUUUUUUUUGGUAAGUCGUAGUUCCACCUUGGUCAUCAAUACUCUCUCUCUCUCUCUCUCUCUCUCUCUCUCUCUCUCUAUAUAUAUAUAUUCAUUAUUACAAUAGUAAUUUGAUAUAAAUUAUUUCAUUUAAGCCAUUUAUAAAUAAUAUAUAAGAUGACAUAAUAUACCAAUAAUUCAAUUAAGAAUAUAUGAUAUUAAUCAAUAAAUAUUAUUUAUGAUAGAUAUAUCAAGUAUAUUAUCUAAUAAUAUUUUGUUAUAUUAAUAGAUAAAUAAAAAUUUAUGAUGAUAAUUUUAGAAAUGUAGAAUACCAAUAUUUUUUAAUGUUUGAAAUUGUAGUUUCAUUUUAGUUUUUUCUUUCUUGAAAAUACGUUUAAUUAAGAAAGUAAAAAUUGUUUUUUUAAAAAAAAAUUCACAAAGUCUUGUUUGGUUUUAAACUUUCAUUAAUGUAAAAAUUUGUGAAAAAAAAUAUAAGUAAAUUAUAUAAUUUAUAUCUCAUGUUAUGAAAUAUAUUACUAUAAUGAAUAAUAUUGUUUCUUUUAUAAUAUACAUAAUGUGAUAUUAUGUAAUAGUAAUAAUCUAUAUUAUAUUGUUAUAUAUUAUCAUAUUAUAAAUUAUAACUUAUAUACCUUAAUAUUAUAUUAAGGUUAUUUUUUUACUAUAUUUUAAAUUUUAAAUCACUUUAGAAAAUUUUCUAAUAUAUUUAUAAUAAAUUAAUCAUCUAAAUUAUUUUAAUAUACAAAUAUAUUCUCUAAUAAAUAAUUUUUAUAACGUUUUCAAAUAUAUAUAUAUAUAUAUGAUAAUAUUUUAUUUAUAUUAUUUUGUACUGGAUCUCAAGUCUUUAAUUUAUAUGCUUUUAUUAUAUCAUUUGAUUUCUACCUUUUUAAAAAAACCGCUUUUUUCCCCCUUAAGUUUUCUAGAAAAUGAAAAGGAAAAAUAUCAUUCAAACAUAUUUUGAGAGAUGAUCUUUGUUUUUUUUGAAAAUGAACAAAUCUUAAGUUUUAAUAAUUAAUAUUGAUUUGGGACUCUUUAAAGACACGUUUAUAAUUAGUAAUUAUGAAAUUUUGAAUUUUGAUGGAAUAAAUUAAAUUAAAUUUUAAUUUUCUAUAAUAAAAGGUAAUUUGUUUUAAAAUUUAUUUAAAUUAAAUAAUUUUUAGAUAUUUUAGAAUUAAUUAAAAUAAUAUAUAAAAUGACAUAAAUAAUUAUUUUAUGUGAUUAUACCAUAAAUCAUUUAAAAUUUUAAAAUUAUUCAUUUAUUAAGUAGUUCAAAUUUUAAAAUCCAAUACAAUUCUAAGAACGAAUCCAAUAUUAUUUUUUAUCCUUCCACAACAUGAAUGUAAUCAAAGUGAAAUCCAAUAAAUCCUAAGAAUAAAUACAAUCCAUUCUUUAAUUCUUCCACAACCUCAAUAUGAUCUAAAUGAAAUGUAAUAAAAUAUUUCAAAGGAAAUUAAAUAUAAUUAAAAUUAGUUAAAAUUUUAUUUUUCUUCAUUUUUUUUUUCUUUUACUUUUUAUUUUUUAUUUUUUAUUUAUUUGCAUUUUCUCUUAAAUUUUUCAGAGAAGCAAACAUAGUGAAUUUUUUUUAUGGAUAAGUAUUAAUUAAGAGAUUGAAAGGAUUUUUUUUGGAUAGGAGUCGAUAGAAAAGGUUUGGGAUAAAGAAAGAGUUUCCGGCCAAGUAGUCUUUUUUUUUUUUGCUACUUCUCAACCUAAUCUCAUGUUGAAGAUAUUUGUGUGUUCGUACAACAUCAAAUUCAACUUUAUUAUUAUUAUUAUUAUUAUUUUAUUUUUUAUGUGGUUUUUUUUUAAAAAGAAAGUCAUAUGAAUGGACAUGAUGAGAAAGAUUAGAUCGAGAAAAGACCUUGCUUUGGUUUUAGUGGAAUUUUCAAAAGGAAUAUGGUUAGGGGAAUAGACUACUUUCAACUAAAAAGUUAUAACAAUGUGAAUGGUAGGAACUUAAAACAUCACCAAUAUAUCAAAGGAGUGUAGAAUGAGAGGUUUUUAUUUUUUAUUUUUAUUAUUAUUAUUAUUAUUUUUACUUCUACAAUAAUAAAUUUUUCUGCAAGAGUUUUUUUAGGUACAAAAACUUAUGACUAAAAAACCAUUAUUACGAUGAGUUAAUUAAAAUAGAAUUAAUUUAGAAAAUAUAAAUAAAAUUGCAUGAAUCAUUAUCAUGAGUUCACUUAAUAAGAAUUAAUAGUAAUAAAGUUGAAUGAAGUGAAUUUGGAAUGUAGAUAUUAUUGAUGAUAAGAUUUUUUAAUAAUAAAAAUAUUAUUAGGGUAUGAAAAAUAGGACAAAAUUGACCUUUCUUUAUGUUACUGGUUAAAUGGAUAAUAGGGAUAAUCAAGUACUUACAUGUGGUGAGGUUACCUAAGCUAAUUCUGUACUUACCAGCUAGCCCAAAAGCUAAGAAAAAUCUCCAUCCUCCAUUCACGGCGCCCUUUUCUUUUCCCUAUUUUUAGAAAAUUCAACGAGUUUUGGUAAAUCAAUCUUACAACGUCCUUUCAGUCCACCAUUAUUUUCUGAUUCCUCCUUUUCUUUUUCUCUCGUUUCUUCCUUCAAAAUCCAUCCCUCAUCUCUCUCACAAUUUUCUCUUUACCUUCUUCUCUUCCUUCCAGUUUCCUUUUUAUUUUAUUUUUCAUGCAGACAGAAUCCCCUUACUUUCCUUUGUUUCUCUCUUUAAAAAAUUCUGAUUUUGCCCUAAAAAAAAUUGAUUUUUCUCUUUAAAUAUUUUAAUUUUCCUCCUCCAAAUUCUGAUUUGCCUUUCUAAAAUUUCAGAUCUUCCCAACCCAAAUUAAAUUCCGAUUUCCCCCGGUAAAAUUCUGGAUUUUCUUUUCCAAGAUAGUCAAUUUUUUAUUUUUUUUUCAAAAGACAUUAUGGGUGUAUUUUGAAAAAUUGAAAAGGUAAUCAUGCAUGGCCAUGUGAGGAGAGAAUAAAAAGUAUAGAUAAGUUGGAAGACAACAUUGAUGGGAGAAUAAAAGUUAAAAAAUCAAUAAAAUAGUGAGUAAAAAUAAUGAAUGGAACAUUCUCAUUCAACUAUUAUGAACAACCAAAUGUUGAAAUGAAAAACUAAUGAAAUUAAUACGAUUUUCUUUCUAUGGUUAGGUUUCUCUUCACACCAAACAAAUGUAGAGAAAUUUAAUUUAUAAAUGAAAAUUGGGUUUUGAUUCACUAAUAUAAGAGAAUAAAAAUAAAAAGAACUCUAAAUUAUAAAUUAGUUUUAUUUUUAUCAAUUUAAAAAUAUUUUAAAAUAUAUAUACUUUUUUAUAACUCAAAUAAUUAUUUCUUGAAAUAACAUUUUUACUUGUUAUGUUAAUAACACCAAUUAAUAAAUUUUUUUAGCGAUUAAAACUAAUUUGAGAUUAAUAAAAUAAAAAAAAAUUUAAAUUUAAAAUAUAAUUAAAAUUAAAAAAACUAUAAAAUAUAAAAUAUAAAAAUAAAAAUAAAAUAAUAAUUUUCAUUAGUUAAACACAUGUUGGUAGAAAAUAUAGAUAUCCAAAAAGAGUUGGAAAUACAAUGAUUAUCAAUAUUUAUUUUUAAAAUUUUAAAUUUUUUUUAAUUGUAUUUUUUAUUUUAUGGUUGAUUUUAACUAACAAAUUUUUUAUUCAAUUUUAUUGAAAAAUAAGAAGAUGGGCUUUAUAUAAUAUAGAAUAUAAAAUUAUUAUUAAUUAAAGGAUAAAAAAAGAUUUUAUUUAUCACUUGAAGAUUUGAAUAAUUUUUUCACAAUGAUUUGCAUCUUAUAAUAAAAAAUUUAUAAUAUAUUUAUAUACUUUUAUCAAAUUAAAUUGAUCAAUUAAUUUUGGAUUAUUUAUUCAAUAUUAUCAAGUAAAAUGGUAUUUAGAAAAUAAUUAUUUGAGUUAUAAAAAAGUAGAUGUAUUUUAAAAGAUUUUUAAAUUGAUGAAGAUAAAAUUGAUUUAUAAAAAUUAAUUAAAGUUUUUUUUAAAUAGUGAAUAAAACCCCCUUUUUUAAAAAAAAAACUUUAUAAUGUAUCCAUGGCAUUUUAUAACAUAAGAAAAUUAAUUUUUUGUGAAAGAGGAAAAAAAAUCAACUUUUCAAUUUCCAAUAAUAAUAAUUAUUAUUAUUAUCCAAUUUGGCUGAUUCUGUAAUUAGUUGGCAUCAUUACUAUUCUGUAAUUAGUUAGAAUAGUAUUAGGAGUUGAAGGUCAGUUGGAAUACAGGCUUAUGGAAACAAAUCUAUCCCAUUAGUUGGUUCUUAUUAUUUUUAUUAUUUUCAAUAUAGGAGAUGGGCAGCCGCUUCCUUUUGUCUGGGGGCCAUCCUCCCAACUUAUUAAAGGUGAUAUGAGAUUAAGAUUUUAACAAAAUUGUAUCUUGACUUCUCGAACCAUCGUUACUUGGCUCUCCACAACCACACCCAGUGCUGACACGUGACUAACAAACCUUCGCUCAUCUACCAAACCCAUGGCCUCAUGCCUUAUAUAUUUCCACAAACCUAGCUCAAUUUUCAUAGCCACCUUCACUAUCCUAUACUCACUAAGCCAUGCCCAUAGAUACAAGCCUCUUGCUUGAGUUUGCUGCAGCAACUCUACUCUUCUUCAUCACCCGCUUCUUCAUUCGUUCUCUCCUUCCCAAACCUUCCCGGAAGCUCCCCCCUGGCCCCAGAGGGUGGCCGCUCCUCGACGCUCUUCCUCUUCUAGGUAACUGAUUCGUCCCUAGCAGCGGAAGUGGCAAUGGCACCAUCUGAUUCGGGGUUCGAUCCCCGGCAACGGCGCCAUUUGACUCAUGCCCAAUUGGUGUCUCAGCUGAUUUAUGUUCAGCUGGUGCUCCUUGAUUGAGGAAGUGAUCAACAAAAUUUAUACCUAUAACACCAUACACUAGGGUAGCAAAUACAAAGCUACUAUAGUAUAGUGGCUCUAGGAUCGUUCACUGGGAAUGAUUUGCAAGCAAUCAAUGAUACCAAUUCCAAGUGAAUUGGUCUUGUUUCAUUUCACAGUUAGCUUAAGGAAUAAAACACAAACUUUGAUUUGUAAAGGUUGAGAUUUAAACUAACUAACUUAACAGAAGUUUGGAAUAAUUUAGGAAGAAAAGCAUUCCUUGGAGAUUUAGGUUCACUGGGGUGGUUCCUCAUGCAAAAGACAUAGCUCCGGUCAGAUGGUUCAUUUCCUCGCAUUAGAGAUUCAACCUAUAGUCAAUUCUCUAACCGGUGAUGUACAGAGACUCCUUCAAUUAGAUUUCACUUUAAUUCUCUCACUGAUACAACUUGCAAUGGUUCAUGCCUCUCACGAGCACUUACCAUUCAAGGUGAUCUUUAACCUUGGAUUCCCCUUCACAAACUCGCAAGAGAUAACUAAUGGAUGUCUCCUAGGAGUCCAAAAGCUUACCAAGUGUUGGUAAUUCCAGAAAAUCCUACCUUGAAGUCACCUACCAGAGGCUCGCAAGGGGUAAACUAGUGCAUUUCCACGGUUGGAAAUCACUUGCCUUACCAAGUGUUGGCCCAGGUGACUCUAAGGUGUUUUAAGUUAACUAAAAACAUUGAAAUCACUAAAGGAUUUCACUUCCUCUUCAUUACUAGCUAAAACCACAGAGCUUUGCAUUCUUGCACUUGGAACCUUCCCCGGCAACCUUAGCUCCAAGGAAUUGGAGGUUUAGUUACUCAUUCUCUGGGGAAAACUCCUCAGAGAAUUCAUAACUUAGAAAUAAAAUGAAAAUACAAAGUGAGAAGGUAAGGCAGUAGAAAGACAAGACUUUACUUGCUUACCAAACGUUUUCAGAAGGAACUCUUCCCUUAGAGAACAGGCUCCCGAGAGGUAUAUAUAUCAACAAAAUAUAAAACUAAUUGUUACAAAGAUAUUUGGUCUUUUUACUAACUUAAAAACUAAGGAAUCAUGUAAUUGGUGGUUUACAAGGAGUAUUUUGGGAUUUAGACAACAAAAAUCUAAUGGAAAAUAUCUCCCAAUGUCGGUAGCAAGCUUCGGGAGGCUUCAGGAGCCAUUUCGCAGGUGAAAAAUGAGGCCUGCGAAAUUUCGCAGACACCCAAGAGGGCUGCGAAAUUAUCUUGCAAGACCGAGCUAUCUUCACUAGGCUGCAAAGUUGGCUUCCAUCUUGAGGUUUCCAGCUCCCUUCUCGCGGCAUGGUUCGUGCAUCGUUAGAAGGAGAAAUACCUUACUGUACAAAAGUGCUGCGAAAUUCUCGCAACACAUGGCUGAUUCCGCAACACUUUAGAGUGUCUGGCUUGUAAUGGCUGCAACUUCUUCGUUUCAAUUCCGAAUCGCACACCGUUUGAAGCAUUGGAGUGUUGACUUCCUGAGCUUUGAAAUGGUAUAUAGCUUGCAUCAUUUGGACUUCAGAAAGUGCUCCAAAAGUGGCUGCUACGACUGUCAUCAAGAAUAUGCUCCAUGACUGAUCCUCUUUGCUUUUUCUCCUUGCAAUCCGGAUUCACUCUUGGCAAUUGAAUUCUAAGCUUUGCCCAAGAUUCCUCAUAGCUCUCCUCAUUCUUGACUUGCUUUGGUGAUCAAAAUACUAUCAAAAACACCAAAACUUACACAAAGUGAUCAAAAUUGCUUUAAAGGAUCCUUAACAUGCCAAUUGAGUUAAAAGGCCUAAACUACUACUCAAAAGUGUUAAAAAGGAUUAAUUAAAAGCUAUCAAAUAACACUUUUUGAGUAGUAAUCACUCCCCCCAACCGACAUAUUGCUAGUCCCUUAGCAAUAUAGGAGAGAAAAAUAAAAAUAAAUAGCAAACUAAUCUAAAAUUUACAACAUCAUGCUAAAGGAAAAUAAUUCUUAAGUGGCAUGAUGAUUUACUUCUCACAUGAAUCAUUAAAGAAAUACAAACCCAAAUCUCAACAAGAGUCAUAACACCUGUGCUAAACACUGUCAAUCAAGGGAGUGCAUUAUGCAAACUGAAGUUUUAAAAUCAUUUCACUUUCUAAGAACUAAACUUCAAUCUUCCACAAAAAUCUAUGUGUAUUGGUUCCUUAGAUUCCGAGAAUAAUAUGCUAAACUAGUCUCACCCCCCAACCUAUCUCUUUUCAACACUUUAGCAAACUGACCAAAAUCAAUAAGAAAAGAACACACUUUCAUCUUUUUUUUUUUUUUUUUUUUUUUUUUUUUUUUUUUUUUUUUUUUUUUUUUUUUCGGGGGACCUUUUGGGGGUACCCUUUCUGACUUGCCCAUGGAAGGGGGGCCCCCCGAUGACCCCCCACCAAUUAAGGUUUAGGGCCCCCCGUUUUAAGGAUUUUUCAACCCCAAACCCCCCGGAUUUUUCCCCAAAUUUUUAAAAAGGAAUUUUUAAACCCCAAGCAUCCACCAAAUGCUAUUUUUUCCUUUUCCCCCUUGGAACGGGGUUUGGGGGCGGGGACCCCCCACCAAUUAAGGGUUAGGGCCCCGGGCUUUAAGGGGUUUCCCCAAAAACCCCCCAAACCUUGCUCGGGUUNNNNNNNNNNNNNNNNNNNNNNNNNNNNNNNNNNNNNNNNNNNNNNNNNNNNNNNNNNNNNNNNNNNNNNNNNNNNNNNNNNNNNNNNNNNNNNNNNNNNUUUCAACCACUAACUCCUCGGAUUUUUCCCCAAACUUUUAAGAAUGAAUUUCUAAUACCCAAGCAUCUACCAUAUGCUAACUUUACCUAUUCACCCUUGUAACGAGCAUUGAGGUCGGUGACUCCCAACCAAUUAAGGCUUAGGGCACCAGGCUUUAAAGGCUUUCACCAUAUACCCCUCAGACCUUGCUCGGGUUUCAAGGCAAGCAAACAACUUUCUUUAUUUCAAAGGCUCAUUGGCCUUUUGCAGGGUGUUCCAAUUUUUAUCAAAUGAGGUCAAAUAUACCAAGUCUCAAAAUUAUCCUAAGUCAAGAGGGAAAUAGCUUUUCAUCUUAUAAUCGGAAACUAAUGUGCACAGUGUGUGGAUAGCUUAAAGUGGAAGAACUAACUUCAAUUACAGUAGAAGUUUCAACAAUUGAACCACUUUAGUAAGCAUAAUCCAUACUCUAAGUCAAGUGAAAAACAACAGUUCAAUUUCUCUUGGUUUAAUUUGAAAAUUUUUCCUCAAAAUUCAUGGAGAAUAGAGUAACAAGAGUAAAAAGUAAAAACUACAACUAAUUAACCAAUAUAAUUGCAAUACCAAAAAGGUUUAGACUACUUCCUUCCUCAUACCCCCCAACCGAACUGAGCAUUGUCCUUAAUGUGAUUUGAGUGACUGUAAUAAAAGGGAGGAAGUGGUACCUCCAUGCUGAUAUCAAAUUCGAAUAUUGAUUGGGGAAAACCACAUGUUUCAAAAAGAAUAGAAUAUGUGAGAAAAGGAAAUAAUAAUAACUUAAUGCUAACUUUUAACAAGAAAAAUUCAACUUGUAUUACUUUGAGUUCAUUUGAUUACAAUGCUAAAGACAAGUAACACAAGGAAUCCCAUAUAUAGUACCAAAAUACUGGGAUUUCUUUUCAACUAAAACAAAACAAGCAUAAAAACAUAAAUAGCAAAUAUAUAUAAUGUCUGAUGAGUGGGGUGAUGGUGCUAAGCAGAAGGAUCUGCCUCCUCUGUAGGUGGAUCAGCUGGGGCUUCUGGCUCUGGAGGAAGAGACUCUGAAGGCUGAGAGUGUGGCUCUGGUGGAGUAGCAGUGGAGGGCUCUACAGCUUGUGGUAGAUCGAAAUGGACUUGAAGCUGCCUUAGGAUGGCAGCUUGUUGAGCCUGAGAGGCUAACAUCUGCUCCUGGCAUGCUUUGAUGGCUGCCAACUCUUGAGCAAAAUUGCUCUGGGACGCUGUAAGAGUCUCCAAUGCUCGGCACAGCUCUCGAUAUUCGGAUAUAGGGAUGGCCAUCCUCGGCUCAGCUGAUGUGGAUGGCUGUGAUGCAGCAGGUGCAGCUGGUGAAGCUCGAGGGAUGGCAGGAGUAGCAAGUGUUAUACCUUCAGGUGCAUGUCUUGGGGAGGCUCUCCUUGCUGCUGGCUGAGGCUGCCCAGGAUGAUCAAUUUUGUAGGCCAUCAUAUUAUUCCAUUUAUCAAGGGUAAAUGGCUCACGACAUAUUCUCUUUCUUUCCUGCUGAGGCUCAGAGGGGUAUCCAAGAUGCUCCAAAACUUGGCAUAGCAGCCGUGGGAAGAGGAGGGGAAUGCAAUCUGCUCUUUAAAGCUUCUUCUUGUGAACCUUCUCCUCAAAGUAGAGAAGGGCUGCCAUGAUCAGAUGAUGAGGCCCAAAGAAGAAUCCUUCUGACAUCUUGUACAAGGCUUCCAGGAGAAUUCCCCUUCUUUGGGUCCAAUGCUGCAGGGGAUAGAUAUUAUGCCUCAAAAAGGCAUCAAUCAAAAACAUCACUAGAGGUAGCUCCCCCCUCAGCAAAUGUGAUCGAUUUGCAGCUCCUCUGGUUAGUGUGCGAACCAUCUCUAACUCAGUAGGAUUUACCCAAGCUUUAAAAUUGUCGAAUUGGGUUGGCUCAAAAGGAAUUUGCAGGGCUUCAGCAAUAUGUCUUGCUCCCAAAAUACCAUGUCUUCCAUCAAUUAUAAAAUGAAUCAAGGUUGGAUUUCUUACUUCUUUGGUUGUCAUGGUCUGGUAGAAGUCCGUGACUACCCGGGGAUAGAAAAAAUCCCUUGGAGCUAGCAGAUACUCCAUAUGAUAUCUCCUCAGCAGCUGGAAGGAUUGGGCAAGCUCUGGCCUCACUCUGAAUGCUGUUAAAUCGAAGCAAAGCUCAGAAUGGAAUGCCCGUGUUCGACAAUCCAAGUUUCCUUCGAUUGGGGGCUGGGGCAGCAUUGGCCUUCGGAUCACUUCUUCCAGAGGUGCUUCAGCUGCAAUUUGGGGCUCUGGAAUUGGCGCUUGAGGCUCCUGAGCUUUUUCUUGGGGUGCCGGAGAUGGUACCGGCGAUGGAAUUGGAGUUGCUUCAGGUGAGGGAAUUGGCGAGGGAACCGGUGACGGCACUGGAGUUUGAACCAGUGAAGGAUUUGGGGACUGCUCAGGGGAUUGCUCAGUCAAAUCAAUUGGUUCAGAGCUCUCAACCCUGGUUUUCUUCUUCAAUGGCUGACCGCCUGACCUUGUUAAAUAUCGCCUUGCCGGCGGCUUUGGUGGCGCCGGCUUCACUGGAGAAGGAUUUGGUCUCGACGGCGAAGGCUUUGGAGCAGGUUCUGGAACAGAACCUGGACUUGGCUCCUUUCGCAGACUCCUUUUGCGAUUCGAAGGGGAUGAAGACUUUGCCCCUUGUGUUCGUGCCAUUUUGGAAUACCGAAACUUUAGCCGGUGCUGCUGAACGGAGAAGACGACCGGAGGUUCGGACGGCGUGGCUUGGCGAAGAAGAUGAAGGGGCUGCGAGAAUGGUGCUCUGAUUUUUGAAACCCUUUUUGCAGCACUUUUGACCGGUAUAAAUAGGAAAAACGGAAGCCCAGGGGUCAGUUUAAGUUUCGCAACAAAACGCCAAUUUUGCAGCAACUUGCCAUUUUCGCAGCAACUUCGCAGUGAGUUUCGCAGCUGCGAAAUUGAUGUCACUGUGCUGCGGAGUGGCACUCGUGUGCCAAAACCACUUUCGCAAUUGCGAAAUGCCCUGCGGAAUGAGACUUUUGGUGCGAAAUCACGCUUUUCCAUUUCGCAAUGAGUUUCGCAGCUGCGAAAUGGGUUCUACUGUACUGCGAAGUGGCACUCGUGUGCCAAAUUCACUUUCGCAGCUGCAAAAUACACUCGCAGAGGCUUCUACAGUGCUGCGGAAUGGUUUGGCAGCAAAAUGCUCAGUUCGCAGAAGUUUCCUUCUCUCUGCGAAAUUUCGCAGAGCUCUGUUUUUCCCCUGUUUCUGCUCUGUUUCGGCUCCAAUUUCGACCCGAUUUUUUUUCUUUUCAAUCCCCUUGAAAUUUCUUCCACCUGGGAUCAUUUUAAACAAUUAAAACACACUUAAAAACAUGAUUUAAGAUCAAAAACUAAGAUCAAAAGUAUGGAAACAACUUAAAAAUUUUACAAAAUUUACAAAAAUUUUGGACUGUGGUUAAGACCACGUCCAGCAAACCCUUUUCACUUAGGCUUUUUGAGGUUCAAGGAGGUUGAUUGCCUCCUUUUCUGAUUUGAAUGACUCCAUGAACGGCUUAAGACGAUAUCCAUUGACUCUAAAGCUAUCCUUGCCAUUGGAAUUCAAUAAGUCCACCACUCCAUUGGAAUAUACUCGGUGAAUAACAAAUGGACCAAUCCACCUUGACUUGAGCUUCCCAGGAAAGAUAUGGAGUCUUGUGUCAUACAUCAAAACUUUUUGCCCUUCCUGAUUCAGUUUGCCCGGAUCCCAUUUGAAGCUUGCAUCCUUCACUUGAGACUUGGUUUGAGAUGAAGAUAUUACGACAGGACAUUGAUUAUUUUCUUCAAGAUAUGUAUAUUUCAGCUCCACAGGUAAAGGCUUCAGAUUGAAUUUUGGAAUUUCUUUUUCAGCGGCUGCCUCCUCUUCUUCAUUGAACAAAGGUAGAAUUUCUUCUAUCUUUCUCCAACUUUGUAGAGUAGCAAGCCCAAUAGGCGAUUCAGAAAAACCUUCCUCAAUAUCCUCAAGAUUUUCAUUCAACUUAUCUUGCAUAUGUUGAUUACAGUGCUCCUCCACCAAAGUAUCAAUUACACAUAACUCUUCUGGACCUUCUUCUUCUUCCGGAGUGAUUUGAUUUUUAGACAUAUAGAAAAUAUUUAGAUCCAGUGUCAUAUUACCAAAAGUGAGUUGCAUAAGCCCAUUUCUACAGUUGAUGAUUGCAUUUGAAGUUGCAAGAAAUGACCUUCCAAGGAUGAUAGGAACUAAAUUAGCUUCCUUUACAGUAGGAUCAGUAUCAAGAACAACAAAAUCUACAGGAUAGUAGAAAUUAUCUACUUGAACCAAUACAUCCUCAAUUACUCCUCUUGGAAUUUUCACUGAUCUAUCUGCCAAAGAUAAAGUGAUUGCUGUUGGCUUCAACUCUCCAAGUCCUAGUUGCUUGUAGACAGAGUAUGGAAGCAAAUUCACACUUGCUCCCAAGUCUAGCAAGGCUUUCUCCACUACCUUUCCUCCAAUCAUGACUGAAAUGGUAGGACUUCCAGGGUCUUUGUACUUCGAAGGAGACUUACACUGUAAGAUUGCACUUACUUGCUCAGUCAAGAAGGCUUUCUUGUUUACAGUCAACCCUCUUUUGAUCGUACACAAGUCCUUUAGGAAUUUUGCAUACGUUGGAACUUGUUUGAUCAUAUCCAGCAGUGGAAUAUUAACUUUCACUUGCCUCAAUACUUCUAGGAUUUCAGCUGCAUUUCUAACCCCCUUUUUCCCAUGUAAUGCUUGAGGAAAAGGUGGAAAAGUUGAUUUCUUCAGCAUUUUUUCCUUCAGAAGCUCUUUCUCUGGAAUUGCUUUCAUUGUUGAAUCAGAGUCCUUCUUCUCUUCGCUGAUCUCACUCUCUUUAUCUUCCAUUUCCUUCCCUUUCUUCAUCUCUUCUUCUUUUUCAACAUGUGGCUUGGGUGUUGGCUGCUCAAUUUUUUUACCACUCCUUAGAGUGAUCAAAGCUUUCACAUCUUUCACCUGUGAUGAUUCUCCCUCAUGGAUUUCCACUUCAUGGACACCUUUGGGAUUUUGGUUAGGUUGAGAAGGAAAUCUUCCUUUUUCUUGCAGUGUAUUCAAAUUUGUAAGCCUGGAAAUUGAAUAUUGGAUGUUAUCAAACUUUUGGUUCAUUUCAUUUUGCAUUCCAUCCAUUCUUUUGUUCAACACACUCUCCAUUCUAUCCAUUCUUUGAUCAACUCGAGCAUUGGUGGCUUCUUGCUUUCCCACAAAAUCUCCCACUACCUUGCUGAGAUUGGCUAUUAUUUGUUCAAUACUUGAAGAUUGCUGAGAUGGUGGAUCCGGCUGUUGGUAUUGAGUUGCUCUGGCCUUCCAUGAGAAAUUUGGAUGAUUCCUCCAACUUGAAUUGUAGGUAUUUCCAUAUGGAGCAUUGUUAUUGGGCCUGAAUUGUCUAACAACAUUUGCUUGAUCUCUAUACAUUUCCCUUUCAACUGAAAUUGCAGGGCACUCCUCUACCAAAUGUUCAAAUGAUUGACAAUUGGGACACAACUUCACUUGCACUGGUGCUUCAGCAACAGCUUGCACUUCAUGCAUUCUUUUCAGCUCCAGCUCCUCCAAUCUUCUUGUCAUAGCUGCCAACUUUGCUUUCAUGUCAUCAUCUUCUUUCAAAUUAUACAUCCCAGCCUUUGCAUUGUAAGCAUUCAACUGAGACUUCAUCUUUCCCACUUCUCCUUUGGUUGGUUCAUCCCAUCCCCUUGAAACAUCAGCUACAUAGUUCAAGAAAUCCAUAGCUUCCUCUGGAUUUUUGCUCAUGAAAUCUCCUCCACACAUUGUCUCGAGGAGUUGCUUCAUUGAGGAUGACAUACCAUCAUAGAAAUAGCUCACCAAUAGCCAUGUAUCAAAGCCAUGGUGAGGACAAGCAUUUAUAGCUUCCAUGUAUCUUUCCCAACACUCAUAGAAUUUCUCAUUCUCUUUAGCUGAGAAGUUUGAAAUUUGCCUUUUCAAGCCAUUUGUUCUAUGAGUAGGAAAAAAUUUCUUAAGGAAUUCAGCUUGUAAAUCAGUCCAAGAGCGGAUACUCCUUGGCCUUAAAGAAUUAAGCCAAAUUUUGGCCUUAUCCUUUAAAGUAAAAGGAAAUAACUUAAGCCUCAUCAAGUCAAUUGAAGCUCCUCCCUCUUGGAAUGUAUUACAAACAUCUUCAAAUUCCUUGAUGUGUGCAUACGGAUUCUCACUUUCCAUCCCAUGGAAAGUUGGUAGAAGUGGAACAAGAUACGGUCUGAUCACUAGCUGCUCUGUAGGGGCACUAUACAUGAUGGUGCACUCAUACGANNNNNNNNNNNNNNNNNNNNNNNNNNNNNNNNNNNNNNNNNNNNNNNNNNNNNNNNNNNNNNNNNNNNNNNNNNNNNNNNNNNNNNNNNNNNNNNNNNNNUAUAGUCAAUUCUUUAACCGGUGAUGUACAGAGACUCCUUCAAUUAGAUUUCACUUUAAUUCUCUCACUGAUACAACUUGCAAUGGUUCAUGCCUCUCACGAGCACUUACCAUUCAAGGUGAUCUUUAACCUUGGAUUCCCCUUCACAAACUCGCAAGAGAUAACUAAUGGAUGUCUCCUAGGAGUCCAAAAGCUUACCAAGUGUUGGUAAUUCCAGAAAAUCCUACCUUGAAGUCACCUACCAGAGGCUCGCAAGGGGUAAACUAGUGCAUUUCCACGGUUGGAAAUCACUUGCCUUACCAAGUGUUGGCCCAGGUGACUCUAAGGUGUUUUAAGUUAACUAAAAACAUUGAAAUCACUAAAGGAUUUCACUUCCUCUUCAUUACUAGCUAAAACCACAGAGCUUUGCAUUCUUGCACUUGGAACCUUCCCCGGCAACCUUAGCUCCAAGGAAUUGGAGGUUUAGUUACUCAUUCUCUGGGGAAAACUCCUCAGAGAAUUCAUAACUUAGAAAUAAAAUGAAAAUACAAAGUGAGAAGGUAAGGCAGUAGAAAGACAAGACUUUACUUGCUUACCAAACGUUUUCAGAAGGAACUCUUCCCUUAGAGAACAGGCUCCCGAGAGGUAUAUAUAUCAACAAAAUAUAAAACUAAUUGUUACAAAGAUAUUUGGUCUUUUUACUAACUUAAAAACUAAGGAAUCAUGUAAUUGGUGGUUUACAAGGAGUAUUUUGGGAUUUAGACAACAAAAAUCUAAUGGAAAAUAUCUCCCAAUGUCGGUAGCAAGCUUCGGGAGGCUUCAGGAGCCAUUUCGCAGGUGAAAAAUGAGGCCUGCGAAAUUUCGCAGACACCCAAGAGGGCUGCGAAAUUAUCUUGCAAGACCGAGCUAUCUUCACUAGGCUGCAAAGUUGGCUUCCAUCUUGAGGUUUCCAGCUCCCUUCUCGCGGCAUGGUUCGUGCAUCGUUAGAAGGAGAAACACCUUACUGUACAAAAGUGCUGCGAAAUUCUCGUAACACAUGGCUGAUUCCGCAACACUUUAGAGUGUCUGGCUUGUAAUGGCUGCAACUUCUUCGUUUCAAUUCCGAAUCGCACACCGUUUGAAGCAUUGGAGUGUUGACUUCCUGAGCUUUGAAAUGGUAUAUAGCUUGCAUCAUUUGGACUUCAGAAAGUACUCCAAAAGUGGCUGCUACGACUGUCAUCAAGAAUAUGCUCCAUGACUGAUCCUCUUUGCUUUUUCUCCUUGCAAUCCGGAUUCACUCUUGGCAAUUGAAUUCUAAGCUUUGCCCAAGAUUCCUCAUAGCUCUCCUCAUUCUUGACUUGCUUUGGCGAUCAAAAUACUAUCAAAAACACCAAAACUUGCACAAAGUGAUCAAAAUUGCUUUAAAGGAUCCUUAACAUGCCAAUUGAGUUAAAAGGCCUAAACUACUACUCAAAAGUGUUAAAAAGGAUUAAUUAAAAGCUAUCAAAUAGCACUUUUUGAGUCAAAUGAGUUCAAGGACAUGGUGGUGGAGCUCAUGACCACUGCUGGGUACUUCAAUAUUGGCGACUUUAUUCCGUCCAUCGCAUGGCUGGACAUCCAAGGGAUCCAGCGCGGGAUGAAGCAUUUACAUAGGAAGUUCGACCGGUUAUUAACAAAGAUGAUGGAGGAGCACACGGCGUCAGCCCAUGAGCGAAAGGGAAACCCAGAUUUUCUGGACGUAAUCAUGGCAAACCAAGAAAAUUCUACAGGGGAGAAGCUCACUAUUACCAACAUUAAAGCACUCCUCCUGGUAUGCAUAGUUAAAGCUCGUCUUCAAUUUUGUUUUCCGAUAUUUUCUUUCCGGAAACAGCACUUUUAUUGCUUUUAGAUAUGUACGUUUUUAUCAGGUAGCCAUUUUAGGGGCACAUCACUAUUCUUUAUUUUUGGACUAUUUUUUUCUUUUUCCACUUGCAUGGUUGUUUUCAUAUGCUCAGCUGCAUGGCACAAGAAAAUUGUGAAAAAUGAUUGGUUCUCUGAUCAGACCUUCUGCACCAAAACACGCUUUUCUCUAUGUUAUAAAAUCGGUUUACAUGAUUUUUCAACCAGCUUCCUUGAACUUGAACUUUUGCUAGGGCUAAUGCAAAAAAUGAUUGAUCUCAAUUUUCAAUAGCGUUUGAUUACAUAAAUUUCAAGUAUGUGAACAUAUUUUUGUUUCCUUGGCUAGAAUUUAUUUACUGCAGGAACAGACACUUCAUCGAGCGUAAUCGAGUGGUCUCUGGCUGAGAUGUUGAAAAACCCGAGCAUCCUCAAGCGUGCUCACGAAGAAAUGGAUCAAGUGAUUGGAAGGAGCCGGCGGCUCGUGGAGUCUGACUUGCCAAAACUUCCAUACCUACAAGCCAUAUGCAAGGAAAGCUUCCGGAAGCACCCAUCCACCCCGUUGAACCUUCCUCGUGUCUCAACCCAAGCAUGUGAAGUGAACGGCUACUACAUCCCAGAGAACACUAGACUUAGCGUGAACAUAUGGGCAAUUGGGCGAGACCCUAAUGUCUGGGAAAGCCCGGAAGAAUUCAGGCCAGAAAGGUUUUUAAGUGGAAGAAAUGAAAAAAUUGACCCUCGUGGAAAUGAUUUUGAGUUGAUCCCGUUUGGGGCUGGACGAAGGAUUUGCGCUGGCACUAGAAUGGGAAUAGUGCUGGUUGAGUACAUUUUAGGGACGUUGGUACAUUCAUUUGACUGGAAAAUGCCGGAUGGAGUUGAGAUCAACAUGGACGAAGCUUUCGGGCUUGCACUGCAGAAGGCAGUUUCUCUUUCGGCCAUGGUGACACCAAGGCUUCACCAGAGUGCGUAUGCAGUCUGAGCUCAAACCGCUCAGACCAAAACCCAGGCCUCGCUGCUAUAUGGCAUGGAUGCAGUUAAGUAGAAAAUAUUUUGGGAUGCCUGUGGCUUAGUAUAAGAUGUAUUAGCUCAAAGAUGGUCGUUUCAUUCUACCACCAAGCCAUAUGCAUCUAUGCAUAAUCUAUUGAUUUAGGCUCGAUUUGGUUAUAGUUUUUGUUUUUUUGUCUUCCAAAUCAGUAAAUAGUAGGGGUAUUUUUGUCCUAUGUAGUGAUUCUUUUUGUUUGAUUGAUUAUAUUUGGAUCCUUCAAAAAUAUAUGGUCAGAGCCAUCUCCAUCUUUUCACUUCUUGUGCUGCAGAAUGGGAUUGGCUUAGAUCGUUAGUCUAAUGUUAACCCCCUUCAAAUCUAAUUAUUCAUACCCAAUUUUGACACGAAAGAGCCAUUGUCAUGAAAGGGGGACCAGGGACCUCAGCACCCUUGGUUCAUCAUUUUGGUACGAUGCCAACUCUACCACAUAACCACCAUUUAGAUAUCUAUCCUUUUAUUUUUGGCAUGUGAACUUAUAGUGGGUGGCUGACCUUGAAUCCAGUAGUUAUCAUGAUAUAUAUGGCUGUGUUGAAACUAACCACCAUUUAGAUAUCUAUCCUUUUAUUUUUGGCAUGUGAACUUAUAGUAAGUCCGAUUUAUGUCCAAGGGUCAAAUUUAAAUCUCUCUUCAAUCUAAUGGCUAAGAACUUCCCAACUUUAUUUAAUACUUAAUGUAUCCAAUAAUUGUAAUCGAGUAAUCCAAUGACAAGUACCUUCAAUGAUUAUUUUGGCAAAAGAAAUAAUAUAAGUUUGUUAUUUUAUGAUAUAAUAAAUUUAUUAAUACUUUCCUUUUUCAAAAUAUGUAAUUAGUUGUAAUUUCAUUAUAUAAUAUAUAAAUUAAGUUAUUUGCAAUUUUAAAAUAUGCUCAUUUUGUAUUUUUUUAAGUGUUAUUUAAAAAUUACACAAUUUUGUUUUAUAAAAAGUAUUUAGUACUUUUAAUUUUAUAAUUUACAAACAUUAAUUUAUACUAUUUUCUUAAAAUAUUUAGUUUAGUAUGCAUAUUAUUAGUUGUUUUCUCAGAUCUCAAGUUCCAAUCAAAAAAAUAUUUAUGAUUUGUUUUUGUUAAUUUGUGUCUUGUUUUCAAUUUAAUUAAUGAAAUUUUAUUUGAUCAAAAAGUUCAUUAUAAACCAAUUUUAAAAAUCUAAUCCUUUAUUAUAUUUUGAUAUGGUUUUGAUAAAAAUGUCUUUAUUAUUAUUAUUUUUUAUAAAAAUAAUUAUUAUUUUUGAAAUAUAUUGUAAAUAUUUAAAAUAAUUAAAAAUAUUUAGAUCAAAAAUCGAUUAUUUUUCAAACAAAAAUAUGAAAGUGAUAAAUUUGCAAAUAUGGGGAAUAUUUAAUCCUUUUAAUCGAUUAUUUCAUUACUGAAGUGGGUAUAAUGAUGAACGCAGACUUGGUUUUGCUAGGGCAUGCAGAGGUUUUGCAAGAGAGAGAGAUCAUUUCUCGACUCUGAGAAAUCAAUCUCCUUUUGGCCCGGUGGUGGACUCCAAGUAAAGCCUUGAAGGAGCCUUGCUAACAUCCCUGCACACCCACGCCUUCCAGUACUGAAGGAAAUGAAGCGAAGGGUUGGCUCGUUCAACUCCACUGCUUGAACUGUACUAGCAUUCUGAUGCCGCUCUGGAUUGAAAUUUAGCGGUUCUUCCCAGAUUCUAGGGUUCCGGCCCAGCCCCAGACGGCUCAGAAGGACAUGACUGCCUUUGGGGAUAAAGUACCUAGCAACACUAGUCGGAUUCCUGAACUCGUCUAUCCUUUCCAACCACUCCAUCAAUUUCUUCACUGCUUUGCUCAAAAUCCCUGGUUGCUUGAUCAUUGCCUACCCAAUUGCAUUUGAUGGACUAUCGACGCCUGCAAGCAUCAACUCCUGCAAAUUAUGGAAGGAUCAUAAUCUGAUGAUUGAUCAAGUUAUUUGCUGGCUAGGAAAUGAUCAUCAUGCAAUGUAGAUCAAAAGGUAAGCACAACGCUACUACAAAAAUAAUUUAUGGUGUCAUUUUUUAAAUAAUGACACCAUAGGGUUUAUAAUUAAUAAAGGUGAUACAUCGUAUAAAAUUUUUUCAAUUGAGGUAGUUAGAUUAUGUUAGUUUUAUAUUUAUAGUGUCAUUUUUUGGGAAGUAACAUCAUAUAAAAUAAAUUUUUUUAAGUAUUAUAACUUAAUGAGCCCACUUGAGCCCACUUUUAUAAUUAAUAAUGGGGGAUAAUGUAUAAAAAGCCCAUUGUUUCCACAUGCCACCCACAAUCCAAAAAAUCUCAGCAUACAAACCUUAUAUAUAAAACCAUAAUCUUCUUCUACCUUUUCUCUUACCUAUAGUCAACACACUUACAACCAACAUUUUCUACUUUGUGGACUCCUGGGUAAUCCAAAUUCUCUUAGAUCUAUCAUAUUUUUUUUUUCCUUUUAUUAAUAUAAUUAUAUUGAUUGUUUCAGCAUCUUUGUAUUAUGGUUUUUGUAAACUGCGUUUUCUUGAGUUGUAGGGAAGAAAAACUUAGGUUUAAACUUCUAGCAUAGACGAAGAAACUUGUAGAUUAAUUGAUUUUUUAAUAUGAACCAAACACAUGACUGACUUCUUAAAAACAAGAAAAAAUGAAUGAUUUUUAAUAUGUAUUUAUGUGAGAAUGACAGGUACAAAAUUUUGUUGAGAUAUACUGCCACAUAAUCUUCAUCCCUUCCCUAAAACAAGAGAGAGAGAAAAAAAAAAAGGAAUGAUUUUUUUUGUGUGUAUCUAAGUGGGAAUGAGAUAUAUAGAAUUUCGUUGAGAUGCCACAUGAUCUUUAUCCUCCAUUAAACCCAACAUAUUAAAUCCACUAACUCUCCCCAAAAACGAGUAAAAAAAAAGGGAAAAAAGUAUGAGUUAAAAAACAAAAACGGAAAAUAUGAUUUUUUUUUUUUUUUAAUGUGUUUCUAAGGAAAAUGAGAGACAAAUUUUUGUUAAGAUGCAUUGCCACGUGUUCUUCAUCCUCUCCAUUAAGCCUAACAUAUUAAACCUAAUAGCUCUCUCUUUUAACUUUCCAGUGAAGUGCCUACAGUAUCCAACUCAAAAUAAGACAACUUAAGCCCCAUUAGCCAACAACCCAUAUUUUGUGUACAUCUUGAUGAGAUUAUUUUGUGAGAAAAUGUCAUGAAACAAUCCCAAUUUGAUAAUCUAGGCAUGUAUUUGAGUUAAAAAUAAAUUUCUAUUCUAUAGAUCAAAUAAUAAAAUCAUGUUUGAAAAUUAUUUUUAAAAACUUAUUUAGAGCAAAAAUAGUUUUCUAACAUAAAAAUAAUUUUUUAACUGAGAAAAUAUAUUUGAAAUUAUUUGAUAGAAAAUUGGGCAUGUAUUUGACUUAAAAACAAAUUUCUAUUCUAUAGCUCAAAUAAUAAAAUCAUGUUUGAAAAUUAUUCUUAAAAGCUUAUUUAGAGCAAAAAUGGUUUUCUAACAUUAAAAUAAUUUUUUAAUUUAGAAAAUAUAUUUGGAAACAUUUGAUAGAAAACUGGGCAUGUAUUUGACUUAAAAAUAAAUUAUUAUUCUAUAGAUCAAAGGAUAAAAUCAUGUUUGAAAAAUAUUCUUAAAAACUUAUUUAGAGUAAAAACAGUUUUCUAACAUAAAAAUAAAUUUUUAACUUAGAAAAUAUAUUUGAAAACAUUUGAUAGAAAACUUUUUUUUUUUUAAUGUCAAUAAGUUGUCUUUUGUUAAUUUAAUUGUAAUCAAUUUGCUUAUACGCAUUUAAAAGUAUAUAUUAUCAUAUUUAGUAAUAUUUUGAUUGUUAGGCAAAUUAUCAUUUUUGAGAGGAAUUUUUGUAGCUCUCAUAAUUAUAAUUGUAUUUUAAUAACCAUUUCCAAUAAAAAAAAAGAAAAAAAAAGUUAGACAAUUAUCAAAAUCUGAUUUUUAGGAUUUAAAAAAAAUCUACAAGCCAAAACUAUCUAUAAUUUUGAUCAUGUGAGAACACUUCUUUUUUAAUACUUUGAAUUAUUUUGUUUUUUUUUUCUUAGUAUCUGAAAGUAUAAAAGAAUUUCUCUUAUUAUAUUAUUAUAUUAUAUAUGUGCAUGUGUGUUCUCAUGGUUGUUUAUGUCAUGUGUUAUUAAAGAAUAAAGUGAAAUUUCCUUUGAGUGGAAGGUUUUAGUCCACGCUAGUGAGUGGACACAGUAUGAAUAGUUUGGGUGGGUUGUAUCUAUGGUAAAAAAAAUAAUAAAAGACACCUUUUGCAAGUCUCCAAGUUGGUUGAGAUACAUGGUAUCAUGUUGACUAAACCUUGACUUUUGCAAGUCUCCUAGUUUCCAACUUUUUUUUUCUUUUUUUUUUAAUAUUAAGGUGUGGGGCCAUGAACUCCUUUCUUUCCUUUUUAAAUAACAAAAAGGAAGACAAUUUUAUUGUGAGAAGGCUAUUGCUAUCAAUUGUGUUCACGUCGAGAUUUUUUUAAUUUAUGGAGGCCAUAUAUAUAUUUAUGUCUAAUUUAGGAUGGUAAUUUGGGUUUGUUUAAUCUAUUCCAUUUAAUCAUACUAUACAAUCAUUUUUUUAUUUGGAUUAUUUUUGUAUUAAAUUUCUUCAACCCAAAUUUUGUUGAAAAGUUACAAUGUAUUAUUAAAAAUAUGACUUGGUAGUUGAUUAUGGAUAUGUGUCAUUUUUAGUAAAAAAAAAAAUCUAUAACAUUUUAUAUUGAUAAUAUAUUAUUCUUGUAACAGGUUCGAAUAGUAAGCAAGUCAUUAUCAAAGAAGUUAUUGAAAGUGUAAGGGUAUGUUUAUUUAUUGCAUGCUCUUAUAUAGUAUCAAUUGUAAGGAAGAUAAAAUUACCUUGUAAAGGUAAUUAAAUCUUUCUAUAUUUUAAAAACUUUUUUCCUAUAUACUAUGCUUUUGAAGCUUGUUUAAUUAAACAUAUUAGUUAUUUGACAAACUUUUCACAAAUGUUUUGCAUGUAUACUUAUGUGUUCUAUUUUGUUCCAUAGUUUUAUUGCAUAAUACUAAUGUAUAUUUUUUCACAAACUUUUUACAACUAUUUUGUGUACUAAUGCAUAUUAAGUUUUGUUCUUGCCUAUAUAAGCUACAUUUAGUUAUUUAAAUAUAUCCAAUAUUAUGUUGAAGAAAGAUGUACUUACUUAACUUUUUUUAUUCUAAAUAUUAACAAGUUUUUCAGUUCUCUUGUCUCGAGAUUGAAUGUCAAAAGAUAGAAGGUCAGUUGAGUAUGAUGAAAGAGUUGAAAACUUUAUCAAUUUUGCAUUAGCACAUUCAAUCAACCAUUCCCCUAUAAAAUGCCCAUGCUUACGUUGUGCAAAUCUGUUAUGUCAAACUCUUCAAGUCAUUACAGAGCAUUUGUUCUUUAAUGGAAUAGAUCUCAGUUAUCGAGUAUGGUAUUGGCAUGGAGAAAAUGGACCCAGUGGAGGAUUUUCAAAUGUCUCACAACAACAUUAUGACAAAUGCAAGUAUAAUGAUGUUGUUGACACAAUAGAUAUGGUUAAUGCUGCACAAGUUAAUUGUAUGAAUGAUCCCUAAGUGUUUGGAAGGUUACUUGAAGACGCAGAAAAACCUUUAUAUCUUGGAUGCAUGAAAUACACAAAGUUGUCAGCAUUGGUAAAACUUUACGACUUAAAAGCACAUUAUGGUUGGUCUAACAAAGGAUUCUCAAAAUUGCUUCAGUUGCUUGGAGAUAUGUUGCCAUUGAAUAAUGAGAUGUCAUUGUCCAUGUAUGAAGCUAAAAAGACUUUCAGUGCACUUGGGGAUGAAUAUAAAAAAAUUCAUGCAUGUUCUAAUGAUUGUAUUUGGUAUAGAAACCAGUAUAAGGAUGCUAUUGCAUGCCUAACUUGUGGAAAGUCAAGGUGGAAGAUAAACAAUGAGGGGAAAAAGAUUAAGAAGGGGCUUCCUUCAAAGGUUUUGUGGUAUUUCCCACCAAUCCCUAGAUUCAAAAGGAUGUUCCAAUCCUCAAAAACCGCUAAACAUCUUAUGUGGCAUGCCAAGGAUAAAGAAUAUGAUGGUAAACUAUGCCACCCAUCAGACUCCUCAGCGUGGAAACUAGUUGACCAUAUGUGGCUUGAUUUUGCUUCUAAACCGAGAACCUUAGACUAGCACUCUCAACAGAUGGUACAAAUCUUCAUAAGUCUAUAAGCAAUAGACAUAGUUGUUGGACUGUUAUACUGAUCAUAUACAACCUUCCUCCUUGGUUGUGCAUGAAAAAGAAGUUUAUGAUGCUAUCAUUAGUGAUCUCAGGACCACGACAACCUAGUAAAAAUAUAGAUGUUUACUUGAGUCCAUUGGUAGAUGACCUUAAAACUUUGUGGGAAAAAAACGUUAAGACUUAUGAUGCACACUUGCUUGAGGUUUUUACUUUAAAGGUCAUCAUUUUAUGGACAAUCAAUUAUUUCCCUACAUAUGGAAACUUGGCCAAUUGCACCGUGAAAGGAUAUUAUGCAUGUCCAAUAUGUGGAGAAGGAACAUAUUCCCAAAGAUUAAAGUAUGGUAGGAAGAACUUGUAUAUGGGUCACCGAUGAUUUCUUCCACGUAACCAUCCCUAUUGGAGACAAAAAAAGGCAUUCAAUGGUGAACAAGAUUUUAGAAUUCCUCCUAAAAUUUUGAGUGGAGAAGAAAUACUUGAAAAAGUUGAUCUCAUUCCUAUUUCUUGGGGAAAAAUGAAGAUAAAAUCUCUUGAACUGAUGUGAACACAAAUUGUUGGAAAAAAAAGUCCAUAUUUUUUGAGUUAGAAUAUUGGAAAUAUCUUCAUAUCCUUCACAACUUGGCAGUUAUGCACAUUGAAAAGAAUGUUUGUGAGAGUAUUAUUGGUACUUUGUUUAACAUCCCAGGAAAAAAAAAAGAUGGACUUAAUGCUCAACUUGACCUAGUUGAAAUGGGUUUAAGGUCUGAACUUUUCCCAAGAGUUGACUUGAAGUGGACCUAUCUUCGUCCUGCAUGUUAUUCACUAUCCAAACAUAUAUGACAAAAAAUUAUUUUGUCAAACAUUGUCUAAUUUGAAGGUCCCUGAGGGGUAUUGCUCAAAUUUUAGAAAUCUUGUCUUCUUAGAGGAAUUGAAGUUAUUUGGUUUAAGAUCCCAUGACUACCAUGCACUUAUGCAACAACUAUUGCUAGUGGCAUUACGUUUUGUUUUGCUAAAGCAUGUGAAAUAUACUAUAUCAAGAUUGUGUAUCUUCUUCAAUCAAUUAUGUACAAAAAUGGUUGAUGUGCCAAAAUUGGAUGAAGUACACAAUGAGUUAGUGGUCACGUUGUGCUUACUUGAAAAGUAUUUUUCACCUUCAUUUUUUGAUAUUAUGCUUCAUCUAGUAGUGCAUUUGAUAAGGGAGGUGUGACUAUGUGGUUCAGUUUACUUUAGGUGGAUCUACCCAUUUGGGAGGUAUAUGAAAGUUCUUAAAGAAUUGUUCGCAAUCAUAAUUGGCCUGAAGGAUGCAUUACUAAGUGCUAUUUAGCAGAAAAAGCUAUCGUAUUUUGUACUGAAUAUUUAUUAGGGACUCAUGCAAUUGGAAUUCCAAAAGCAACAAUUAUGACAACAAAUUUGGUAGACCUAUAAUUGGUGGUCGUUCUACCAUCAUUGAUCGUAAAUCGUGGUUACAAGCACAUCAUUAUCUAUUAGAGAAUACAACUAUCGUCCAACCAUACACUGAGUAAGAAAAACAUACCUUUAUCUUUUUAUAAUUUCAUAACAUAAUGAUGAAAUCCUAAGUUUGCAUUCCUUGUCUUUAACGUCAUAGGGAACACAUGAAUUGGUUGAGGUCUCAAUACCCUCGAAAAUCUAAUAGACAAAUUUGGUUGCAAGAAGAACAUAUGAGUUGUUUUACAUAUUGGCUUAAAGAAAAGGUAAUCUCUUAGUUUUUAGAAAAUUUUUCAAUAUGUUGAAAACAUCACAAGUUUCCAAUAUGUUUUGAUUAUACAUAUGUUGAAGAGGCUAUCCAUAAUGGGCAAGAUAUUCCCGACACACUUAGGUGGUUAGCACAUGGCCCUACUCUCCAAGUAGUCAAAUAUCCUGGAUAUAUCGUUAAUAAGUGUCGUUACCAUAUUAAGAAACGCGAUAUGACAUGCAUCACCCAAAAUAGUGGUGUUAGCAUUUUAGCAAGGACUAUGCAAAUUGCCAGUUCUAAGGAUAAGAACCUAGUUUGUGGUGAACUUUGCUUUUAUGGGGUCAUUAAUGAGAUAUGAAAUCUUGAUUACAACAUGUUCACAAUUCUAAUUUUCAAGUGUGAUUAGGUUGACAACAAGAAUAGUAUAAAAGUUGAUGAACUCAGGUUCACAUUAGUUGACUUCUCCAAAAUAGGUCACAAAUUGGAUCCAUUUAUUUUAGCAUCACAAGCCAAGCAAAUCUUCUAUGUUGAAGAUCAACUUGAUCCUAAAUGGUCAAUAGUUCUCUCAAUUCCUCCAAAAGAUUUCAAGAACAUAGAAGGACUAGAUGACUUCACCGAUAAUUGCAUGGAACAUCACCCCUUUAUAAGUUCAAUGCCAGAAUUUGAAUCAUUUGAUGCUAUGGAUGAAUCAUAGGCAAUACACAUGAGAGAAAACUGUGAGGGCAUAUGGAUUGAAAAUAAUUAAAUAACAUAUUGUACCCUUGAAUGAGAUAUAAUAAGGCAUUUCACUUAUUAGUUUUCAUGAGUUGCACAUUAACUUAGCUUCUAUAUAUUGCUCAUGAUAUAUCUAUAUAUAUUAAUCAUCCUAAAUUUCUUUCAUGCAUCAUAAACAUAUGUUAUUCAAAGGUACCACUUCAAUCUUCAUUCAACUAUCUUUUUGUUGUCCAUAGAACUAGAUUUAUAUUAUUUUUUAUUAUCAUGUUUUGAUUUUAUGCUCACAUAACUUGAAACUCUCUUUCGUAAAUUUCUUUUUCAUUAAAACUAUAAAUCAUAAUUGAAACUAUGCACUAAUUUAUUUUAUUAUUAUCCUCACAAAUAAAUUCUUCAUUAUUGAUAAGAAAUCAAAAAACAAGACAAACUUUGAAAGAAAAUUUCAAAAAAUAUAUUUGUGAAUGACCAAUUUAAUUAUAGAAAAUAUAUGCAAGGCUAUACUAAUCUUGCUUUUGAGUCAUUUUACAGGUUUGUUGGUGAAGUACUAGUUUGCACAUUGACUUGAUAUCUUCCACACAAAUAUGGAUCUAGAAGAAGGGGAAAUGCCAAAAAUAAAGCAUAGAGGUAGUGCAUUGAAACCAAAGAUUGCAAAAAAUCGAAGUAAAGGGAUAAAACUCAAGAUUGAAUACAAUAGCCUUGGUAGUCACAUUGAGGAAAAUUCAGUUAAACUAAGUAGUUAUCUUAGUACAAUAACAAAAACCCAUGUGCCAAUAAUUAUUGAGAGUUGGAGGAAAGUCCCUAAAGAGACUAAGGAGAAGUUGUGGGAUUUGAUCACGGUAAGCCUAUCUAUAGCUUUAAUAUAUAAUUAUUGUAUACAUUCAUUAACAUGAGCUAACAUGGGUUGCUAUUUUGUAGACAAGCUUUAAUGUGAAUAAAAAAUCCAAGAGGAAUUGUUUCAUACUAAUGGGCAUCAGGUUUCGAACCUUUAAGUACAAGUUGACAAAGAAAUAUAUAUUGUCUUUCAAGAAUGACCAAAAAAGCUGAAAAAGUCACCUCCUAUUUGCCCAUUCAUACAAGAGGAUCAUUGGAGACAGUUUGUUAAAGAUAGACUUUUUGAACAUUUUAACGUUAAGCAUUAUUUUUAUUACAUCUUCAAUUUUCACAUUUACGUAGUUUCAUUAUGUACUAAUUUUGUGUCUAUAUUUUGUAGGAAUAUCGCAAAGUUCAGAAAUCAAGAAGAGAUAAACACAUUUACAAUCAUUAUCUUGGAAGAAAAUGAUAUGCACGUUUUGAGCAAGAUAUAGUAAGUUAUCAAUAUCCAUAAAAAAAAAUGGAGUAUAUAUUUUGUUUAUAGGAAAAUGAUUCUAGUUUUUAAAUAUCAUUUAUUAACUUGAUCAUGUUGAACUAAUGAGUUUUAUUGUUAAAAUUUUUAUAGCUACAAGCAGAAGGGGCUAUUGGUAGGGUUGAUAGAAGUGUUUAUGAAAGAAAACACGUGAGAAGAAAGGAAAGUUUAAUAAGAUUACAAAGCCAAUGAUUAACUAAGUUAGCAUAUUUAUGCCUUUUAGAGCCUAUAGUGUUAGUAUGUCUAUGUGAUUAUGGUUUGGGAUGAUAUCGUUAGGUGUUAAUAGGGAAGAGGCUUAAUGCUAUCAUUUUUAUGAGUAGUCAUGUUAUAUUAGUGCAAAUAUAGUAGCCUAAUUUGAAAAUUAAUUUUGAAACAAUAUACAUUAAUUUAUCUAUUAUCAUUUUUAUUAAAACAAUUCAUUUUCUAGCUACCUUGAAUUGGUCCUCUUGAAUUGGUUGUCUUUGAUUGAUAUGUUAAUCAUCAUCUUCAUCAAAUUAUUACUAAUAUAUGUUUUGUUGUAGGAUGAAUUACUAGAAAAGGCAAGGAGACUAGACUACCUCCACCUGGUCCAAAUGACAUAUUAUGUUAGGCAUUGGGUAAGCUUGAUCAUCUAGGACGUGUGGUAGGUCAAGACCGCUUGGUUAGGCCGAACUCAUACUUUCAUCAACCAUUUGAUGACAUGAAAAAAAAAAUCAAAGAAGAAAUAUGGGAAAUGGUGUGAAAGGGGAUGCAAGAUGCUGUAACAAGACAAACUAUGUCUCCUCCCACACCCCAUUCUGAUAUAGGUAGUAAUAACAUGAGACAACAACUUGUUUUACAACUAGUUGUAGCAAAAAAACCAAUGUUUAAAAUGAUGGAAGAGCCCCAACCACCAUAACCACCACUGAAACGUAAGGUAUACAUUUACUUACUAAUAAUACAAGAUUAAUAUAAGUGAUAUAUAGCCUAUGUAAAUGAUAUUAUUUGUUGUAUUAAAGGUGAUUAAAUAUAAAUUAGCAGUGGAAUGAAAAUGAAAUGUUGUUGCAACCGGUACAUUAAUAGAAGAAAAUUGAUCAAAUGGGUUGGUCGUAAUAAAUGUUGCACACAAGCUAGAUGCUAGACUCCCAUUUCCAAAUCCAUAUGAGAUUAUCAAUGUUGGGGAUGCUAUUGGCCUUAAGCUUGACUGGCCAACAAGCCUUGUCAUACUUGAAACUAAACAUCCUCGGGUAUGUCAUUUUAUACUUGUAGUAAAUUUGAUUGUAACUUGGUAUUUUAUUGUUAGGAGUAUAUAUUACUAACAUUCCUUCAUUUUUCAUAGGUGUUGGAUAAAGGAAAGAAGUAGAUAGUGAAUGCACCAAUUAUUCGAAAAUCUAAGCCUCAAAAUUAUUCGGUCAUUAAAAAUUUCCAGAAAUUUAUGGAUGGUUGUCUUAGUAAUGAGAAGACAUACCCAAUACAGCUCCCCAUUUCACUAUUUGGUGUCGAAUUCCGAACAUAUAUAUCUAGAGAGGAUUGUGAAUACAUUAUUUCAUCUUCAGAAGUGUCAUCAAAAUGCAUCUCCUUCCAUUUAUGGUGUGCACCUUUUAUUUUCAUUUGUUUUUAUUUUUUUUAAUAUGAGUUGCCCAUGUUGAACAAGAUUGGAUAUGACUAAUGAUAAUUUUCUUUUGGUGUUUUGAUAAUAUAAUAGGUACAUGCAUGAUCAACUACAUAUUGCCAAAAAGGAAUCACAAUUUAUAUUUGUUAAUCCUUUUACAAUAUCAUGAGCAGGCUUUAGUAAUCCUCAAACAGAGAAAAGAACACAAUUGUUGUCAAAACACUUAAUAGAGUGCCAAGAUGUCGGAUAUGUUUUCAUGCCCUACAACCUCGAGUAAGUGACGAAUAUUAUACUUUAAUUUGAGGUUUUAUGAUUGAUUUAUAUUUCUAAUUAGAUGCUACUUUUGUUUUUAAUGUUUUAGCUUUCAUUGGGUCUUGGUAGUGAUUGAGCCAAGGAAAAUGAUAGUCCACUAUCUUGACCCUGUGCAUCACAAACCAUGUGAGGACUUAAAGGAUAUCGUAAACAUGUAAGUUCUUCCUAUUAUUUUUCAUAGUAUUAUUUAAAAAAAAAUUACAUUCACCUCAAACACAUUUUUUAUUGUUAUUUCUAUAUAUUAAAGAGAUAAUUUUUUAUCCUACAAUGAUUGCUUCAAAGGUAUUACUUAUUUAAUGAAUUGUACAUAUUUUUAGGCUUUCAAAUGUUAUGCAUUUUAAUGUUAUUUUCUUAUUUGAUUUCAGUUUGGUGAUAAAAAAACAUAUUCUCAAGUAGAAUUCAAUGAAAUUAGAGGAGAAUUGACUACUUUUGUGCUACAACUAAUCAUGAAUCAUGUUGAUGCAUCAUGAUCACCAUGCAUGGUGAGUUCCUUAGCUACUACAUGAAUUUUUCCAUAGAUAUUGUAUAGUAUUGCUUUUCUUUGAACAAUGUUUUUAUUUGAAAAAAAGAAAAAAAAAAGUUCUUAGAUUUGUUCAUUUAUGAUAACAUCGAUCCAUAUUUAUUUUCUUCAAUGAAAUAUAUAAAACUCAUUAAACUAUGAAAUGCAGGUAUACACUCUUAGGAGGGUGGAAUAGAGAAUAAAAAGAACAAAGAAGGCAACAAGAUUUUAGGUUUUUAAAUACAGCUCGUAUGUCAUACGUUGUAGGACAUAAACAUUACUUUAAUUGGUAGUGAGAAUUUUAGAUUUUUAGAUGCUACUUUUAUGUCAUUUUAUAGUUAGUCGAUUUUAUGCUUAUGAAAUGAAGGUAUACAUGAAUCUUGGGAUGCUUCACAUUUCUAAAUCAUGUUUUGGUAUGUAUUCCCUCUUCUUUUUUAGUUUUGGUGGGUUUGAUAUGUUGGAUGUACUAUCUUUUUGUGAACAUUUGAUAUACAAAUAUUAUUAGAUGAUCAAUGUAUUACGAGUUAUUCCAUAAGCAUUACCGAAAAAUGAGUUAAAUGUAAUAUGAUUGUUAUAUUUAUGGAAAAAAUAUACACAGGUUAAUCCUAUUUGUUAAUUCAUAAGCAUUACAAAAAUCUACAACUAAAAGCAAUCAUAUCUUCCACGAUAAUUUACAAUGAUGUGACACCAUAACUCAAAGGUGAUGCAUUUAAUGUGACAUCAUAACUCAAAGAUCAUGCAUUUAAUGCGAUAUCCUAUCAUCACUAGAAAUAUAUGAUGUCACUUUCGAAUGCGUCACCAUUUAUCUACUUUGGUGUCACUUACAAAUACGUCACCAAUUGGUACCCUCUAUGGUGUCAGUGGAGAAGGUGACACUAUGUUGUAGUGACACCCUAUGUUUAUGGUGACUCGUUAUAAAUGUCACCAUAUAUUUUUUUUCUUGUAGUGCAAAUUACUUAUCUUACUAUGCAUUGGGCUUUGAUAUUAGCCAGAGACAGUAGUGGCUCCUAAUUUUUAUCCUUAACUGAAAUGAAAACGUCAAGCAGGUCCCCAACCUCUUUUUCUCCAUUCUUCCACUAUUAUACUAUUUGGUCCAUGAUUGGAUCAUGGUACUUGUUAAUGGUGUUCAUAGCCUCCCUUAUAGUCUUUUCAUGGCCAUCUAAAUUUAGCACUCUCUGCCAUGGGAAGUAAUCAGAUAAAGAGAAUACAUAUAGAUGAGCAAGUAUAGUAAAGAAGGAUUCAACAUGUUGCUCCACUUCAACUCCAGGGCCUCCAUCUUUCUUUCGUUGGCCAAAGUAUCUUGUGUUGAGGAUCAUCUUUCAGAUGACAUUCCCGUUGUAUUGACGGACUUUAUUUCUGUCACACCCCAAAUACUAGGCAACCCAGAACUUGACUCGUGGCCCUAGGUCAAAGGUUUGACCCUAAGAGUUACUCUUAUCCAUGUUGGCAAUCAAUCAAAACACCCUAGAUUUUUUUUCUUUUCAAUAAAGCGUUUAAUCCUAAAUAAAUUUAUUAAGCUAAGAUUUACUAUAACAUAUCAUUUUAUUUUUCCAAAACUAACCAUCACAUUAUCUCAUGUUCACAAGUAUUAAAAAAAUAAAAUUCCACCAAUCAUUUUCCUACCCAAAAGCUCAAAUAUUUACAAUAAACUCUAAGUCAAAAAGAAUAUUUCCAAAAUUUUUUUACAAACUAAUAAAAUAUAAUUUAACUUAAAAAAGUCCAUAUAACUCAAAUUAGUAGAUGUCAAAAAGGUAAUUAAAAAAAAACAACAACCAUUAUUAUAGUUUUUUUGCUUUUUAGAACACUUCAUGAUCUUCUUAUGGUCCCUUAGAAACUAUAUCUGCAUCUAAAAAUUUUAGAAAAAAAAGGGAUGCACAUUUCCACGUUACUCUUUAGACCUAAAUGGGUUAGAAAUUCUAGGUCAAUAAAACACAACCAUAUGCCAAAAUAUAAUAUUACAUUUACAUUAUACACACUAAAAGAAACCUCAACCAUACAAAUUUAAAUCAAUCAAAAUUAUCAUUCUCCUGAUUUAAUCAUAUGUUUAGCAUAUCAAUAAUUUUAAAUUUACAAAAUAAAUAAGUCACUUUAGUCUUGAAUAAUAUAUUCAAACAUACACUUGAUAAAUAAUACAAAUCAUUUUUCCAAAUGCAACCAUGAUACAAAUGCUUACACACAAUCACGCAAUGCAAUAUCGUUCUCGGGCUUUCACCGAAGGAUAUGCAUUUAUACCCAAAUAGACUCCCCAUUCGGAUUCUUCCUGGGAUAAAAUUUUGAGUCUUUCACCCUAAGGAUCUCACUCCCUUCUUAACUCACCAUCUCUAGGGUCUUUCAAUUUCUUAUUUUUCUUUUCUUUUCAUUUUUGCCAUUUUUUGGGUCUUUUCAUUCUCAUUUCCAUUUCACACAACCAUUUCUUUAAUUUUUCUUUUUCUUCACACAAUCAUGAUGCAUAUGAAAUGCAACUGAAUCAUAUUUUAACAUCCAUAAUUUUCCAAGACAUAAUUUUAUUUACUCCCAUUAUGUUUCAUAAUUUCCAAUAAUCCACACAACGAUUUUUCUUCACUUUAAUUGUCACAAACAUAAAAGAAAAUUCACAAUUAAUUUGUAUAGCAUCAAAACAUAGUUUUAAACAUUGACCACAUAAAUUCUAUUUAUUCCCGACAUGCUUAAUAAUUUCCAAAUCCAAUAUAACCAUUUUUUUUCAAUUAAAUAAUCACACAUAUCCAAGAAAAUUCUCGCUAAUACAAAUAUCAAUGAAAAUGUAAUUUAUGUCAUAAUUUAUUUGUCUCUAAUAAUUUCAAAAAUUUUGACACCCAUAUGAAAAAUUUCCACAAUUAAGCCACCCCAACAUUUGGGAAAAUUUUUCUAAUCAUUCAAAUAUCAACAAAAACCCAAUUUAUAUCAUCAUUUUUAUUUAUUUUUAAAAGCAUUAAUAAUUUUAAUAAUCAAUACAACACUUUUCCACAAUUAAGCCACCACAACAUUCUGGGAAAAUUUUCCAAUAAUUCAAAUAUUAACAAAACACAAUUAUACCUUAAUUUUUCUUAUCUCCAACAACAUCAAUAAUUCUUAGUACUCAAUACAACUAUUUUUAUUUUUUCAUAUUUAAUCUUCUCAAACAUUACCAAAAUUCCAAGAAAAAUCUAUAAAUCACGAAAUAAAAGUAUUCACAAUAAUAAUCACACUUCAAAUACUACAAAUAACAUCUAUUAUAUUUCAACAACACAAUAUAUAAAUUUUUUUGAAAGAAAAUAUUAAAUCAAAGUUUUAGGGUUAAAUCACCCUACCUUAAAUUUGAAAAAUUUAACCAUUAAAACUAAAACGGGACACCGUAGGAGUAUUCCUCGCAUUGAAUAGAAUAUCCUUCCAAAAUUUCAUGCGAAAUGGACGUCAUUUGGUAGGUCCAUCAACAUCCUAAAGCUAGCGACCCAUUUUUCCCACUCUUUGCCGACGACUCCCCUACAUCUCUCACUCGAUUUCCUUUCUUCAUUUUCUUUUCUUCUUCUUCUUUUAAACUCCCACGCCAAUUUCACUUUAUAUAUAUAUAUGUAUAUAUAUAUAUAUAUAUAUAUAUAUAUAUAUAUAUAUAUAUAUAUAUAUAUAUAUAUAUAUAUAUAUAUAUAUAUAUAUAUAUAUGUAUGUAUGUAUUAUUAAAACAAAUCCUAAAAUACCACGCACAUCCAUUUCUCAAUAAAUUAAAACCAUUAUUCUUAAAUUCACCUUCCAUAAUUAUGAAUUAUACCAAACUUAUGAUUUUCCAUUUCACGAAAAAUACCACUGUAUUCGUAAUUUAAUUUACUACAAGUCUACUCUUCAAAAAGUAUAAUUUGAUUAUAAUUACAUGAAACAUUGUUUUUUUACUCUAAAAUUCAUUCAAAACAUGAUAUAAUUAACUAUUAACAAAAUUCAAUUCCAUAAAAUAUGAAAAACAUAAAAUAAUUUUUUGGCAAUCAAGAAGUUGAAAUUUGUAAUAACCCUUAACCUGUUAAUUUUACCUAUAUUUAUUUACCAACAAAAAUUUAAAUAAUAUUCUAAAAUUUAAUUCCAUAAAUUAAUUAGUCAUUAAAUUUAUAAAAAUCAAAUUCUCUACCCUUUGGUAUAACUUUCAUUUAAUUUACUUCAUUUUUCAAAUUAUUCAAUCGCAUCAAAAUUUCAAAAGUUAAAUUCACUAAAUUCACAUUUAAUUAAUUUAUCCUUUUCUAUUUUUUUUUUCUAAAUUCGCAUAUCAUAAUUUAAUCUUAAUUUAAUUUUGAUUCAAUUUUGUUUUAUGUUUUCUAAUUUUAUGAGGUUUAAUUUCAAUUAUAAAAAUUAAAUUAAAUUUCUUUUUAAUUAUCCAUUAUCACAAUUUGAUAUAAUAUAAUUUUUUAUCAAGUUUUUCUUACUACGAUUUUUCUUAUAAUUAUCCAAUAAUAAUUAAAUUAAUUCUCGUAACAUAUUUAAUAUUCAAAUUUUAAAAACUUAAUCUCAAUUAUUGGAUGGUUAAUUUUUUUCUCAAAAUCUAAAUUUAAUUUAUGAAAUUCUCACUUCUUACAUCUGACGUGGCAAAAUUUUCAAACUAUUGACUUUUGACCAACUUUUCCUAAAUUUAUCCUAAUUAAAUACUAACACAUGGAUUUUCACCACUCUUUUUGACCUUUUGACCCACAAAUUUAUGAAAGACUUUAUGCUUGGAGAAUCUACAAAAACCUGGGUAUUACAAUUUCUCAGGUUGAUAACUGUCGUGGUUACGAAGCCACCACUUGAAUACUCAAUUGCCAUUGUAAUGGGCCUGGAUGCAAAUAGUACAUCAUGUUUCUUCAAAAGUUCUCUGCUAAUCUCUGGGAAAGUCGUAGGGACGAGAUGAAAUAUUUCCCAAUUGAAUACAUGCAAUUUCAGUGUUCAUUUCUUUCAUAAAGCCAAUGUAUCCACCAGAAAGUUGGCUUUUUGUUGAGUAAAUGAGGUAGAUAUUGCACUAGUGGCCCUGGAGCUAAUCCUGGAGGAAGUUGUAUCGGUUUGCUUUUGGUACUUGUUUUGGAUUUUAAUUUAGUGAAGAUGAGAAAGAUUAAUGUGAUAAAAAGCAGUAAGAGGAAGUUGAGAUGAGACAACACAUCGUCUGUGGUAGUAGAAGAAAACAAGGUUGAGUUACUGCUAUUACUCCCUGCAACAAAACCAUUUACAUGUCUUUUAUAGCAAAACCAUGUUUGUCCUAUCUUGGGUCUGGAUGCACAUUUUUAAUAUUGGGGAAAUCAUGCAACCAAAUGUCACACACAAAGAGAGAGAAAAAAAUACGUUUUUUAGAACUUGGAAAGGUAAAGUGGGACAAAAAAUAUUAUCCAUUCUUGAACUCUAAAAGUAAAGUUAUAAAAAGCUUAGUUUUUUUUUUUUUUUGUUAUGUAUGAUUGCAUGAUUUCCCCCUUUUAAGAUUUUAUCUCAUAAAAUUUUUUUCUAGAAAGUUCAAAUAAGUUUGAUGAAUAUUGUUUAUUUUAGUAAUUUUAAUUUUAUGGGGUACUUAAAACAUUAGAAGUUCACAAAAAGCAACAUUUAUCAGCUACCUAUCUAAAAAGCUUGGCCUAAUCAUUGAAAUCCAAAAUAUAAAGUGACAACACACUUUUUAAAGCAAUUUUCAAAAUAGUUUUUAAAAACACAUUUAUUUAUGAUAUUUUUAAAAUAAAAAUCUCAAAAAUAACUUGUUUAUAUAGCGUUUUAUUAGACAAAUACUUGAUCUUUAUAAGAUCACCCUAAUUAUAGAUUUAUGAACAUGUAACACAACAAUUAUCUAUAUAUAUACUUAGAAUUAUUAUAUUUUAAGUUUUUAACUACAUAGGACAUCAUGAGUUUUUCCACCAUUUAUCUUAUAAUAAGUUUAUUUAAAUAUGAUAAAGGAUAUAUUAUCUCAUUUCUUAUUAUAUCCGAUGCUAUAUAUAUAUAUAUAUAUGUAUGUAACAAAUCAAAUACAAUUUAAAGAUUUUAAUUAACCAUCUAUUAGCAACAAAGCAAUCUCUUAAUCUCAUUCAUAAUAUUAGGAUAAUUUAGUAUUUCCUUUUAUAAAACACUAGCAUAUAAAUCAACACAAAUCAUAUUAAGGGUGUAUUUGGUGUUGAUUUUAGGAAGCAUUUUUAGUAUUUCUAAUACUUGAAAGAUAAAAAUUUUCAAGUUUUAGAAAGAUCAAAAGCGCUUUUUAGAAUGACUAUCAAAUACAUGCUAAAUAUUACUUUUGGAUACUUAUAUUUUUAAAUAACUCUUAAAACUUUUAAGGCAAGUCUCUACUAUUUAUAUAAAUCCCCUAUUAUUUUUAAUUUUUAGAAACAAAAAAUAAAGAAUAGAAACUCCAUUUAAACAUCACCUUAUUAUUUCCUAUUAUAAAAUAACACAAAUCAAAUGAAUUAUUUAAAAAUAAAUAAAUAAAAAAUCAAAGUUGAAGAGAAAAAACUCUUGUGCAUUAAAAAAACAUCAAAAUAAAUAAAUAAAUAAAACAUCAUCAAAUAAAUGUAAAAAUAAAUUAAUGUUAUGGAAAAAUGAGAAUAGGCAACAAGAAAAUAAGAACACAGAUUUACAUGAAAAAUGCUAGACGGGAAAAACCAUGGAUAGAGGAGAAGAAAAUCCACUAUAUUAAAAAUUUGGUAUAAAAUGUGAGAGAAUCAAGCGAGUAUUGUAUAGGCAUAAUCACUAUGACCCUAAAUCCUAUACAUCAUUGCAUAUGUAUGGUGUAUGCGAUAAUAAAAAUAUUGUCACAUAAAAUAACUAUGGGAUGUAAUAUUUGUAAUAAUAUUUUUUACAAAAAAAUAUUUUUUCUUUGCUUUAUUCACUUUGAUCACAACUUGAAAUAAGACAAUAAAAAUAUUUUCUUAAUUUUUGAAAAUUAAUUGAGGACUUAGAGCUACUUGUUACUGAGUGAAUUUGCUGAAUGGUGAAGAAUGCGUGUAUAGUAGUUUUGCAAUUUUUCAAACUUAUAGACAUAUUUUGUGAAGUCUUUUUCUCUUUGUAAAGCCCCAUUUUCUAUGUGAAGUUAUUUUUUCAAUAUUCUCUUUGGAAGGAAUUUACCAUUAGUUAUAUAGGUAAGAUUAAGGAAUUAAAUUUGGAAUUCUUAACAUUUGAUUGCUUAAUUCAAAGAAUUUGGUUCAAGGGAAAUUUGCCAACAAAAUAAUAUUUAUUUUUAAUUCUAUGAUGACUUUAAUUAUUUGAUAUAAUUUUAUUUUGAAAGACUUGAUGUGGGGGACUCAUCACUUAUUGAGUCCAAAUUUUGUUGCACCCAAAUUUUUAUGAGCUAAGAAACCAUAAUUUUAAAGACCAAUUCAGUGGUAAGUGAAUCUGCUAAAAUCUUCUAUGUACAAAUGACCUCACUUCAAGGUGCAACACAUACAUGUAUUAUUAUGUGUAUGGGAUGAGUCUUGAAGUUAGUCUUCAUUCUUCUUUGAUUUUUUUCUUCAAAUAAAUAAAUAAAACAUCAUCAAAUAAAUGUAAAAAUAAAAUAUGUAUCGGUUAAUUGGAGAGGAGAGCUUUAAGGGCAUUUCUUCUAUGAAAUUCUAUGCUCCACGUACCAUAAAUUUGUACUCAACCAACAAAAUUACAGAAUGGGUCCAUGCACAAACAAAAUAACCCAAAUGUAAAUAUCUAAAAAUGUAUAAAGUUCACAAUAGAUAUUCAAGCCCAAAUUUAAAUUUCAAAUUAGUCCAACAGAUUUCAUCAAUCAAAAUGGGUCCAAAUUAGCAAAUAUAACCCAACAAAAAUAUCUCAUAUGUCAUAGGCCCUAAUUUAAAAUUUUCAAAUUAAUAGCCAAAAUAUAAGUUCAAUUAAUCAAACCCAAAACAUGAUAAAUUAAAAUAAAUCUCAUUAGGCCUAAACUUAAUAUCCUAUAAUUCAAGCCUAAUUUAAUAUAUAAACCUAAAUCCACAAUCAAAAUCAACCCAAUUUAUGCUAAUCCCGAUUUACAAUCAAAAUCAAACAUAAUUUAAUAAGUAAAUAACUAAAUAAAUUAAGCAAACUCAAAACACCCAAACCACUACAACAUAAAUCAAACAAUAAUAAAUAUAAUGACAAUAAUAAUAAUAAAAAAUAAAAUAAAAUAAAAUAAAAUAAAAAUAAAAAAUUUAACUCAUGUCGGAGCCAGUUUGAAUGUCUUGGGAAAGAAAGAAAAUGAGAGAAAAGUGAGAGAUGAUUGACAACUGACAGUGGCUCAUUGGCGGCGACUGGCUAGUGGUCCUACCGAUGGUAGUGAGGAUUGAUUGGUUUUUGGGAAAAAAAAUAAAAUGAAGAAAAGAAAAUGAGGAGUAAUAAAAAAAAUGGAGAAAUGAGAGGAAGGUGGGAGAAGAAUGGAGAGAGAGAACGUAGAAAAUGAGUGAAAAGAAAUGAGGCUAGUUGGAGGAGGAAGUGAUAGUGUGUGAGCUAAAGUGAAGAAGAAUAGAAGAAGAAAAUGGAGAAGAAUGGGGAAAAAAAAAUCCGCCUCCCUAAAUGAAGAGAGGUGGGUAGCCUAAAGAAGAAGAAAAAAUAAAAUAAAAUAAAAUGGGGAGAAAAUGAGAGGGGGUCAGUGGUCUUGCGAAUGAGGUGGUAUGCGUUAGAGAGAGAGAGUGGGUGGGGUUGUUGGGGAAGGUAUGAGAGAGAGAGGAGAGAGAAAAGAAAAAAGAUAAUAUAAAAUAAUAAUAAUAAUAAUAAUAAUAAUAAUAAUAAUAAUAAUAAUAAAAUAAUAUACAAAAUAAUAAAAACUAAUAAUUAAAUAGUGAGUGGGCAAAAAAUAUCAUAUGAAAUCGGGAUUUAAUUUUAAGAGUAAAAUUGGGUUAAAAAUUAAUGUAAAAUAAAAUUGGGACAAAUUUUGGGGUAUACAAUAAUGCGCGCCUCUUCGAUAGAGUCCACGACUAAAGCAAGUGUAUAUGUGAGCAAAACAAAGUGGGCUCUACUGAAAAACAAGAAAGACCACCAAAUUUGUCUUAAUAUGACAUGAACUCUCCCAAAAAAAAAAAAAAAAAAAAAAAUCUAAAACCCUACAAAAAUGGCUAAAACGGAAAUUCCUAAGGUGCCUCUAAAGUUAUACUAUGGAUCUAGACUCCCUUAGAAAAGCCUCCAAAAAUGGCCCAAAAAUCGGUGUCAAAAUCGAGUAGCAAUCAGACCACUAAGGAGCACAUGAACGAAUGCAUACAAAGGGAAAAAAAACCAUACGUGUACCAUACGAUGACAAAAGGCAUAAGGUAUCCAACAAUAUGACUGAUUCACGUGUUACGAGCUCAAAAAACUUUGUCAUGCACCAUGGAGGAAGGGAAACUCUAGAAUAAUGUGAUGAGGAAGUUAUUAGCACAAUGUAACAGAGUGAGGAAAAAAGUGAUGAGUGCAAAGCUGUGAGGACAAGGUGCACAAUGCUAAUGAAUAUGAAAUGAAUAGCACUAGGCUACAAUGCAAUCAAUAGCUCAGGGUUGUACCAUAAUGAACAAGUCAAGGAUGUGUAAAGAUGAGGAACAACUCAAGGUUGUAAUGCAAUGAACAACUUAGGGCUGUGAAUGCAAUGAACAACUCAGCGCAAUGAAUGAAAUGAAUAGCUCAGGGCUGUGAAUGCAAUGAACAACUCGAGGUUGUGGAUGUAAUGAACAACUCAGGGUUGUGGAUGUCAUGAACAACUCAAGAAUAGGGGCACUGUACACCCAAAAUGGGAGAUCACGGCCUACGAUUCCAAGUCAAACCACUAAAGGGUGACCAAAAUGAGGGUGAUCAACUCACUAAAAAAGAUGAUAAAAAUGUCUUAAGGGAGAGGAGAUGCCCCAUAUGAAACUUAAAGGAAAUGAGUAGUGCUAAUGAAACUAAAAAAAGAAAAAAUGUCACAACUGAAAUUGAAAAAAUAGCAAACUUAGAUUAAAGUGCAAUGAACAACUUUGGGCUGUGGAUGCGAUGAAUAGUACCGUGUUGUAAUGAAAUGAAUAACUCUAAGAUAUGGGCAUUGUACGCCUAAAGAGGGAGAUCGUGGUUUACGACUCCAAGUCAAACCACUAAAGGACAACUAAAAUAAGAUGAUCAACUUACUAUAAAUGAGAAUGCAACUAUCUCGAGAAAAAGGGUAUGCCCCAAAUGACACUCAACAGUAAAAGAAUGACACAAAUGAAACUAAAACAAGAGGAUGCCACAAAUGAAAUUGAAAUGAUAACAGACUCAGUACUAAUGUGUAAUGAACAACUUUGGACUAUGGAUGCAAUGAAUAGCACUGGGUUGUAAUGAAAUGAACAACUCUAAGAUGUGGGCACUAUACCCCUAAGAAAUGAGAUCAUAGUUUACGACUCUAAGUCAAACCGCUAAAGGGCGACUAGAAUAGGAUAAUCAACUCACUAAAAAUGAGGAUGCAACUAUCUCGAGAAAGGGGGUAUGCCCUAAAUGACACUCAACAGUAUAAGAAUGACAUAAAUGAAACUAAAAUAAGAGGAUGCCACAAAUAAAACUAAAAUGAUAACAAAUUCAAAACUAAUGUGCAAUGAAUAACUCUAGGUUGUGGAUGUAAUGAACAACACUGGGCUGUAAUGAAAUGAACAACUCUAAGAUGUGGGCACUAUACGCCUAAAGAGGGAAAUCACGGUCAACGACUCCAAGUCAAACCACUAAAGGGCGAUUAGAAUAGGAUGAUCAACUCACUAAAAAUGAGAAUGCAACUAUCUCGAGAAAAGCGGGAUGCCCUAAAUGACACUCAAUAGUUAAAGAAUGACACAAAUGAAACUAAAAUGAAAUGAUACUACAAAUGAAACUGAAAUGAUAACAAACUGAUAACUAAAGUGCAAUGAACAACUCUAGGCCGUGGAUGUAAUGGACAGCUCAAGAAUAGGGGAACUGUUCGCCCAAAAUGGGAGAUCGUGGUCUACGACUCUAAGUCAAACCACUAAAGGGUGGCUAAAAUCAAAAUGAUCAACUCACUAAAAAUAAGGAUCUGAACAUCUCAAGAAAGGGGUUAUGCCCCAAAUGAAACUGACAAUAGAGGGAUGCCCUAAACAGACUGAAGAAAGGAGGAUGCCCUAAACAAACUAACGAAAAAUGGAUGCCCUAAACAAACUGAAGGAAGUGAAAUGCCCUAAAUAAACUGACCAAAGAAGAAUGCACUAAACAAACUCCGAGAAAAAAAAAAAGAAGUAUGCGAUAUAGAAUAAAAAACACCUAAAGCAAAAACAAGAAACAAAGAAUGUGGUUUACAACUAGAAACACCCAAAAGAACCUUAAAGAAGUGACUGGGAUAAUGAACUUAAUGAAAAUAGGGUAUGCCACAAUAAAAGACUCGGAAGUAUCAGCAAAUGGGUCAAAUGACCAUGAAAUCAAUAGGAGAUAUGAUGAACCCAAAAAGGGCGUAUGCCCCAACAAAAGAACACUAAAAGGGGGGUAUGCCCCGAUAUGACGACUCACAAUAAUUAAGAAAUGGAUCGAGUAAUGAGAAAAUCUGCAAAAUAUCUUAUGAACUCAAAGAUGGGGGUAUGCCCCAGUGUAAAAUAGUGACCAACAUAAGACACAGAAUGUCACCAUACAAUACACUCUGGGAUAUGCUCAAUGACAAUGUAAUGAAAACAAUAGCCUCAAUCAACAAAUGUUCAAGCAAGACCAUGCAUCACAUAAACUAAAAUAAUAGGCUAAAGAAAUGCUAACCAAGUUUCUCAAUCUGAAAUGUAAGCAAGUCAAGACAUGACAUGUCAACCAUCGACAUGAAAACAUCAUCACAAAUACAUCAACAAACUAAUAGUCCCUACUAUCAUGGAAAAUGUAGAACCUAACGUCCAAAGGCAUGUGAAAACUCAACCAGAAAGCUCAAGACUAGUUUGCAUCCUCCUCUAAUAAAAAGAAUGAGAUAAGGUCAUGUAGGAUGAUGAAAUAGGCAAGCUCAAUAUUCGUUAGGCUCUACCAAGAUGGAUGUAGGUAUAAUAGUGUCAAAGGUAGGAUGUCUAGAUGUCCAACGAAGGAAACUGGGUAUCCAAGUCAAACCAAGUAUGUUGAGGAAACUGAACCCAUAGGAUAAUAACUUUAUGAUCCAUUGAAAAUAGCAAUCAUGAAUAGAAGGUCGAGUCUCGAUGUCAAAAUCAACAAGGUGGCAUUGCCCCAGUAUGAAUACAUCUUCUCAAAAUGGGUAAACCCUCAGUGCAAGAUAAUCUCUAGAAAGUAUGUGUCUAAUAUAAACUGUCAUCUCACAAAAUCUAUCACUGAUCAGUGGGCUAUACCCCAGUGUAAGCAUUUCCAAAUCAAACAUCGAUGAGAGGAGUACAACCAAUCAUACACAAUAUGAUCAAAACAAAUCUCCACUCCUCAAAGUCAUCAUGGUAAUGUGAAGAGAGUAUCUAACCUCAUUUAAAGAAAGAUCAUGUCCCAAUGUGAAAAAUAUCAAGCAAAGUGGUAUGUCUCAACAAAAAUGCACUCUAACAUGAUCAUGCCUAGAUGUAAGAUGGUAUCUUUAAGAUUAAUCACCAAUGAAAGGGUUAUGCCCCAGUAUAGGGCAAUCUCUUAAACGACUAAAAUCCACUACAAGCUCUCACAAGUGUCUAUGUCAUGAACCAAUCAUCUCAAAAAAUAAAUAAAUAAAUAAAUAAAUCUAUCAACAAUGAUGAGAAGGUUAUGCUCGUAUAAUCACAUCAAGAAAAUCACCCGGUCAUAUCUUGUAUUCCAAUGUGAAAGGAAAAUAUGAUCACCUCCAAAGAAUGGCUAUGCCCCAAAAUACAUCAUCGAUUGAGAAAUAUGCCCCUACGUAAAGUACAUCAACUGAAAUAUGCCAAUCAUGCCUCAUGCUCCAAUGUGAAAAAUGACGUAUAAUCUUCUUUGAGGGAUGGUCAUGACUCAAAAUCCAUCAUCAGUUGAGAGAAGUAUGCCCCGACAUAAUGGUCAUCUAAAAAAUCAAUCCCCGACUAAGAAAUGUGUGCCUUGAUGUGAUGUAUCAAGCAAAAUGGCUGCAUACCCCAUAAAAAACUCUCUAAGGUGGCUAUGCUCCAAUGUUGGAUCAUACCACAACUCCUGGUCGAUCACAAUCAAAAUGCUCUCCAACCAAUCCCAAGUAUCGCCCACAUGAGAGCUAUCAAACACAAUGUGUGAUGUCAUGGCCUCAAGGUGGUCUUAAGAUUCGGGACGUAACGUAGGCUAGGGUAAUAAGGUGAAGAAAUGAAGGAAAACUAGGCUUAAUAAUCCUAAUGAUAAAACCCCAUACCCUUAUGUAUAAAAUGCAAUAUGUGCAAAGAGUCUCAUAAACCAUGGAUCUAAGGACACCCAAUAUGAAUAUAUCAGUGAGGAAGAAAGAAUCUAAGAUGAAUAUAUCAAUGAUAAAAGAGAAGAAAUGAAGAAUAUCAAACUGUUGAUGGGAUGUAUAAGAAUGAUGUGUGGAAAAUAUUGAACAUGGAAUGUAAAUUGAUAUGAACAAAGAACAAUGUAGGCAAGGCAAAUGCGAUAUCAUGAUAAGAACAAAUAAAUCGAAGAAAAAUGAAUGAACACUAAUCCACUCAAAUCAAGUCAUGGAGAAUAGUCAAAUCACCAACGUAUGUAAUGAUGGAGAAGACAAUGAUUCGAAGUCCCUAGGAAAAUGUCACUUGUUUGUCACACAUAAAAUACAUAACAAGAUAGACACAAAAAUAUGAGAGUCUUUUGAAAGUUCACGUACGAACUUUCAUAAGCAACUAACUCAAUAAAGCAACCUCAAUGACCAAUAUAUACACUCAAUAAAGGAUGACACUGUAUACAUGUGUUUAUUACUUUUUCUUUUUCAUUUUUUUCAUUUUUUUUUUCAUUUUUUUUCUUUUACUCACGCAUACUCUGAAUAUCAAUAAAUGAACUUCUCUAAGAAUACAUAAUGAAAUGGAUAUACUCUCAAACAAUGAUGUAAGCGAACUCUCUCUGACAAGAUGACCCUCUAAAUUAAGGAUUUUCGAACUAACGUCCAUGAGAUAGGAGUGGAAGGGGAUAUGACCAUCCUCCUUGCAUCGAAAUGUGAAAAAUCAUCACUCAGGGCACAAAAAAAUGUGAUGAAAAAAAAUAAAAAAUGAAACAAAAGAUAUAAACAAUGGAGUAUGAUGAAGACUGAUGUUGGGAAGACAAAAAAAUAGUGAAGAAGGUGAGCCAAUAAGUCCACAACUCAUGAAACUCUCGAAUAAAAUAUAUAUACACCAAAAGACCCUUAUCCCAGUAUAAAAUGUGAGCAAGGAUAUAAGAAAGAAAAGACUAUGGUGCUCAUGUGAGGUUCAAAGGGCUAGCAACGGUCCAAAUGUCAAUAAAGGUAAUAGGGUGUGAGCUAACCAAAAUGAAGGCCACCUAUGAUGGUCUGAAACAUCAUGCUCUUAAGCUUUCAAUGAUCAAUACUGAAAAUCGAUGUCCAUUUGAUAUAAACACGUCAACCCUUUGGAAUUGUGCGCCAAACCAUACUCCAAAUGCUCCAUAAUAAUCUCAAAGAUAAUCCUCUCAAAGCACAAUAAAUAGCGAUCUCAUAAGGCACAACUACUCAUCACAAGCCAACUCUCAUCAUGCAAGAUCAAUCUCUAUUUUCAUGGAAAAAUAAGUGACAAUCUCAUCAGGCAAUUGACGAAUCCUCACAUCGUAAACCAACCAAAGAUCAUAAGUCAUUCAUUGCCAUGCAAGAUCAAUCCCAAGCUCAAACUCCUCAUACUCUACCUGGUUGGAUUAGAGAAGAAAUGGGCAAAGCUAGAAAAACUGAAGAUGGAAAGGUCAUAUAAUGGUGUCAAGGGUGAUGUUGUGCAAAACUCACAAUGGAUGGAUGUAGGUCAAAGCAAAGUCAAUGUGUGAGAGUGAGUAAGACACCACUCUGAUCAUAAGAAGAUGAGUCACAAUCUCAAACUCCUAAGGUCAAAUCUCCGAUCCUAGGCUAAUAAGCUCAACAUCCUCCAUGAUAGGUCAACCCCCAAGAUCACAAUGUGCAAAUGAAUAGAUGCCUCAAGUCAAAAGUACAACACAUCAUAUGAUAUAUGGUCCUACGAUGACAAUCUAAAACUGGAAAUAUGUUACAAACUCUAAGGUCAUAAAGGUGUCCACUGUGAGAUGACUACAAAUGUGACUAAGGAAUCUUUAUCAAUAAUCCAAAAAAUGAAUGAGGUGUGAAAAACAACACUAUCAUGAGAUCGAUACCCCAUCAAUAACAAAAUAUCUCUAAUUCACUUUCAAUCUAAGCUCUAUAAAGAAAAACGAUAAGGUUAUAAAGGCAAACCUCUCAAAAAUGGUGUGAAUGUGAAAACAUGUCUUCACCUUUCUAUAAUGAAAAUAUCAUGUUGAAAAUAGAAAUAGGCAAAUCGACCAAAGAAUGAAGUACGGAGCCCAUGACAAGUGAAGAAUGUAAAAAGGUGAACAUGAUCAAUGAACAUAUCCCAAAACAUCAAGCAUAAAGUGGCAACAAACCGAAAGAAUGUGUCAACUUAAGAAAAGAAGACUAUCUGAAGCCCUAGGGAGAAAGUGUGCUAGACUCAAGGAGCGACAAGAAGAAACUAAAACCAUAUAGCAAGGGGUGGUCCAACUGAUACUCAAACUCGUACCAAUAUCUAAGCACUCUCGACUGGAGACCAAAAGAUGGAGUAUUGGAUCCAUAUUGUGACUAAAGUGGCCUCGAAGGCUCUAAGAUGCACCCACGUGUAGGAAAGGAAAUCCUAAUAAAAAUAUCUAAGGCUUAACCUACAAGGUCAAGGCGGCUAUAAAAAGAAAAAUUGAGUGGACUUUAAAGGAUCCCUAGCAAAAGCGAUCAUACCCUCCAAUGGUACGCAACCUCCUACACGUCUUGAAAUAUAUGGGAGUAAUUCCAUGCAAGGUGGUCAUCACCUCCACACAUGCACUAGCUCAUAUCCUAGAGGGUUUCCUAAUGAUGAAGACUCUUACAUCUCUCAACACUUAGUGGUAAUCUAAGGUGCACAGUGAACGGUGUGGGUUCAUCCAAAAAUCAUAUCAAGCUAAACAAAGAGAAAACACAUUGGUCACACAAAUAUCCUGAAAUCUAGCUCUAACCUAUACAAGUCUUCAAAGAUUGGACUCCAAUUAGCAUUAAUGUUUCGACCUUCUCCAGAAUGCUCCCAAACAUAGAUAUAGUCCAUCACUAAACCCUACUCCGAAUCACUAGCUCGGUCGAAGAGCAAACAAAGUAAUAAGUCUCAUAUCAAAUACGAGAUCAAGGGGAACACGGUCACCCGAGACUAGGGAAUUGAAGGUAAGGAGAUAGGUGUGUGUCCCACAUAGAAAAUCAACAUGCAUUACACAGAAGAAGAAUAGUCAUGCAAUAGACAACCAAGCAAAGAACAGGUAUAUCAUUCAUAUCUACACACAAGCUAAACAAGAAAUAGGUAUUUAACAAGAAUAAACAAUAUGUUGAGAUAAACAAGAUAAUAUACAAUAAAGAGAAUCAAUCACACCAAUAUGAAUGAGAUAUACAAAAAUGAGAAUAUACAUGUCAAGGAGAGCAAGAUAAUCAUACAACAAGAAGAGUCUUAUGUUAAAGCAAGCAAGAGAAUCAAUCGAUGUAGUCAACAUGUCAAUAUCGCAAAUGAACAUAACAACCAAAUAUGCAUCAUAAAGAAAAAAUGGUAAUCAUGCAGCACGUAGUCAUACAAAACAAAUAUAGACAAACAUAAGCAAAUAAAUGUAAACACACAUGAUAACAAAAAUCAAUGUAUAGUAAGGCACAUGCAAUAUAUACAUAAAAUAAUCAUCAAGUCAACACUCAUAUACCUUAAAACAUGAAAAUAUACAAUAAAGACACAAUGAGAGGGUAUUCACUGAUCGAUUAAUCAAACGCUACAUUUCCUUUAACUCGAGUUCAAGUUUGAUCCUUUAAAUAUCCCUAGUGGAGUCGCUAUUUUGUGGACCCACAUUUUUCAAAUGCGUCCUUACACAACAGCGAGACUCAUUUUUUUUAUUUGGUGAAAAUUUGAUUUUUAGAAAAAAGACUUUGAGUCGUCACUUAUUUUUGUUUUUUUUUAAGGGAAAACAAAACAAGAAAGAAAACCUUGUGUAACUCCUUAUUUGGGAAAGACAUGUAUGCAAAAACCAAAUCUGGUUUCGGGGGUCAAGUUACCUAUUGGGAAUGUACGAUGGUGAGCUGUAGCACCUCUCUAAGCUCAUAUACGUACAGUCUCUACUAAACGAAUUAAGAGAGUUGUAGUAAUUAAUUAAUUAGUCAAGGAUACCAAGAAAAAGAAUCGCACAAAUGAGUACGUACAAAUCAUGAUAAAAAAAAUCAAAUUAUAAGAAUAGACAAAAUAAAUAACAAGAGAAUUGUGCAAAGUGAUUUAUUAAACUAAAUAAAAAAGAAGAUAUUAAAAAAAUUAGUUUUCAAGAAAUUUCAAAGGAUUUUAUUAAAAUGAUUUUGAAUUAAUGAUUUUAAUUUAUUUAUUUACAAAAAAAAAAGUCAAUUUAUUUUCUUCAAGUGAUUUGAUUCAAUUUUUUUUAAAAAAAAAAGUUAUUUACACUCAUGGUUGUUAAAAGAAUUAUUAACAAAAUUUCAAGUUGACAAUAAAAAUGAUUUUUACUUGCUUUUACUCGAAAACAAUGAAUUUUUACAAUUUUAUUAACAAAAGCAUUUCAAUUUAAGAAAAGUGACUUAAACAAAUUAUUAAAAAAAUAUAACUUUAUCUACAAAAGAAUUUUUAAUUAAAAAGAAAAAAUUUAAAUCAUCUAUUUCUAAAAAUGACUUUUAAUCCCAUUUUAAUUAAGGAAAAUUGAGUUAUUUAAAAAAACAUUUUUUGGACAAUUUGAAUAAAAAUUAAUUUUUGGGACAACUUAUUUACAAAACAAUUUUUGGACAAUUAUUAUUAAAAACAAAAUUUCAAAUUCGAUUAAAAACAAUUUUUUGGAUUUUUCCAAACACAUUUUUAUGAAUUUUUAUUAAUAAAAAACUUUUUUUUAUUAAGAAGAAUAUUUUUUGAGCUAUUAUUUUAUUAAAACAUGUUUAUUGAAUUAUUCUUCUUAUUCAAACAAAAUUUUUAAUUUGUUCGAUAUCCAAUUCUGUACACAACAAGUAAAUAUAUACAAACAAAUAUUUAUAGAAAGCAAUAAAAAUAAAACCAAAUAGAAGUGAGAAAUAAAACAUGUACUUAAACAUGCUUACAACAAGCUCAAUGUCUUCUUACGAUUUUUCGAGUCUCACUUUCUUUCAUUAAAUUUUAUGCUCCACGUACCAUAAAUCCGUACUCAACCAAAAAAAUUGCAGAAUUGGCCCAUGCAAAAACAAAAAUAACACAAAUGUAAAUAUCUAAAAAUGUAUAAAGUUCACAAUAGAUAUUCAAGCCCAAAUUCAAAUUUCAAAUUAGUCCAACAAAUUUCGUCAAUCAAAAUAGGUCUAAAUUAGCAAAUAUAGCCCAACAAAAACAUUUCACAUGUCAUAGGCCUUAAUAUAAAAUUUCCAAGUUAAUAACCAAAAUAUAAGUUCAAUUAAUCAGACCCAAAACAUGAUACAUUAAAAUAAAUCUCAUUAGGCAUAAACUUAAUAUCUCAUAAUUCAAGCCUAAUUUAAUAUAUAAACCUAAAUCCACAAUCAAAAUCAACUCACUUUAUGCUAAUCCCAAUUUACAAUCAAAAUCAAACAUAAUUUAAUAAGUAAAUAACUAAAUAAAUUAAGCAAAAUCAAAACUCUCAAACCACUAUUGCACAAUAUCAAACAAUAAUAAAUAUAAUGACAACAACAAUAAUAAUAAAAUAAAAUAAAAAAAUUUAACUCACGUUGGAGCCAGUUUGAGUGUCGUGGGAAAGAAAGAAAAUGAGAGAAAAGUGGGAGAUGAUCGUUAGCUGGUAGUAGCUCGCCCGCGGCGACUGGUCGAUAGUCCUGCUGGCGGUAGUGAGGAUUGAUGAAUUUUUGGGAAAGGAAAAAAAAAGAGGAGUAAUAAAAAAAUGGAGAAAUGAGAGGAAGGUGGGAUAAGAGGGGAGAGAGAGAAUGAAGAAAAUAGGGGAAAAGAAAUGAGGCCGGCCGGAGGAGGAAGUGGUAGUGUGUGUGAGCUAAAGUGAAGAAGAAUGAAAGAAGAAGAAGGAGAAAAAUGGGAAAGAAGGGGAAAAAAAAUUCGAGCCCUCUAAAUGAAGAAAGGUGAGUAGCUUAAAGAAGAAAAUAAAAUAAAAUAAAAAAAGAAAAAAUGAGGAGAAAAUGAGAGGGCCAGUAGUCUUGGGAAUGGGGUGGUAUAGGUGAGAGAGAGUGGGCGAGGUUGUUGGGGAAGGUAUGGGAGAGAGAGGAGAGAUGAAAGAAAGAGAAAAAAAAAACAUAAUAAUAAUAAUAAUAAUAAUAAUCAUAAAUAAUAUAUAAAAUAAUAAAAAUUAAUAUUUAAAUGAUGAGUGUGUCAAAAAUAUUAUAUGUAAUUGGGAUUUAAUUUUAAGAGUAAAAUUGGACUAAAAAUUAAUGUAAAAAUAAAAUUUGAACAAAUUUUAAAAUCUACAAAUACAUUCUUUAAUCUUUCCACAACAUCAAUCUGAUCUAAAUGAAAUGCAAUAAAUUCUAAAAAUGAUACAAUCUUUAAUCAAUCCACAAUAUCAACCCGAUCAAAACUCAAUGCAAUAUUGCUUAAUGGAGAGAAUCGUAAAAUCCUUUUAUGAGAGGAAAACAAAACCCUUAACAGACCUUUAUGAGAGGAAAAUAGGAAAACAUAGAACUAAAAACCCUUAACGUAUUCAUGAGAAUAAAAAAAAUCCUUAACACCUUAAUAAGAGGAAAACAAAGAAUUUGAACAAUCCUUAAUCCAUCAAAAGCUCUUAAUAUGAACGAGGGGAAAACAUAACCUUUAUUUUUCAUAUCGCUGAAUACAGAAUCUAAAGAGAUAGAAUUUUUAGUUAUUAAGGAUUUUUUAUAGAUGUCUAUUGAAAGUUUAAGAACUUUUAUGGAUAAUUGUUAAUUAAGAGACUGAAAGGGUACUUAGGAUUUUCAACUAAAAAAGUUAUAACAAUAUGAAUAGUAAGAACUUAAAAACAUCACCCAUCCAUCAUAGGAAUAUGGAAUGAGAGGUUAUUUUUUUACUUAUACAACAAUAAACUUUUUUGGAAGAGGUUUUUCUAAGUACAAAAAGUUAUGAAUAAAAAACCAUUGUUACGAUGAGUUAACUAAAAUAGAAUUAAUUUAGAAAAUAUCAAUAAAGUUGCAUGAAUUAUUAUCAUGAGUUAACUUAAUAAGAAUAAAUAGUAAUAAAGUUAAUGAAGUGAAUUUGGAUUGGCAGAUAUAUUUGAUGAUAAGAUUUUUUUAAUAAUAAAAAAUUAUUAUGGCAGGAAAAAUAGGACAAAAUUGACCUUAUGAUAAGAUUUUUUUAAUAAUAAAAACAUUAUUAUGGUAUGAAAAAAAGGGACAAAAUUGGCCUUUCCUUAAUUGUACCGGUUAAUGGAAUAAUGGGACAUGCGGUGGUUACAAGCCACCCCAAAAGGUAGGAAGAAUCUCCAACCCCCAUUCUCGGCUCCCUUAUCUUUUCCCUUACAACCAAAAAUCAACAACUAUCUUAGAAUGUCCUUCAGUCCAUCAAAAUUCAACAACAACAAUUAUACAUUACAAUAAUGAAAACAAAAUUGAUUGAUCACCAGCUAACAUUAGGAGAUUAUAAGAUAAGGAUGUAAUUGCAAUUAUUGAAAUCACUUAAAGAGUAAAAAUUAGGAACAUGCUCACAAUAAAUAAAAUCACCUUAGAAUUAAAAAUUAGGGACAUGAUUAUGAUGAUUAAAAUCACUCGAGAACUAAAAUGUUUUAGAGAUACAAUAAUUGAAAUCAACUGAAAAAUAAAUUCGGGAUGUGAUCGCAAUUAAUGUAUAUAUAAACAACCAAAUGUUGAAAGGAAAAACUAAUGAAAUUAAUAUGAUUUUCUUUUAGAUUUCUCUUGACACCAAACAAAUGUAAGGAAGUUUAUAAAGGAAAAUUAGGUUUUGAUUCACUAAAUUAAAAUAAUAUAGAAAAAAGAUCUUCAAAUUUUAUGUAUCAGUUUUAUUUUUAUUUAUUUAAAAAUAUUUUAAAAUACAUAUAUUUUUUCAUAACUCAAAUAGUCAUUCCUCAAAUGCUAGUUUUACUUGUUAUGUUAAUAACACUAGUUAAUAAUUUUGUAUUGUGAGAACGAUUUAAGAUUAAUAAAAUAAGAAAUUUUUAAAACUAAAAAGACAUUUAAAACUUUAAAAUUAAAAAUAUAAAAAUAAAACAAUAAUUUUUCAUUUAGUAAAACACGCAGUAGAAAAUAUAGAUAUAGAGAAAGAGUUGGAAAUAAAAUAAGAGUUAAUAUUUUAUUUUUAAAAUUUUAUGUUUUUUAUUUUAAUUGUAUUUAAUUUUAUGUAUUUUAGUUGUAAUUAUAUUUUUAAUUUUUAAAUUUUUUUAUUUUAUUGUUGAUGUAAAUUUUUGUUCAAUUAUAUAUAUAUAUAUAUAUUUUAAAUUAGUGAGUAAAAACCCACUUUUUCUAAUUUAUAAUAUAUUUAUGGGAUUUUAUAAUAUAAGCAAUUUUUUUUUUUGAGAAAGAGGAAAAAUCAACUUUUCAAUUUCCCUUAAUAAUUAUUAGUAUUAUUAUCCAAUUUGGCUGAUUAUGAGAUUAGUUGGUAUCAUUACUAUAUCCAUUUGUUCUUAACCCUUCAUUAGAAUAGUAUUAGGAGUUGAACGUCAGUUGGAAUACAGGCUUAUGGAAACAAAUCUAUCCGAUUAGUAGGUUCUUAUUAUUUUCAAUAUAGGCCCCAUAAAAUAAAUAGGAGAUGGGCAGCCCGUCCCUUUGUCUGGAGGCCAUCCUCCCAACUUAUUAAAGGUGAUAUGAGAUAAGAUAGUGACAAAAUUAUCGGUUACUUCCCGACACCUGGCUCUCCACAAGCAAACCCAGUGAUCCAGAAAUUAAUUGGUACCUGGACACGUGACUACCAAACGUUCGCUCACCUACCAUACCCAUGGCCUCAUGCCCCAUAUAUUUCCACAAACCUAGCUCAAUUUUCAUAGCCACCUUCACUAUCCUACACUCACUAAGCCAUGGCCAUAGAUACAAGCCUCUUGAUUGAGCUUGCUGCAGCAACUCUACUCUUCUUCAUCACCCGCUUCUUCAUUCGUUCUCUCCUUCCCAAAUCUUCCUGGAAGCUCCCUCCUGGCCCCAAAGGGUGGCCGCUCGUCGGCGCUCUUCCUCUUCUAGGUAACAUGCCUCAUGUUGCAUUAGCAAAGAUGGCCAAAAGAUACGGGCCUGUCAUGUUCUUGAAAAUGGGCACUAACAGCAUGAUGGUGGCCUCAUAUUAAGGAAAUUAUAUGUUAGUUAUUGUAUGAUUAUCUUGACAUAAUUAGCUGAUUGUAUAGGAGCAUAAUUAGCCUUAUAUUACUGAUUCUGUAGCUAUAAUUUAGGAGAAGAUUAGAUCAAACAUGUGUAUAUAUAUACUACAUUCUAUUAAUGAGAAAAGUAUCCAAUUUGAAGCCAAUCUCUUUAUUCUUGUUAUGGUAUCAGAGCAAGAACAAAAAACCACCAUGGCUGGCAGUCAGAAGGCUUCUGGAUCAGAAAACAAGACCAUCGAUCCUUCACAUCCUCUCUAUAUUCAUCAUUCAGAUCAACCAGGCCAUGUUUUGGUGCCCAUCAAAUUAAAUGGGGUCAACUAUCAAUCAUGGAGCAAAGCAGUUAUUCAUGCCCUUACUGCCAAGAAGAAGAUCGGCUUCGUCGACGGGACAGUUGAAGAACCAUCGCAGGAAGAUGAACCCUUUAUGUUUGAACAGUGGAAUCAAUGCAACAGCAUGAUACUUUCUUGGCUAACUCAUGCUGUUGAAUCGGACAUUGCUGAAGGAAUUAUCCAUGCUAAAAUAGCACGCGAAGUGUGGGUUGAUUUGCGCGACCAGUUUUCUCAAAAGAAUGCUCCAGCGGUUUUUCAAAUAUAGAAAUCAAUCGCCACCAUGUCGCAAGGAACGAUGACAGUAGCUGCAUAUUUUACAAAGAUCAAAGCCUUAUGGGACGAGCUUGAGACAUACCGUUCCCCGCUGACCUGCAACCAACGGCAAGCACAUCUCGAGCAAAGGGAGGAAGACCGUCUUAUGCAAUUUCUAAUGGGUUUGAAUGAGUCAUAUAAGGUAGUGAGAUCCAAUAUUUUGAUGAUGUCGCCAUUGCCCAAUGUCUGUCAAGCAUACUCUUUAAUUGUCCAGGAAGAGAUGCAACGACAAGUUUCUUCUGAGCCAACCGAGAAUUUCUCAAUAGCUGCCGCAGUCCCUGGAAAAGGAGGUAAUCCAAGACAAAAAUUGUGUGACCAUUGUAACAGAUCCGGACAUACCAUAGAUGAAUGUCGGACUCUUAAAUUUCACUGUAAGUUCUGUGAUAAAAGAGGUCACACGGAGGAUAGAUGCCGACUGAAAAAUGGGAGCAAUAACAAAACGGGACAAUUCCGAGGACAAUGUCCUUUUGGUCGUGGGAAUCAGCCCUUAGCAAACGCGACAGAAUCCCAGGAAAUGUCUGAUUCGACUUCUUCUAGUACAGUCCAGGGGUUCACUACAGAACAAAUACAACAGUUGGCUCAAGCAAUUUCAUGCAUUAAAUCACAGUAAUUCCGGUAAUAUUGACGCAUAUGCAAAUGCUGCAGGUUUGAUUCCAUCAACUCUUGUGUCUGUUAAUUCUAGUAGUACAAGUUCUUGGAUUUUGGAUACAGGUGCCACGGAUCACAUCGUUUCCCACAUGUCUCUUUUCACUGAUCUCAAACCUUCUAAUGUCACAACUGUUAAUUUACCAAAUGGUGCAGCAUCACCAAUAACACACACUGGCACCGUUAUUUUUGAUUCCCAAUUGACCCUUAAAGAUGUUUUAUGUGUCCCAUCCUUUAACUUGAAUUUAAUUUCGGCUAGCAAACUCGCAAAAGAUCAGAAUUGCUGCAUCAUAUUCUUUCCUGACUAUUGUAUUUUGCAGGACUUGGUUUCGGGGAAGAUGAUUGGCUCGGGUAAACAGCGUGGUGGUCUAUACUACAUGCAUCCAUCAACAAAUAAAUCGGUUGUCUUUCAUGUUUCUCAACCGUCUGACUUAUGGCAUUUACGCCUGGGUCAUCCCUCUUUUUCUCGUUUUAAAUUAUUAUCACAUUUGCUUCCAGAUAUUCAUAAAGAAUUAGGAAAUCAUUGUCCAAUUUGCCCACAGGCUAAGCAGACACGCUUGCCCUUUCCCAAAAGUUCAAUAACUACAAAAUUUCCUUUUUCUCUUUUACAUUNNNNNNNNNNNNNNNNNNNNNNNNNNNNNNNNNNNNNNNNNNNNNNNNNNNNNNNNNNNNNNNNNNNNNNNNNNNNNNNNNNNNNNNNNNNNNNNNNNNNNNNNNNNNNNNNNNNNNNNNNNNNNNNNNNNNNNNNNNNNNNNNNNNNNNNNNNNNNNNNNNNNNNNNNNNNNNNNNNNNNNNNNNNNNNNNNNNNNNNNNNNNNNNNNNNNNNNNNNNNNNNNNNNNNNNNNNNNNNNNNNNNNNNNNNNNNNNNNNNNNNNNNNNNNNNNNNNNNNNNNNNNNNNNNNNNNNNNNNNNNNNNNNNNNNNNNNNNNNNNNNNNNNNNNNNNNNNNNNNNNNNNNNNNNNNNNNNNNNNNNNNNNNNNNNNNNNNNNNNNNNNNNNNNNNNNNNNNNNNNNNNNNNNNNNNNNNNNNNNNNNNNNNNNNNNNNNNNNNNNNNNNNNNNNNNNNNNNNNNNNNNNNNNNNNNNNNNNNNNNNNNNNNNNNNNNNNNNNNNNNNNNNNNNNNNNNNNNNNNNNNNNNNNNNNNNNNNNNNNNNNNNNNNNNNNNNNNNNNNNNNNNNNNNNNNNNNNNNNNNNNNNNNNNNNNNNNNNNNNNNNNNNNNNNNNNNNNNNNNNNNNNNNNNNNNNNNNNNNNNNNNNNNNNNNNNNNNNNNNNNNNNNNNNNNNNNNNNNNNNNNNNNNNNNNNNNNNNNNNNNNNNNNNNNNNNNNNNNNNNNNNNNNNNNNNNNNNNNNNNNNNNNNNNNNNNNNNNNNNNNNNNNNNNNNNNNNNNNNNNNNNNNNNNNNNNNNNNNNNNNNNNNNNNNNNNNNNNNNNNNNNNNNNNNNNNNNNNNNNNNNNNNNNNNNNNNNNNNNNNNNNNNNNNNNNNNNNNNNNNNNNNNNNNNNNNNNNNNNNNNNNNNNNNNNNNNNNNNNNNNNNNNNNNNNNNNNNNNNNNNNNNNNNNNNNNNNNNNNNNNNNNNNNNNNNNNNNNNNNNNNNNNNNNNNNNNNNNNNNNNNNNNNNNNNNNNNNNNNNNNNNNNNNNNNNNNNNNNNNNNNNNNNNNNNNNNNNNNNNNNNNNNNNNNNNNNNNNNNNNNNNNNNNNNNNNNNNNNNNNNNNNNNNNNNNNNNNNNNNNNNNNNNNNNNNNNNNNNNNNNNNNNNNNNNNNNNNNNNNNNNNNNNNNNNNNNNNNNNNNNNNNNNNNNNNNNNNNNNNNNNNNNNNNNNNNNNNNNNNNNNNNNNNNNNNNNNNNNNNNNNNNNNNNNNNNNNNNNNNNNNNNNNNNNNNNNNNNNNNNNNNNNNNNNNNNNNNNNNNNNNNNNNNNNNNNNNNNNNNNNNNNNNNNNNNNNNNNNNNNNNNNNNNNNNNNNNNNNNNNNNNNNNNNNNNNNNNNNNNNNNNNNNNNNNNNNNNNNNNNNNNNNNNNNNNNNNNNNNNNNNNNNNNNNNNNNNNNNNNNNNNNNNNNNNNNNNNNNNNNNNNNNNNNNNNNNNNNNNNNNNNNNNNNNNNNNNNNNNNNNNNNNNNNNNNNNNNNNNNNNNNNNNNNNNNNNNNNNNNNNNNNNNNNNNNNNNNNNNNNNNNNNNNNNNNNNNNNNNNNNNNNNNNNNNNNNNNNNNNNNNNNNNNNNNNNNNNNNNNNNNNNNNNNNNNNNNNNNNNNNNNNNNNNNNNNNNNNNNNNNNNNNNNNNNNNNNNNNNNNNNNNNNNNNNNNNNNNNNNNNNNNNNNNNNNNNNNNNNNNNNNNNNNNNNNNNNNNNNNNNNNNNNNNNNNNNNNNNNNNNNNNNNNNNNNNNNNNNNNNNNNNNNNNNNNNNNNNNNNNNNNNNNNNNNNNNNNNNNNNNNNNNNNNNNNNNNNNNNNNNNNNNNNNNNNNNNNNNNNNNNNNNNNNNNNNNNNNNNNNNNNNNNNNNNNNNNNNNNNNNNNNNNNNNNNNNNNNNNNNNNNNNNNNNNNNNNNNNNNNNNNNNNNNNNNNNNNNNNNNNNNNNNNNNNNNNNNNNNNNNNNNNNNNNNNNNNNNNNNNNNNNNNNNNNNNNNNNNNNNNNNNNNNNNNNNNNNNNNNNNNNNNNNNNNNNNNNNNNNNNNNNNNNNNNNNNNNNNNNNNNNNNNNNNNNNNNNNNNNNNNNNNNNNNNNNNNNNNNNNNNNNNNNNNNNNNNNNNNNNNNNNNNNNNNNNNNNNNNNNNNNNNNNNNNNNNNNNNNNNNNNNNNNNNNNNNNNNNNNNNNNNNNNNNNNNNNNNNNNNNNNNNNNNNNNNNNNNNNNNNNNNNNNNNNNNNNNNNNNNNNNNNNUUUUCGUUUUUCACCCCAUCACCGUGCUUUUUUAGCUCUUUUGACAGCCCAAACCGAACCUUCAUCCUUUGAACAAGCUGACUGUGAUCCACGUUGGCGCCAAGCCAUGUCCACCGAACUUCAGGCUCUAGAACGAAACAACACUUGGGAGAUGGUCCCUCUUCCUCCGGGACACAAACCCAUUGGCUGCCGCUGGGUGUACAAGAUCAAAUACCAUUCUGACGGAACCAUUGAACGCUAUAAAGCCCGUUUGGUUGCCAAGGGCUACACACAGGUCGCCGGUAUCGACUAUCAGGAAACCUUUUCUCCAACUGCCAAACUCACCACUCUUCGCUGUUUGCUGACUGUCGCAGCUUCCAGAAAUUGGUACAUCCAUCAGCUUGAUGUGCACAACGCAUUCCUUCAUGGCAAUUUACAAGAAGAGGUUUAUAUGACUCCACCUCCUGGUCUUCGCCGAUAGGGGGAGAAUCUGGUAAGUCGGCUUCGCAAAUCUAUUUACGGUUUGAAACAGGCAUCACGCAAUUGGUUCUCAACUUUUACAGCUACUGUUAAGUCUGCGGGUUACAUACAGUCCAAAGCAGAUUAUUCACUUUUUACUAAAUCCCAAGGUAACAAGUUCAUUGCUAUUCUCAUUUAUGUUGAUGAUAUCCUGUUGACUGGUAAUGAUUUGCAUGAAAUCAAGAUGCUCAAGACUCAUCUGCUCAAGCAUUUUUUUAUUAAAGACCUCGGUGAAUUGAAAUAUUUUUUGGGUAUAGAAUUCUCUCGCUCUAAAAAGGGAAUCUUUAUGUCUUAAAGAAAAUAUGCAUUAGAUAUUUUGCAAGACACAGGAUUGACAGGAGUGAAGCCCGAAAAAUUUCCGAUGGAGCAAAACUUGAAAUUGACUGAUGAAGAUGGCGAGUUACUUCAUGAUCCAAGUAGGUAUCGGAGACUGGUUGGCAGAUUAAUAUACUUGACUGUAACCAGGCCUGACAUAGUGUAUUCAGUACGUACACUAAGUCAAUUCAUGAACACACCUCGGAAGCCGCACUGGGAAGCAGCAUUACGAGUCCUCCGAUAUAUUAAAGGGUCACCAGGUCAAGGUCUUUUUCUUCCAUCUGAAAAUAAUUUAACACUCAGCGCAUUUUGCGAUUCAGAUUGGGGAGGAUGUCGUAUGUCAAGACGUUCCGUUUCUGGUUAUUGUGUUUUCCUCGGAUCAUCACUCAUCUCUUGGAAAUAAAAAAAACAAACGAAUGUUUCACGUUCGUCAGCAGAAGCAGAGUACAGAGCAAUGGCGAAUACUUGCCUGGAAUUGACUUGGUUGAGGUACAUACUUAAAGAUUUGAAGGUUGAAUUGGACAAACCAGCACCAUUGUUUUGUGAUAAUCAAGCAGCUGUAUAUAUUGCAGCUAACCCAGUUUUUCACGAAUGUACUAAACACAUUGAGAUUGAUUGUCAUAUAGUUCGAGAAAAACUUCAAGCUGGGGUAAUUCGUCCGUGUUAUGUUUCUACAAAGAUGCAGUUGGCGGACGUUUUUACAAAGGCACUUGGCAGGGAGCAGUUCGAAUUUUUGUGCACCAAGUUGGGAGUUCUUGAUUUGCACUCUCCAACUUGAGGGGGAGUAUUAAGGAAAUUAUAUGUUAGUUAUUGUAUGAUUAUCUUGACAUAAUUAGCUGAUUGUAUAGGAGCAUAAUUAGCCUUAUAUUACUGAUUCUGUAGCUAUAAUUUAGGAGAAGAUUAGAUCAAACAUGUGUAUAUAUAUACUACAUUCUGUUAAUGAGAAAAGUAUCCAAUUUGAAGCCAAUCUCUUUAUUCUUGUUACCUCAACUCCCGGGGCGGCUCGGGCUUUCCUUAAAACGCUAGACAUUAAUUUCUCUAACCGCCCGCCUAAUGCCGGUGCCUCACUCUUGGCCUAUCAUGCCCAAGACAUGGUUUUUGCGGAUUAUGGGGCAAGGUGGAAGCUACUGAGAAAGCUAAGCAACUUACACAUGCUUGGUGGGAAGGCUCUUGAGGACUGGUCUCAGGUCCGAGCUGUUGAGCUAGGCCACAUGCUUCGAGCCAUGCUUGAGUUGAGCCAGCGAGCGGAGCCGGUGGUGGUGCCGGAGAUGUUAACUUUUUCCAUGGCCAACAUGAUAGGUCAAGUGAUUCUAAGCCGCCGGGUGUUUGAAACAAAAGGGUCGGAGUCAAAUGAGUUCAAGGACAUGGUGGUGGAGCUCAUGACCACUGCUGGGUACUUCAAUAUUGGCGAUUUUAUUCCGUCCAUCGCAUGGCUGGACAUCCAAGGGAUCCAGCACGGGAUGAAGCAUUUACAUAGGAAGUUCGAUCGGUUAUUAACAAAGAUGAUGGAGGAGCACACGGCGUCAGCCCAUGAGCGGAAGGGAAACCCAGAUUUUCUGGACGUGAUCAUGGCAAACCAAGAAAAUUCUACAGGGGAGAAGCUCACUAUUACCAACAUUAAAGCACUCCUCCUGGUAUGCAUAGUUAAAGCUCGUCUUUAAUUUUGUUUUCCGAUAUUUUCUUUCCUGAAACAGCACUUUUAUUGCUUUUAGAUAUGUACGUUUUUAUCAGGUAGCCAUUUUAGGGGCACAUCACUGUUCUUUAUUUGGAUUUUUUUUGUCUUUUUCCACUUGCAUGGUUGUUUUCAUAUGCUCAGCUGCAUGGCACAGGAAAAUUGUGAAAAAUGAUUGGUUCUCUGAUCAGACCUUCUGCACCAAAACAUAAUUCUCUCUAUUUUAUAAAAUCAAGAACAUUUAUGGUUUACAUGAUUUUUCGAACUUGAACUUUUGCUAGUGCUAAUGCAUGGAUCUCAAUUUUUCAAUUGCGUUUGAUUAUAUAAAUUUCAAGUAUGUGAACAUAUUUUUGUUUCCUUGGCUAGAAUUUAUUUACUGCAGGAACAGACACUUCAUCGAGCGUAAUCGAGUGGUCUCUGGCUGAGAUGUUGAAAAACCCGAGCAUCCUCAAGCGUGCUCACGAAGAAAUGGAUCAAGUGAUUGGAAGGAGCCGGCGGCUCGUGGAGUCUGACUUGCCAAAACUUCCAUACCUACAAGCCAUAUGCAAGGAAAGCUUCCGGAAGCACCCAUCCACCCCAUUGAACCUUCCUCGUGUCUCAACCCAAGCAUGCGAAGUGAACGGCUACUACAUCCCAGAGAACACUAGACUUAGCGUGAACAUAUGGGCAAUUGGGCGAGACCCUGAUGUCUGGGAAAGCCCGGAAGAAUUCAGGCCAGAAAGGUUUUUAAGUGGAAGAAAUGAAAAAAUUGAUCCUCGUGGAAAUGAUUUUGAGUUGAUCCCGUUUGGGGCUGGACGAAGGAUUUGCGCUGGCACUAGAAUGGGAAUAGUGCUGGUUGAGUACAUUUUAGGGACGUUGGUACAUUCAUUUGACUGGAAAAUGCCGGAUGGAGUUGAGAUCAACAUGGACGAAGCUUUCGGGCUUGCACUGCAGAAGGCAGUUUCUCUUUCGGCCAUGGUGACACCAAGGCUUCACCAGAGUGCGUAUGCAGUCUGAGCUCAAACCGCUCAGACCAAAACCCAGGCCUCGCUGCUAUAUGGCAUGGAUGCAGUUAAGUAGAAAAUAUUUUGGGAUGCCUGUGGCUUAGUAUAAGAUGUAUUAGCUCAAAGAUGGUCGUUUCAUUCUACCACCAAGCCAUAUGCAUCUAUGCAUAAUCUAUUGAUUUAGGCUCGAUUUGGUUAUAGUUUUUGUUUUUUUGUCUUCCAAAUCAGUAAAUAGUAGGGGUAUUUUUGUCCUAUGUAGUGAUUCUUUUUGUUUGAUUGAUUAUAUUUGGAUCCUUCAAAUAUUCCUACACAACUAUUAACCUCCUUCAAAAAUAUAUAGUUAAGGGCCUUGGUCAGAGCCAUCUCCAUCUUUUCACUUCUUGUGCUGCAGUAUGGGAUUGGCUUAGAUGAUCGUUAGUCUAAUGUUUCCUUUUCAACAUCAUAAUUCAGCGCAAACUAAGUUGAAUAUUCAACAACAAAUAAGUACAGAAAAUAAUGGAAGAAAAAUUCCCACUUUAUCUCCGUAAAGUAAUGCCAUAUUUUUCUUCAUACUUACCUUCUAGAUUUUUGUUGGAGCUCUGAGCCCGUGAUCCAUUAGAUGAUUGCGUGUGUGCAUAUGCAUGUGGGUGAUUGCGUGUAAUACGUACGUACGUUCCAUGAUUCAUGUUCGAAGUACCCUCUCUUAUUUAUCGUUGAAGAGGCUAUCGUCACAAACUCUAUUGAUUAAUUAGUCUAGGCAAAUUAAGGCGCGAUAACGACCGAUGUAUAUCUUAAAAGUAACGAUUAAGAGAAUAUUAUAUGUACAAGGGAAAAAUCUACAUAUAAUUAUUGAUGCAACUUGCAAGUGGGAUAAAAUUUGGGAUGGGGAUUAUUAUAAAUUAAUCUCAAUCCAUAAUUGUGAUUGUGGAGUAUAAAUUAAAUGAUUCAUAAUCCAUCUACAUGAAGAUUAAAACCCAUAUUGAAAAUAGCUUUAAAAAACUAAUUUAUAAGAAUAAUUUUUGCAUCAUAUUUUGUGUGCUUGAACUCGUUUCCUAUAUUUUUAAAUAUAUAUUAAAUAUAAUUUUCUUUUAUUUAUAGUGUUUUAUUUUUAAUUAUUCUUCAUAUUUAUAUAAUUAUUUUUUAAAACAAUCAUGAUAAAAAGCAAAAAGAAGUGAAAAUAGCUUAAUAUAAUUAAAGACAAAUAUCUUAUUUUUUGUUAUCUGUUGUUAUUGUUUUUUCUUUUUGUUAACCCCCUUCAAAUCUAAUUAUUCAUACUCAAUUUUGACACGAAAGAGCCAUUGUCAUGAAAGGGGGAGGUCCAUCAUUUUGGUACGAUGCCAACUCUACCACAUAACCACCAUUUAGAUAUCUAUCCUUUUAUUUUUGGCAUGUGAACUUAUAGUGGGUGGCUGACCUUGAAUCCACUAGUUAUCAUGUUGAAAUUAACCACCAUUUAGAUAUCUAUCCUUUUAUUUUUGGCAUGUGAACUUACAGUAAGUCCGAUUUAUGUCCAAGGGUCAAAUUUAAAUCUCUCUUCAAUCUAAUGGCUAAGAACUUCCCAACUUUAUUUAAUACUUAAUGUAUCCAAUAAUUGUAAUCGAGUAAUCCAAUGACAAGUACCUUCAAUGACUAUUUUGGCAAAAGAAAAAAGAAAAAAAGAAAUAAUAUAAGUUUGUUAUUUUAUGAUAUAAUAAAUUUAUUAAUACUUUCCUUUUUCAAAAUAUGUAAUUAGUUGUAAUUUCAUUAUAUAAUAUAUAAAUUAAGUUAUUUGCAAUUUUAAAAUAUGUUCAUUUUGUUUUUUUUUAAGUGUUAAUUAAAAAUUAUACAAUUUUGUUUUAUAAAAAGUAUUUAGUACUUUUAAUUUUAUAAAUUACAAACAUUAAUUAUACUAUUUUCUUAAAAUAUUUAGUUUAGUAUGCAUAUUAUUAGUUGUUUUCUCAUAUCUCAAGUUUCAAUCAAAAAAAUAUUUAUGAUUUGUUUUUGUUAAUUUGUGUCUUGUUUUCAAUUUAAUUAAUGAAAAGUUAUUUGAUCAAAAGGUUCAUUACAAACCAAUUUUAAAAAUUUAAUCCUUUAUUAUAUUUUGAUAUUGUUUUGAUAAAAAUGUCUUUAUUAUUUUUUAAAUAUAUUGUAAAUAUUUAAAAUAAUUAAAAAUAUUUAGAUCAAAAAUCGAUUAUUUUUCAAACAAAAAUAUGAAAGUGAUAAAUUUGCAAAUGUGGGGAAUAUUUAAUCCUUUUAAUCGAUUAUUUCAUUAAUGAAGUGGGUAUAAUGAUGAACGCAGACUUGGUUUUACUAGGGCAUGCAGAGGUUUUGCAAGAGAGAGAGAUCAUUUCUCGACUCUGAGAAAUCAAUCUCCUUUUGGCCCGGUGGCGGACUCCAAGUAAAGCCUUGAAGGAGCCUUGCUAACAUCCCUGCACACCCACGCCUUCCAGUACUGAAGGAAAUGAAGCGAAGGUUUGGCUCGUUCAACUCCACUGCUUGAACUGUACUAGCAUUCAGAUGCCGCUCUGGAUUGAAAUUUAGCGGUUCUUCCCAGAUUCUAGGGUUCCGGCCCAGCCCCAGACGGCUCAGAAGGACAUGACUGCCUUUGGGGAUAGAGUACCCAGCAACACUAGUCGGAUUCCUGAACUCGUCUAUCCUUUCCAACCACUCCAUCAAUUUCUUCACUGCUUUGCUCAAAAUCCCUGGUUGCUUGAUCAUUGCCUACUCAAUUGCAUUUGAUGGACUAUCGAAGCCUGCAAGCAUCAACUCCUGCAAAUUAUGGAAGGAUCAUAAUCUCAUGAUUGAUCAAGUUAUUUGCUGGCUAGGAAAUGAUCAUCAUGCAAUGUAGAUCAAAAGGUAAGCACAACACUACUACAAAAAUAAUUUAUGGUGUCAUUUUUAAAAUAAUGACACCAUAGGGUUUAUAAUUAAUAAAGGUGAUACAUCAUAUGAAAAUUCUUCAAUUGAGGUAGUUAGAUUAUGUUAGUUUUAUAUUUAUAGUGUCAUUUUUUGGGAAGUAACAUCAUAUAAAAUAAUUUUUUUUUAAGUAUUAUAACUUAAUGAGCCCACUUUUAUAAUUAAUAAUGAGGGAUAAUGUAUAAAAAGCCCAUUGUUUCCACAUGCCACCCACAAUCCAAAAAAUCUCAGUAUACAAACCUUAUAUAUAAAACCAUAAUCUUCUUCUACCUUUUCUCUUACCUAUAGUCAACACACUUAUAACCGACAUUUUCCACUUUGUGGACUCCCAAGUUAUCCAAAUUCUCUUAGAUCUAUCCUAUUUUUUUUCUUUUAUUAAUAUCAUUAUAUUGAUUGUUUCAGCAUCUUUGUAUUAUGGUUUUUGUGAACUGCAUUUUCUUGAGUUGUAGGGAAGAAAAACUUAGGUUUAAACUUCUAGCAUAGACAAAGAAACUUGUAGAUUAAUUGAUUUUUUAAUAUGAACCAAACACAUGACCGACUUUUUCUGUGUGUAAUAAGGACAGCUAGUAUUCAUGCAUAAAAUCAGCAUCAGAAUUCGUAACUGCAUUUGAUCAGCUAGUUUAGUAAAUCUGUACAACUCAUUCUUUCCUUUAUUUUCACAUAUGUUGUUAUACGUUAGCACAAGUUUAGGAGUAAUUUUAGUUUCUCAAAUCUGUAUUUAUACCUCUUCUUCUAAUAAGAAUUGUGUGAAUCAUUUUGUCUAAACCUCUUUAUGGUAUCAGAGCACACCUCAAAACUCCAACAAGUAUUUCCUGUCUUUCUCGCUUCUGCUAUGGCCACUUCUUCCUCUGAUAGUUUUCCAAUAGCCAUCAAUGCCACCCAGCAAAUUACUGCACGUCUUACACCAACCAACUUCCCUUCAUGGCAUGCUCAAUUUGAGUCUCUCCUCCUCGGCUAUAACCUCUUUGGCUAUGUCGAUGGCACUCAUACCUGCCCACCCCUACCGAUGUCAACUAAUGCAGCUGCCACUACAGCUCAUCACCUUUGGUUCCAUCAGGACAAACUUAUUCUAAGUGCAAUUUUGACUUCAGUGUCCCUAGCUGUGAUACCACUCAUAGCAACCUCCCAAACGUCAUAUCAAACCUGGACAAAACUGACAAAACUGUAUGCUAGUCGAUCCAGGACUCGUGUCAUGCAGCUCAAAGAGGAUCUCACCCUCAUGCAAUGUGGCAAUCGCAGCAUUACAAAGUACCUACACUCUGUAAAAACCAUUGUCGAUGAGCUUGCUCUCAUCGAUGCCCCAUUAUCUCAAGAUGACAUCACCCUAUAUGUUCUUCAUGGCUUAGGAUCAAAUUUUCGUGACAUUGUUGCCCCGAUUCGAGCCCGAGAGUCUUCACUCUCAUUGUUGCAAAAUACUGUCCGAAAUUGAAACCCUCUGAAGCCACUGUGAACUGCACAACUACUACUUCCAGUCCCGACAAACGUUGGCUCAUUGAUUCUAUGGCUUCCCAUAAUAUCACUUCUCAGGUUUCAAAUUUACAAUUUCACUCUGAAUAUGAUGGUACUGAUGAAGUUAUUAUUGGAGAUGGAUCAGGUUUGCCCAUUACUCAUUCUGGUUCUCUUACUCUUUCAUUUCCAAACAGAAAAUUUCAAGUUGAAGAUACUCUAUGUGUUCCUACCAUUAACAAAAACUUGAUAUCUGUUCACCACUACACAAAGCAAAACAAUGUUAUCCUGGAAUUUCACCCAACUUAUUUUCUUGCGAAGGAUUGGAGAACGGGGGAGAUUCUUCUUCAAGGACCGUGUGAAAAUGGAGUCUACCCUCUGGCCUCAUCGCCUGCUGCUACUCCAAUUGCUUUUGUCCAUGAACGCACAUCAGCAGCUGGUUGGCAUCAUCGCCUUGGUCAUCGAUCAUUCAAAGUUGUCACUCGCCUCAUUAGUUCUUUCUCCCUUCCCACCACUUCAUGUCUUUCUGGUUCUAAUAAUUGUCAUUCGUGUUCUAUCAAUAAAGCUCAUCAGUUACCCUUUCAUAAACACGGUCUAACUAGCACAACACCAUUUGAUUUACUUUACACUGAUGUAUGGGGACCUUCUCCCACUCCUAGUCUCAAUGGCCACAGAUAUUAUGUUAUUUUUGUUGAUCACUUUACCAAAUAUGGUUGGUUCUUUCCAUUGCAUCAAAAAUCAGAUGUUAAAACCAUAUUUCCUCAUUUCUACAAAAUGAUUGAAACUCGUUUUAACAUAAAAAUUAAAGGAGUUUAUUCCGAUAAUGGGGGCGAGUUCACUGUUCUUCGACCCUUUUUCACAACCCAUGGCAUUAGUCAUUAUACGACAGCCCCUUAUACACCCCAACAAAAUGGAGUGUCUGAGCGUCGUCAUCUCCAUAUUGUGGAGACAGGUCAAACCCUUCUAAGUCAUGCCUCUCUUCCAUCAGAAUAUUAGGCUUAUGCUUUUGCAACAGCCACAUAUCUAAUCAAUCGACUUCCAUCACCUGUUCUUCAUCAUAUAUCACCUCUUCAAGCAACAACCUCGGUAUGAAAAAUUACGUUCCUUUGGAUGUCUUUGCUUUCCCUUGAUGAAGCCGUAUAACACAAACAAAUUUCAAAAGAAAUCCGUUCCUUGUAUCUUUGUUGGCUACUCUACUAGCCAAAGUGCAUAUCUAUGUCUUCAUCUACAAAGUCAGCGCAUAUACACCUCCAAACACGUAACCUUUGAUGAAUCUGUUUACCCCUUCAAACAGGUUUCCAUGCAAUCACCCACUGACUCAUCCCCAUCAGAAACCUCUUCUUUUUCAGGACCAAUUUUGCAGCUUGCUUCCAGGGAGCUUCCAACAAUCACACGGGCUCAAGGAGAUAUCCCCUCUGCUUCUUCGACUCCAAGUGAAGAUCCAGCUCUUGUGCAACCUCAAGAGGCACCACUUUCCACUUUAGAUCAGGUAACUCUUAGACCUUCUACUUCUGUUUCUCAACCAGAAAAUUCAAUGCCAUCCUCUCCACCACCAUGUCCACGAACCAUCAUCACUCGCUCCAUGAACAAUAUCUUUCGGCCAAAACAACUCCACACCACCACCAAGCACCCCUUACCUGAACCACCCGAACCAAGUUGUGUAAGUCAAGCUCUUAAAGACCCUCACUGGUGCAAGGCUAUGUCAGAAGAAGUGACAACCCUCCUUUAACAUGGGACGUGAGAACUGGUUCCUCCCACUCCUGGCCAGAAUCUUGUUGGGUGUAAAUUUGUGUUUCGGAAGAAACGAAAUCCAGAUGGAACAAUCAGUCGAUAUAAAGCUCGACUUGUCGCUAAAGGAUUUCAUCAACGGCCAGGUAUUGACUACUCUCAAACCUUCAGCCCUGUCGUAAAGCCAGUAACAAUUAGGCUUCUUUUAACCAUUGCUGUCAUGCAUGGCUAGCCCCUUCGUCAGUUAGACAUCAAUAAUGCAUUCUUGCAUGGUAAUCUUGAAGAAACAGUCUUCAUGCAUCAACCUACAGGAUUUGAAGAUCCAUCUCAACCUCAGUAUGUUUGCAAGCUAAAAUAGAGUAUCUAUGGUCUUAAACAAGCCCCAUGACAGUGGUACAAGGCCCUUCGGGAUGCACUUCUCAGCUUUGGUUUUAUUCACUCGGCCACUGACAACUCUUUGUUUAUCUAUAAGUCUCAUGAUAUCUUGUGCUACUGCCUUGUUUAUGUUGAUGACAUAAUUGUCACAAGCAACACACUCAGCUUUGUGAAUAACAUUAUAAACAAGCUUGGCUCUACAUUCUUAGUCAAAGAUAUGGGCUCCUUGCAUUAUUUCUUGGGAAUAGAAGUGAUUCCAAUGCCACAGGGGCUCUUUCUAUCUCAACAUCAGUAUAUAUGGGAUCUCCUUUCACGAACCUCCAUGGAAAAUGCUAAAGAAACACUCACUCCAAUGUCCACUACAGCCAAGCUUACGGUUCAAGAUAAUUUUGAAUGUGUUGACAGCACUGAGUAUCGCAAGAUCAUUGGAGCACUUCAGUAUUUGGGACUCACUCGUCCCGAUAUUGCCUUUGCAGUCAACAGAUUAUCUCAGUUCAUGUAGAAGCCGACAACAAACCAUUGGGCCGCAGCAAAAAGACUACUCAGCUAUCUUAAACAGACCAUGUUUCAUGGUAUCCUUCUCCAAAAUCAUGAUCAAUUCCAACUCAAGACCUAUAGUGAUGUGAAGUGGGCAUUAAAUACGGACACUCGUGUUUCAACCACUACUUUCAUCACAUUCAUUGGUCCUAAUCCAAUCUCAUGGUCUGCACGCAAGCAAAUGGCAGUCUCAAGAUCAUCUAUAGAAGCAGAGUUUCGGGCACUAGCUACUGCCACACAGAAACAGUUUGGCUUCAUUCUCUUAUCAAGGAACUUGGUCUCACUCUCAGAGAAGCACCUCAAAUGUUUUGUGAUAAUAUUGGUGCCAACCAUUUCAGUUUAAAUCCAGUCCAGCACAGACGGAUGAAACACAUUGAAAUUGAUCUCCUCUUUGUACGAGAUCUUGUCAAAAAGGGAACUAUUCGUGUUCAGCACAUCCAUACCAUUGAUCAACUAGCUAAUCUCCUUACAAAAUCACUCUCACAUCAACGCUUUCAACUAUUAAGAUCCAAGAUUGGUGUUGCAGAUGGCACCUCCAUCUUGAGGGGGCAUAUAAGGACAGCUAGUAUUCAUGCAGAAAAUCAGCAUCAGAAUUCGUAACUGCAUUUGAUCAGCUAGUUUAGGAAAUCUGUACAACUCAUUCUUUCCUUUAUUUUCACAUAUGUUGUUAUACGUUAGCACAAGUUUAGGAGUAAUUUUAGUUUCUCAAAUCUGUAUUUAUACCUCUUCUUCUAAUAAGAAUUGCGUGAAUCAUUUUGUCUAAACCUCUUUAUAUUUAUGUGAGAAUGACAGGUACAAAAUUUUGUUGAGAUAUACUGCCCCAUAAUCUUCAUCCUUUCCCUAAAAUGAGAGAGGGAAAAAAAAAAAGGAAUGAUUUUUUUUGUGUGUAUCUAAGUGGGAACAAGAGAUAUAGAAUUUCGUUGAGAUGCAGUGCUGCCACAUGAUCUUUAUCCUCCAUUAAACCCAACAUAUUAAAUCCACUAACUCUCUCCCCAAAAAUGAGUAAAAAAAAAAAAAAGGAAAAAAGUAUGAGUUAAAAAACAAAAACGGAAAAUAUGAUUUUUUUAAUGUGUUUCUAAGGAGAAUGAGAGAUACAUAUUUUUGUUAAGAUGCAUUGCCACGUGUUCUUCAUCCUCUCCAUUAAGCCUAAUAUAUUAAACCUAAUAGCUCUCUCUUUUAAGCUUUCCAAUGAAGUGCCUAUAGUAUCCAACUCAAAAUAAGACAACUUAAGCCCCAUUAGCCAACAACCCAUAUUUUGUGUACAUCUUGAUGAGAUUAUUUUGUGAGAAAAUGUCAUGAAACAAUCCCAAUUUGAUAAUCUAGGCAUGUAUUUGAGUUAAAAAUAAAUUUCUAUUCUAUAGAUCAAAGAAUAAAAUCAUGUUUGAAAAUUAUUUUUAAAAACUUAUUUAGAGCAAAAAUAGUUUUCUAACAUAAAAAUAAUUUUUUAACUGAGAAAAUAUAUUUGAAAUUAUUUGAUAGAAAAUUGGGCAUGUAUUUGACUUAAAAACAAAUUUCUAUUCUAUAGCUCCAAUAAUAAAAUCAUGUUUGAAAAUUAUUCUUAAAAACUUAUUUAGAGCAAAAAUGGUUUUCUAACAUUAAAAUAAUUUUUUAAUUUAGAAAAUAUAUUUGGAAACAGUUGAUAGAAAACUGGGCAUGUAUUUGACUUAAAAAUAAAUUAUUAUUCUAUAGAUCAAAGGAUAAAAUCAUGUUUGAAAAAUAUUCUUAAAAACUUAUUUAGAGUAAAAACAGUUUUCUAACAUAAAAAUAAAUUUUUAACUUAGAAAAUAUAUUUGAAAACAUUUGAUAGAAAACUUUUUUUUUUAAUGUCAAUAAGUUGUCUUUUUGUUAAUUUAAUUGUAAUCAAUUUUCUUAUACGCAUUUAAAAGUAUAUAUUAUCAUAUUUAGUAAUAUUUUGAUUAUUAGGCAAAUUAUCAUUUUUGAGAGGAAUUUUUGUAGCUCUCAUAAUUAUAAUUGUAUUUUAAUAACCACUUCCAAUAAAUAAAAAAAAGAAAAAAAAAGUUAGACAAUUAUCAAAAUCUGAUUUUUAGGAUUUUAAAAAAAUCUACAAGCCAAAACUAUUUAUAAUUUUGAUCAUGUGAGAACACUUCUUUUUUAAUACUUUGAGUUAUUUUGUUUUUUUUUUUUCUUAGUAUCUGAAAGUAUAAAAGAAUUUCUCAUAUAUGUGCAUGUGUGUUCUCAUGGUUGUUUAUGUCAUGUCUUAUUAAAGAAUGAAGUGAAGUUUCCUUUGAGUGGAAGGUUUUAGUCCACGCUAGUCAGUGGACACGGUAUGAAUAGUUUGGGUGGGUUGUAUCUAUGGUAAAAAAAUAAUAAAAGACAACUUUUGCAAGUCUCCAAGUUGGUUGAGAUACAUGAUGUCAUGUUGACUAGACCUUGACUUUUGCAAGUCUCCUAGUUUCCAACUUUUUUUUCUUUUUUUUUUUUAAUAUUAAGGUGUGGGGCCAUGAACUCCUUUCUUUCCUUUUUAAAUAACAAAAAGGAAGAUAAUUUUAUUGUGAGAAGGCUAUUGCUACCAAUUGUGUUCACGUCGAGAAUUUUUUAAUUUACGGAGGCCAUAUAUAUAUAUAUUUAUGUCUAAUUUAGGAGGGUAAUUUGGGUUUGUCUAAUCUAUUCCAUUUAAUCAUACUAUACAAUCAUUUUUUUUUAUUUGGAUUAUUCUUGUAUUAAAUUUCUUCAACCCAAAUUUUGUUGAAAAGUUACAAUGUAUUAUUGAAAAUAUGACUUGGUAGUUGAUUAUGGAUAUGUGUCAUUUUUAGUAUAAAAAAAAAAUAAAUCUAUAACAUUUUAUAUUGAUAAUAUAUUAUUCUUGUAACAGGUUUGAAUAAUAAGCAAGUCAUUGUCAAAGAAGUUAUUGAAAGUGUAAGUGUACAUUUAUUUAUUGCAUGCUCUUAUAUUGUAUCAAUUGUAAGGAAGAUAAAAUUACCUUGUAAAGGUAAUUAAAUCUUUCUAUAUUUUAAAAACUUUUUUCCUAUAUACUAUGCUUUUGAAGCUUGUUUAAUUAAACAUAUUAGUUAUUUGACAAACUUUUCACAAAUGUUUUGUAUACUUAUGUGUUCUAUUUUGUUCCAUAGUUUUAUUGCAUAAUACUAAUGUAUAUUUUUUCACAAACUUUUUACAACUAUUUUGUGUACUAAUGCAUAUUAAGUUUUGUUCUUGCCUAUAUAAGCUACAUUUAGUUAUUUAAAUAUAUCUAAUAUUAUGUUGAAGAAAGAUGUACUUACUUAACUUUUUUUAUUCUAAAUAUUAACAAGUUUUUCAGUUCUCUUGUCUCGAGAUUGAAUGUCAAAAGAUAGAAGGUCAGUUGAGUAUGAUGAAAGAGUUGAAAACUUUAUCAAUUUUGCAUUAGCACAUUCAAUCAACCAUUCCCCUAUAAAAUGCCCAUGCUUACGUUGUGCAAAUCUGUUAUGUCAAACUCUUCAAGUCAUUACAGAACAUUUGUUCUUUAAUGGAAUCGAUCUUAGUUAUCGAGUAUGGUAUUGGCAUGGAGAAAAUGGACCCAGUGGAGGAUUUUCAAAUGUCUCACAACAACAUUAUGACAAAUGCAAGUAUAAUGAUGUUGUUGACACAAUAGAUAUGGUUAAUGCUGCACAAGUUAAUUGUAUGAAUGAUCCCUAAGUGUUUGGAAGGUUACUUGAAGACGCAGAAAAACCUUUAUAUCUUGGAUGCAUGAAAUACACAAAGUUGUCAGCAUUGGUAAAACUUUACGACUUGAAAGCAUGUUAUGGUUGGUUUGACAAAGGAUUCUCAAAAUUGCUUCAGUUGCUUGGAGAUAUGUUGCCAUUGAAUAAUGAGAUGUCAUUGUCCAUGUAAGAAGCUAAAAAUACUUUUAGUGCACUUGGGAUGAAUAUAACAAAAUUCAUGCAUGUUCUAAUGAUUGUAUUUGGUAUAGAAACCAGUAUAAGGAUGCUAUUGCAUGCCUAACUUGUGGAAAGUCAAGGUGGAAGAUAAACAAUGAGGGGAAAAAGAUUAAGAAGGGGCUUCCUUCAAAGGUUUUAUGGUAUUUCCCACCAAUCCCUAGAUUCAAAAGGAUGUUCCAAUCCUCAAAAACCGCUAAACAUCUUAUGUGGCAUGCCAAGGAUAAAGAAUAUGACGGUAAACUAUGCCACCCAUCAGACUCCUUAGCGUGGAAACUAGUUGACCAUAUGUGGCUUGAUUUUGCUUCUGAACCGAGGACCUUAGACUAGCACUCUCAACAGAUGGUACAAAUCUUCAUAAGUCUAUAAGCAAUAGACAUAGUUGUUGGCCUGUUAUACUGAUCAUAUACAACCUUCCUCCUUGGUUGUGCAUGAAAAAGAAGUUUAUGAUGCUAUCAUUAUUGAUCUCAGGACCACGACAACCUGGUAAAAAUAUAGAUGUUUACUUGAGUCCAUUGGUAGAUGACCUUAAAACUUUGUGGGAAAAAAAAGUUAAGACUUAUGAUGCACACUUGCUUGAGGUUUUUACUUUAAAGGUCAUCAUUUUAUGGACAAUCAGUUAUUUCCCUACAUAUGAAAACUUGGCCAAUUGCACCGUGAAAGGAUAUUAUGCAUGUCCAAUAUGUGGAGAAGGAACAUAUUCCCAAAGAUUAAAGUAUGGUAGGAAGAACUUGUAUAUGGGUCACCGACGAUUUCUUCCACGUAACCAUCCCUAUUGGAGACAAAAGAAGGCACUCAAUGGUGAACAAGAUUUUAGAAUUCCUCCUAAAAUUUUGAGUGGAGAAGAAAUACUUGAAAAAGUUGAUCUCAUUCCUAUUUCUUGGGGAAAAAUGAAGAUAAAAUCUCUUGAACUGAUGUGAACACAAAUUGUUGGAAAAAAAAGUCCAUAUUUUUUUAGUUAGAAUAUUGGAAAUAUCUUCAUAUCUUUCACAACUUGGAUGUUAUGCACAUCGAAAAGAAUGUCUGUGAGAGUAUUAUUGGUCCUUUGUUUAACAUCCUAGGAAAAAAAAAAUGGACUUAAUGCUCAACUUGACCUAGUUGAAAUGGGUUUAAAGUCUGAACUUUUCCCAAGAGUUGACUUGAAGCGGACCUAUCUUCCCCCUGCAUGUUAUUCACUAUCCAAACAUAUAUGACAAAAAAUUAGUUUGUCAAACAUUGUCUAAUUUGAAGGUCCCUGAGGGGUAUUGCUCAAAUUUGAGAAAUCUUGUCUCCUUAGAGGAAUUGAAGUUAUUUGGUUUAAGAUCCCAUGACUACCAUGCACUUAUGCAACAACUAUUGCUAGUGGCAUUACGUUUUGUUUUGCUAAAGCAUGUGAGAUAUACUAUAUCAAGAUUGUGUAUCUUCUUCAAUCAAUUAUGUACAAAAAUGGUUGAUGUGCCAAAAUUGGAUGAAGUACACAAUGAGUUAGUGGUCACGCUGUGCUUACUUGAAAAGUAUUUUUCACCUUCAUUUUUUGAUAUUAUGCUUCAUCUAGUAGUGCAUUUGAUAAGGGAGGUGUGACUAUGUGGUUCAGCUUACUUUAGGUCGAUCUACCCAUUUGGGAGGUAUAUGAAAGUUCUUAAAGAAUUGUUCGCAAUCAUAAUUGGCCUGAAGGAUGCAUUACUAAGUGCUAUUUAGUAGAAAAAGCUAUCGAAUUUUGUACUGAAUAUUUAUUAGGGACUUAUGCAAUUGGAAUUCCAAAAGCAACAAUUAUGACAACAAAUUUCGUAGACCUAUUGAUUACUACUCAAAAAGUGCUAUUUGAUAGCUUGUAAUUAAUCCUUUUAAACACUUUUGAGUAGUAGUUAUUGCCUUUUAACCCAAUUAACAUGUUAAGGACCCUUGCAAUCAUUUCUUAUCAAAUUGUGUAAGUUUUGGUGUUUUUGUUAGUAAUUUGAUCACCAAAACAAUCCAAGAUUGAGGAGAGUUAUUUGGAAUCCAUGGCAAAGCAAUGAAGAGCUCAAAUUCAUGAAGAACCAAGCUUUGGAGCUCCAUAGCCCUUUGCCAAAGUCGUUCAAAGUAUGCAAGGAAAGAGCACUGGAGAGAGGAAAAACAGAGUGAAGAAAACAGAGGAAAGCUAGAUGUAGUCUUCUUUCACACUUUUGGAGCAAUUUCCGAAGUCCAUUUUCUACAUUCGAUAUACCAUUUCAAAGCUCAGGAAGUCAAGAAUCCAAUGCUUCAAACGGUGCAUGAUUCGGAGUUGAAACGAAGGAGUUACAGCCAUUGCAAGCAGAUCACUCCAAAGUGUUGCGAAAUCAGCCUUUUGUUGCGAGAAUUUCGCAGCCUUUUUGUACAGUGCUAUGGAAUUCCUCCUAAAGUUGCCCGAUAUAUGCCGCAAGCUGGAAGCUGAGAACAUCAAGGUGGAAGCCAACUUCGCAGCCCUACGAGAAUAACUUGUUGAUGCGAAAAUAUUUCGCAGCCCUCUUGAGUGUCUGCGAAAUCUCGCAGACACCAUUUUCACCUGCGAAAUGUUCCUGGAGCUUCCCGAUAUUUUUGCACCGACUCUUUUGGAUAUUUUUCUUCAGAUAUUUUUGUAUAAAUUUCCAUUCUUCUCCUUGUAAGCCACGAACCAUAAGAUUUCUUAGUUAGGAAGGUUGGAAAAACAUCUCUAUAUAUAUUCCUUUGCAUCCACUGUAAUCAUAUAUCAUAUAUAGAAUAUACAGAGCCUUGCUCUGUUUUUCCUUCUCUUUCAUUUUUCAUUUAUUUUUAUUUCUAGCCAACCAAACUUUGAGGAUUUUUCCACAGAGGAUGAGAGGCUAAGCUUUUUGUCUCUUGGAGUGAGGAAAGCCGGGUAAGUUUCCACAUGCAUAAUUUGGAAGUUUUGUUGUUUUAGUUUUUAAUGAAGAGAAAGUGUGACCCGUUAGUGAUUUCUAUGUUUUUAGUUAACUUAAAACGCCUUUAAAUCACCUGGGCCAACACUUGGUAAGGCAAGUGAUUUCCAACCAUGGAAAUGCACUAGUUUACCCCUUGCGAGCCUUUGGGAGGUGACUUGAAGGUAGGAUUUUCUAGAAUAGCCAACACUUGGUAAGCUUUUGGACUCCAAGGAGACAUCCAUUAGUUAUCUCUUGCGAGCUUUUGACGGGUAAUCCAAGGUUAAAGAUCACCUUGAAUGGCAAGUGCUAGGUGAGAGGUAUGAGUCAUUGUAAGAUGCAUCAGUGAGAGGGAUUUAGUGAUUGAACCCAUUAAUGGGAAGCAUCUGUACAACACCGGUUAGAGAAUUAACUAUAUGUUAAUUCUCUAAUGCGAGGAAAAUAAACAAGUGACCGGAACUCUCCAUUUUGUAUGAGGAACAAGCCUAGUGAUCUGAACUCCAAGAAACACUUUUCUUUGUAGUUAAAACCAGUUACUAUUUUUUGUUAGCUUAAAACCAAACCUUUUUCAUUUAAACAUCUUUAUGUUUCUUUUAAAGCUAACCUUGAAAUGAAAAGGCACCAAUUCAGCUUUGAAUUGAUAUCAUUUGUGAAGUGAAAACCCAUCCCAGUGAACGAUCCUAGAGCCACUAUGCUAUAGUAGCUUUGUCUUUGCUACCCUAGUUCAUGGUGUAAUAGGUUAUAAAUUUUGUUGAUUACUCCCUCAAUCAAGGAGCACCAGCUGGACACGAAUCAGCUGAGACACCAAGUGGGCNNNNNNNGUUCAUGGUGUAUUAGGUUAUAAAUUUAGUUGUUUACUCCCUCAAUCAAGGAGCACCAGCUUGACACGAAUCAGCUGAGACACCAAGUGGGCACGAAUCAAAUGGCGCCAUUUGCUUCGUCCGUAGCAGUGGCAGUGGCAAUGGCACCAUUUGAUUCGAGGUUCAAUCCCAGGCAACGGCGCCAUUUGAUUCGUCCCUAGCAGUGGCAGUGGCAAUGGCACCAUUUGAUUCGAGGUUCAAUCCCCGGCAGCGGCGCCAUUUGAUUCGUGUCCACUUGGUGUCUCAGCUGAUUCGUGUCCAGCUGGUGCUCCUUGAUUGAGGGAGUAAUCAACAAAAUUUAUAACCUAUUACACCAUGAACUAGGGUAGCAAAGACAAAGCUACUAUAGCAUAGUGGCUCUAGGAUCGUUCACUGGGAUGGGUUUUCACUUCACAAAUGAUAUCAAUUCAAAGCUGAAUUGGUGCCUUUUCAUUUCAAGGUUAGCUUUAAAAGAAAACAUAAAGAUGUUUAAAUGAAAAAGGUUUGGUUUUAAGCUAACAAAAAAUAGUAACUAAUUUUAACUACAAAGAAAAGUGUUUCUUGGAGUUCAGAUCACUAGGCUCGUUCCUCAUACAAAAUGGAGAGUUCCGGUCACUUGUUUAUUUUCCUCGCAUUAGAGAAUUAACAUAUAGUUAAUUCUCUAACCGGUGUUGUACAGAUGCUUCCCAUUAAUGGGUUCAAUCACUAAAUCCCUCUCACUGAUGCAUCUUACAAUGACUCAUACCUCUCACCUAGCACUUGCCAUUCAAGGUGAUCUUUAACCUUGGAUUACCCGUCAAAAGCUUGCAAGAGAUAACUAAUGGAUGUCUCCUUGGAGUCCAAAAGCUUACCAAGUGUUGGCUAUUCUAGAAAAUCCUACCUUCAAGUCACCUCCCAAAGGCUCGCAAGGGGUAAACUAGUGCAUUUCCAUGGUUGGAAAUCACUUGCCUUACCAAGUGUUGGCCCAGGUGAUUUAAAGGCGUUUUAAGUUAACUAAAAACAUAGAAAUCACUAACGGGUCACACUUUCUCUUCAUUAAAAACUAAAACAACAAAACUUCCAAAUUAUGCAUGUGGAAACUUACCCGGCUUUCCUCACUCCAAGAGACAAAAAGCUUAGCCUCUCAUCCUCUGUGGAAAAAUCCUCAAAGUUUGGUUGGCUAGAAAUAAAAAUAAAUGAAAAAUGAAAGAGAAGGAAAAACAGAGCAAGGCUCUGUAUAUUCUAUAUAUGAUAUAUGAUUACAGUGGAUGCAAAGGAAUAUAUAUAGAGAUGUUUUUCCAACCUUCCUAACUAAGAAAUCUUAUGGUUCGUGGCUUACAAGGAGAAGAAUGGAAAUUUAUACAAAAAUAUCUGAAGAAAAAUAUCCAAAAGAGUCGGUGCAAAAAUAUCGGGAAGCUCCAGGAACAUUUCGCAGGUGAAAAUGGUGUCUGCGAGAUUUCGCAGACACUCAAGAGGGCUGCGAAAUAUUUUUGCAUCAACAAGUUAUUCUCGUAGGGCUGCGAAGUUGGCUUCCACCUUGAUGUUCUCAGCUUCCAGCUUGUGGCAUAUAUCGGGCAACUUCAGGAGGAAUUCCAUAGCACUGUACAAAAAGGCUGCGAAAUUCUCGCAACAAAAGGCUGAUUUCGCAACACUUUGGAGUGAUCUGCUUGCAAUGGCUGUAACUCCUUCGUUUCAACUCCGAAUCAUGCACCGUUUGAAGCAUUGGAUUCUUGACUUCCUGAGCUUUGAAAUGGUAUAUCGAAUGUAGAAAAUGGACUUCGGGAAGUGCUCCAAAAGUGUGAAAGAAGACUGCAGCUAGCUUUCCUCUGUUUUCUUCACUCUGUUUUUCCUCUCUCCAGUGCUCUUUCCUUGCAUACUUUGAACGACUUUGGCAAAGGGCUAUGGAGCUCCAAAGCUUGGUUCUUCAUGAAUUUGAGCUCUUCAUUGCUUUGCCAUGGAUUCCAAAUAACUCUCCUCAAUCUUGGAUUGUUUUGGUGAUCAAAUUACUAACAAAAACACCAAAACUUACACAAUUUGAUAAGAAAUGAUUGCAAGGGUCCUUAACAUGUUAAUUGGGUUAAAAGGCAAUAACUACUACUCAAAAGUGUUUAAAAGGAUUAAUUACAAGCUAUCAAAUAGCACUUUUUGAGUAGUAAUCACUCCCCCCAACCGACAUAUUGCUAGUCCCUUAGCAAUGAAGGAGAGAAAAAUAAAAAUAAACAAUACUAUAAUUUACAACAUCAUGCUGAUCAAAAAACAAUUUUCAAGUGGCAUGAUGAUCUAACUCUCACAUGGAACAUUAAAGAAAUAAAACUCAAACUUCAACAAGAGUUAUCAAAUAACUUGUCUAAUCACAAUUCUUAAAGAGAAGGCAUUAUGCAAAUUUAAGCUUUAAAAUCAUUUCCACUUCCAAAGGAUCAAACCUUACUCUUCCACAAAAAUCUAAGUGUUAUUUAUUAGCUUCCGAAUAUAGUAUGUUGAACUAAUCUCUCCCCCUCAACCUAGUUCUUUUUCAAAGCUUAGCAAACUAAUCAACCUCCAAUAGGCUAAGAACGCACCUCUUUUUUCAUAAUUUUUUUCAUUGUAGGAGUACAAGGCUUAAAGGUAUUCUUUUCUAAAUUGUCCAUGUAACGGGGGUCCAUCGAUGACUCCCAACCAAUUAAGGUUUAGGGCAUCAAGCUUUAAGGAUCUUUCAACCACUAACUCCUCGGAUUUUACCCCGGACUUUUGAGAAUGAAUUUUUAAUACCCAAGCACCUACAGUAUGUUAAACUCCACCUAUUCACCCUUGUAACGAGCAUUGAGGUCGGUGACUCCCAACCAAUGAAGGCUUAGGGCACCAGGUUUUAAAGAUUUUCACCAUAUACCCCUCAGACCUUGCUCGGGUUUCAAGGCAAGCAAACAUUUUUUUUUUUUUUUUUUCAAAGACUCAUUGGCCUUUUAUAAGGUGUCCCAACACUAUUAAAUGAGGUCAAAGGUACCAAGUCUAAAAUUUUCCUAAGUCAAGAGGGAAAUAGUUUUUCAUCUUAUACUCGGAACCUAUUGUGCACAGUGUGUGGAUAGCUUAAAGUGGAAGAACUAAGGUUGACUUCAAUAGAAGUUUCAACAAUUCAUCAACUUUAAUAAGCAUAAUACAAAAUCUAAGUCAAGUAAAAAGACAAAAAUUCAAUUUCUCCAAUUUUAGUUUGAAAAUUUUUCCUUAAUAACCAUGGAGAGUAGAAUAAAAACUUUAAAAUUUUUUUAAAUUAAGCAAAAAACAACUAAAUUACCAAAAUAACUUAGCAUUAUUAACAAUACUUACUUCCUCAACUCUCCCCCCAACCAAGCUGAACAUUGUCCUCAAUGUGACAAAAGCGAUUGAAAAAUAGGGAGGAAGUGGUACCUCUUGAGUGACAUGGAGUCUGAGUUGUAUAGGAGAAACCACAUGUUUCAAAGAAAACAUAAGAGUUAGUGAGUAGAAGAAAUAGAAAAAUGCCAAGUUUAAACAAAAAUGAUGUCUAUGUAUGAUGUAUCAUCAGUAACACAUCCAAUUCCAAAAUAUAAGACAUCAAAACAUGGAAUUAUCUAUACUAAUAUAAUAUGUAAAGACAAAAAUAAAGAGAUGAUCAAGCAAUGGUAAGGUCCUGUGGAGCUGAUGCAUCUAUGGUGGCCUCUUGAGUGGGUUGGAUAAGGACUUUGACCUCUGUUCUGGUAGUCUCCUUAGGUGGCAUAGUCUCCUCAACUGGAGCUCUCAGUUGGUAGCUAUGGGAUUUGAUGGUUUAAGGAGGUAAGAAAUGGAGUGAGAGGCUUGGUGUGUGUGAUCCCAGGGUAUGCAGGGCUCUCCUUUUCAGAUGCAUGUUUGCAGGGCUCUAUUGGCAUUUUAGUAACUUCCCUUGGCUUUGCAAAGUGUUUUUGCAAAUCACCCUCCAUUUCACAAGUCAAUUUUGCAAUUUAAAGUCCAUUUUGAAGCUUGGAGGUGAUUUCACAGCCCUUUCGAAGCUUGGAGAUCAUUUCGCAGAAAAGUGGCAUGUUCACUGACCAUUUUUGAAGCUUGGAGCAUUUUCGCAGCCAUUCUGAAGCUUGGAGAUCAUUUUGCAGAAAAGUGGCAUUUUCGCAGACCAUUUUUGAAGCUUGGAGCAUUUUCGCAGCCAUUUCGAAGUUUGGAGAUCAUUUCACAGGCAAUGGGCAAUUCCGCAGCCCAUUUCUGAAGCUUGGAGCAUUUUCGCAGCGGGGGGUGGAUUUCACAGAGGAGGGGAAUUCUCGCAGCCCAUUUCGUAGCUUAAAAGUAAUUUCAUAGCUCAAAGGUGAUUUCGCAGCCAUAUCGCAGCUUCAAAAUGAGGGGAACUGUGCUGCAAAUGGCACUCGUGUGCCAAAAAGUGGUUUCGUAGCUGCGAAACACCCUUCCAAAUGGCGUCUCGGCUGCGAAAUUCCCGUUCAGCUUUGCGCGCUUGUCUUCAAAUGACCAUAACUUCUUUAUUUCAAAUCCAAAUCGAGUACCGUUUGAAGCUAUGGACUCCUGACUUCCCAAGAUUUGAAACGAGAUAUCAUAUGCAUAAUUUGAGCUCCAGGAAGUGCUUCAAAAAUGUGUCCAACAGUAGCAAAAUUGAGGUGCGACAUUUCCGCUCAUGGUUUGCACAGUCAUCUUCAAACAGCCAUAACUUUUCUGUUUCAAAUCCAAAUCGAGCACCAUUUGAAGAUAUGGACUCCUGACUUCCCAAGCUUUCCAACGAGAUAUUGCAUGCAUAAUUUGAACUUCGGGAAGUGAUCGAGAUGUGCCCAACAAUUGCCAAAAUGAGGGUGCGGCUGUGAAAUUGGGAUUUUUCAAUUUUGGGUUUCGCAGCCAUUUUCGCAGCUGCGAAAUGGCACUCGUGUGCCAAAACCAGCUUCGCAAUUGCGAAAUACCCUGCGGAAUGGGGCUUUGGCUGCCAAAAAAAAUGAAUUUUUUUUUUUUUUUUUUUUUUGGUUUCGCAGCCAUUUUCGCAGCUGCGAAAUGAGGGUUACUGUGCUGCGAAAUGGCACUCGUGUGCCAAAAGUUGGCUUCGCAGCUGCCAAACACCCUUCCAAAUGGAGCUUUCCCUACGAAAUGGAGGAUUUCAUGCUUUGGUGGUUCGCAGCCGCUUUCGCAGCUGCGAAAUGGGGGCUCCUGUGCUGCGAAGUGGCACUCAUAUGCCAAAAUUGGUUUUGCAGCUGCCAAAAUUUUCGCAAAGAGGGCUAUUGGGUUGCGAACUGGUUUCGCAGCAAAAUUUCGAUUUCGUAGAGGCUGCGAUAUCUCGCAGACCCCUGUUUUUCCCCUAUUUCUCCCCUGUUUUCGCUCCGUUUGACUCCGAUUUUGCUCCGAUUUUUUUCCUUCAAUUUCUUUGCAAUUCCUCUUGAUUUUGAUCAUCCAAAAACCUAUAUUACAUCAAAACAAACUAGAAUUAAAACAUUUAAAUCAAAAUUAAAGCAUUGAAAUCAAAAUUAAAACAAGUAAAAAAAAAACAAAACAAAAAGAUAUGGACUAGCUAGUCUUUAAAAAGACUAAGUCCAUCAAAAAAUUUGCUCCUGAUUUAGCUUGCCCGGAUCCCAUAUGAAGCUUGCAUCUCUCACUUGGGGCUUUCUCUGUAUGAUUUUCUCAUACAAAGCUUGGAGAAAAGUUAGAGGCACGUGUUUCAUCAUCAAUUCUUCCUUGAUGACUAUCCUCUGUGGUUCUUCAUCUAUAUAGUCAUCUUUCUCUGUACUUUUCCCCUUUUUCUUUCCUUUGAUUUCCUCCCUCUUUUCUUUCUCUGUUUCACUAUCUACCUUAUGCUCUAGCUUGCAUGUGGGCAGAUCAACCUCUUUACCACUCCUCAGAGUGAUCACUUCUUCAAUUUCCUUCACCAUUGAAGAUUCUCCCUCUUUAGUCUCCAUUUCAUGGAUACUCAUGGAAUUUUGAUAAGGUUGAGAAGGAGAGUUUUCUUUCUCUUGCAUUGUUUUGAGGUUGGCAAACCUUGAGAUUGAAUCUUGGAGAAUAUCUAACUUCUGAGCCAUAUCAUUUUGCAUUACAUCCAUCCUUUAUUCAAAGUACUCUCCAUUCUGUCAAUUCUUUGAUUGAUUUGAGCAUUGAUGGCUUCUUGCUUUCCAAUAAAAUCUCCCACGACCUUGCAAAGAUUCACCAUAGCUUGUUCAAGGAUUGAGGCUUGCUGUGGUGCUUGAGCAGGUUGCUGAUACUGAGGUGGCUGUGGUUUCCAAGAGAAAUUUGGAUGGUCCCUCCAAUUGGAAUUGUGGGUGUUGCAAUCACCAAACAUUUCCCUCUCGGAUGGAAUGGUAGGACACUCAUCCACCAAGUGCUCAUAUGAUCGACAAAUGGCACAAGGCAUAGCUUGCAAUGGUGUUUAAAAGAUGGUUUGCACUUCUUGCAUCUGGUUCAUUUCUAGCUCAUCCAAUCUCCUUUCCAUAGCUGCAAUCUCUGCCUUCAUGUCCAUGCCGUCAUUCAAAAUAUACAUCUCACCCUUAGCUUUAGGUUGAGACGUCAUUCUUCCCAUAUCUCUAGCAUUUGGUUCAUCCCAUCCUCUUGAAAAUUCAGCCACAUAACUCAUGAAGUUCAUGGCUUCCUCUGCUAUGUGGUUCAAUAUGGCAUGCACAACUAGCAAUUUGUGAUUUAAAAACAGAGAACACAAAAGAAAACAAAAGAAAAACAAUUCAAAGAAAGAAAAUUAAGGUAAACUAAAGACUAAAUAAAAGGUAUACUAAAAUAUGAACAACAAAGAAAUAAAAAGGGUUAGUGAAAGGAAAAGAAAAGUCACCAAACUUGUGAUGAAGAUCACAAGUACUCUAGAAAGGUGCAUUGUAAAGUGGCACCAUCCCCGGCAACAGCGCCAUUUGAUUCGUGCCCACUUGGUGUCUCAGCUGAUUCGUGUCCAGCUGGUGCUCCUUGAUUGAGGGAGUAAUCAACAAAAUUUAUAACCUAUUACACCAUGAACUAGGGUAGCAAAGACAAAGCUACUAUAGCAUAGUGGCUCUAGGAUCGUUCACUGGGAUGGGUUUUCACUUCACAAAUGAUAUCAAUUCAAAGCUGAAUUGGUGCCUUUUCAUUUCAAGGUUAGCUUUAAAAGAAAACAUAAAGAUGUUUAAAUGAAAAAGGUUUGGUUUUAAGCUAACAAAAAAUAGUAACUAAUUUUAACUACAAAGAAAAGUGUUUCUUGGAGUUCAGAUCACUAGGCUCGUUCCUCAUACAAAAUGGAGAGUUCCGGUCACUUGUUUAUUUUCCUCGCAUUAGAGAAUUAACAUAUAGUUAAUUCUCUAACCGGUGUUGUACAGAUGCUUCCCAUUAAUGGGUUCAAUCACUAAAUCCCUCUCACUGAUGCAUCUUACAAUGACUCAUACCUCUCACCUAGCACUUGCCAUUCAAGGUGAUCUUUAACCUUGGAUUACCCGUCAAAAGCUUGCAAGAGAUAACUAAUGGAUGUCUCCUUGGAGUCCAAAAGCUUACCAAGUGUUGGCUAUUCUAGAAAAUCCUACCUUCAAGUCACCUCCCAAAGGCUCGCAAGGGGUAAACUAGUGCAUUUCCAUGGUUGGAAAUCACUUGCCUUACCAAGUGUUGGCCCAGGUGAUUUAAAGGCGUUUUAAGUUAACUAAAAACAUAGAAAUCACUAACGGGUCACACUUUCUCUUCAUUAAAAACUAAAACAACAAAACUUCCAAAUUAUGCAUGUGGAAACUUACCCGGCUUUCCUCACUCCAAGAGACAAAAAGCUUAGCCUCUCAUCCUCUGUGGAAAAAUCCUCAAAGUUUGGUUGGCUAGAAAUAAAAAUAAAUGAAAAAUGAAAGAGAAGGAAAAACAGAGCAAGACUCUGUAUAUUCUAUAUAUGAUAUAUGAUUACAGUGGAUGCAAAGGAAUUUAUAUAGAGAUGUUUUUCCAACCUUCCUAACUAAGAAAUCUUAUGGUUCGUGGCUUACAAGGAGAAGAAUGGAAAUUUAUACAAAAAUAUCUGAAGAAAAAUAUCCAAAAGAGUCGGUGCAAAAAUAUCGGGAAGCUCCAGGAACAUUUCGCAGGUGAAAAUGGUGUCUGCGAGAUUUCGCAGACACUCAAGAGGGCUGCGAAAUAUUUUCGCAUCAACAAGUUAUUCUCGUAGGGCUGUGAAGUUGGCUUCCACCUUGAUGUUCUCAGCUUCCAGCUUGCGGCAUAUAUCGGGCAACUUCAGGAGGAAUUCCAUAGCACUGUACAAAAAGGCUGUGAAAUUCUCGCAACAAAAGGCUGAUUUCGCAACACUUUGGAGUGAUCUGCUUGCAAUGGCUGUAACUCCUUCGUUUCAACUCCGAAUCACGCACCGUUUGAAGCAUUGGAUUCUUGACUUCCUGAUCUUUGAAAUGGUAUAUAGAAUGUAGAAAAUGGACUUCGGUAAGUUCUCCAAAAGUGUGAAAGAAGACUGCAGCUAGCUUUCCUCUGUUUUCUUCACUCUGUUUUUCCUCUCUCCAGUGCUCUUUCCUUGCAUACUUUGAACGACUUUGGCAAAGGGCUAUGGAGCUCCAAAGCUUGGUUCUUCAUGAAUUUGAGCUCUUCAUUGCUUUGCCAUGGAUUCCAAAUAACUCUCCUCAAUCUUGGAUUGUUUUGGUGAUCAAAUUACUAACAAAAACACCAAAACUUACACAAUUUGAUUAGAAAUGAUUGCAAGGGUCCUUAACAAGUUAAUUGGGUUAAAAGGCAAUAACUACUACUCAAAAGUGUUUAAAAGGAUUAAUUACAAGCUAUCAAAUAGCACUUUUUGAGUAGUAAUCACCUAUAAUUAGUGGUCGUUCUACCAUCAUUGUUCAUAAAUCGUGGUUACAAGCACAUCAUUAUCUAUUAGAGAAUACAACUAUCGUCCAACCAUACACUGAGUAAGAAAAACAUACCUUUAUCUUUUUAUAAUUUCAUAACAUAAUGAUGAAAUCCUAAGUUUGCAUUCCUUGUCUUUAACGUCAUAGGGAACACAUGAAUUGGUUGAGGUCUCAAUACCCUCGACAAUCUAAUAGACAAAUUUGGUUGCAAGAAGAACAUAUGAGUUGUUUUACAUAUUGGCUUAAAGAAACGGUAAUCUCUUAGUUUUUAGAAAAAUUUUCAAUAUGUUGAAAACAUCACAAGUUUUCAAUAUGUUUUGAUUAUACAUAGGUUGAAGAGGCUAUCCAUAAUGGGCAAGAUAUUCCCGACACACUUAGGUGGUUAGCACAUGGCCCUACUCUCCAGGUAGUCAAAUAUCCUAGAUAUAUCGUUAAUGAGUGUCGUUACCAUAUUAAGAAACGCGAUAUGACAUGCAUCACCCAAAAUAGUGGUGUUAGCAUUUUAGCAAGGACUAUGCAAAUUGCCAAUUCUAAGGAUAAGAACCUAGUUUGUGGUGAACUUUGCUUUUAUGGGGUCAUUAAUGAGAUAUGAAAUCUUGAUUACAACAUGUUCACAAUUCUAAUUUUCAAGUGUGAUUAGGUUGACAACAAGAAUGGUAUAAAAGUUGAUGAACUUAGGUUCACAUUAGUUGACUUCUCCAAAAUAGGUCACAAAUUGGAUCCAUUUAUUUUAGCAUCACAAGCCAAGCAAAUCUUCUAUGUUGAAGAUCAACUUGAUCCUAAAUGGUCAAUAGUUCUCUCAAUUCCUCCAAAAGAUUUCAAGAACAUAGAAGGACUAGAUGACUUCACCAAUAAUUGCAUGGAACAUCACCCCUUUAUAAGUUCAAUGCCAGAAUUUGAAUCAUUUGAUGCUAUGGAUGAAUCAUAGGCAAUACACAUGAGAGAAAACUGUGAGGGCAUAUGGAUUGAAAAUAAUUAAAUAACAUAUUGUACCCUUGAAUGAGAUAUAAUAAGGCAUUUCACUUAUUAGUUUUCAUGAGUUGCACAUUAACUUAGCUUCUAUAUAUUGCUCAUGAUAUAUCUAUAUAUAUUAAUCAUCCUAAAUUUCUUUCAUGCAUCAUAAACAUAUGUUAUUCAAAGGUACCACUUCAAUCUUCAUUCAACUAUCUUUUUGUUGUCCAUAGAACUAGAUUUAUAUUAUUUUUUAUUAUCAUGUUUUGAUUUUAUGCUCACAUAACUUGAAACUCUCAUUCCUAAAUUUCUUUUUCAUUAAAACUAUAAAUCAUAAUUGAAACUAUGCACUAAUUUAUUUUAUUAUUAUCCUCACAAAUAAAUUCUUCAUUAUUGAUAAGAAAUCAAAAAACAAGACAAACUUUGAAAGAAAAUUUCAAAAAAUAUAUUUGUGAAUGACCAAUUUAAUUAUAGAAAAUAUAUGCAAGGCUAUACUAAUCUUGCUUUUGAGUCAUUUUACAGGUUUGUUGGUGAAGUACUAGUUUGCACAUUUACUUGAUAUCUUCCACACAAAUAUGGAUCUAGAAGAAGGGGAAAUGCCAAAAAUAAAGCAUAGAGGUAGUGCAUUGAAACCAAAGAUUGCAAAAAAUCGAAGUAAAGGGAUAAAGCUCAAGAUUGAAUACAAUAGCCUUGGUAGUCACAUUGAGGAAAAUUCAGUUAAACUAAGUAGUUAUCUUAGUACAAUAACUAGUACCCAUGUGCCAAUAAUUAUUGAGAGUUGGAGGAAAGUCCCUAAAGAGACUAAGGAGAAGUUGUGGGAUUUGAUCACGGUAAGCCUAUCUAUAGCUUUAAUAUAUAAUUAUUGUAUACAUUCAUUAACAUGAGCUAACAUGGGUUGCUAUUUUGUAGACAAGCUUUAAUGUGAAUAAAAAAUCCAAGAGGAAUUGUUUCAUACUAAUGGGCAUCAGGUUUCGAACCUUUAAGUAUAAGUUGACAAAGAAAUAUAUAUUGUCUUUCAAGAAUGACCAAAAAAGCUGAAAAAGUCACCUCCUAUUUGCCCAUUCAUACAAGAGGAUCAUUGGAGACAGUUUGUUAAAGAUAGACUUUUUGAACAUUUUAACGUUAAGCAUUAUUUUUAUUACAUCUUCAAUUUUCACAUUUACAUAGUUUCAUUAUGUACUAAUUUUGUGUCUAUAUUUUGUAGGAAUAUCGCAAAGUUCAAAAAUCAAGAAGAGAUAAACACAUUUACAAUCAUUAUCUUGGAAGAAAAUGAUAUGCACGUUUUGAGCAAGAUAUAGUAAGUUAUCAAUAUCCAUAAAAAAAAUGGAGUAUAUAUUUUGUUUAUAGGAAAAUGAUUCUAGUUUUUAAAUAUCAUUUAUUAACUUGAUCAUGUUGAACUAAUGAGUUUUAUUGUUAAAAAUUUUAUAGCUACAAGCAGAAGGGGCUAUUGGUAGGGUUGAUAGAAGUGUUUAUGAAAGAAAACACGUGAGAAGAAAGGAAAGUUUAAUAAGAUUACAAAGCUAAUGAUUAACUAAGUUAGCAUAUUUAUCUCUUUUAGAGCCUAUAAUGUUAGUAUGUCUAUGUGAUUAUGGUUUAGGAUGAUAUCGUUAGGUGUUAAUAGGGAAGAGGCUUAAUGCUAUCAUUUUUAUGAGUAGUCAUGUUCUAUUAGUGCAAAUAUAGUAGCCUAAUUUGAAAAUUAAUUUUGAAACAAUAUACAUUAAUUUAUCUAUUAUCAUUUUUAUUAAAACAAUUCAUUUUCUAGCUACCUUGAAUUGGUCCUCUUGAAUUGGUUGUCUUUGAUUGAUAUGUUAAUCAUCUUCAUCAAAUUAUUACUAAUAUAUGUUUUGUUGUAGGAUGAAUUACUAGAAAAGGCAAGGAGACUGGACUACCUCCACCUGGUCCAAAUGACAUAUUAUGUCAGGCAUUGGGUAAGCUUGAUCAUCUAGGACGUGUGGUAGGUCAAGACCACUUGGUUAGGCCGAACUCAUACUUUCAUCAACCAUUUGAUGACAUGAAAAAAAAUAAUCAAAGAAGAAAUAUGGGAAAUGGUGUGAAAGGGGAUGCAAAAUGCUGUAACAAGACAAACUAUGUCUCCUCCCACACCCCAUUCUGAUAUAGGUAGUAAUAACAUGAGACAACAACUUGUUUUACAACUAGUUGUAGCAAAAAAACCAAUGUUUAAAAUGAUGGAAGAGCCCUAACCACCAGAACCACCACUGAAACGUAAGGUAUACAUUUACUUACUAAUAAUACAAGAUUAAUAUAAGUGAUAUAUAGCCUAUGUAAAUGAUAUUAUUUGUUGUAUUAAAGGUGAUUAAAUAUAAAUUAGCAGUGGAAUGAAAAUGAAAUGUUGUUGCAACCAGUACAUUAAUAGAAGAAAAUUGAUCAAAUGGGUUGGUCGUAAUAAAUGUUGCACACAAGCUAGAUGCUAGACUCCCAUUUCCAAAUCCAUAUGAGAUUAUCAAUGUUGGGGAUUCUAUUGGCCUUAAGCUUGACUGGCCAACAAGCCUUGUCAUACUUGAAACUAAACAUCCUCGGGUAUGUCAUUUUAUACUUGUAGUAAAUUUGAUUGUAACUUGGUAUUUUAUUGUUUAGGAGUAUAUAUUACUAACAUUCCUUCAUUUUUCAUAAGUGUUGGAUAAAGGAAAGAAGUAGAUAGUGAAUGCACCAAUUAUUCGAAAAUCUAAGCCUCAAAAUUAUUCGGUCAUUAAAAAUUUUCAGAAAUUUAUGGAUGGUUGUCUUAGUAAUGAGAAGACAUACCCAAUACAACUCCCCAUUUCACUAUUUGGUGUCGAAUUCCGAACAUAUAUAUCUAGAGAGGAUUGUGAAUACAUUAUUUCAUCUUCAGAGGUGUCAUCAAAAUGCAUCUCCUUCCACUUAUGGUGUGCACCUUUUAUUUUCAUUUGUUUUUAUUUUUUUAAUAUGAGUUGCCCAUGUUGAACAAGAUUGGAUAUGACUAAUGAUAAUUUUCUUUUGGUGUUUUGAUAAUAUAAUAGGUACAUGCAUGAUCAACUACAUAUUGCCAAAAAGGAAUCACAAUUUAUAUUUGUUAAUCCUUUUACAAUAUCAUGAGCAGGCUUUAGUAAUCCUCAAACAGAGAAAAGAACACAAUUGUUGUCAAAACACUUAAUAGAGUGCCAAGAUGUCGGAUAUGUUUUCAUGCCCUACAACCCCGAGUAAGUGACGAAUAUUAUACUUUAAUUUGAGGUUUUAUGAUUGAUUUAUAUUUAUAAUUAGAUGCUACUUUUGUUUUUAAUGUUUUAGCUUUCAUUGGGUCUUGGUAGUGAUUGAGCCAAGGAAAAUGAUAGUCCACUAUCUUGACCCUAUGCAUCACAAACCAUGUGAGGACUUAAAGGAUAUCGUAAACAUGUAAGUUCUUCCUAUUAUUUUUCAUAGUAUUAUUUUAAAAAAAAUUACAUUCACCUCAAACACAUUUUUUAUUGUUAUUUCUAUAUAUUAAAACAUAUAAUAUUUACCUAUUUUAAAAUUGUACCCAUUGAACUUAUUUACAUAGGGCUCUUUAAAUAUAUGCAAAGAAAAUAUCUAAGAGAGAGCCAUCUUGGCAACUAGUGCAAGUAACAUCCAAAAAUUUUCUUUACACAUUUAGCUUAUGCAUUUGCACCAUUUAUAUAUAUGAGUACUAAUGUUAUUUUAUAACUGAUCGAUUAGUGUCCAAGACAAGAAGGAGGGUUCAAAUGUGACUACUUUGUUAUGAGAUUCAUUAAAGAGAUAAUUUUUUAUCCUACAAUGAUUGCUUCAAAGGUAUUACUUAUUUAAUGACUUGUACAUAUUUUUAGGCUUCCAAAUGUUAUGCAUUUUAAUGUUAUUUUCUUAUUUGAUUUCAGUUUGGUGAUAAAAAAAACAUAUUAUCAAGUAGAAUUCAAUGAAAUUAGAGGAGAAUUGACUACUUUUGUGCUACAACUAAUCAUGAAUCAUGUUGAUGCAUCAUGAUCACCAUGCAUGGUGAGUCCCUUAGCUACUACAUGAAUUUUUCCAUAGAUUAUAGUAUUGCUUUUCUUUGAACAAUGUUUUUAUUUGAAAAAAAGAAAAAAAAAAGUUCUUAGAUUUGUUCAUUUAUGAUAACAUCGAUCCAUAUUUAUUUUCUUCAAUNNNNNNNNNNNNNNNNNNNNNNNNNNNNNNNNNNNNNNNNNNNNNNNNNNNNNNNNNNNNNNNNNNNNNNNNNNNNNNNNNNNNNNNNNNNNNNNNNNNNGGUAUACACUCUUAGGAGGGUGGAAUAGAGAAUAAAAAGAACAAAGAAGGCAACAAGAUUUUGGGUUUUUAAAUGCAGCUCGUAUGUCAUACAUUGUAGGACAUAAACGUUACUUUAAUUGGUAGUGAGAAUUUUAGAUUUUUAGAUGCUACUUUUAUGUCAUUUUAUAGUUAGUCGGUUUUAUGCUUAUGAAAUGAAGGUAUACAUGAAUCUUGGGAUGCUUAACAUUACUAGAUCAUGUUUUGGUAUGUAUUCACUCUUCUUUUUUAGUUUUGGUGGGUUUGAUAUAUUGGAUGUACUAUCUUUUUGUGAACAUUUGAUAUACAAAUAUUAUUAGAUGAUCAAUGUAUUACGAGUUAUUCCAUAAACAUUACUGAAAAAUGAGUUAAAUGUAAUAUGAUUGUUAUAUUUAUGGACAAAAUAUACACAGGUUAAUCCUAUUUGUUAAUUCAUAAGCAUUACAAAAAUCUACAACUAAAAGCAAUCAUAUCUUCCAUGAUAAUUUACAAUGAUGUGACACCAUAACUCAAAGGUGAUGCAUUUAAUGUGACAUCAUAACUCAAAGAUCAUGCAUUUAAUGCGACAUCCUAUCAUCACUAGAAAUAUAUGAUGUCACUUUCGAAUGCGUUACCAUUUAUCUACUUUGGUGUCACUUACAAAUACGUCACCAAUUGGUACCCUCUAUGGUGUCAGUGGAGAAGGUGACACUAUGUUGUAGUGACACCCUAUGUUUAUGGUGACUCGUUAUAAAUGUCACCAUAUAUCUUUUUUCUUGUAGUGCAAAUUACUUAUCUUACUAUGCAUUGGGCUUUGAUAUUAGCCAGAGACAGUAGUGGCUCCUAAUUUUUAUCCUUAACUGAAAUGAAAACGUUAAGCAGGUCCCCAGCCUCUUUUUCGCCAUUCUUCCACUAUUCUACUAUUUGGUCCAUGAUUGGAUCAUGGUACUUGUUAAUGGUGUUCAUAGCCUCCCAUAUAGUCUUUUCAUGGCCAUCUAAAUUCAGCACUCUCUGCCAUGGGAAGUAAUCAGAUAAAGAGAAUACAUAUAGAUGAGCAAGUAUAGUAAAGAAGGAUUCAACAUGUUGCUCCACUUCAACUCUAGGGCCUCCAUCUUUCUUUCGUUCGCCAAAGUAUCUUGUGUUGAGGAUCAUCUUUCAGAUGACAUUCCCGUUGUAUUGACGGACUUUAUUUCUGUCACACCCCAAAUACUAGGCAACCCAGAACUUGACUCGUGGCCCUAGGUCAAAGGUUUGACCCUAAGAGUUACUCUUAUCCAUGUUGGCAAUCAAUCAAAACACCCUAGAUUUUUUUUCUUUUCAAUAAAGCGUUUAAUCCUAAAUAAAUUUAUUAAGCUAAGAUUUACUAUAACAUAUCAUUUUAUUUUUCCAAAACUAACCAUCACAUUAUCUCCUGUUCACAAGUAUUAAAAAAAUAAAAUUCCACCAAUCAUCUUCCUACCCAAAAGCUCAAAUAUUUACAAUAAUCUCUAAGUCAAAAAGAAUAUUUCCAAAAAUGUUUUACAAACUAAUAAAAUAUAAUUUAACUUAAAAAGGUCCAUAUAACUCAAAUUAGUAGAUGUCAAAAAGGUAAUUAAAAAAAAACAACAACCAUUAUUAUGGUUUUUUUGCUUUUUAGAACACUUCAUGAUCUUCUUAUGGUCCCUUAGAAACUAUAUCUGCAUCUAAAAAUUUUAGAAAAUAAAGGGAUGCACAUUUCCACGUUACUCUUUAGACCUAGACGAGUUAGAAAUUCUAGGUCAAUAAAACACAACCAUAUGCCAAAAUAUAAUAUUACAUUUACAUUAUACACACUAAAAGAAACCUCAACCAUACAAAUUUAAAUCAAUCAAAAUUAUCAUUUUCCUUAUUUAAUCAUAUGUUUAGCAUAUCAAUAAUUUUAAAUUUACAAAAUAAAUAAGUCACUUUAGUCUUGAAUAAUAUAUUCAAACAUACACUUGAUAAAUAAUACAAAUCAUUUUUCCAAAUGCAACCAUGAUACAAAUGCUUACACACAAUCGCGCAAUGCAAUAUCGUUCUCGGGCUUUCACCGAAGGAUAUGCAUUUAUACCCAAAUACACUCCCCAUUCGGAGUCUUCCUGGGAUAAACUUUUGAGUAUUUCACCCUAAGGAUCUCACUCCCUUCUUAACUCACCAUCUCUAGGGUCAUUCAAUUUCUUAUUUUUCUUUUCUUUUCAUUUUUGCCAUUUUUGGGGUCUUUUCAUUCUCAUUUCCAUUUCACACAACCAUUUCUUUAAUUUUUCUUUUUCUUCACACAAUCAUGAUGCAUAUGAAAUGCAAUUGAAUCAUAUUUUAACAUACAUAAUUUUCCAAGACAUAAUUUUAUUUACUCCCAUUAUGUUUCAUAAUUUCCAAUAAUCCACACAACGAUUUUUCUUCACUUUAAUCGUCACAAACAUAAAAGAAAAUUCACAAUUAAUUUGUAUAGCAUCAAAACAUAGUUUUAAACAUUGACCACAUAAAUUCUAUUUAUUCCCGACAUGCUUAAUAAUUUCCAAAUCCAAUAUAACCAUUUUUUUUCAAUUAAAUAAUCACACAUAUCCAAGAAAAUUCUCGCUAAUACAAAUAUCAACGAAAAUGUAAUUUAUGUCAUAAUUUAUUUGUCUCCAAUAAUUUCAAAAAUUUUGACACCCAUAUGACAAAUUUCCACAAUUAAGCCACCCCAACAUUUGGGAAAAAUUUUCCAAUAAUUCAAAUAUCAACAAAAACCCAAUUUAUAUCAUCAUUUUAUUUAUUUUUAAAAGCAUUAAUAAUUUUAAUAAUCAAUACAACACUUUUCCACAAUUAAGCCACCACAACAUUCUGGGAAAAUUUUCCAAUAAUUCAAAUAUUAACAAAACACAAUUAUACCUUAGUUUUUCUUAUCUCCAACAACAUCAAUAAUUCUUAGUACUCAAUACAACUAUUUUUAUUUUUUCAUAUUUAAUCUUCUCAAACAUUACCAAAAUUCCAAGAAAAAUCUAUAAAUCACGAAAUAAAAUUAUUCACAAUAAUAAUCACACUUCAAAUACUACAAAUAACAUCUAUUAUAUUUCAACAACACAAUAUAUAAAUUUUUUUGAAAGAAAAUAUUAAAUCAAAGUUUUAGGGUUAAAUCACCCUACCUUAAAUUUGAAAAUUUUAACCAUUAAAACUAAAACGGGACACCGUAGGAGUGUUCCUUGCAUUGAAUAGAAUAUCCUUCCAAAAUUUCAUGCGAAAUGGACGUCAUUUGGUAGGUCCACCAGCAUCCUAAAGCUGGCGACCCAUUUUUCCCACUCUUUGCUGAUGACUCCCCUACAUCUCUCACUCGAUUUCCUUUCUUCAUUUUCUUUUCUUCUUCUUCUUUUAAACUCCCACGCCAAUUUCACUUUAUAUAUAUAUAUAUAUAUAUAUAUAUAUUAUUAAAACAAAUCCUAAAAUACCACGCACAUCCAUUUCUCAAUAAAUUAAAACCAUUAUUCUUAAAUUCAUCUUCCGUAAUUAUGAAUUAUACCAAACUUAUGAUUUUCCAUUUCACGAAAAAUACCACCGUAUUCGUAAUUUAAUUUACUACAAGUCUACUCUUCAAAAAGUAUAAUUUGAUUAUAAUUACAUGAAACAUUGUUUUUUUACUCUAAAAUUCAUUUAAAACAUGAUAUAAUUAACUAUUAAAAAAAUUUAAUUCCAUAAAAUAUUAAAAACAUAAAAUAAUUUUUUGGCAAUCAAGAAGUUGAAAUUUGUAAUAACCUUUAACCUGUUAAUUUUACCUAUAUUUAUUUACCAACAAAAAUUUAAAUAAUAUUCUAAAAUUUAAUUCCAUAAAUUAAUUAGUCAUUCAAUUUAUAAAAAUCAAAUUCUCUACCCUUUGGUAUAACUUUUAUUUAAUUUACUUCAUUUUUCAAAUUAUUCAAUCGCAUCAAAAUUUCAAAAGUUAAAUUCACUAAAUUCACAUUUAAUUAAUUUAUCCUUUUGUAUUUUUUUUUUCUAAAUUCGCAUAUCAUAAUUUAAUCUUAAUUUAAUUUUGAUUCAAUUUUGUUUUAUGUUUUCUAAUUUUAUGAGGUUUAAUUUCAAUUAUAAAAAUUAAAUUCAAUUUCUUUUUAAUUAUCCAUUAUCACAAUUUGAUAUAAUAUAAUUUUUUAUCAAGUUUUUCUUACUACGAUUUUUCUUAUAAUUAUCCAAUGAUAAUUAAAUUAAUUCUCAUAACAUAUUUAAUAUUCAAAUUUUAAAAACUUAAUCUCAAUUAUUUGAUGGUUAAUUUUUUUCUCAAAAUCUAAAUUUAAUUUAUGAAAUUCUCACUUCUUACAUCUGACGUGGCAAAAUUUUCAAACUAUUGACUUUUGACCAACUUUUCCUAAAUUUAUCCUAAUUAAAUACUAACACAUGGAUUUUCACCACUCUUUUUGACCUUUUGACCCACAAAUUUAUGAAAGACUUUAUGCUUGGAGAAUCUACAAAAACCUGGGUAUUACAAUUUCUCAGGUUGAUAACUGUCGUGGUUACGAAGCCACCACUUGAAUCCUCAGUCGCCAUUGUAAUGGGCCUGGAUGCAAAUAGUACAUCAUGUUUCUUCAAAAGUUCUCUGCUAAUCUCUGGGAAAGUCGUAGGGACGAAAUGAAAUAUUUCCCAAUUGAAUACAUGCAAUUUUAGUGUUCAUUUCUUUCAUAAAGCCAAUGUAUCCACCAGAAAGUUGGCUUUUUGUUGAGUAAAUGAGGUAGAUAUUGCACUAGUGGCCAUGGAGCUAAUCCUGGAGGAAGUUGUAUCGGCUUGCUUUUGGUACUUGUUUUGGAAUUUAAUUUAGUGAAGAUGAGAAAGAUUGAUGUGAUGAAAAGCAAUAAGAGGAAGUUGAGAUGAGACAACACAUCGUCUGUGGUAGUAGAAGAAAACAAGGUUGAGUUACUGCUACUACUCUCUGCAACAAAACCAUUUACACGUCUUUUAUAGCAAAACCAUGUUUGUCCUAUCUUGGGUCUGGAUGCACAUUUUUAAUAUUGGGGAUCAUGCAACCAAAUGUCACACACAAAGAGAGAGAAAAAAAUACGUUUUUUAGAACUUGAAAAGGUAAAAUGGGACAAAAAAUAUUAUCCAUUCUUGAACUCUAAAAGUAAAGUUAUAAAAAGCUUAGGUGGUGUUUGUUUUUUUACUUAAUUCUAAAUAGAACCUUAAUGCUUAAUAGUGUUAAAUAUUAGGUUGUUUGUUUUUGUAGUAUUUUAUUUCUAUUAAGUAUUAAAAAGUAAAAAAACCAAUAUGUUAUUUUUUCUAUUAAGAAAAAGUUACAUAUUUUGACUUUUUCUAUUUAGUAAAAAGUUUAUAAUAAGUCAUGAAAAAGUAGAAAAACAAACAACUUAAAUUUUAAAACUAAAUUGCUUUCAGCAAAAAGCCAAAAAAACAAACACCACCUUAGUUUUUUUUUUUUUUUUUUUUUGUUAUGUAUGAUUACAUGAUUUCCCCCUUUUAAGAUUUUAUCUCAUAAAAUUUUUUUUCUAGAAGGUUCAAAUAAGUUUGAUGAAUAUUGUUUAUUUUAGUAAUUUUAAUUUUGUGGGGUACUUAAAACAUUAGAAGUUCACAAAAAGCAACAUUUAUCAGCUACCUAUCUAAAAAGCUUGGCCUAAUCAUUGAAAUCCAAAAUAUAAAGUGACAACACACUUUUUAAAGCAAUUUUCAAAAUAGUUUUCAAAAACACAUUUAUUUAUGAUAUUUUUAAAAUAAAAAUCUCAAAAAUAACUUGUUUAUAUAGCGUUUUAUUAGACAAAUACUUGAUCUUUAUAAGAUCACCCUAAUUAUAGAUUUAUGAACAUGUAACACAACAAUUAUCUAUAUAUAUACUUAGAAUUAUUAUAUUUUAAGUUUUUAACUACAUAGGACAUCGUGAGUUUUUCCACCAUUUAUCUUAUAAAAAGUUUAUUUAAAUAUGAUAAAGGAUAUAUUAUCUCAUUUCUUAUUAUAUCUGAUGCUAUAUAUAUAUAUAUAUAUGUAACAGAUCAAAUACAAUUUAAAGAUUUUAAUUAACCAUCUAUUAGCAACAAAGCAAUCUCUUAAUCUCAUUCAUAAUAUUAGGAUAAUUUAGUAUUUCCUUUUAUAAAACACUAGCAUAUAAAUCAACACAAAUCAUAUUAAGGGUGUAUUUGGUGUUGAUUUUAGGAAGCGUUUUUAGUAUUUCUAAUACUUGAAAGAUAAAAAUUUUCAAGUUUUAGAAAGAUCAAAAGCGCUUUUUAGAAUGACUAUCAAAUACAUGCUAAAUAUUACUUUUGGAUACUUAUAUUUUUAAAUAACUCUUAAAACUUUUAAGGCAAGUCUCUACUAUUUAUAUAAAUCCCCUAUUAUUUUUAAUUUUUAGAAACAAAAAAUAAAGAAUAGAAACUCCAUUUAAACAUCACCUUAUUAUUUCCUAUUAUAAAAUAACACAAAUCAAAUGAAUUAUUUAAAAAUAAAUAAAUAUAAAAUCAAAGUUGAAGAGAAAAAACUCUUGUGCAUUAAAAAAACAUCAAAAUAAAUAAAUAAAUAAAACAUCAUCAAAUAAAUGUAAAAAUAAAUUAAUGUUAUGGAAAAAUGAGAAUAGGCAACAAGAAAAUAAGAACACAGAUUUACAUGAAAAAUGCUAGACGGGAAAAACCAUGGAUAGAGGAGAAGAAAAUCCACUAUAUUAAAAAUUUGGUAUAAAAUGUGAGAGAAUCAAGCGACUAUUGUAUAGGCAUAAUCACUAUGACCCUAAAUCCUAUACAUCAUCGCAUAUGUAUGGUGUAUGCGAUAAUAUUUGUGAUAAUAAAAAUAUUGUCACAUAAAAUAACUAUGGGAUGUAAUAUUUGUAAUAAUAUUCUUUACAAAAAAAUAUUUUUUCUUUGCUUUAUUCACUUUGAUCACAACUUGAAAUAAGACAAUAAAAAUAUUUUCUUAAUUUUUGAAAAUUAAUUGAGGACUUAGAGCUACUUGUUACUGAGUGAAUUUGCUGAAUGGUGAAGAAUGCGUGUAUAGUAGUUUUGCAAUUUUUCAAACUUGUAGACAUAUUUUGUGAAGUCUUUUUCUCUUUGUAAAGCCCCAUUUUCUAUGUGAAGUUAUUUUUUCAAUAUUCUCUUUGGAAGGAAUUUACCAUUAGUUAUAUAGGUAAGAUUAAGGAAUUAAAUUUGGAAUUCUUAAGAUUUGAUUACUUAAUUCAAAGAAUUUGGUUCAAGGGAAAUUUGCCAACAAAAUAAUAUUUAAUUUUAAUUCUAUGAUGACUUUAAUUAUUUGAUAUAAUUUUAUUUUGAAAGACUUGAUGUGGGGGACUCAUCACUUAUUGAGUCCAAAUUUUGUUGCACCCAAAUUUUUAUGAGCUAAGAAACCAUAAUUUUAAAGACCAAUUCAGUGGUAAGUAAAUCUGCUAAAAUCUUCUAUGUACAAAUGACCUCACUUCAAGGUGCAACACAUACAUGUAUUAUUAUGUGUAUGGGAUGAGUCUUGAAGUUAGUCUUCAUUCUUCUUUGAUUUUUUUUUCUUCAAAUAAAUAAAUAAAACAUCAUCAAAUAAAUGUAAAAAUAAAAUAUGUAUCAGUUAAUUGGAGAGGAGAGCUUUAAGGGCAUUUCUUCUAUGAAAUUCUAUGCUCCACGUACCAUAAAUUUGUACUCAACCAACAAAAUUACAGAAUGGGUCCAUGCACAAACAAAAAUAACCCAAAUGUGAAUAUCUAAAAAUGUAUGAAGUUCACAAUAGAUAUUCAAGCCCAAAUUUAAAUUUCAAAUUAGUCCAACAGAUUUCAUUAAUCAAAAUGGGUCCAAAUUAGCAAAUAUAACCCAACAAAAAUAUCUCAUAUGUCAUAGGCCCUAAUUUAAAAUUUUCAAAUUAAUAGCCAAAAUAUAAGUUCAAUUAAUCAAACCCAAAACAUGAUAAAUUAAAAUAAAUCUCAUUAGGCCUAAACUUAAUAUCCCAUAAUUCAAGCCUAAUUUAAUAUAUAAACCUAAAUCCACAAUCAAAAUCAACCCAAUUUAUGCUAAUCCCGAUUUACAAUCAAAAUCAAACAUAAUUUAAUAAGUAAAUAACUAAAUAAAUUAAGCAAACUCAAAACACCCAAACCACUACAACAUAAAUCAAACAAUAAUAAAUAUAAUGACAACAAUAAUAAUAAUAAAUAAAAUAAAAUAAAAUAAAAUAAAAAUAAAAAAUUUAACUCACGUCGGAGCCAGUUUGAAUGUCUUAGGAAAGAAAGAAAAUGAGAGAAAAGUGAGAGAUGAUUGACAACUGACAGUGGCUCACUAGCGGCAACUGGUUAGUGGUCCUACCGAUGGUAGUGAGGAUUGAUUGGUUUUUGGGAAAAAAAAUAAAAUGAAGAAAAGAAAAUGAGAAGUAAUAAAAAAAAUGGAGAAAUGAGAGGAAGGUGGGAGAAGAAUGGAGAGAGAGAACGUAGAAAAUGAGUGAAAAGAAAUGAGGCUAGUUGGAGGAGAAAGUGGUAGUGUGUGAGCUAAAGUGAAGAAUAAUAGAAGAAGAAAAUGGAGAAGAAUGGGGAAAAAAAAAUCCGUCUCCCUAAAUGAAGAAAGGUGGGUAGCCUAAAGAAGAAGAAAAAAUAAAAUAAAAUAAAAUGGGGAGAAAAUGAGAGGGGGUCGGUGGUCUUGCGAAUGAGGUGGUAUGCGUUAGAGAGAGAGAGAGUGGGUGGGGUUGUUGGGGUUGUUGGGGAAGGUAUGAGAGAGAGAGGAGAGAGAAAAGAAAAAAAAGAAAGAAAAGAAAAAAGAUAAUAUAAAAUAAUAAUAAUAAUAAUAAAAUAAAAUAAUAUACAAAAUAAUAAAAACUAAUAAUUAAAUAGUGAGUGGGCAAAAAAUAUCAUAUGUAAUCAAGAUUUAAUUUUAAGAGUAAAAUUGGGUUAAAAAUUAAUGUAAAAUAAAAUUGGGAUAAAUUUUGGGGUAUACAAAUAUGCACCUCUUCAAUAGAGUCCACGAGUAAAGCAAGUGUAUAUGUGAGCAAAACAAAGUGGGCUCUACUGAAAAAUAAGAAAGACCACCAAAUUUGUCUUAAUAUGACAUGAACUCUCCCAAAUAAAAAAAAUAAAAAAUCUAAAACCCUACAAAAAUGGCCAAAAUGGAAACUCCUAAGGUGCCUCUAAAGUUAUACUAUGGAUCUAGACUCCCUUAGAAAAGCCUCCAAAAAUGGCCCAAAAAUCGGUGCCAAAAUCGAGUAGCAAUCAGACCACUAAGGAGCACAUGAACGAAUGCAUACAAAGGGAAAAAAACCAUACGUGUACCAUACGAUGACAAAAGGCAUAAGGUAUCCAACAAUAUGACUGAUUCACGUGUUACGAGCUUAAAGAACUUUGUCAUGCACCAUGGAGGAAGGGAAACUCUAGAAUAAUGUGAUGAGGAAGUUAUUAGCACAAUGUAACAGAGUGAGGAAAAAAGUGAUGAGUGCAAAGCUGUGAGGACAAAGUGCACAAUGCUAAUGAAUAUGAAAUGAAUAGCACUAGGCUAUAAUGCAAUGAAUAGCUCAGGGUUGUACCAUAAUGAACAAGUCAAGGAUGUGUAAAGAUGAGGAACAACUCAAGGUUGUAAUGCAAUGAACAACUUAGGGCUAUGAAUGCAAUGAACAGCUCAGCUCAAUGAAUGAAAUGAAUAGCUCAGGGCUGUGAAUGCAAUGAACAACUCGACGUUGUGGAUGUAAUGAACAACUCAUGGUCAUGGAUGCAAUGAACAGCUCAGGGCUAUAGAUGAACAACUCGGGGUUGUGGAUGUCAUGAACAACUCAAGAAUAGGGGCACUAUACACCCAAAAUGGGAGAUCACGGUCUACGAUUCCAAGUCAAACCACUAAAGGGUGACCAAAAUGAGGGUGAUCAACUCACUAAAAAAGAUGAUCAAAAUGUCUUAAGGGAGAGGAGAUGCCCCAGAUGAAACUUAAAGGAAAUGAGUAGUGCUAAUGAAACUAAAAAAAGAAAAAAUGUCACAACUGAAAUUGAAAAAAUAGCAAACUUAGAUUAAAGUGCAAUGAACAACUUUGGGCUGUUGCGAUGAGUAGUACCGUGUUGUAAUGAAAUGAAUAACUUUAAGAUAUGGGCAUUGUACGCCUAAAGAGGGAGAUAGUGGUUUACGACUCCAAGUCAAACCACUAAAGGACGACUAAAAUAAGAUGAUCAACUUACUAUAAAUGAUAAUGCAACUAUCUCGAGAAAAAGGGUAUGCCCCAAAUGACACUCAACAGUAAAAGAAUGACACAAAUGAAACUAAAACAAGAGGAUGCCACAAAUGAAACUGAAAUGAUAACAGACUCAGUACUAAUGUGUAAUGAACAACUUUGGACUAUGGAUGCAAUGACUAGCACUGGGUUGUAAUGAAAUGAACAACUCUAAGAUGUGGGCACUAUACCCCUAAGAAAUGAGAUCAUAGUUUACGACUCUAAGUCAAACCGCUAAAGGGCGACUAGAAUAGGAUAAUCAACUCACUAAAAAUGAGGAUGCAACUAUCUCGAGAAAGGGGGUAUGCCCUAAAUGACACUCAAUAGUAUAAGAAUGACAUAAAUGAAACUAAAAUAAGAGGAUGCCACAAAUAAAACUAAAAUGAUAACAAACUCAAAACUAAUGUGCAAUGAAUAACUCUAGGUUGUGGAUGCAAUGAACAACAUUGGGCUGUAAUGAAAUGAACAACUCUAAGAUGUGGGCACUAUACGCCUAAAGAGGGAAAUCACGGUCUACGACUCCAAGUCAAACCACUAAAGGGCGACUAGAAUAGGAUGAUCAACUCACUAAGAAUGAGAAUGCAACUAUCUUGAGAAAAGCGGGAUGCCCUAAAUGACACUCAAUAGUUAAAGGAUGACACAAAUGAAACUAAAACGAAAUGAUACUACAAAUGAAACUGAAAUGAUAAUAAAUUGAUAACUAAAGUGCAAUGAACAACUCUAGGCCGUGGAUGCAAUGGACAGCUCAAGAAUAGGGGAACUGUUCGCCCAAAAUGGGAGAUCGUGGUAUGCGACUCUAAGUCAAACCACUAAAGGGUGGCUAAAAUCAAAAUGAUCAACUCACUAAAAAUGAGGAUCUGAACAUCUCAAGAAAGGGGUUAUGCCCCAAAUGAAACUGACAAUAGAGGGAUGCCUUAAACAGACUGAAGAAAGAAGGAUGCCCUAAACAAAUUAACGAAAAAUGGAUGCCCUAAACAAACUGACGGAAGUGAAAUGCCCUAAAUAAACUGACCAAAGAAGAAUGCACUAAACAAACUCUGAGAAAAAAAAAAAAAGAAGUAUGCAAUAUAGAAUCAAAAACACCUAAAGCAAAAACAAGAAACAAAGAAUGUGGUUUACAACUAGAAACACCCAAAAGAACCUUAAAGAAGUAACUGGGAUAAUGAACUUAAUGAAAAUGGGGUAUGCCACAGUAAAAGACUCGGAAGUAUCAGCAAAUGGGUCAAACGACCAUGAAAUCAAUAGGAGAUAUGAUGAACCCAAAAAGGGCAUAUGCCCCAACAAAAGAACACUAAAAGGGGGGUAUGCCCCGAUAUGACGACUCACAAUAAUUAAGAAAUGGAUCGAGUAAUGAGAAAAUCUGCAAAAUAUCCUAUGAACUCAAAGAUGGGGGUAUGCCCCAGUGUAAAAUAGUGACCAACAUAAGACACAGAAUGUCACCAUACAAUACACUCUGGGAUAUGCUCAAUGUCAAUGUAAUGAAAACAAUAGCCUCAAUCAACAAAUGUUCAAGCAAGACCAUGCAUCACAUAAACUAAAAUAAUAGGCUAAACAAAUGCUAACCAAGUCUCUCAAUCUGAAAUGUAAGCAAGUCAAGACAUGACAUGCCAACCAUCGACAUGAAAACAUCAUCACAAAUACAUCAACAAACUAAUAGUCCCUACUAUCAUGGAAGAUGUAGAACCUAACGUCCAAAGGCAUGUGAAAACUCAACCAGAAAGCUCAAGACUAGUUUGCAUCCUCCUCUAAUAAAAAGAAUGAGAUAAGGUCAUGUAGGAUGAUGAAAUAGGCAAGCUCAAUAUUCGUUAGGCUCUACCAAGAUGGAUGUAGGUAUAAUAGUGUCAAAGGUAGGAUGUCUAGAUUUCCAACGAAGGAAACUGGGUAUCCAAGUCAAACCAAGUAUGUUGAGGAAACUGAACCCAUAGGACAAUAACUUUAUGAUCCAUUGAAAAUAGCAAUCAUGAAUAGAAGGUCGAGUCUCGAUGUCAAAAUCAACAAGGUGGCAUUGCCCCAGUAUGAAUACAUCUUCUCAAAAUGGGUAAACCUUUAGUGCAAGAUAAUCUCUAGAAAGUGUGUGUCUAGUAUAAACUGUCAUCUCACAAAAUUUAUCACUGAUGAGUGGGCUAUACCCCAGUGUAAGCAUUUCCAAAUCAAACAUCGAUGAGAGGAGUACAACCAAUCAUACAUAAUAUGAUCAAAACAAAUCUCCACUCCUCAAAGUCAUCAUGGUAACGUGAAAAGAGUAUCUAACCUCAUUUAAAGAAAGAUCAUGUCCCAAUGUGAAAAAUAUCAAGCAAAGUGGUAUGUCUCAACAAAAAUGCACUCUAACAUGAUCAUGCCUAGAUGUAAGCUGGUAUCUUUAAGAUCAAUCACCAAUGAAAGGGUUAUGCCCCAGUAUAGGGCAAUCUCUUAAAUGACUAAAAUCCGCUACAAGCUCUCACAAGUGUCUAUGUCAUGAACCAAUCAUCUCAAAAAAUAAAUAAAUAAAUAAAUCUAUCAACAAUGAUGAGAAGGUUAUGCUCCUAUAAUCACACCAAGAAAAUCACCCGGUCAUAUCUUGUACUCCAAUGUGAAAGGAAAAUAUGAUCACCUCCAAAGAAUGGCUAUGCCCCAAAAUACAUCAUCGAUUGAGAAAUAUGCCCCUACGUAAAGUACAUCAACUGAAAUAUGCCAAUCAUGCCUCAUGCUCCAAUGUGAAAAAUGACGUAUAAUCUUCUUUGAGGGAUGGUCAUGACUCAAAUCCAUCAUCAGUUGAGAGAAGUAUGCCCCGACAUAAUGGUCAUCUAAAAAAUCAAUCCCCGACUAAGAAAUAUGUGCCUUGAUGUGAUGUAUCAAGCAAAAUGGCUGCAUACCCCAUAAAAAACUCUCUAAGGUGGCUAUGCUCCAAUGUUGGAUCAUACCACAACUCCUGGUCUAUCACAAUCAAAAUGCUGUCCAACCAAUCCCAAGUAUCGCCCACAUGAGAGCUAUCAAACACAAUGUGUGAUGUCAUGGCCUCAAGGUGGUCUUAAGAUUCGGAACGUAACGUAGGCUAGGGUAAUAAGGUAAAGAAAUGAAGGAAAACUAGGCUUAAUAAUCCUAAUGAUAAAACCCCAUACCUUAUGUAUAAAAUGCAAUAUGUGCAAAGAGUCUCAUAAACCAUGGAUCUAAGGACACCCAAUAUGAAUAUAUCAGUGAGGAAGAAAGAAUCUAAGAUGAAUAUAUCAAUGAUAACAGAGAAGAAAUGAAGAAUAUUAAACUGUUGAUGGGAUGUAUAAGAAUGAUGUAUGGAAAAUAUUGAACAUGGAAUGUAAAUUGAUAUGAACAAAGAACAAUGUAGGCAAGGCAAAUGUGAUAUCAUGAUAAGAACAAAUAAAUCGAAGAAAAAUGAAUGAACACUAAUCCACUCAAAUCAAGUCAUGGAGAAUAGUCAAAUCACCAACGUAUGUAAUGAUGGAGAAGACAAUGAUUCAAAGUCCCUAGGAAAAUGUCACUUGUUUGUCACACAUAAAAUACAUAACGAGAUAGACACAAAAAUAUGAGAGUCUUUUGAAAGUUCACAUACGAACUUUCAUAAGCAACUAACUCAAUAAAGCAACCUCAAUGACCAAUAUAUACACUCAAUAAAGGAUGACACUGUAUACAUGUGUUUAUUACUUUUUCUUUUCAUUUUGUUUUUCAUUUUUUUCAUUUUUGUUUUCAUUUUUUUUCUUUUACUCGCGCAUACUCUGAAUAUCAAUAAAUGAACUUCUCUGAGAAUACAUAAUGAAAUGGAUAUACUCUCAAACAAUGAUGUCAGCGAACUCUCUCUGACAAGAUGACCCUCUAAAUUAAGGAUUUUCGAACUAACGUCCAUGAGAUAGGAGUGGAAGGGGAUAUGACCAUCCUUCCUGCACCGAAAUGUGAAAAAUCAUCACUCAGGGCACAAAAAAAUGUGAUGAAAAAAAAUAAAAAAAUGAAACAAAAGAUAUAAACAAUGAAGUAUGAUGAAGACUGAUGUUGGGAAGACAAAAAAAAUUGUGAAGAAGGUGAGCCAAUAAGUCCUCAACUCAUGAAACUCUCGAAUAAAAUAUAUAUACACCAAAAAACCCUUAUCCCGGUGUAAAAUGUGAGCAAGGAUAUAAGAAAGAAAAAACUAUGGUGCUCAUGUGAGGUUCAAAGGGCUAGCAACGGUCCAAAUGUCAAUAAAGGUAAUAGGGUGUGAGCUAACCAAAAUGAAGGCCACCUAUGAUGGUCUGAAACAUCAUGCUCUUAAGCUUUCAAUGAUCAAUACUGAAAAUCGAUGUCAACCCUUUGGAAUUGUGCGCCAAACCAUACUCCAAAUGCUCCAUAAUAAUCUCAAAGAUAAUCCUCUCAAAGCAAAGUAAAUAGCGAUCUCAUAAGGCACAACUACUCAUCACAAGCCAACUCUCAUCAUGCAAGAUCAAUCUCUAUUUUCAUGGAAAAAUAAGUGACAAUCUCAUCAGGCAAUCGACGAAUCCUCACAUCGUAAACCAACCAAAGAUCAUAAGUCAUUCAUUGCCAUGCAAGAUCAAUCCCAGGCUCAAACUCCUCAUACUCUACCUGGUUGGAUUAGAGAAGAAAUGGGCAAAGCUAGAAAAACUGAAGAUGGAAAGGUCAUAUAAUGGUGUCAAGGGUGAUGUUGUGCAAAACUCACAAUGAAUGGAUGUAGGUCAAAGAAAAGUCAAUGUGUGAGAGUGAGUAAGGCACUACUCUGAUCAUAAGAAGAUGGGUCACAAUCUCAAACUCCUAAGGUCAAAUCUUCGAUCCUAGGCUAAUAAGCUCAACAUCCUCCAUGAUAGGUCAACCCCCAAGAUCACAAUGUGCAAAUGAAUAGAUGCCUCAAGUCAAAAGUACAACACAUCAUAUGAUAUAUGGUCCUACGAUGACAAUCUAAAACUGGAAAUAUGUUAGAAACUCUAAGGUCAUAAAGGUGUCCACUGUGAGAUGACUACAAAUGUGACUAAGGAAUCUUUAUCAAUAAUCCAAAAAAUGAAUGAGGUGUGAAAAACAACACUAUCAUGAGAUCGAUACCCCAUCAAUAACAAAAUAUCUCUAAUUCACUUUCAAUCUAAGCUCUAUAAAGAAAAACGAUAAGGUUAUAAAGGCAAACCUCUCAAAAAUGGUGUGAAUGUGAAAACAUGUCUUCACCUUUCUAUAAUGAAAAUAUCAUGUUGAAAAUAGAAAUAGGCAAAUCAACCAAAGAAUGAAGCACGGAGCCCAUGACAAGUGAAGAAUGUAAAAAGGUGAACAUGAUCAAUGAACAUAUCCCAAAACAUUAAGCAUAAAGUGACAACAAACCGAAAGAAUGUGUCAAUUUAAGAAAAGAAGACUAUCUGAAGCCCUAGGGAGAAAGUGUGCUAGACUCAACGAGCGACAAGAAGAAACUAAAACCAUAUAGCAAGGGGUGGUCCAACUGAUACUCAAACUCGUACCAAUAUCUAAGCACUCUCGACUGGAGACCAAAAGAUGGAGUAUUGGAUCCAUAUUGUGACUAAAGUGGCCUCGAAGGCUCUCAGAUGCACCCACGUGUAGGAAAGGAAAUCCUAAUGAAAAUAUCUAAGGCUUAACCUACAAGGUCAAGGCGGCUCUCAAAAGAAAAUUUGAGUAGACUUUAAAGGAUCCCUAGCAAAAGCGAUCAUACCCUCCGAUGGUACACAACCUCCUACACGUCUUGAAAUAUACGGGAGUGAUUCCAUGCAAGGUGGUCAUCACCUCCACACAUGCACUAUCUCGUAUCCUAGAGGGUUUCCUAAUGAUGAAGACUCUUACAUCUCUCAACACUUAGUGGUAAUCUAAGGUGCACAGUGAACGGUGUGGGUUCAUCCAAAAAUCCUAUCAAGCUAAGCAAAGAGAAAAAACAUUGGUCACACAAAUAUCCUGAAAUCUAGCUCUAACCUAUACAAGUCUUCAAAGAUUAGACUCCAAUUAGCAUUAAUGUUUCGACCUUCUCUAGAAUGCUCCCAAACAUAGAUAUAGUCCAUCACUAAACCCUACUCCGAAUCACUAGCUCGGUCAAAGAGCAAACAAAGUAAUAAGUCUCAUAUCAAAUACGAGAUCAAGGGGAACAUGGUCACCCGAGACUAGGGAAUUGAAGGUAAGGGGAUAGAUGUGUGUCCCGCAUAGAAAAGCAACAUGCAUCACACAGAAGAAGAAUAGUCAUGCAAUAGACAACCAAGCAAAGAACAGGUAUAUCAUUCAUAUCUACACACAAGCUAAACAAGAAAUAGGUAUUUAACAAGAAUAAACAAUAUGUUGAGAUAAACAAGAUAAUAUACGAUAAAGAGAAUCAAUCACACCAAUAUGAAUGAGAUAUACAAAAAUGAGAAUAUACAUGUCAAGGAGAGCAAGAUAAUCAUACAACAAGAAGAGUCUUAUGUUAAAGCAAGCAAGAGAAUCAAUCGAUGUAGUCAACAUGUCAAUAUCUCAAAUGAACAUAACAACCAAAUAUGCAUCAUAAAGAAAAAAUGGUAAUCAUGCAGCACACAGUCAUACAAAACAAAUACAGACAAACAUAAGCAAAUAAAUGUAAACACACAUGAUAACAAAAAUCAAUGUAUAGUAAGGCACAUGCAAUAUAUACAUAAAAUAAUCAUCAAGUCAACACUCAUAUACCUUAAAACAUGAAAAUAUACAAUAAAGACACAACGAGAGGGUAUUCACUGAUCGAUUAAUCAAACGCUACAUUUCCCUUAACUCGAGUUCAAGUUUGAUCCUUUAAAUAUCCCUAGUGAAGUCGCUAUUUUGUGGACCCACAUUUUUCAAAUACGUCCUUACACAACAGCGAGACUCAUUUUUUUUAUUUGGUGAAAAUUUGAUUUUUAGAAAAAAGACUUUGAGUCGUCACUUAUUUUUGUUUUUUUUUAAGGGAAAACAAAACAAGAAAGAAAACCUUGUGUGACUCCUUAUUUGGGAAAGACAUGUAUGCAAAAACCAAAUCUGGAUUCGGGGGUUAAGUUCCCUAUUGAGAAUGUACGAUGGUGAGCUGUAGCACCUCUCUAAGCUCAUAUACGUAUGGUCUCUACUAAACGAAUUAAGAGAAUUGUAGUAAUUAAUUAAUUAGUCAAGGAUACCAAGAAAAAGAAUCGCACAAAUGAGUACGUACAAAUCAUGAUAAAAAAAAUCAAAUUAUAAGAAUAGACAAAAUAAAUAACAAGAGAAUUGUGCAAAGUGAUUUAUUAAACUAAAUAAAAAAGAAGAUAUUAAAAAAAUUAGUUUUCAAGAAAUUUCAACGGAUUUUAUUAAAAUGAUUUUGAAUUAAUGAUUUUUAUUUAUUUAUUUACAAAAAAAGUGUCAAUUUAUUUUCUUCAAGUGAUUUGAUUCAAUUUCAUUUGUAUUCAAUUUUUUUUUUUUAAAAGUUAUUUACACUCAUGGUUGUUAAAAGAAUUAUUCACAAAAUUUCAAGUUGACAAUAAAAAUGAUUUUUACUUGCUUUUACUCAAAAACAAUGAAUUUUUACAAUUUUAUUAACAAAAGCAUUUCAAUUUAAGAAAAGUGACUUAAACAAAUUAUUAAAAAAAAUAUAACUUUAUCUGCAAAAGAAUUUUUAAUUAAAAAGAAAAAAUUUAAGUCAUCUAUUUCUAAAAAUGACUUUUAAUCCCAUUUUAAUUAAGGAAAAUUGAGUUAUCUAAAAAAACAUUUUUUGGACAAUUUGAAUAAAAAUUAAUUUUUGGGACAACUUUAUUUACAAAACAAUUUUUGGACAAUUAUUAUUAAAAACAAAAUUUCAAAUUCGAUUAAAAACAAUUUUUUGGAUUUUUCCAAACACAUUUUUAUGAAUUUUUAUUAAUAAAAAACUUUUUUUUAUUAAGAAGAAUAUUUUUUGAGCUAUUAUUUUAUUAAAACAUGUUUAUUGAAUUAUUCUUCUUCUUCAAACAAAAUUUUUAAUUUGUUCGAUAUCCAAUUCUGUACACAACAAGUAAAUAUAUACAAACAAAUAUUUAUAGAAACCAAUAAAAAUAAAACCAAAUAGAAGUGAGAAAUAAAACAUGUACUUAAACAAGCUUACAACAAGCUCAAUGUCUUCUUACGACUUUUCGAGUUUCACUUUCUUUCAUUAAAUUUUAUGCUCCACGUACCAUAAAUCCGUACUCAACCAAAAAAAUUGCAGAAUUGGCCCAUGCAAAAACAAAAAUAACACAAAUGUAUAAAGUUCACAAUAGAUAUUCAAACCCAAAUUCAAAUUUCAAAUUAGUCCAACAAAUUUCGUCAAUCAAAAUAGGUCUAAAUUAGCAAAUAUAGCCCAACAAAAAUAUCUCACAUGUCAUAGGCCUUAAUAUAAAAUUUCCAAAUUGAUAACCAAAAUAUAAGUUCAAUUAAUCAAACCCAAAACAUGAUACAUUAAAAUAAAUCUCAUUAGGCCUAAACUUAAUAUCUCAUAAUUCAAGCCUAAUUUAAAUAUAAACCUAAAUCCACAAUCAAAAUCAACUCACUUUAUGCUAAUCCCAAUUUACAAUCAAAAUCAAACAUAAUUUAAUAAGUAAAUAACUAAAUAAAUUAAGCAAACUCAAAACUCUCAAACCACUAUUGCAUAAUAUCAAACAAUAAUAAAUAUAAUGACAACAAUAUUAAUAAUAAAAUAAAAUAAAAAAAUUUAACUCACGUUGGAGCCAGUUUGAGUGUCGUGGGAAAGAAAGAAAAUGAGAGAAAAGUGGGAGAUGAUCGUUAGCUGGUAGUGGCUCGCCGACAGCGACUGGUCGAUAGUCCUACUGGCGGUAGUGAGGAUUGAUGAGUUUUUGGGAAAGGAAAAAAAAAAAAAAGAGGAGUAAUAAAAAAAAAAUGGAAAAAUGAGAGGAAGGUGGGAUAAGAGGGGAGAGAGAGAAUGAAGAAAAUAGGGGAAAAGAAAUGAGGCCGGCUGGAGGAGGAAGUGGUAGUGUGUGUGAGCUAAAGUGAAGAAGAAUGAAAGAAGAAGAAGGAGAAAAAUGGGAAAGAAGGGGAAAAAAAUUCGAGCCCUCUAAAUGAAGAAAGGUGAGUAGCUUAAAGAAGAAAAAAAAAUAAAAUAAAAAAAGAAAAAAUGAGGAGAAAAUGAGAGGGCCAGUAGUCUUGGGAAUGGGGUGGUAUAAGUGAGAGAGAGUGGGCGAGGUUGUUGGGGAAGGUAUGGGAGAGAGAGGAGAGAUAAAAGAAAGAGAAAAAAAAACAUAAUAAUAAUAAUAAUAAUCAUAAAUAAUAUAUAAAUUAAUAAAAAUUAAUAUUUAAAUGAUGAGUGUGUCAAAAAUAUUAUAUGUAAUUGGGAUUUAAUUUUAAGAGUAAAAUUGGACUAAAACUUAAUGUAAAAAUAAAAUUUGAACAAAUUUUAGAAUCUACAAAUACAUUCUUUAAUCUUUCCACAACAUCAAUCUGAUCUAAAUGAAAUGCAAUAAAUUCUAAAAAUGAUACAAUCUUUAAUCAAUCCACAACAUCAACCCGAUCAAAACUCAAUGCAAUAUUGCUUAAUGGAGAGAAUCGUAAAAUCCUUUUAUGAGAGGAAAACAAAACCCUUAACAGACCUUUAUGAGAGGAAAAUAGGAAAACAUAGAACUAAAAACCCUUAACGUAUUCAUGAGAAUAAAAAAAUCCUUAACACCUUAAUAAGAGGAAAACAAAGAAUUUGAACAAUCCUUAAUCCAUCAAAAGCUCUUAAUAUGAACGAGGGGAAAACAUAACCUUUAUUUUUCAUAUCGUUGAAUACAGAAUCUAAAGAGAUAGAAUUUUUAGUUAUUAAGGAUUUUUUAUAGAUGUCUAUUGAAAGUUCAAGAACUUUUAUGGAUAAGUGUUAAUUAAGAGACUGAAAGGGUACUUAGGAUUUUCAACUAAAAAAGUUAUAACAAUAUGAAUCGUAAGAACUUAAAAACAUCACCCAUCCAUAAGAGGAAUAUGGAAUGAGAGGUUAUAUUUUUACUUAUACAACAAUAAACUUUUUUGGAAGAGGUUUUUCUAAGUACAAAAAGUUAUGAAUAAAAAACCAUUGUUACGAUGAGUUAACUAAAAUAGAAUUAAUUUAGAAAAUAUCAAUAAAGUUGCAUGAAUUAUUAUCAUGAGUUAACUUAAUAAGAAUAAAUAGUAAUAAAGUUAAUGAGGUGAAUUUGGAUUGGCAGAUAUAUUUGAUGAUAAGAUUUUUUUAAUAAUAAAAAAUUAUUAUGGCAGGAAAAAUAGGACAAAAUUGACCUUAUGAUAAGAUUUUUUUAAUAAUAAAAACAUUAUUAUGGUAUGAAAAAAAGGGACAAAAUUGGCCUUNNNNNNNNNNNNNNNNNNNNNNNNNNNNNNNNNNNNNNNNNNNNNNNNNNNNNNNNNNNNNNNNNNNNNNNNNNNNNNNNNNNNNNNNNNNNNNNNNNNNUUUUCUAAGUACAAAAAGAGUUAUGAAAUAAAAACCCCAUUUGUUACGAUGAGUAACUAAAAAUAGAAUUAAUUUAGAAAAAUAUCAUAAAGUUGCAUGAAUUAUUAUCAUGAGUAACUUAAUAAGAAUAAAUAGUAAUAAAGUUAAUGAGGUGAAUUUGGAUUGGCAGAUAUAUUUGAUGAUAAGAUUUUUUUAAUAAUAAAAAAUUAUUAUGGCAGGAAAAAUAGGACAAAAUUGACCUUAUGAUAAGAUUUUUUUAAUAAUAAAAACAUUAUUAUGGUAUGAAAAAAAGGGACAAAAUUGGCCUUUCCUUAAUUGUACCGGUUAAUGGAAUAAUGGGACAUGCGGUGGUUACAAGCCACCCCAAAAGGUAGGAAGAAUCUCCAACCCCCAUUCUCGGCUCCCUUAUCUUUUCCCUUACAACCAAAAAUCAACAACUAUCUUAGAAUGUCCUUCAGUCCAUCAAAAUUCAACAACAACAAUUAUACAUUACAAUAAUGAAAACAAAAUUGAUUGAUCACCAGCUAACAUUAGGAGAUUAUAAGAUAAGGAUGUAAUUGCAAUUAUUGAAAUCACUUAAAGAGUAAAAGUUAGGAACAUGCUCACAAUAAAUAAAAUCACCUUAGAAUUAAAAAUUAGGGACAUGAUUAUGAUGAUUAAAAUCACUCGAGAACUAAAAUGUUUUAGAGAUACAAUAAUUGAAAUCAACUGAAAAAUAAAUUCGGGAUGUGAUCGCAAUUAAUGUAUAUAUAAACAACCAAAUGUUGAAAGGAAAAACUAAUGAAAUUAAUAUGAUUUUCUUUUAGAUUUCUCUUGACACCAAACAAAUGUAAGGAAGUUUAUAAAGGAAAAUUAGGUUUUGAUUCACUAAAUUAAAAUAAUAUAGAAAAAAGAUCUUCAAAUUUUAUAUACCAGUUUUAUUUUUAUUUAUUUAAAAAUAUUUUAAAAUACAUAUAUUUUUUCAUAACUCAAAUAGUCAUUCCUCAAAUGCUAGUUUUACUUGUUAUGUUAAUAACACUAGUUAAUAAUUUUUUAUUGUGAGAACGAUUUAAGAUUAAUAAAAUAAGAAAUUUUUAAAACUAAAAAGACAUUUAAAACUUUAAAAUUAAAAAUAUAAAAAUAAAACAAUAAUUUUUCAUUUAGUAAAACACGCCAGUAGAAAAUAUAGAUAUAGAGAAAGAGUUGGAAAUAAAAUAAGAGUUAAUAUUUUAUUUUUAAAAUUUUAUGUUUUUUAUUUUAAUUGUAUUUAAUUUUAUGUAUUUUAGUUGUAAUUAUAUUUUUAAUUUUUAAUUUUUUUUUAUUUUAUUGUUGAUGUAAACUAAUAAAUUUUUUGUUCAAUUAUAUAUAUAUAUAUAUAUAUAUAUAUAUAUAUAUAUAUAUAUAUAUAUUUUAAAAUUAGUGAGUAAAAACCCACUUUUUCUAAUUUAUAAUAUAUUUAUGGGAUUUUAUAAUAUAAGCAAUUUUUUUUUUUUUGAGAAAGAGGAAAAAUCAACUUUUCAAUUUCCCUUAAUAAUUAUUAUUAUUAUUAUCCAAUUUGGCUGAUUAUGAGAUUAGUUCGUAUCAUUACUAUAUCCAUUUGUUCUUAACCCUUCAUUAGAAUAGUAUUAGGAGUUGAACGUCAGUUGGAAUACAGGCUUAUGGAAACAAAUCUAUCCGAUUAGUAGGUUCUUAUUAUUUUCAAUAUAGCCCCAUAAAAUAAAUAGGAGAUGGGCAGCCCGUCCCUUUUGUCUGGAGGCCAUCCUCCCAACUUAUUAAAGGUGAUAUGAGAUAAGACAGUGACAAAAUUGUCGGUUACUUCCCGACACCUGGCUCUCCACAAGCAAACCCAGUGAUCCAGAAAUUAAUUGGUACCUGGACACGUGACUAACAAACCUUCGCUCAUCUACCAAACCCAUGGCCUCAUGCCUUAUAUAUUUCCACAAACCUAGCUCAAUUUUCAUAGCCACCUUCACUAUCCUAUACUCACUAAGCCAUGGCCAUAGAUACAAGCCUCUUGCUUGAGUUUGCUGCAGCAACUCUACUCUUCUUCAUCACCCGCUUCUUCAUUCGUUCUCUCCUUCCCAAACCUUCCCGGAAGCUCCCCCCUGGCCCCAGAGGGUGGCCGCUCCUCGGCGCUCUUCCUCUUCUAGGUAACAUGCCUCAUGUUGCAUUAGCAAAGAUGGCCAAAAGAUACGGGCCUGUCAUGUUCUUGAAAAUGGGCACUAACAGCAUGGUGGUGGCCUCAACUCCCGAGGCGGCUCGGGCUUUCCUUAAAACGCUAGACAUUAAUUUCUCUAACCGCCCGCCUAAUGCCGGUGCCACACUCUUGGCCUAUCAUGCCCAAGACAUGGUUUUUGCGGAUUAUGGGGCAAGGUGGAAGCUACUGAGAAAGCUAAGCAACUUACACAUGCUUGGUGGGAAAGCUCUUGAGGACUGGUCUCAGGUCCGAGCUGUUGAGCUAGGCCACAUGCUUCGAGCCAUGCUUGAGUUAAGCCAGCGAGCGGAGCCGGUGGUGGUGCCGGAGAUGUUAACUUUUUCCAUGGCCAACAUGAUAGGUCAAGUGAUUCUAAGCCGCCGGGUGUUUGAAACAAAAGGGUCGGAGUCAAAUGAGUUCAAGGACAUGGUGGUGGAGCUCAUGACCACUGCUGGGUACUUCAAUAUUGGCGACUUUAUUCCGUCCAUCGCAUGGCUGGACAUCCAAGGGAUCCAGCGCGGGAUGAAGCAUUUACAUAGGAAGUUCGACCGGUUAUUAACAAAGAUGAUGGAGGAGCACACGGCGUCAGCCCAUGAGCGAAAGGGAAACCCAGAUUUUCUGGACGUAAUCAUGGCAAACCAAGAAAAUUCUACAGGGGAGAAGCUCACUAUUACCAACAUUAAAGCACUCCUCCUGGUAUGCAUAGUUAAAGCUCGUCUUCAAUUUUGUUUUCCGAUAUUUUCUUUCCGGAAACAGCACUUUUAUUGCUUUUAGAUAUGUACGUUUUUAUCAGGUAGCCAUUUUAGGGGCACAUCACUAUUCUUUAUUUUUGGACUAUUUUUUUCUUUUUCCACUUGCAUGGUUGUUUUCAUAUGCUCAGCUGCAUGGCACAAGAAAAUUGUGAAAAAUGAUUGGUUCUCUGAUCAGACCUUCAGCACCAAAACACGCUUUUCUCUAUGUUAUAAAAUCGGUUUACAUGAUUUUUCAACCAGCUUCCUUGAACUUGAACUUUUGCUAGGGCUAAUGCAAAAAAUGAUUGAUCUCAAUUUUCAAUAGCGUUUGAUUACAUAAAUUUCAAGUAUGUGAACAUAUUUUUGUUUCCUUGGCUAGAAUUUAUUUACUGCAGGAACAGACACUUCAUCGAGCGUAAUCGAGUGGUCUCUGGCUGAGAUGUUGAAAAACCCGAGCAUCCUCAAGCGUGCUCACGAAGAAAUGGAUCAAGUGAUUGGAAGGAGCCGGCGGCUCGUGGAGUCUGACUUGCCAAAACUUCCAUACCUACAAGCCAUAUGCAAGGAAAGCUUCCGGAAGCACCCAUCCACACCACUGAACCUUCCUCGUGUCUCAACCCAGGCAUGUGAAGUGAACGGCUACUACAUCCCAAAGAACACUAGACUUAGUGUGAACAUAUGGGCAAUCGGGCGAGACCCUGAUGUCUGGGAAAGCCCGGAAGAAUUCAGGCCAGAAAGGUUUUUAAGUGGAAGAAAUGAAAAAAUUGAUCCUCGUGGAAAUGAUUUUGAGUUGAUCCCGUUUGGGGCUGGACGAAGGAUUUGCGCUGGCACUAGAAUGGGAAUAGUGCUGGUUGAGUACAUUUUAGGGACGUUGGUACAUUCAUUUGACUGGAAAAUGCCGGAUGGAGUUGAGAUCAACAUGGACGAAGCUUUCGGGCUUGCGCUGCAGAAGGCAGUUUCUCUUUCGGCCAUGGUGACACCAAGGCUUCACCAGAGUGCGUAUGCAGUCUGAGCUCAAACCGCUCAGACCAAAACCCAGGCCUCGCUGCUAUAUGGCAUGGAUGCAGUUAAGUAGAAAAUAUUUUGGGAUUUUUGCCUGUGGCUUAGUAUAAGAUGUAUUAGCUCAAAGAUGGUCGUUUCAUUCUACCACCAAGCCAUAUGCAUCUAUGCAUAAUCUAUUGAUUUAGGCUCGAUUUGGUUAUAGUUUUUGUUUUUUUGUCUUCCAAAUCAGUAAAUAGUAGGGGUAUUUUUGUCCUAUGUAGUGAUUCUUUUUGUUUGAUUGAUUAUAUUUGGAUCCUUCAAAAAUAUACGGUCAGAGCCAUCUCCAUCUUUUCACUUCUUGUGCUGCAGAAUGGGAUUGGCUUAGAUCGUUAGUCUAAUGUUAACCCCCUUCAAAUCUAAUUAUUCAUACUCAAUUUUGACACGAAAGAGCCAUUGUCAUGAAAGGGGGACCAGGGACCUCAGCACCCUUGGUUCAUCAUUUUGGUACGAUGCCAACUCUACCACAUAACCACCAUUUAGAUAUCUAUCCUUUUAUUUUUGGCAUGUGAACUUAUAGUGGGUGGCUGACCUUGAAUCCAAUAGUUAUCAUGAUAUAUAUGGCUGAAAUUAACCAUCAUUUAGAUAUCUAUCCUUUUAUUUUUGGCAUGCGAACUUAUAGUAAGUCCGAUUUAUGUCCAAGGGUCAAAUUUAAAUCUCUCUUCAAUCUAAUGGCUAAGAACUUCCCAACUUUAUUUAAUACUUAAUGUAUCCAAUAAUUGUAAUCGAGUAAUCCAAUGACAAGUACCUUCAAUGAUUAUUUUGGCAAAAGAAAUAAUAUAAGUUUGUUAUUUUAUGAUAUAAUAAAUUUAUUAAUACUUUCCUUUUUCAAAAUAUGUAAUUAGUUGUAAUUUCAUUAUAUAAUAUAUAAAUUAAGUUAUUUGCAAUUUUAAA
rnacentral:lncRNA from 1 species